AGUUUUGUCAGAUAACUUCCUUCAUUCAGGUGUAUAAGCUAGAACCUUUAAGUGACGAAAAAUCUUUGGAAUUGUUAUGAUGUGGAAAGGCAUUUUUUUCGGGUUUUGGUGGAUGCUGUACAAAAGAAUAUGAAGACGUAGGUCUUGAAAUGGUUAGAAAGUGUGAACGUUUACCUCUAGCAAUUGUUGCAUUGGUGGUCUUUUAUAUAGCAAAUGUCAAAGUGCACUUGAAUGGACAGGUUUAGUCAAAAUCUAUGUUCGGAGUUGAAGAGGAAUUCUGAGUUAAUUAGUAUUUAAAAAGAAAAAUUGGUUUGAGUUAUGAUGAUUUUCUGUUCAAUCUCAGAUCAUGUUUAUUGUAUUUUAGAAUGUAUCCGGAAGACUAUGAAGUUAAAUCUGGAAGAUUGAUUACGCAGUGGAUAGCUGAAGGGUUUGUCAAACAUGAAAAUGGAAGAACUUUAGAAGAAGUUGCACAACAACAUUUAAUGGAGUUGAUCACUACAAGUUUGGUGCAAGUAUCUUCAUUUACUAUAGAUGACAAAGUUAAAGGAUGUCGUGUUCAUGACUUAAUACAUGAAAUGAUCCUUGGAAAUAUCAAGGAUACAUGGAUUUGUCUGUAUAUUGAUGAGCAUAAUCAAUUGGUGUCAAGUGCGAUCGUUAGACGCUUAACAAUAGGAUCAGAUUCCAAUGAUUUAAUUGAAAAUACUGAAAGAUCACGCAUUCGGUCAGUUCUAAUUUUCACAAAGCAAAAGUUACCCGAAUACUUAAUCAGUGGAAUACUUGAAAAAUACAUACCAUUGAAGGUACUUGAUUUUGAAGAUGCUAUACUAUAUCAUCUUCCUGAAAAUUGGGGGAAUUUAAUCCACUUGAAGUAUCUGAGCUUCAUGGUAUACACAGAUAGAAAGUCUUCCAAAAUCCAUUGGUAAGCUCCAGAACUUGGAGACCUUGGAUGUAAGACAAACAGAAGUGUUUCAGAUACCAAAGGAGAUUAGCAAGCUUUUAAAGCUACGUCAUCUUCUGGCUAACGAAAUUGUUAGAUUUCAUCUCAAAACCAAUUGGCAUUAAGUGAAGUUGCCCAACAGAUAUAUAAGCUGCACUCCAAGGAUUGAGGCAGCCGAUGUGGGACUUGGCUAUUUCCCAAUAGAAAUAUCUUCAAUUGCAGUGAAGGAUAGCAUUGGAGGCAUGACAUCUCUACAAAAUAUAUGCCUUCUGUAAGGAUUAUAGCGACUAAGGUCAAGAGAUUUCCUCUUUCGCCUACAGUGUUCAAUUAUUCUAUAAAUUAUUACACCUUUUAAUUUUAAAAAUUUGUAAAGUAAAGCCGAGACUCAUAUAUUUGCUUCCAUAUACUCCUUUCAUUCUCUUCCAAGUAAAUUAAACUAACAAUUUCCUUUUGAUGUUGGAAAGGGGAACCAUUUAUACAAACUUGGAAGAAUUCAUUAUCAACUUCACUCAACUCCAACAGCUUAGUAAGGUGUGCAAGGGAAAUAAUGGAAAAUUUACUUGGUUUGCAACUGUUUGAAGUUUGAAGAACUAGGCUUUUUCGAAAAGGGUUAUAAUUAUAAUUUUCCACCAGUCCUAAGCCCUGACUAUGUCUCCAUUUUACUUCAAAUUGCUUGUGGUUGAUGCGUUCAAAUUGCUUGAUGAGUUCUUCACAAGUCCUAAGCACCUCUACUUGGUUGAUGCUCGAAUCCGUGGAUGCAAGUGAUGAUAUAUGUGGUUGCAUGUUGAUUUUGGAGGAUCCGUUCGCAUGCACGGAGAAAUUUGGCCCUGUUCUGAUUUUUGGUGUUUUGAUCUGAUCUUGGAUGCAUCUUGUGUUAUUAAAAAGGAUAUUUGGUUGAAGGAAAUGUGAUGUCUAUAUCAUUGUGAAGCUUAAAUGGUACACACAUUUUGGUAAAAAGUGAUAGGUGCUCACUUAGGUUUGAGUAUUCUCUGUUUUCUAUCCAUACUGUUUUAUUUUAUUUAAUGUGUUCUGGAAUGUUAAAAAUAAAAAAAGGUAGUUGAUUUAUGUUGAUAUAUGGGUUGGUAGUAUCCUAUAAAAUUUUCAGAAUUUUUUAUGAUAAUAUUGUUGGAAGAAUAUGGAUUGAACCCUAUGUUCAUUCUCUGCAUUUCCAGUGAGGAUGUUCGUGCUCUGGAUCAAUCAUUAUUUUUCUCUGACAAUUUUUGGAGAGAUAAUUAAUUUUUGUGUUCUUAAGAUCAUAAGGAGUAUGUCCAAAUAUUUUUGUGUGAAAAUAUUAAUGUCAACAAUUUUAAUAAAAUCUAGAAAAGGAUGAAUGUUCUUUGAUGUUCUGGGUUUUUCUGGGUGAAUGUUGAUACGGUUCUUCACUUACUAGGAUGAAUCUCUGUUGAAUUUUGGGGAAAAAAAUAUUAGGAUGUUUCUGUAUUUGUUUGAUGCAGCUGUAUAAAGCAAUAAAGAAAUAAUAGCUCAAGCUUUUGCUAUAAAUGUGUGGCAGGAAUUGAUCCUACACAUACGAGUUCCUCUAUGCUGUUCUUUUAUUUCCUCUUGUCUAACUUCAUAUAAAGAAUUUUGUAGUCCUUCGGAAUUCCAGUGAAAAGAAGUUGGGAAUGGAGAACAUCUAACUUUCAUCAAUGCUUCCAUCCGAAAAUUACCACACUCAACGUAAUCUACCACCUAUGCUCAAUAACUUGGGGUAUUCAUGAGUGUAAUUGCUGCCUAGAUUAUUUUAACUUUUGAGUUCUGGUGGACACUGCAGUGAGGAACAAUUCAUUUGAUGAGAUGUUCCUGCUGGUGGGAUUGGUACUCUAGAUGAGGUGUUUAAGAUACAGGCAUGCACUGAUUCAGCUUGAAUGGAUUGGACCAGAGCUCUUUGUGUUCUCUUCUAGAAGAAGUGUUUGAGAUACAGGCACUGAUUCAGCUUGAAAUGAAUUGGAGUAUGCCUUAUUUCUCUUUGUCUACAUCACACUGAUAGGUGUUAGACAUAAAAUUAUGGCUAAAUUACUAUGUUGGUCUUGUAUCUCUAUUUUAUAUUGUAAUUUAAGCUUCUAUUUGUUAAAAGUUACAAAAUGAUAUUUUAUUCAUUAAAAGUUGUAAAAUGGUUCCUUACAUAAUUUAUUUAUUGUAUCUUUACUUCUGAAGUAAUGUCUUUUCCAGUUGUUUUGGAUAAGUAAAAAAUAAUUAUUUUAAGUUAUAAUUAAUAUUCACACACUGGUAGACCCAAAGAUAGCAGAGACAAUAAUGUGUUUUAGGUGGCAUCUUCAAUUUGCAAGACAGCUAGAUUGAGAAAGGAUAAAACAAGGCAAGAAGCCAUGUGCAAAGGACUGUUAGAUGAUUAUUGAUUGCAUUGUAUUGAGGAAUUCUUUUGAUUAGUAUGAUCUAUUUUUCACAGGCUGAGAUGACAACAAACUUUCAUCUCAAGUUUGGCACCUUGUUUCCCAUGAUAUAUUUAAUUUCCUCAAACUUUUUUUUUUUGCAGUAUUACAUCUAAUAUUCUAGUUUAUAUAUAUAUAUAUAUAUAUAUAUAUAUAUAUAUAUAUAUAUAUAUAUAUAUAUAUAUUAUAGUUUAAAAAGCUCUUUUUGAUCUCCUAAUAUAUAAAUUUCGUGUAUGAUACGACUGAUUGUUGUGUUCAUUCUAACAUGAAUUUAUUCAUUUAUAUGCAAAUUAAAAUAGAUGAAAAGGAUAAAACAUUGGACACGGAAAAGUUUAGGAAUGUUGAUCGGUGGUAAGAUAAUUUAAGGAUCAAAAUCAUAAAUUAUAAGAAAUUUAAGGAUAAAAAAUAUUUUAUCAAAAAAAAAUUAUAAGGACAAAAAGUCAAUUUUUUUAUUAAAGAUUAAAUACAAAAUUAAAAAAAGUUAAGGGCCAAAAGUAUAUUAUGUCUGUCAAAAAUACUAAUUAUUCAUCUCACGUCCACCAAAUUUUCUUUUUUUUUAUUUUGCUCCUUUCUUUUUAAUAUAUUACUUAUCACUUAUAUCACUUUGUCUCUGUAUCUUUUUUCUUUUCUCUUUCAUCUUUCCAUCUCAAUUCAUCCUAAAACGGGGUAGAAGAAUAUCAUAGUUCUAUUUCUUUUCUUUUGUUAGAACAAGACCUAAUGAAUGAAGGAAGACUUGGCUGCAGGGGUAAACAUGCAUGUUAUAUCCAUCAAAUGAAUUUUUUAAUAUACCAAAAAAAUGUUAGUGAAAAUAAAAUAACAUUACUAAAAAGAAAAGAAAAGAUUAUAUAUAUUAGACCAUGAAAAAAUGAAUAUAUUGAAUUAGAGUUAGAGAUAUUCGAAAUCAAGCAAAAGAAAAAUACUCCGACGAUAGAAUAAAUCUUCAAGACUUGGGUAUAUUUCUUUUUCUUGGAAGCAGAGUCUAAUGACAAAGAAAAUACAAAAUGACUAACGGAGUGAAGUCAGUUGCUGAAUUAACAUACAACGGAAGAGAUAGAAGCUGGGGCAAUAUAAAAAAAUUAAAAAUAAUAAAUAAAUAAAUUGGAAAAUAAAAAUGUGGCCACUUUAUCUCUUCUUUCAUGUUUGACCAAAAAGAAGACAUAUCUUUUUUCCAUAUGGUUUAACAUUUUUUUUUUCUCACACUAGCAUAUUAAUAAGUUGCUCGAUCUGUUUUUUAGACACGUUAAAAAAGUCUCAUUUUUUUUAAAAAUCAUCUGUAUACAAUUAUUAGCGGCAAAGCUAGCAUAUAUAUACGAACUCUUAGGGGCGAAAAGUGGUUUACAAAAAUAUGAGCCUUAAGUGCUAAAUGAAAAAUCAAAAUGAAAUUAUUCCUUUAAAACAAAUAAUCUGAUAAUCACAUUUUGACAUUAGCUGGACCACAAUAUCACAACUUGCUCGCAAAAGAGACGCUGCAAAGCUCAAAGUCUUCGUCUCCGCGUACACAGUGCACUAAGUUACAAAAUAUCAUCUCAGUAUGAUAUAGAUAAAAAGAAUUUAUAAAAAAAAAUCUGAUAACCGACACCUGUUAAUCAUGACUAUAGAACUUAUAAAUAGAGAAUCCUGUUAAUUUUAAAAUUUUAUUGAAAUUAUAUGGUUAAGAUAUUAUCAUAAACAGUGUCCGUGUCAUUGUUUGGCUAAGUACAUUUAUUGGCUAUAUAACGUUGCAGAACAUCAAGUUUUGCACUCACAACAAACCAAAAAACAGAGCUAGCUAGCAAGACUAAAAUGGCAGAAACUGCAGUGUCCUUGGCAGGUCAGCAGGCGCUUCCAAAAAUAUUGGAAGCUGUCAAAAUGUUGAGAGAUCUCCCAAAAGAAGUUAGAGACAUUACAGAUGAACUUGAAAGCUUUCAAGAUUUCAUCAAUGAUGCUGAUAAAGUGACUGAAGCCGAAGAAGAUGAUGGAAGGCGUCAUAGAAUAAAAGAAAGGGUGAUGCGGCUGAGAGAAGCAGCUUUUCGCAUGGAAGAUGUCAUCGAUGAAUAUAACAUCUCCUGUCAGGAUAAGCAACCUGAUGAUCCUCGAUGUGCAGCUUUACUAUGUGAGGCUGUUGCCUUCAUCAAAACUCAAAUCCUUCUCCUUCAAAGUGCGUAUAAGAUUCAGGAUGUUAAAUCCCUUAUUCGUGCUGAAAGAGAUGGUUUCCAAAGCCAUUUUCCUUUAGAGCAAAGACAAACCAGUUCUAGAGGAAAUCAAGAUAUCACAUCGCAGAAACUUAGAAGGGAUCCUCUCUUUAUUGAGGAAGAUGAGGUUGUGGGGCUUGAUGGCCCUAGAGGUAUAUUGAAAAAUUGGUUGACAAAGGGAAGAGAAAAACGCACUGUCAUCUCUGUGGUGGGAAUUGCAGGGGUGGGAAAAACAACUCUUGCCAAGCAAGUUUAUGACCAGGUGCGUAACAAUUUCGAGUGCCAUGCGUUGAUCACAGUUUCUCAAUCCUUCUCUGCUGAAGGAUUGCUGAGGCAUAUGUUGAAUGAGCUUUGCAAAGAAAAAAAGGAGGACCCUCCCAAGGAUGUUUCUACCAUCGAAUCGUUGACAGAAGAAGUCAGAAACCGCUUGCGCAACAAGAGGUAUGUUGUCUUGUUUGAUGACAUAUGGAAUGAAAAAUUUUGGGAUCACAUUGAAUCUGCUGUAAUUGAUAAUAAAAAUGGAAGUAGGAUAUUAAUCACAACCAGGGAUGAGAAGGUUGCAGAAUAUUGUAGGAAAUCAUCAUUUGUUGAGGUGCAUAAGCUAGAAAAACCUUUAACUGAAGAAGAAUCUUUGAAAUUGUUCUGUAUGAAGGCAUUUCAGUAUAGUUCCGAUGGAGAUUGUCCAGAAGAACUUAAAGAUGUAUCUCUUGAAAUUGUUAGAAAGUGUAAAGGUUUACCUCUAGCAAUAGUGGCCAUUGGUUGUCUUUUGUCUCAAAAAGAUGAAAGUGCACCCGAAUGGAAACAGUUUAGUGAAAAUCUUUGUUUAGACCAGUUGGAGAGGAAUUCUGAGUUAAAUAGUAUAACAAAAAUUUUAGGUCUAAGUUAUGAUGAUUUGCCGAUCAAUCUCAGAUCAUGUUUGUUGUAUUUCGGAAUGUAUCCGGAGGACUAUGAAAUUAAAUCUGAUAGAUUGAUUAGACAGUGGAUAGCUGAAGGGUUUGUCAAACAUGAAACCGGAAAAACAUUAGAAGAAGUUGGGCAACAAUAUUUAUCAGGGUUGGUCCGUAGAAGCUUGGUGCAAGUAUCCUCAUUUAAAAUUCAUGGCAAAGUUAAAAGGUGUCAUGUUCAUGACUUAAUACACGACAUGAUCCUUAGAAAAGUCAAGGAUACAGGAUUUUGUCAGUAUAUUGACGGGCCUGAUCAAUCUGUAUCAAGUAAGAUUGUUCGACGCCUGACAAUUGCAACCGAUGAUUUUAGUGGAAGUAUAGGAAGCUCACCCAUUCGGUCAAUUCUUAUCAUGACAGGAAAGUAUGAAAAAUUAUCUCAAGACUUGGUAAACAAAUUCCCUACAAAUUACAUGGUACUGAAGGUACUUGAUUUUGAAGGUUCUGGUUUACGUUAUGUUCCUGAAAAUUUGGGGAAUUUAUGCUACUUGAAGUAUUUAAGCUUCCGGUAUACAUGGAUAACAAGUCUACCAAAAUCCAUUGGCAAGCUCCAGAAUUUGGAGACCUUGGAUAUAAGAGACACAAGUGUGUCUGAGAUGCCAGAGGAGAUUAGUAAGCUUAAAAAGCUACGUCAUCUUCUGGCUGAUUAUAGGUGUUCAAUUCAAUGGAAGGAUAUUGGAGGCAUGACAUCCCUAGAAGAGAUACCUCCAGUGUUUAUAGAUGAUGAUGGAGUGGUCAUUAGAGAGGUAGGAAAGCUAAAGCAGUUAAGGGAACUGUGGGUGGUAAAAUUUAGGGGAAAACCCGAAAAGACUUUGUGUUCCGUAAUAAAUGAGAUGCCACUCUUGGAGAAACUACAUAUUUAUACAGCUGAUUGGAGGGAAGUAAUUGACUUGUACAUUACGUCACCUAUGUCUACACUUUGGCAGCUUGUCCUAUGGGGGACGUUAACAAGGUUGCCAAAUUGGAUUUUACAGUUCCCAAAUCUUGUGCAACUGUCUUUGGUGAGCUCCAGGUUGACUAAUGAUCCAUUGAAUUCACUAAAAAAUAUGCCAAGGUUGUUGUUCCUCGAUUUAAGUAACAAUGCUUAUGAAGGUGAAACUUUGAAUUUUCAAAGUGGAGGGUUUCAGAAACUAAAGCGACUGGAACUCAGAUAUUUGGAUCAAUUGAAGUGCAUCCUUAUCGACAGAGGAGCACUGUGUUCUGUGGAAGAAAUUGUUUUACAAGACCUCUCCCAACUCAAAACAGUUCCCUCGGGAAUUCAACACUUGGAGAAGCUUAAAGAUCUCUAUAUCAACUACAUGCCAACUGAAUUGGUGCAGCGCAUUGCUCCUGAUGGAGGAGAAGACCACUGGAUCAUCCAAGAUGUGCCCCAUGUACGUAUUUGGAGCAGGGGUGCUGAAGAACCUUCGCAUAUAUUCGGCAGAAGUCAUCAUUAAGAUGCGUCCAAAUUUGAAAAUAGAAGGUGCGUCUUUUUCACAUCUAUAACUUUGUAGAAUGACAUUCGUGGCCUUUUUCUUUUCUUCAAUAAAAAAUGCAACCAUUAUCUAAUUCCUAAAAUAAUUACUUUUGCCUCAUUUUCUCUUCUAGUAUUUGCUUCAUUUUUCUUUCUCUACAACAUCUCACGUACAAGUUAGGGAUAGAAUUGUCUGACAAGUAUAUGCCUACACCAACCAAAGUUAACGUUUCUUCAUUAUAAGAUUCUCACCAUUAUAAUCCUUUCUAUUAUUGUGCUCAGAAUUGGUAGAUGUUGACCUCAACUGGAUUGAGUUUUUUAUUUCCAUGUUGAUAAAUACUUGAAAAUUUUCAUUGUAUCAUUUUAAGAAGAAAUUAACUUGGUGUUUUUAUAGGGUCGUAAGCAUAUACUUCGUGUAAAUGUUAUGGGUUUUUAAAGUUCCAUUACGAUUGAAGCCCAAUGUGGAUUUUUUUCAUAAAUUAGAUUGUGUUAAAUGUUCCUAAUUUUGAUGCUUUGAAGUUUGACCUACUUUGUACAACCAUGAAUUUUAGGAAAGCAAUGAGGGAAGAUUGUAAGAGGUGUUCCAAAUUCAAUGUUUUCGACGUUCCAAUCAUGUGGUUUUUUGAGUGUUAAUUAUUGCGCUUAUGUUAGCGUUAUUAACACCAACACAAUACGAAGAAGCUAAAAAUAGUGUUCCUACAAAGGCAGACAAUUUUUGACAACCGGAAAACUCAAGAUUCCCUCAAGUUCUUUCUUUUGCGGCCCGUGAAAUGGUGGAUGCAUGAGUGGAUUUGAGGCAUCAAAUUGAUUUUUUAAGCUUCCUUCUUCUCUUUCUCUUGUUUCCCUUUUUUUCUAAAAUGUGUACUCAAAUUUUUGUUAACUUGAUGUAAUUUGAAUUCUUACCUAUAAUUCAAGUUCAUUUCUUUUAAAUUGAUUAUUUGUCUUUGUUUUAAUUUAAUGCCUUUAUAAAUUGGCAUUUGGUCACUUAUAGUGCGUUGAUCGUAUAUUCCUAUCGACAACUGUGAAAUUGAAAUAAGGAUUGAAUUUAAGAUAAAAUGCAACAAGGUUGGAGAUUCUAUAUAUAGGAAUAAAUAUCAACAAUUACGAUAAUUUAGAUAUUCUUAAACCUAAUGAUUGUCCUAAUUGAGUAAUUCUAAAGAUUUAAAAUUUCAAUUGCAGAAAAGAGUUUUUGAGUUAAGAUAUAUUCACCUUCAAUUACAGUAGUAAAAAAUAAAUUCAGUUUCUCAUUAUGCUUCUAGAACUUGAAUUGGAGUGAAAAUUUGGGUUGUACGUGUUAAGCUUGGGGUGAACUCGUAUUGUAACAAGACAUGUUUGAUUUUGUCUUAGCACUUUAAUACUCUUAGCACAGUACGUACUUCAGCAAUUUUGGUACCCAAACUUUUAUGUUCAGGUUUGAUCCCAUAUUUUUCAAAAACAAUUUAAUACUCGAAUAUAUAUUAUUAAAAUCAAGUUAUAUAUCACUUAUUUGGAGUUAGAUAAAUUUUUCAAGGCUUAAUUUUAUCUUUUUGUGUCAUUCAUUAUUUAUUUUAUUUAAUUUCUUCCUCCUAAUAAUAAAAUCUUUAAUUUAAUCGCUUAAUUCACUUGACAUUGUUUAUUAAUAGUGGGAUGAGAUUGAAUCAAACAAAGGAACAAAUUAAAUUGUUUAUUAAAAUUUAAAAAACAAACAGUGUGAACAAGAAGUUUAUUGAGGGGUCAAGUUGCACCGUUUGAAAAUUAAAGCACUAAAUUAAAUUGUUGAUUAAUAGAGGACCAAUGCUAAAUAAAGAAAUAGCACGACAAAAAAGUAAUGUUUUUUUUUACUUUUAAAAAUUUUGAAAAUUUUAUUGAAUUCUAAAAUAUUCAAUUAACUUGCCUAAUUUUUUGUUUAUUCACUCUUUUUUUUCCUUUUAAUCCUUGAUGUUUGAAAACUUCAAAACUCUUUUUGAUCACAAACAUAUUUUAACUCUCAUAAAACAACACAACAAUGUUUCUAAAAUCGGACUUUUAUAAGUUAUUGAUAAAUCACUUUGUGAGUGAUAUUUUGUACAAACUUUUAUGUUAUUUUGUAUGCAUUUUCUUGAUAGAAUUUACAAUUGGACACUAGUUUUGUAUUCCAAAAGUAUAACCACUCAAUUGAGUGAAAGAGUAGGAAAUUAUACAAAUUUAUGAAAAUUUAAGAACUUUACAUAACUUGAUUACUAUCGUGGUACAUUGAUCACGGUCGUGGUAAUCAGCAUGAUCACAAUAAAGUGAUAAGAGUCCUCCCAAACAGCGUCAAGAUCCAACAAUAGCCAUGGUAAAUUGACCACGAUCAUGGUAAAUCAAGAGGCUUAUAGUCAAUUUAUAAUGGUUCAAGGCUUCAGCGUCACUUCUAACCACGAUUGUAGUGCUCCUUUUCAAACAAAUAUCUUGAGGAAGCUAUAUAUAGGUUUCUAGACUAUGUAAAAAUCAUUUUUCAAUUAUUUUUAGUUUUAUUCUUAUCUUUUACAAAUUUGAGACAAUCUUGAAAGCUUUUAAGAGCCGAAGAACUUAAACAACAUCGCUAGAAUGGAUUAUGAUCAUUGUUCCUACUUAUUGGUAUGUUUAUGUUUAUUUUAUCUAGGAUUGCUAGUGCUGUUCUGAUCAUGAGGAGCUACUCCUCCUAGUCCGAAGAUUAUUAGAUAACUUUUCAUUUGUACCAUUCUCCUCAUUUUAAUGAAAUUUCUCAUUGAUUUUAUUUAAAUUAGUUCUCUUGCUUUUACUGUUUAUUUGAAACCAAUCAUUUUAAUACUUAAUCAAUUGCAUAAUACUAAUCAUGUAAUUGGUAGAUUUUGGUAGAGUGUUUUAUGUCAAAUUGCAUGAUCAAACUCUUUGGGUAAUCUCCAAUACAUUAGUUAAUCUUUAAUUAAUUUUUCCUAUAAUUGAUUUUCUUUUGACUUAAAUUGAUAGAACCAAUGAUCAUUGGGGUAUUGAUUUAGGCAAGAAGCAUCUUCUAACCUGGAUCAUAGACUUUAGUUGAUUUUGUGAAUGAGUAAUUAACUAGAGAAAGCAUUUUAUUACAACUAGGGUUGAAGGAAAAUUAGUACUAGUAAGUCAUAACCCCUAAUCACUCUUAUCAUCAAUGAACUCUUUCUUUAUAUUCGUAUAUUUGUUUACUUAUAAAUCCAAAACCAUAAAAAUAUUUAAAUUAUCUUUUUAAUUACUUCAACUGUUAAUUUAAUAAACUUGACUAAUUGAGAAUACAACUCGUCAUUUGGGUUUGAUAUCCAUACUUUCGAAACCACUAUUAUGAUUGCGUAAGGUACACUUGAGGUAUGACAAACAUAUUGGACAUACAACGAUGGCAACAUAUGAGUGUGUUUGGAUGAGGGAAUUUAAAAUUCUGAGGAAUUUUAAAUUCUAAGAAUUUCAAAUACCUCAAUUGAAAUUCUUUUAUUUUCAAAAUUUUGUGUUUAUAUAAAAAAAUUAAAAUUGAGGGUGAAAGAAAAUGAGUCACGAGUUCAAGAAUACGAUUUCGGAAUUUUAGGUGGAAAAUAGGAUGAAAGUUAUAAAAGAAAUGCGCGAAUUUUUUGGAAAGUUCUAAUGUAAGAAGAGAAUUUCAAUUUUUCACCUUUUAGAAGGAAGUUAAAAUUCCACAUUUUUAGUGGUUUAAAAUUAUGUUUUAAAAUUCCAAAAAUUUAAAUUCUUCAAAAAAAACAUCCAAACAAUAAAUUUUAUAUUAAAGAAAUUUAAAUUUUCUGAUAAAUUACUUUCCUUAGUUAAAAUUCUAUAUUAAAGAUAUAUUGAUAAAGAAAACUGGAUUCGAGGCCAGCCUCCAAACAAGGCAAGAAAGAAAGCAAACUUAGCUUUUUUCAUAUCAUGUCUGCCUUACAAUUGCUUUAUUUAUACUAAUUCCUUGCUAACAGAAUUUGUCAUUUUGUGUCAAGGAAUAUUUUAGGAAAUCAUUGGCUAGCAAUUUACGAUUACGCUUGUCUCCCUAAGGCCAACCAGCCAUCAUCUAGCAAUUCUUCAUUCCAGGUCAGCUUCCUUUCUCGCUUUUCUUUCUCAUGUGUAGUCUAUGAGGUAAGAGGGCUUUGUGAUGGCCCUCUUUACUUUCUUGCUAUCUGUACCCUUGGUUUCUGUGUUUGUACCUCUAUUUUGUGUUCUCUGUUAACUGCCCCAGCUUUUGUAUCAUUCGUCGGCCCUUGUAAAACUACCUUGUCCUCAAGGUGAUAAUCCUCACAUAAUUGAUCCCAAUUCUCCCACGAGGUGUCAUCUGGGGAUAGCCCUUCCCAUUGCACCAACACUUCCCAAGGCCCUUGUUCUAAAGCUCGCUGAUAAUCUAAUAUGGCUAGCUAAGGGAGUAAUGAUUGGUUGGUGUUGAACAAAUUGUUUUGGAAAGUGAACUUCCUGAAUAUGUUCUGGGGAGCCUUUGAAUGCUUUCAACUGGGAGCGGUGAAAAACAGGAUGUAUGCGAACUUCUUCCGGCAAUUUGAAGCGGUAUGCCACAGGUCCUAUGCGUUCCAGAACUUGAAAUGGUCCGUAGAAUCUCUUAGCAGACUUGCCCAUGAUUGCUUGUGGUCCCUUAGCGGAGACUUUUUGGUGGGGCCUUAAUUUAAGCAUAACCCAAUCUCCUGGUUGGUGGAUCACCUCUCUUUGUUUAGCAUCUGCAGUUAUCUUCAUACAGUCUUGUGCUUUGAGAAGCUUCUUGCGAAUGGCCUGAAAUGUUUCUUCUCUGUUGGUCAACAUUUUGUCAACUGCAUCCAGAGCUGAAGAACCCGCGAUAUAAUCUGGAAAAUUAAAGGAUUUGCGCCCAAAUGUGAUCUCAUAUGGAGUGGUGCCUGUUGCCGCAUUCCAUGAAGUGUUAUGAGACCACUCCACCCAGAGAAGAAACUUGCCCCAUUCCCUUGGCUGAUGAUGAACAAAUGUGCCUAGACAUUGCUCUAUGACCCUAUUUAGCACCUCCGUUUGACCAUCACUUUGUGGGUGAUAAGCGGAGCUUAUCCUUAGCUGUGUGCCACUCCGACGAAACAACUAUUGCCAGAAUUUGCUAACAAAUAGGGGGUCGCAGUCGGAGACCAGGCUGCAAGGGAGACCGUGAAUCUUGUCCAUGAUUUCCAUGAACAACGAGGCUACCGCAUGGGCUGUGUGUGUCGCUAAAAGCAUGCCAAGAUGAACGCCUUUUGAAAAUCGAUCAACCACUACUAGUAUUAACUGUGUUGUUGUGAUAUGGUGGGAGCCUAGUGAUGAAGUCCAGGGAUAAGUCUUCCCAAGGUCGAUGGGGAACUGGCAGAAGACAUAGUAAUCAUGCUGCUCUUUUUGUCUCGUACUUAGCAUGCUGACAAUAAUACAUUGCGAGACAAACUUCGUGACAUCUUCUCAAAGUCCUGACCAUUCAAAGUUUUCCGUCAAGCGAGUUAUCAUUUUCGCAAUCCCCAUGUGGCCUCCCAAGGGUGUUGUAUGAUACUCCACCAGUAAUGUGGGAAUUAGGGGCAAGUCCUUUGGUAGCCAAAUUUGUCCCUUCCAGAGGAUCAAGUUAUGAACAAGAGUGAAUCCAGAGUGCUUGUCGGGGUCCGCCAUGAUUGCUUGUUGGAGAUGCCGAUACUCAAGAUGAUCCUCCCAUUGGUGGCGCAAUUCUUCAAAGAAAAGAGGGUAAGGGACAAAAAGGCUCAUGUAGAAUGCAUUGGAACCACGCGAGCGCCCUGCCUUCCAUGUAGAAUGAAACUAUGGUAAGUCUUUCAUUCUUUGGUGUGCCAUGGUAUUCGAAGAAUUGGUUGAUUUUGAAAAUCCAACCAAGUGGUUCGGUGCCAUCAAAACGAGGCACAUCUAAUUUCAUUCGGUGAUUGUUUGCAGGUACCGAUGGUGAUGGUGGAGGUGUUGGAGAAGAAGAUGACGAGAGGAUGAGAGUGACACGAUUAAGGAGUUCAUCAAUUUUCUGAGUGAGUAAGUGCAUGGAUUCGCCGAGGGAUAGUUGAUGAUUGGUGAGUUUGAGUAAAACUUCAUCAAGCUUAUCAAAGGUACCCAUGGUGCGGACUGGAUGGAACGAUAGCACCAAAAUUGAUAGAGAAAACUUGAAAGAAAACUGGAUUCGAGGCCAGUACCUCCAGACAAGGCAAGAAAGAAAGGAAACUUAGCUUUUUUCAUAUCAUGUGUGCCUUACAAUUUCUUUAUUUAUACUAAUUCCUUGCUAACAGAAUUUGUCAUUUUGUGCCAAGGAAUAUUUUAGGAAAUCAUUGCCUAACAAUUUAUGGUUACGCUUGUCUCCCUAAGGCCAACCAGCCAUCAUCUACAAAGGCAGACAAUUUUUGACAACGGAAAACUCAAGAUUCCCUCAAGUUCUUUCUUUUGCGGCCCGUGAAAUGGUGGAUGAGUGGAUUUGAGUCAUCAAAGGGCAAGAUUCAUCAAAUUGAUUUUUUAAGCGAUAUAUAUGUAAUUUAGAUAUCUUCUCGAUUUUCCUAUAAUGGAAAACAUGAAUAAACUAAUAGGAAAUUGUAAUUCUACCUUAAUUAGUGAUUUUGAAUGAGAUUUGAUUAAGUAGUUAUGUUACAUAUUUGGAAAACUCUAUUUAUUGUACAUAAUAAUUAUAUUGGGUUCAAAGAGAUUAUUUUUAAUGGAAAAUAUCUUUUCUUUGUUGAAUUAAGGCAUUUUUCUUCACUUCUCCCUUAAAAAAAUUGAAAGAAAAAAAAAAGUGCAUCCCCUUCGGCGUCCCCUGUCCCCUGCAGGAGACAAUCAUAGAAGAAAGUCGAGCCACCUCUCUCUCUCUCUCUCUCUCUCUCUCUCUCUCUGGCGGCAAUAUAUAACAAUUAAAAGGAAAAUAUAAGCCAUUAGUAUUAUUCAGUAACAACAAGAAUCAUUGAACCAGUCAACGCUUACAUUCGAAUAUAAUAUAUAUUGUGUGUAUUGUGUUGCAUAUUUUAUAACACAUCUUCAAUUAUUUACAUAUAAUAUCAUUCCUGUCUAAAGUCUUCUAUAGCACAUGAUGAUUAAAAAAAUGUCCGAGACUCACCCUAUAACAAUACUCAUAAUUUCCGUUGACAUUUCACAUACUCAACUCAUAGAUUAAAGGAGAGGAGAUGUAUGGUGAAAUUGAAAGGUUCAUCAAAGUAUGGAUUUCAGCCAUCUUAGGUUUAUGUUAUUGUUAUUACAUAGCUGCAAGAAUACCAAAGGGCUUCUUGAGACUUCUCUCCCUUCUCCCUAUUCUCUACCUCUUCAUCAUCCUUCCCUUGAACAUCUCUUCACCUAACUUAGUUGGAUACACUUCCUUCUUCCUUGUUCAACUUGGCAUUUUCAAGCUUCUACUUUUUUCCUUCAACAAAGGCCCUCUUGCCCUAUCACCCCCAAAUAUUGUCCAUUUCAUUUCCAUAGCUUCCCUCCCCAUCACCCCAAAACAACAUCCACCAACCAAUAAAAAUAACACCACCAACACCCAAAAGCCAAAAUGGCUAUUGCCCUUAAAAUUGCUUAUUUUUGCAAUGAUCGCACGUUUUUAUGAGUACAAUGAAUACUUCCACCCUCAUUUCAUAUUAGUCCUCUAUUGUCUUCACUUGUACCUUAGCUUAGAGCUUGUUUUUGCUCUUAUUGCAACCCCGGUUCAAACCCUUUUUGGCUUAGAGAUAGAACCACACUUCAACGAACCCUACCUUUCAUCCUCACUUCAAGAUUUUUGGGGUCAUAGAUGGAACCUUAUGGUUAGACAUGACAAGAAAACUCAUACCGGUGGGUAUCCGCCCGAAUCCAUCCUGACUUUAAUGGAUAAUACCCGAGUUAACCGGAUAUAGGUUCGGGUUCGGGUUCGGGUUUGAGUUCGGGUUUUCCCCGAUAAUCAAAGGUUGGGUACGGAUACGGGUAUGAGAUUACUAGAUCUGUCCCGAACCCGAACCCCUCCCGCCACUUAAAAUCUUUAAAACUUUUGCAUAAUUUAAUCAAAAGACAUAGAAUUUUUAUUACUCGUUAAUUUUAUUUUAGAAUUUUUACAUAAUUUAAUAUUAUUUUCUUAACGAUUUUUAUAAACACAUGCGCUAUGAUAAAUUUAUAGAUAUAUAAGUGGUUAAAAAUAAAUGUUUAACAAUCAAUUUAUUUUUUCUAAAAUCAAAUUUUUAAUAUUUUUUUACAAAAAAAAAAUUAUUUUUCUAUUUUGAAUUGGGUAUGGGACGGAGUCAGGGAUACCCGAUACCCGACAGGUACCCAAUGGGUACGGGGAUGGGAUAAUAAACUUUAACCCGUCGGGUAUCGGGUACGGGUAUGGGGAUAUGUUAGGGAGUCGGGAUAAGGGAUUGUGGAGACAAUAUCCGUACUCGCCCCACCCCAUUGUCAUGUCUACUUAUUGUUUCUCGUCUUCUACGCUUUACAGUAUACAACCAUGUAAGCUGUACGAUUACGGGUUUAGUGGGUCCCUCAUGUGCCACGUCAGCUGCCAUGUUGGCCACGUUCCUUGUGUUUGGGCUUGUGCAUGACUUAAUCUAUUAUCAUGUUACAUGUGUACCUCCCACGUGGGAAAUUAUGUGUUUUUUUGUGCUUCACGGUGUGUGCACGGUGGCCGAGGUGGCUGUUAAGAAGGUGGUUCUCCGUUGUGGAUGGUGGCUGCACCGUGCCGUGUCAGGGCCACUCGUGGUGGCAUUCUUGGCUAUCUCAGUAAAUUGGCUGUUUUUUCCUCAAUUGUUGAGGAAUGAAAUGGAUAGGAAGUCCAGUGAAGAGUAUGUAAUUUUGGUGGAUUUUGUUAAGUCUAAGAUAUACCAUUGAGAAUGUUUAACUCUUGAGAGUAAACGUUAAAGGAUGAGAGAGACUUAUAAUUGUAAUAUUUACCUUAAAGGGUAAAACAUUUCGUUUUUUUUUUAAGAAUUAUUUAAUUGUGAAUAAGGCAUAUAUGUUGAAUAUGUUGAAAAAUGAUGAGUGUGACUCAACAGCUAACAUCUGAAAAUGUGCAAGUCUAAAAAUAUUAAAGUAUUUUAUGUUUUUAUUGGAUUUACGUGGGUGUAUAAAAAAAUAUAUGGGUGUAUGAGUUUAGGUUUGAAGGCAAAAAAAUCUUUAUUUAAAUAUUUGAAAAAAAAAGAAACUUAAUUGCACAUAGUGUUUCAAAUGAAAGACACACAUACGUGGUUUAAAAAAAAAUACCAUCUCUAUCUUGGAUUAAUGCAUUGUUCUUUCUUACAAAAUUGGAAAAAAAAAAAAAAAAAGGAAAAGUGUGUCCCCCCUUGCAGCAAUAACAAUUAGAAAAAUAUCAUCCAUUAGGAGAUUUAUAAUUAAAGUGUGUCCCCCCUUGUAGCAAUAACAACUAGUUAGUAAUAAAUGAUUGAACUACUGUUACAGCUGGCUAAGUUUCCUUCUAGAUUAGUCAAAGGCAAGAUCGAGAGGCACAGAAGCGUGGCAAUUAAUUUGGGUAGCUAUAAUCUGCUGCCUGUAGAACUUCAGAAAUAAAAUUGUCUUUGGAAGUGGUAAUUUGUCGUUUGAUGACUUGCUUGGAAUCUGUAAGAUUUAGAACAUGAUCUUGGUUGCACGCCAGAAUAUUUAAAGGCUUCAGUUAUUCCUUGUUUGAGUGGUUAAACAGCCCAAUGAUGACUAUAAUGGUUUUUUUAUUAUUAAAAUGGAUUAAAAAUUAAAAUUAUCAUAAUGGAUUCAUCAAGAAAGUAUUUAUGAAAAUAGAUGAUUUUUGUCACAUAGGAUUAUAAAAAUGACACCUUAUGUUUUUUGUGUAUUUUAUAGCAUUUUUGUCAAUGCUAAAUUCUCGUAUACUCCAUUUUUGUCAAUGCUAAAUUCAUAUUUAACGAUUAGAUCUUAUGUCACAGUUUUACUCAAUUUAAUGAUGAUCAAGCUAAUAUAAAAUACUUAUAAAAUUAAACUCUUGUCUUUACAACAAUUUAAAAUAAAUAUAAAUGUAUAAUUAAUUAUAAAAAAAAAAAGAUACGUAAGCUUAGUAACGAAGAAUAAAGUAAUAAGAGUAUGUAUUUGUAUUUCUUUUGAUAAUGAAGAAUAUUUUUUUGAGACAAAAUAAGACGUAUAAAUUUCAAUUUUUGUAUAUAUAAUUUUUUGGUUGAGUGUCUUUCAGUAAACGACAUCAUGUUUUAAGAUUUUAGUGUCAGCCUCAACUUUUUGGCAUCUAGAGUUGAAUGGGAACAUUCUUUAGUUGUUAUCACUUUGUCCUGAUUGUUUUCUGCUAGCAAAAUAAAUUUUCAGAAAGUCUGUUGAAAGUCAUUCUAAUUAUCUAGAAUCAUGAGAUGCUCUUCAUCCUGAAGUAGUUAAUUGGUCAAGAUAUAUGCGGGGUGUUGAACAUGUACUGAUUUUCGUUGGCUUGAGAAGUUCUACUGUUUCAUUCACACAAAAAGCUCAUAGAUUCUAGUGGGGAUUCAAAGGAGGCUUUUAUGGGGAGGGGGAAAUGAGAAUAAAAAAAUAGCAUGGGUUAAGUGGGGGGAUAUUUGCAAGGAGUAGAGUGAGAGUGGGCUAGGAGUAAAUGAUAUAAGGUCAUUUAACGAGGCUUUGUUGAGAAAUGGAGAUGAAAUUUAUUCCAUGGUGAGGGGAGGGAGUUUUGGCAAGAAGUGUUAAUUUUGAAGUAUGGUGGUUGGAGGGGCAUUCUAAAUGAGGGAGAACAAAUUCAUGAGUCAUGGUGGUGGAGGGAUUUAAAGAGAGUUUGUGGAGGAAAAAAUGAGGUGAAAUGGUUGAAUGGGUUUUGUUGAUGGGUUUAAAACAAGGUUUUGGUUGAAUGAUUGGGUGGAUAGACAAAGUUUAGCUAAUAUUUUCCCUAGACUUUUUUACUAUCUCCGACCAAUAGGAGGAAGUGAUUGUUAAGAUGGGUUCAUGGAGAGAUGGUUCUUGGCGGUGGGAGGUGAAGUGGAGGAGGAACCCUUUUGUAUGGGAGACUAAACUUAUACAACAGCUUCAUCAAUUACUGGAAGGGGUCCAACUACAAAUUUCAGGAGAAGACAGAUAGUUUUGGAAGCAAUGCCCCUCAGGGCAGUUUUCAACUUCAUCGGCCUAUCACUUUAUUCAACAACUUGGAGGGGCGGGAGAAACUUGACAACUUUUUGAGCAGAUAUGGAAAAUUAAAAUUCCACCUAAAGCUAAAAUUCUUAUGUGGAGAAUUUUCAGAGAUAGAAUGCCAACUCUUGAUAACUUGGUAAAGAGAAAUGCCAUUGAUAGGUAUUGUGAUCAAAUGUGUCCUCUCUGUUUGGGUCAUCAAGAAUCUGCUCAACAUCUUUUCAUCUCUUCUAAUGCCAUUCAAGAUGUUUGGUUGGAAUGCAUCUCAUGGAAAUCUCUUUCUCUUGCACAGCCAAGUAGUUUGGAAGUUCAUUUCAGGUAAUUUGCAGGUUUAGGAGGUUCUAGAAUUGAGUCAGAAUUUUGGCAAGCAACAUGGGGAGCAGUGGUCUUUUGUGUGUAGAAAUUGAGGAACGCAGUUGUUUUUAGACAACAGUUAGUGGACAGAAAGAAAUUGAUAGAGGAAGUUAAAUUCCUUAUCUGGUCAUGGUUACAUAAUCUGGAUUCUGGUUUUAAUUUUUCAUUUGUUCAAUGGUCAUCUAAUCCAGCAGUUUGCGUACAUGGAUGGUUUGGCAGGACAUUAUGUAUGUGGCAAGUAGCUGAGUGCAGGAAAUUCGAUAAAAAAUGUGCAGGAAAGGGUAUGUGUAGCAUUGUGGAAUCUGUCAGGUGGAAAUGCUAAUUAUGGAGGUGAGUUCAUUAAUCUAUUUUGCCACAUACAUGCGAAGAACUUGCACUGUGUUAUUAUUAAGAAAACUUCUCUGCAUGAUAUAUGGCUUUUGGCAGUGGGGUAACUUCCACAUGACUUUGUUUUGCAUAAUUUUAUCCAGCAAAGACAUGUUAUAGCUGGUUAGUGGUGGGAUACUAUACUAUGAGAGGAAAUGAGUGAAUUACAAUACUCUGGUAUGUUGUGGAGCUUUGAACGGUUAUUUUUUAUUUAUGCAAUCAUCGCCUAAAUAUAUUGUAACUGCUGUCAUGAGCUGAUAGGGAAGUUCUAUGAACUUUUUGUAUUUACCUCUGGUACCCUUCUUUAUUACAUAUAUAUAACUUUUGCUGAUUAAAAAAAUGUUUUUUCGAUUUCUUGCUGACACUGUAAAAGAUAGUCAUUGAAGUUUAUUGUUUGUAUACUAGAAAUGGUAUAUUUUAGUUGAAUAAAUCAGAAAUAAUAAUAAAACAGAUAAUGUGUUUUGAGGUGCAAUAAACAGGCUCAAAUCAUUAAUAAUAAUAUUAAGAAUAUGUUGCUAUAAAGAUCUGCUGCAAAUCUUGGGUAACGUAAAACCAUUUUUUUUUUUUAAAUUAACGGGUAUUGCUUUCUAACUCAAAUCAUUUUAGCACCAUAUACUGCUGCCUUUUGGUUGACAUGCAAAUGAGGCAAGCUGAAGAUGCCAUAUUUGAAAUAGAAACCACGGAUAAAGAACAUACAAAUAUAAGAUUGGCCUAGUGGUUAGGAAAGAAGGACUUAAGGGUGAAGGAAGAAAGGAGGGAAGAGAGGUCAUAAGUUUGAAUCUCCACACUGAUAUUUUUAACGAAACUAACAUUUGCCCAUACAAAAAAUCACAUAAAGAACAUUGUGUAAUCAACAUGCUAUGAUUUAGCACAUUCCAUGUUACAAUGUGUCUCACCCUUAUAUUAUUUCUAAAAGUUUCCAUAAAGACUACAAGAAAGCUACAAAGAAGGCAAAAGAAAGGUGCAUAUGCUAUACACCUUAACCUUAUAUUAAUGAUGCAUAAAAAGCAAUAUACCCUUCUCAAUGAGAUGUAGGAAUUAUACCCUGGUUGCGUACACUUGUUUUCUUGGACAUGGGAUAUGCAAGUGCAGAUCGUUGCUUGGUUAACCCUUCAAUGAUAAAAGAAAGUGCCCCAUAAGCAAUGCAGCUCUGUAGAAGUGAUUGGGGUGUACCUGGAGAAUCCUAAAGGAUGAGUCAUAAUAACAAUAAAAACGUACAAGAGAAGAAAAUUAAAUACAUAUUUUUCUUUUUGGUGAAUAAAUUACAUACAUAUAGAGAUAGACUUAUACAAAAGAAUUGAUUGAAAUGCCUGAGUCACUAAAGCAGCUUUUUGUUUUGUUUUGUUAGACCAUUCAACAUAGUAAUAAACCUCAACCUUUCCCCAGCCACCAAUUGGAGACAAAAUUGUCUCAAGUGUUUGGCAUGAAGGAUCAUGUUUAUUCAUAGAUUUCAACAAUGAAAGACAAAUUAAAAUUCAUACCUUUGAGAAAAAAGGUUUGGUCAAAAUAGGUAAGAUUACGGUGACCUUUAUCCUUAAUUUCAAUUGGUGCAGAGACCAACAAGUUACUAAAAAUUUCAAGUAAAGGAUGAUAGUUCAUCAAUUAUUAAAAGAAGGGAUAUACCAGGAAAACUUGUAGCAAGACCAGCGCAGCAUCCAGCUACCCCAGCAUUAAUGGCUGCAGAUGUGAAAGGAAUCACAUUAUCAGUGAGAGAACAUUAUAUUGGCGAGGCUUUUUUAAGUUGGCUUCUAACAUAUUUGGCUGAAUUAGAAGUUUGUUUGCCAAAUUAAACCUCUUUGCCAAAGGAACAUAUUUUUAUGAGUGUUUUUGUAACACUUUUCAUGUAGCAUCUGAACACUACCUUAUCAUAAUUCCUUCUUUCUUUUCAUUAAUAGUUUCCAACUAACUUUUUAGCUUCCAACUAACUUAUAUGUUAAGUUUUGUCAAACACAUCAUUGAAAUUAAAUAUUUUAUACCAUCAUCCUUUCCUCGAAGUCUUCCCAAUAUGCAGACAACCAAACUAUCAACUCCGGAUAAAAUUGCAAAUGUCUAAUGAAAACGAAGACAAAAAAUGAAGAUUAUUAAUGAAUGGACAUGUUCAAAUAGGUAUUAAGUUUGCAAAGUAAAAAGCCGGGCAGAAAAUAAACAACAUUGAUCUCUGGUAUACCUUAGCAUUAGAUCCUGCUUCUAUAAAGGAUCCUUUAAAGCCUUUCUUCUUAAUCAAUCCAGCACCUGAAAACAGACCCAUUGAAAGCAUCCUUGAGCACGAACAGAAAUAUCGACCAACUAUCAAACUCUAAGAAUUUGAAUUUCUUGAUCAUAAUCCUCUGCCAGCAUUUCGAAGAUAGCAUAGAUACACAAAUAUUACCUAUGAUUGAAUAAAGCAGAAAAUUUAGUUCAAAAUCCAUUUCUCUAGUUACUUGUUAGGAAAAUAUUAUAUAGAUUCAAAAUUUUAAGUGAUGUUACACACUCACUCCUCUCCAUCUUCACUCAAAGGUAAUAAAUAACUAAUAACAGAAAAGAUUUGAAGGUGAAAUUAUCUACCAAUAGAUUCCUCUUUAAGUUGUGUACAGGAUAUAAACAAAACGGCAUAUACUCCCAAAUUACAAAUUUCUCAGAGGAUGCUAUAAAUUCAAGAAAGAAAAAACAAUUUCAAAUUGCAAAUUCCGUGUAGCCUAUUUGAUUAAGAAUAAAUCUUAGAUUUAGUUGCAAUUAAUUAAGUGCCUUUAGAGUUAUUCUCCUGUCAGAAAUGGAGAUUUACUUUCUAAAUCUUUAAUACAAAUCUUUAUUAUGUGAAUUACAAGUGAAACUCCAAUUAUGAUUGAAAAACAACAUUAAAAGUACCUAAGGUACUGCUUCUAAGAAAUUUAAAAUACCAGAAACAAGAGAAUGACGAAGAAAAACAGAAAAAAUAAAUGGUAACAUCACAAAAAGUAAACAUAAAGCACAUGCAAGUCCAAGUCAGAGAGAGGACCAUAGCCGAAAAGGGAGCCGGUGAGGGCGCCACAAGCAGUGCUAGUGGCGGCAGGGAGAAGAAGGGAAGCCGUGAGCGACGGAGUAGAGGAAGGACCUACAGAUUUUGUAUGAUUGGGAGCAUUGUUCACAUCACUAACCGAAUUAACUGUUACAUCCGAUGCCAUCACUUUUGAGUUUUGACGAUGUGGUUACCCUGCUCUUGACUUGAAUUUAUUCCACACUAACAACAUUACCUCUUUCAACAAUAAACUAAUCAACACUGCUAUUCACAAUUAUUAAUUAGCUAAGUAAAUAUUUAGGAACACAAGGUCCUUCUCUGACUAUGUCAGUUAUGCAAUCCUCAUUGUUAUUAACGAUAAUCAAAUUCUUUGAAGUAUGAAAACAAAGUUCUGUAUAGAAACCAACGAAAUGGGAUAUUUUUUCUUCCUUUUUUAUUUUAAAAAAAAAUCUCGCAAAGUAUAUAGAGUAAACCAAGCAGAUACACAAGAUAUCACCAUUUUAGUCCUAACCAUGAUUUGCAGAUCCUAAAUGACGACGCAAAUCUGCUAAGAGGCAUCCACAAAGUGAAAACGUUGGCUUAUAUGAAUCACUGGCUUAUAUCAAUCGAAUUGAAUCAUAGUGUUAAAUGAAAGGGAAAGUGCAAGUGCAUGAGCUAGUCCUGGUGCAUUACCAUCAACUACAACUGUCCACUCUUGUUCACUCUUGCUUUAAAUGAUUAAUUUUAUUCCAUUGAAGCUCAAUAUUCAUUUCAAAUGAUGAUUACAUGCUCUUUAAAUGAAUUACUGCAUUAACUUUUGACCACAAAACAUAACCAACUAUGAGCGUGAAAGCACACAUCCAAUUACAUGUUAUCUACUCAUGCAUUAUACAGUACAAACCAAAAAAGCCUACUAUUUUCAACAAUGUUUUAGGUGUGAUUGGUUUGAGGGUGAAACCAACCGAAAUGUAUCAACUGUAAGCUUUUCUUGAGGUAAUAAUCAAUGAUUAUUUUGGCUCCAUAAACUACUCGUUUUCAUUGUGUUUGAUACAGGUACAGGGUAUGAAGAAGAAGGUACCGAGGAAGAAGAAGAUAAGAGUUCAGCUCAAAAGAAGAAUGAGGGGGUGCAGGGAGAAGAAAAGCCCAAAAGAAGGAUUACUAAACCCAGCUACUUAAAGGACUACGUUUAGAAAGAAUUACAUAGCAGCCUCACACACUCAGCCUCAUACUUAAUAGGAAAUUGUUAAGAGAAAUACAUAACCAAUUCUGUUAUUCUAUAUUCUAGAAUGAUUCCUACUUAGCCAGCUCAGCACUAUUCUGUUAGGAAACCAUCUAUAUAAUACCAUGUAAUAAUAAUUACGAGGCAAUGAGAAUAUUCAAGCAUUUCCUUACCUUCUUAUCUUCUCUUCUUAAGGAGGAUUCUGGACCUCGAAUUCCAGAGUUAUCAGUGUUCCUAUUGGUAUUGAAGCUAUUAGUUUCAGGCUAUAAUAAAUUGUAGUAGCUGAAUGCGAUUGUUAGGGAAACAAACCCUUUUAACUACAAUGAACAUCAAAGACAGAACACACUAACAACACCACCAUAAAAAAGAAAUAUGGGAAGAACACAUCAAAGGAUAAAAAACACUAACUGCAACUCCAUAAAAUAGAAAUAGUAGAACAACACAAAUUUAACAUUUUCAGUACUUCUUGCUUAUGUCCACAAAAAUAUCUUAAUAAAUAUUCAUUAUCUCAAAUAAGUUUGGUUUAGGCUUACUAAUAUGUUGGGCCCGGCCCUGAGGAAUGGUCAACCAACAUAAUAUAAUUAAGUCCAUGCAUUCUUAAAUUUUAAGGGACGUACAGGUAUGAUAUAUGCAUGGUGCGAUUCUUGACAGUGGGUGUCUCUCGCCGAUAAUGACAUAAUUACGUAGAUGAGGGGGUGAGUAUGUUGUGUUUGAUGGUUAGUCUUGCAUCUUCCUUUGUGUAUUUAUUCUUAUGUAGAUUAAGAUGUAAGGCGCAGUCAUUUGUUGGGUAAUGCUUUCUUUUGAGCCUUAGGGGUAGGCUAGUAGUUCUUUGCAUUCCAUGUACGGGCCAAUGCAGCCACUUGUAUUUGCACUGCUUGUGCUUCUAAUUAUUAUUAUUAUUAUAUAUAUAUAUAUAUAUAUAUUAUUUCGUCGAUAAAAAGAAAAACUUAUCGUGUGACCCUAAUAUCAAAUAAUCAAUACCAAUCCACAAAAAGAGAAAGAAAUAACCUACUAUAUAGAGUCAAACAAGUAGUAUAUAAUUUGAGUAGUUUCAUGAAAUCAUAAGUUUUAAAUGUUAAGUUUGUGUUCAUCUUCUUAAGCUAUGAUAAAUGAAAUUAUAUAUAUUGAAAUGGAUUUUAUUUAAAAAUAAAUAGAAUUUUAGAAAAACAAUGAGGUUUUUGUGAUUAAAUAAAUCAGGAGAAAUAAUUUUAUUAAUUAAAAUAAUGUUUGUAAGGUAAAUAAAAUAAAUAUAUGUCCUUAGAAAAUAAAAAGAUGUUUUAUUUAUUAAUUUCAUAUAAAUUAAAAUAGAAUUCCUUUUAAUAAAAUAAAUAUAUGCUCUUUUAAGACUUUAACAUAUUCUUUUUUUAUACACUAUUUUCUAUUAGUUGAAAUUAAUUAUUUUAUCUCCAUUUUUAUUUAUAAGACUUUUAAAAUGAUAUUUAUUCUAUUUUAUAAAACUCAAUGUAUAAUAUUUCGUAUUUAUUUAAAAAUUGGGUAGCGUGAUAUGGUAUGGAUACGGUGACAAAUAAUUAACAUUAACAAUGGCAAAUUCAGUGCUGGCAUACACGUUCAGCUUUGUCUGAAUCUAGCGCUGGUCAUAUCUAGCAUGUGUUUUUAAGACAAGUGGAUGAUACUUCAACUAGCGCUGUUCGUAUUAGUUGGUUCAACCAUAAUGGCAUAUUUCAAUACAUUGGAAUAAAUAACUACUUUAUAAAUUAACAAUACAUCCAACUUGCUGAAUCAAAGAAUAUUAAAUAUUAAUCAAUUGUCCUCCUCUUACUACGGACAUGGCUAUAUAUAAUGUUGAAGAGCAUCAAGUUUUGCACUCACAACAAACCAAAAAAACAGAGCUAGCUAGCUAGACUAAAAUGGCUGAAACUGCAGUGUCCUUGGCUGGUCAGCAUGCGCUUCCAAAAAUAUUGGAAGCUGUCAAAAUGCUGAGAGAUCUCCCAAAGGAAGUUAGAGACAUUACAGAUGAACUUGAAAGCUUUCAAGAUUUCAUCAAUGAUGCUGAUAAAGUGGCUGAAGCUGAACAAGAUGAUGGAAGGCGUCAUAGAAUAAAAGAAAGGGUGAUGCGGCUGAGAGAAGUAGCUUUUUGCAUGGAAGAUGUCAUUGAUGACUAUAACAUCUCCUGUGAGGAUAAGCAACCUGAUGAUCCUCGAUGUGCAGCUUUACUAUGUGAGGCUGUUGCCUUCAUCAAAACUCAAAUCCUUCUCCUUCAAAGUGCAUAUAAGAUUCAGGAUGUAAAAUCCCUUGUUCGUGCUGAAAGAGAUGCUUUCCAAAGCCAUUUUCCAUUAGAGCAAAGACCAACCAGUUCUAGAGGAAAUCAAGAUGGAAGAUGAGGUUGUGGGGCUUGAUGGCCCUAGAGGUAUAUUGAAAAAUUGGUUGACAAAGGGAAGAGAAAAACGCACUGUCAUAAAUUGGUUGACAAAGGGAAGAGAAAAACCACUCUUGCCAAGCAAGUUUAUGACCAGGUGCGUAACAAUUUCGAGUGCCAUGCGUUGAUCACAGUUUCUCAAUCCUUCUCUGCUGAAGGAUUGCUGAGGCAUAUGUUGAAUGAGCUUUGCAAAGAAAAAAAGGAGGACCCUCCCAAGGAUGUUUCUACCAUCGAGUCGUUGACAGAAGAAGUCAGAAACCGCUUGCACAACAAGAGGUAUGUUGUCUUGUUUGAUGACGUAUGGAAUGGAAAAUUUUGGGAUCACAUUGAAUCUGCUGUAAUUGAUAAUAAAAAUGGAAGUAGGAUAUUAAUCACAACCAGGGAUGAGAAGGUUGCAGAAUAUUGUAGGAAAUCAUCAUUUGUUGAGGUGCAUAAGCUAGAAAAACCUUUAACUGAAGAAGAAUCUUUGAAAUUGUUCUGUAAGAAGGCAUUUCAGUAUAGUUCCGAUGGAGAUUGUCCAGAAGAACUUAAAGAUAUAUCUCUUGAAAUUGUUAGAAAGUGUAAAGGUUUACCUCUAGCAAUAGUGGCCAUUGGUGGUCUUUUGUCUCAAAAAGAUGAAAGUGCACCUGAAUGGGGACAGUUUAGUCGAGAUCUAAGUUUAGACUUGGAGAGGAAUUCUGAGUUAAAUAGUAUAACAAAAAUUUUAGGUUUAAGUUAUGAUGAUUUGCCGAUCAAUCUCAGAUCAUGUUUAUUGUAUUUCGGAAUGUAUCCGGAGGACUAUGAAGUUACAUCUGAUAGAUUGAUUAGACAGUGGAUAGCUGAAGGGUUUGUCAAACAUGAAACCGGAAAAACAUUGGAAGAAGUUGGGCAACAAUAUUUAUCAGGGUUGGUCCGUAGAAGUUUGGUGCAAGUAUCCUCAUUUAGAAUUGAUGGCAAAGUUAAAAGGUGUCAUGUUCAUGACUUAAUACACGACAUGAUCCUUAGAAAAGUCAAGGAUACAGGAUUUUGUCAGUAUAUUGACGGGCCUGAUCAAUCUGUAUCAAGUAAGAUUGUUCGACGCCUGACAAUUGCAACCGAUGAUUUUAGUGGAAGUAUAGGAAGCUCACCCAUUCGGUCAAUUCUUAUCAUGACAGGAAAGUAUGAAAAAUUAUCUCAAGACUUGGUAAACAAAUUCCCUACAAAUUACAUGGUACUGAAGGUACUUGAUUUUGAAGGUUCUGGUUUACGUUAUGUUCCUGAAAAUUUGGGGAAUUUAUGCUACUUGAAGUAUUUAAGCUUCCGGUAUACAUGGAUAACAAGUCUACCAAAAUCCAUUGGCAAGCUCCAGAAUUUGGAGACCUUGGAUAUAAGAGACACAAGGGUGUCUAAGAUGCCAGAGGAGAUUCGUAAGCUUACUAAGCUACGUCAGCUUCUGUCUUAUUAUACGGGUUUAAUUCAAUGGAAGGAUAUUGGAGGCAUGACAUCCCUACAAGAGAUACCUCCAGUGAUUAUAGAUGAUGAUGGAGUGGUCAUUGGAGAGGUAGGAAAGCUAAAGCAGUUAAGGGAACUGUUGGUGGUAAAAUUUAGGGGAAAACACGAAAAGACUUUGUGUUCCGUAAUAAAUGAGAUGCCACUCUUGGAGAAACUACAUAUUUAUACAGCUGAUUGGAGUGAAGUAAUUGACUUGUACAUUACGUCACCUAUGUCUACACUUAGGCAGCUUGUCCUAUGGGGGACGUUAACAAGGUUGCCAAAUUGGAUUUUACAGUUCCCAAAUCUUGUGCAACUGUCUUUGGUGGGCUCCAAGUUGACUAAUGAUGCAUUCAAUUCACUAAAAAAUAUGCCAAGGUUGUUGUUCCUGGAUUUAAGUUACAAUGCUUAUGAAGGUGAAACUUUGAAUUUUCAAGGUGGAGGGUUUCAGAAACUAAAGCGACUGCAACUCAGAUAUUUGGAUCAAUUGAAGUGCAUCCUUAUCGACAGAGGAGCACUGUGUUCUGUGGAAGAAAUUGUUUUACAAGACCUCUCCCAACUCAAAACAGUUCCCUCGGGAAUUCAACACUUGGAGAAGCUUAAAGAUCUCUAUAUCAACUACAUGCCAACUGAAUUGGUGCAGCGCAUUGCUCCUGAUGGAGGAGAAGACCACUGGAUCAUCCAAGAUUUGCCCCAUGUACGUAUUUGGAGCAGGGGUGCUGAAGAACCUUCGCAUAUAUUCGGCAGAAGUCAUCACUAAGAUGCGUCCAAAUUUGAAAAUUGAAGGUGCCUCUUUUUCACAUCUAUAACUUUGUAGAAUGACAUUCGUGGCCUUUUUCUUUUCUUCAAUAAAAAAUGCAACCAUUAUCUAAUUCCUAAAAGAAUUACUUUUGCCUCAUUCUCUCUUCUAGUAUUUGCUUCAUUUUUCUUUCUCUACAACAUCUCACGUACAAGUUAGGGAUAGAAUUGUCUAACAAGUAUAGGCCUACACCAACCAAAGUUAACGUUUCUUCAUUAUAAGAUUCUCACCAUUAUAAUCCUUUCUAUUAUUGUGCUCAGAAUUGGUAGAUGUUGACCUCAACUGGAUUGAGUUUUUUAUUUCCAUGUUGAUAAAUACUUGAAAAUUUUCAUUGUAUCAUUUUAAGAAGAAAUUAACUUGGUGUUUUUAUAGGGUCGUAAGCAUAUACUUCGUGUAAAUGUUGUGGGUUUUUAAAGUUUCAUUAUGAUUAAAGUCCAAUAAUGUGGAUUUUUUUCAUAAAUUAGAUUGUGUUAAAUGUUUCUAAUUUUGAUGCUUUGAAGUUUGACCCACUUUGUACAAUCAUGAAUUUAGGAAAGCACUGAGGGAAGAUUGUAAGAGGUGUUCCAAAUUCAAUGUUUCCGACGUUCCAAUCAUGUGGUUUUUGAGUGUUAAUUAUUACGUCCAUUUUAGCGUUAUUAACACCAACACAAUAUGAAGAAGCUAAAAAUAGUGUUCCUACAAAGGCAGACAAUUUUUGACAACGGGAAAACUCAAGAUUCCCUCAAGUUCUUUCUUUUCCAGCUUGUGAAAUGGUGGAUGCAUGAGUGGAUUUGAGGCAUCAAAUUGAUUUUUUAAGCUUCCUUCUUCUCUUUCUCUUGUUUCCCUUUUUUUCUAAAAUGUGUACUCAAAUUUUUGUUAACUUGAUGUAAUUUGAAUUCUUAUCUAUAAUUCAAGUUCAUUUCUUUUAAAUUGAUUGUUUGUCUUUGUUUUAAUUUAAUGCCUUUAUAAAUUGGCAUUUGGUUACUUAUAGUACCUUGAUCGCAUAUUCUUAUCUACAACUGUGAAAUUGAAAUAAAGAUUGAAUUUAAGGUAUAAUGCAACAAGAUUGGAUAUUCUAUAGUAAUAAAUAUCAACAAUUACGCUAAUUUAGGGUGUGUUUGAUUUGUAUUUUCAUUUUCUGUUUUCAUUUUCUGAAAAUUAUUUUCAUUUCCAAAAGAUUAGAAUUCUGAAAAUAUGUUUUGUUUGACUUCUUGUUUUCUGUUUUUAGGAAAUUAAAACACUGAAAAUUUAUGAUAUAUUGACUUCUUGUCUUUUUUUAUUUUUAGAUUUACUUAAAAUUACAUUUAUUGUCAUCACAUUUUUAUUUUACCCAAAAUGAGGUUCCUGUUUAUAACUGAAAACGAAAUUUUAUUGUUUUCAUUUUCUGGUUUUUUUUCUGUUUUUAUUUUCACUGGAAACGUUUUAAAAAAUUCAACCAAACACAUUUUCAUCACCAUUUUCUGUUUUCAGUGAAAAUGAAAACAGAAAACAGUCAAACCAAACACCCCCUUAGAUAUUCUUGAACCUAAUGAUUACCCUAAUUGAGAAAUUCUAAAGAUUUAGAAUUUUCAAUUGCGGAAGAGUUUUUGAAUUAAGAUAUAUUCACCUUCAAUUACAAUAGUAAAUAAUAAAUUCAGUUUCCAAUAUGCUUCUAGAACUUGAAUUGGAGUGAAAAUUUGGGUUGUACAUGUUAAGCUUGGGGUGACCUCGUACGAUAACAAGACAUGUUAGAUCCUCUUAGCAUAGUGCUUCAGCAAUUUUGGUACCCAAACUUUUAUGUUCAGGUUUGAUCCCAUAUUUUUCAAAAAAAAAAAUAAUGGUUGAAUAUAUGUUAUUAAAAUCAAUUUAUAUAUCACUUAUAUGGAGUAAGAUAAAUUUUUCAAGGCUUAAUUUUAUCUUUUUGUCUCAUUCAUUAUUUAUUUUAUUUAAUUUUAUCCUCCUAAUAAUAAAAUCGUUAAUUUGAUUGCUUAAUUUCAAAUCGAUUCAAUUUGGUCUCUUUGCUCCAAAUUCACUUGACGUUGUUUAUUAAUUGUGGGAUGGGAUUGAAUCAAAUAAAGGAACAAAUUAAAUUGUUUAUUAAAAUUGAAAAAAAAAAUGAAAAAACAGUGAGAACAAGAAGUUUAUUAAGGGGUCAAAUUGCACCGUUUUGAAAAUUAAAGUACUAAAUUAAAUUUUUUAUUAAUAAAGGACCAAUGCUAAAUAAAUAAAUAGCACGACAAAAAAGUAGGAUUUUUUUUUUACUCAGAAAAUUUGAAAAUUUUAUUGAAUUCUAAAAUAUUCAAUUAACUUGCCUAGUUUUUUGUUUAUUCACUCUCUUUUUUUCCUUUUAAUCCUUGAUGUUUGAAAACUUCAAAAUUAUUUUUGAUCACAAACAUAUUUUAACUCUCAUAAAACAACAAAACAAUGUUUUCUAAAAUGGGACAGUUAUCAGUUAUUGAUAAAUCACUUUCUGAGUGAUAUUUUGUACAAACUUUUGUAUUAUUUUAUAUGCAUUUUUUUGAUACAAUUCACAUUUGAACAUUAGUUUUGUAUUCGAGAAGUAUAACUACUCAAUUGAGUGAAAGAGUAGAAAAUUGUACAAAUUUAUGAAGAUUUAAGAACUUUACAUAACUUGAUUACUAUUGUGGUACAUUGAUUACGAUCGUGAUAAUCAACAUGAUCACAAUAAAGUGAUAACAGUCAUCCCUAAUGUUUUUAUAAUAAAAAUGUGAUAUUGAUUUAAAUGUUUAUUUAAUCUCACAAAAAUCAUUUAAAGAAAUAGUUAGACCUAAAAUCAAAAUAUAAAUAUAAUAACACCAAAAAUAAAAAUUUAAACACAUGAAUUUUUAAUAAUUAUAAAUAUAGAUUUACCUUAUGUCUUGUCGAUCUAAAAGAGUUAAAUUCACUGUAACUUUUAUUGGUACAACUAACACUACUUACAAUUACAAUAAACAUUGUUUUAUCACAUUUACACAUUAGGAAGAUCAGAAAUUCAGUUGAUGUUGUAGUAGGACAAAAAUAAGGAGACAAAAUCACUAACGUGUUCACAAAAAUAUUUAGAAUUAGCUAAGGCUUUAGUUUUUAAAUUUUUUUAAAUUUGAUUUUAAUCACUAAAUUCUUUUUUGACUAGUCAAAGUUUUUUAACUUUUAGAAAUUUUAAUUUUUAGUUCUUGAAUAAAAAAUUAAAUCUAUUAUUUUUAUUAAUUUAAUGAGUUUUUAAUAAUUAUAAAUCGAUUUUUUAAAAGUUUAGAAAUUAAAAAUCUUAAUGAAAAAAAGUCGAGAGACAUUGACCCGUCAAAUAAAAAUGUAAGAACUAAAAAUCUUGAUAAAAAAAUUGAAAGAUCUUGAUGAAUAGAAAAAAAAUUUAAAAAUUAAAAACUAAAUUUUGAAAAAGUUUAGUAAUAAUUAGCCCAAAUAUUUAAGAGAGAUGCUGGAAUCUCAAAGUCUUCCUAUCAAGUCUCAAGGUAGACGUUGCACUAACGUUUUUGUAAACACUAGCGUGGAUAAAAAAAUAUGAUGUCAAUUUGAUGUAGAUAAAAGUAUGUCGUAAUAAAAAAAUCGUAUUAAGUGUAUAUAUCAUUUUUUAAAUUAUUAUUAUAAAAGUUGAUAAUUAAAUUUAUUAUAUAUAUAUACCAUUUAUGAUUAGAUGAGAGAGUAAAGUCUUAUAUUUUCGCAUUAACUAUAUCUUGCUUCUACAAAACAUUUAUUCUUAGCCAAUUUAUCACCAGAAGACUCUUUGUAAGCAUCUUUUAGUAGUAUUAAACUCUCUAGGAAAAUCUUCAUCCAGUAUUUUAAUGACAACUAGGUGAUCCUUGAUCCUGCGAAAAAAUAGGAAAGCAAAUUUUGUUCUUCUAAAUUAAAGACCAACGAAAUAGAUCAAAAAUUUCCAUUUUUGAAAGAAAAAAGAGAGUAAAUUUUAAAGCUUAGAGUAAAACCAUAUGGAAUGAUAAGAAGGAUACACCAGCCUGUAUAUAGCUUUUGAAAGUAAAUAGAAUAGCUUAAUUACCCUCUUUCACCAAUGGUUAACCUAGUUAAAAAAAAAAAACUGUUCCUGUGGAUCAGCAUUUAAUUUCUUACUCAUCAUAUAAUAUAUUAUUAUUGCCAGCAUCGAUUAGAUCAAAUCAGAUGGCUGACCUAUUCAACGACAAUUCAUCAUCUCGGACCAGUUUAAAGAUCAAUCCUCAAAAUGAUGAAUUGUGUAAAUUAUUGGCGCAAACUAAAACACUAGAGCCAAAUGAAUAAUUAAAAUAAUAUAUAUAUAUAUAUAUAUAUAUAUAUAUAUAUAUAUAUAUAUAUAUAUAUAUAUAUAUAUAUAUAUACCUGCAAGGUAAAUACUUUGACAAGUGUAAGAUAUUUUAUUUAAAUUUUAUCCGUACAAUAACACUGACAAAUACAUCUGACAUUGUUUAAUUAAUCACAUUUAUAUACAAUUAACUAGAUAGCAAAUUCACAACUUGCUAUAGCACGACAAAAAUAAAGGGAAAAAUAUCACAACUUGUUCAUAGUAUAUUUAAGAUAGAUGAUGCUGAAAAGUUCAAAGUCUUCCUCUCGACAGAUGUGAUAAAAUUUUUAUAUAACACUUAUGGGUACAAAAUAUAUAACACUAAUAUGCUAUAGAUAAAGGAGAUGUAUUCGAGAAAACCUGAUCGCCAUAAAAGUUAAUCAUAUCUGUAUAAUUAUGCAUAGAUUAUUAUUUUACUUAAAAUUAAUUUUAUAUUUAUUGUAUUUGUACAAUUAAGAUUAAUUAAUCGUGCGUGAGACUAACAAGAGUUGACACAUUUGAUGGAGACUUUUGUCCACACUUGCUAUAACUUGACAGUCUUCCUUGACUUUACAAGAGGUGGCAUGGCUUCCCCUAUUGUAAUUUUUCACCUCAAAAAUAGGAUGAAUAGUACGUGAGAACAUCAUCUUACCUGGAUAUAAAAAGGGCAAUAUGAAAAUAUACAAGAUAUUAUAAUAAAGUUUGUGUCAAUGUGUGUCAUCGCGUGUGGCUAACAUGAAAUCAAUACAUUGAUCGAAUGGAGAAAGAAAGAUCAUAAUCAUAAUAAGAAAAAUAUUAGAGCAUGUUCUUUUAAGACUUUAACAUGGUCUUUUUUACACACUGUUUUCUAUUAGUUGAAAUUGAUUAUUCCUUUCCUGUUCCUAUUUAUAAGACUUUUAAAAUAAUGCUUAUUCUUUUUUUAUAAAAUUUAAUUUAUAAUAUUUCUUACACUCAAUUAUUUUUAAAAUAAAUAUGCAUCAUUAAAAAAAUAACAAAUAUAUCAAUAAACCAUUAGACGAGAGAAAAUUUUAAUGACAAAAAUAAUUUUAAAAAAUAUUAUAAAUGUAAGACAAACUUAUUAUUAUGAAUUAAAUUAGUCACUUUCUUUAAUCAUAAUGAAUUAGGUAAUUGCAUGGAGGGACUAAAAAUCAUAAAAUUGAAUGGAUUUCAUCAGUUCUUAUUUAAAGGACCUUACUCAUGAUUUUUCAUUUUUAACAAAUUUCAAUCAAUAAGAAAGUGUGCUAGAAAGUGUAAUGCCAACACUCAAAACUUUGUGUUGUAAUACUAAUUUAAUGUGGUUAACUAAUUUUCUUAAUUAGAACAAAUGAGUAUUUUCUUUGGUAAAUGCCAACUAGUAUCCUUAACACAUUAGGUAAAGAACUUAAAGUAGAAAUAUUUUAAUGGAAGAUAGAAAAUUACGUUGCUCAUGAUUUUUUUGAAUUCUCUUAAUCUUUACAGUGAAUAUUUUCUUCUUUUAGUUUCUUAACUAGUGUUCUUUUCUUCUUUUAGUUUCUUAACUAGUGCUCUCAGGGCACAAGUUUAGCAAGACCAUUUUUCUUAUAUUUGAGAUCCAACAGAGUAUGAACUUUACAGGUUUUUGUGCAAUUGGUCCGAAUUUAGGUUAAAUUAAGAUUAAAUCCUAAUGAGUCAUGUUGAAUAUAUUAUAUAUUGGUUAUAUUUGAUUUUUUUUAAAAUAAAUCAUUCUAUUGUCAUUUAAAAUUUUUAUCUCCAUUGAGUGUUGAUUUUUUAUUAUCUAAAACUGUAAGCAAAUGAAUAUAUUAGAGAAUCAAACAAACUGUAAUUGGAUAUUCAUAUUUGAAGUAAAAAAAAAAAAAAGAGAGAGAGAACUAAUCAAUCAAACCAAUUUGAAUCAAAAUAAUUGAUUUGAUUUAGAUUGUGAGUUUAUCAAGUCAAUUUGAUCAAUGCUCCUAAAAUAAAGAAAACAAGUGAAAAAAAGAGGGAAAAGAAGUUUAAAAUGACCCAAUUUGUUAGAUUUUCUUUUCCGUUUGUUACUAUAUUAUAGGUGUAAAAGUAAUCUAUCAACUUUGUCAAUCAAUAUUUCCGUUAGAGAAUGUGACUCGUACACCAUUAGUGAUUGUUUGUUCCUCCGUUUUCUCGGAAAAUAAACAAAGCUUGAAAGAUUGGCCGCUUGAAUUGAUAUUGCACUGUAUCUGUUUAACAAGUGGUACUUUAAACAUUAAACUGUUUUUUUAUGAUAUAUUCACAAACAUAUUUGUCUUUUUUAUUCGUUUAAACUUUGUAGUUGCAGAGUUCAGAUGUAUAUUGUUAAGCAAAUAAGCUGGUAACGGAAGCAUGAGCCUAAAGCUACAGAGCCAAUAGAACAAGCAAACAUUAAUUUAUUCCUAACAGGCAAUUAAGUUGACAAGCAGGGCCGUUUAAUUUUGUUGGUAAAACUAAUACCGACAAACAUCAUUAUUUGAAUCGAAUAAUUAGUUUUCAUACUUAUUUAAAAACUGGGUAGCGUGAUAUGGUAUGGAUACGGUAACAAUUAAACAAUUAACAUUAGCAAUGGCAAAUUCAGUGCUGGCAUGCACGUUGUGUCUGAAACUAGGGCGGGUCAUAUCUAGCAUGUGUUUUUAGAAGGAUUCCACGGAUUUGUUUCAAGGUCCCGCAAUUGAGAAAACUGCUAUCUUCCAAGCAAACUCGUUUGAUUCGAUCUAGACUAAGUUAACACAAGUUUAGUCUGCGUGUCUACUGAGUCUUGUCUCAAUAUGCUAAAAAUGAAUUUAAAUACUAUUAAUUUAACCCGCAUGAAUCAAAUAGACUAUUAAACUCAUAUGAAUAGUACGUGAAAAUAGACUUGUGAGUUAACAGAGUUUAGUUUGAGUGUCUAGUGAGUCUUGUCUCAAUAUGCUAAAAAUGAGUUUGAAUACUAUUUAACCCGCAUAAAUCAAAUAAACUAUUAAACUCACAUGAAUAGUAACUGAAAAUAUCAUCUUACAUACCACUGGUUAUAAAAAAGGUAAUAUGAAUAAUAUGUGAGAACAUCAUUUUACAUACUUAUUGGAUAUAAAAAAUAGCAAUAUGAAAAUAUACAAGAUAUUAUAAUAAAGUUUGUGACUAUGUGUGUCAUCGUGUGUGACUAACAUGCAAUCCAUCCAUUGAUCGAAUGAAGAAAAAAAAAUCAUAAUCAUAAUAAGAGAAAUAUUGACAGCGUGCUCUUUUAAGACUUUUAAAAUGAUUUUUUUUUAUAAAGCUCAAUUUACAAUGUUUUUUAGAUUAAUUAUUUUUAAACUAAAAAUAUUCAUCAUUAAAAGAAUUAAGAAAAAGAAUGUAUUUACAAAUCAGCCUUAUUCAUGAUUUUUUUUUAGUUUUAACAAAUUUCAACCAAUAAGAAAGUAUGCUAGAAAUGGCCAACAGUCAAAACUUUGUGUGGUAAUACUAAUUUUAAGGGCUAACCAUAAUUAGGUUUUCUUUAUGAGAGAAAAGUAAUACUUCCUUUAUAAGCUAAAAUUUAUUUUUUUAGUUUCAAAUAUAAGAAAUUUUCAAGUAAAUUUACUUUAUUUAAUGUUAUUAUCUCUAAAAUAUCCUUCAUUUAAUUGAGGUUUUUUUCAAUGAUUUUUUAUGUUUAAUAUGAAGUUUCAAUGAAGGAUAUGUUGAGAAAAAAAUAAUUUUUAAUUAAGAUUGAUGAAUUAAAUGUUAUUAAUUAACUUUCUUGGUUAGUACAAAAAAAUAUUUUGAGACCGAAGGGAGGGAGUAUGAAUUUUACAAGUUUUUGUGCAAUUGGUCAAAAUUUAGAGGAAAUUAAAAUUAAAUCCUAACCAGUCAUAUCCAAUUAUAUAUUGGUUAUAUUUGAAAUUUAAAAAAAAUAAAUCAAUCUAUUUUCUUUUAAGUUUUUAUCUUCACUAAGUGUUGAUUUUUAUGAUUUUAAACUUUAUGUUAAUGCAAGGCAAAAAAAGACAAAUUAGAGAAUCAAACAAAUUGUAAUUUUUUAAAGCAAAAGAAUAUAGUAGAGAAUCAAACAAACUGUAAUUGGAUAUUCAAAUUUGAAGUAAAAAAAACUAAUUAAUCGAACUAAUUUGAAUCAAAAUAAUUGGUUUUAUUUAGAAUGUUGAGUUUAUGAUCAAGUCAAUUUGAUCAAUGCUCCUAAAAUGAAGAAAAUAAAUGAAAAAUAAGAGUAAAAAAGAAGUAUAAAAUGACCUAAUUUCUUAGGUUGUUUAUGUUAUUAUAUUAUAGAUGCAAAGUAAUCUAUCAGUUUUACCAACAAAUAAUUUCUAUUAGAGAAUCUGAUUUGUUCAUCUUUAGUGAUUUUUUAUGAGAGAAAAAAUUAAAAAAAGAAUCUUUAUUUUAUAUUUAAUUAUGUAGAAAAUUUUAAAAAAAGUUAUAUAUACUCAAAAUAAGAAGUAUAUAUACUAAAAAGGAUAGUUUUAUAUCGUCCUUCUUGCAUGUUCCCUCCGUUUUCUAGGAAAAUAAACAAAGCUUGAAAGUUAGCCCGCUUGAAUUGAUAUUGCACUGUAGCUGAUUAACAAGUUGUACUUUAAACAUUAAAAUAAGAAGUAUAUUCACAGAUAUUGUCUUUUCUGUUCGUUUAAACUUUAAACAUUAAAAUGAGAAGUAUAUCAUAAAAUUGAAAAGAAGAUUCAUAAAUCUGAAUCUUAAAGUUUUAAAUUAAAAUGUGUUGUAAAGUUUUUUUAUUUGAUUUUUUAUGGUUCAUUCCUGUAAAUCUUCAAUUAUGUGAUAGCGUGAUAUGGUAUGGAUACAAUGACAAACAAUUGACAUUAACGAUGGCAAAUUCAGUGCUGACAUCCAACUGUUAUAUCUAGCAUGUGUUUAUAGGACAAGUGGAUGAUACUUUAACUUCCACAUGCCAACUAUUAUGACUUCGUAUUAAUUGGAAUAAAUAACUACUUUAUAAAUUAGCAAUACAUCCAACUUGCUGAAUAAAAUAAUAUUAAAUAUUAAUCAAUUGUCCCCCUCUUACUACGGACAUGGCUAUAUACGUUCAAGAACAUCAAGUUUUGCAAUCACAACAAACCAAAAAGCAGAGCUAACUAGCUAGACUAAAAUGGCAGAAACUGCAGUGUCCUUGGCUGGUAAGCAUGCCCUUCCAAAAAUAUUGGAAGCUAUCAAAAUGGUGAGAGAUCUCCCAAAAGAAGUUAGAGACAUUACAGAUGAACUUGAAAGGUUUCAAGAUUUCAUUAAUGAUGCUGACAAAGUGGCUGAAGCUGAACAAGAUGAUGGAAGGCGUCAUAGAAUAAAAGAAAGGGUGAUGCGGCUGAGAGAAGCAGCUUUCCGCAUGGAAGAUGUCAUCGAUGAAUAUAACAUCUCCUGUGAGGAUAAGCAACCUGAUGAUCCUCGAUGUGCAGCUUUACUAUGUGAGGCUGUUGACUUCAUCAAAACUCAAAUCCUUCGCCUUCAAAGUGCGUACAAGAUUCAGGAUGUUAAAUCGCUUGUUCGUGCUGAAAGAGAUGGUUUCCAAAGCCAUUUUCCUUUAGAACCAAGACUAACAAGUUCUAGAGGAAAUCAAGAUGUCACCUGGAAGAAACUUCGAAUGGAUCCUCUCUUUAUCGAGGAAAAUGAUGUUGUGGGGCUUGAUGGCCCUAGAGAUACAUUGAAAAAUUGGUUGACAAAGGGAAGAGAAAAACGCACUGUCAUCUCUGUGGUGGGAAUUCCUGGGGUGUGAAAAACCACUGUUGCCAAGCAAGUUUAUGACCAGGUGCGUAACAAUUUCGACUACUAUGCAUUGAUCACAGUGUCUCAAUCCUACUCUGCAGAAGGACUACUGAGGCGUUUGUUGGAUGAGCUUUGCAAAGUUAAAAAGGAGGACCCUCCCAAGGGUGUUUCUAACAUGGAGUCGUUGACCGAAGAAGUCAGAAACCGCUUGCGCAACAAGAGGUAUGUUGUCUUGUUUGAUGACGUAUGGAAUGAAACAUUUUGGGAUCACAUUGAAUCUGCUGUAAUUGAUAAUAAAAAUGGAAGUAGGAUUUUAAUCACAACCAGGGAUGUGAAGGUUGCUGGAUAUUGUAAGAAAUCAUCAUUUGUUGAGGUGCUUAAGCUAGAAGAACCUUUAACUGAAGAAGAAUCAUUGAAAUUGUUUUCUAAGAAGGCAUUUCAGUAUAGUUCCGAUGGAGAUUGUCCAGAAGAACUUAAAGAUAUGUCUCUUGAAAUUGUUAGAAAGUGUAAAGGUUUACCUCUAGCAAUUGUUGCCAUUGGUUGUCUUUUGUCUCAAAAAGAUGAAAGUGCACCCGAAUGGAAACAGUUUAGUGAAAAUCUUUGUUUAGACCAGUUGGAGAGGAAUUCUGAGUUAAAUAGUAUAACAAAAAUUUUAGGUCUAAGUUAUGAUGAUUUGCCGAUCAAUCUCAGAUCAUGUUUGUUGUAUUUCGGAAUGUAUCCGGAGGACUAUGAAAUUAAAUCUGAUAGAUUGAUUAGACAGUGGAUAGCUGAAGGGUUUGUCAAACAUGAAACCGGAAAAACAUUAGAAGAAGUUGGGCAACAAUAUUUAUCAGGGUUGGUCCGUAGAAGCUUGGUGCAAGUAUCCUCAUUUAAAAUUCAUGGCAAAGUUAAUAGGUGUCGUGUUCAUGACUUAAUACACGACAUGAUCCUUAGAAAAGUUAAGGAUACAGGGUUUUGUCAGUAUAUUGACGGGCGUGAUCAAUCUGUAUCAAGUAAGAUUGUUCGACGCCUGACAAUUGCAACCCAUGAUUUUAGUGGAAGUACAGGAAGCUCACCCAUUCGGUCAUUUUUUAUUAGCACAGGAGAAGAUGAAGUAUCUCAACACUUAGUAAACAAAAUCCCUACCAAUUACUUGCUAUUGAAGGUACUAGAUUUUGAAGGUUUUGGUUUACGUUAUGUUCCUGAAAAUUUGGGGAAUUUAUGCCACUUGAAGUAUUUAAGCUUCCGGUUUACAGGGAUAAAAAGUCUACCAAAAUCCAUUGGCAAGCUCCAGAAUUUAGAGACCUUGGAUAUAAGAGACACAAGUGUGUAUAAGAUGCCAGAGGAGAUUCGUAAGCUUACUAAGCUACGUCAUCUUCUGUCUUAUUAUAUGGGUUUAAUUCAAUUGAAGGAUAUUGGAGGCAUGACAUCCCUACAAGAGAUACCUCCAGUGAUUAUAGAAGAUGAUGGAGUGGUGGUCAUUAGAGAGGUAGGAAAGCUAAAGCAGUUAAGGGAACUGUGGGUGGUACAAUUAAGUGGAAAACACGAAAAGACUUUGUGUUCCGUAAUAAAUGAGAUGCCACACUUGGAGAAACUACGUAUUCGUACAGCUGAUGAGAGUGAAGUAAUUGACUUGUACAUUACGUCACCUAUGUCUACACUUAGGAAGCUUGACCUAAGUGGGACGUUAACAAGGUUUCCAAAUUGGAUUUCACAGUUCCCAAAUCUUGUGCAUCUGCAUUUGUGGGGCUCCAGGUUGACUAAUGAUGCAUUGAAUUCACUAAAAAAUAUGCCAAGGUUGUUGUUCCUCGAUUUAAGUUACAAUGCUUAUGAAGGUGAAACUUUGCAUUUUCAAUGUGGAGGGUUUCAGAAGAAGAAGAAGAAGACACAGAGGUAAGAAAAGGGAAAUAUCAUUUUCUCAUUCAUCCCCUUGCUUGUUAUUUACAUGGAUAUAUAUAGCAUUCCUCUUAACAAAUCUGUGCUAUUCUGCUCAAGGAAUAUUACAUCAUAACAGAAUUUGUUAUGCACGAAUCAAGCAAGAUUUUCCUAAUUACUGUAUUGCCCAUACUGCCCUCUGCUUCAAACAAAAUCACGAAGGUAUGAUGGCCCUGCUAUCCUUCUCGUGGACCUUUCUUUUUACACCUCUGGUUUGCUGAUUGUUACCAUUGCCUUCUCUGUUCCAGCUUCCUUGUUGCCUAUUUCUGGUAUCCUAUCAUUUCCCGCCCUCAUCAAAAACACCUUGUCCUCAAGGUGUUGGGCGUUCAAACUACAGCUUCCAAAAGCAAUACCGGGGUCCCAAGGUUCAUUCCGACGAACCUGCAAUUCCACUAAGUAUCCGUGAGGAAGGAACAUCACGCGAAAAAGAGUUGGAGCAGUCCAACAAGGUAAGCUCAGAGAGAUCAAUAGUGGAGGCUGGAAGAAGGUGUGGGGACUUCUCCCAACAACAAGGAGGACCUCUCGAAUGCCGGAGAGAAGGCCGGCAAGGCGCAAAAUUCCCGGUGUGAAAUCUCCCGAUAAGGAUUUCAGACCAAUUUGGGCCGGGUCCGGUUUGGGUGUGGGGUGUGCGGCCGGGUCGUGUGUGGGUUUUGGCCUUGGGUCAGGGGUGGGUUUUGGAUCUGGGUCAGGUAUGGGUUUUGGGUCAAGUCCUGUGGAUCCGGGUGUGGGUAGUUGCGGGUCAGGGUGCUUUAUAUUAGGACCCAAUGGGUCUGUGGGUUCCUCAUUCACUACGAUGAAGGGAAGAACCCUAGAGACCUCGCGACGGCCGCCAUGGAGCUUCUCCUCGCCUGUGAGGCACAGCCCGUGCUCAUGGCGCGAGGCUAACUCCUCCGGGGUGAGGCAGCUAAUGGUCGGGGCCUGUGGGGGUCGCGGCGGGGAUGGCAGCAAAGGGGGCAAGGUUGCGAUGUGAGGAGGAACCAAAGGGGCGGACGGUGGAGCUACCAGAGGUGGGGUUCGCGGCCGCGAAGACGUUUGCUGCUCCAGGAGCUUCGCGAGGCCGGCGGCCUGGUCCACAGUCGUAGGCUGAUGGGCCUGAACUGUACGGCGGAUCUCCGGUUGCAAACCUGAGAUGAAGCAAGGCAACAGGAAGGUGCCUGGCAAGCCGAUAAUUCUACUGGCUAAGGCUUCAAACUCCAGUAGGUAUGUGAGCACUGACCCCGUCUGAGUGAGUUUGAACAGGGCACCGACAGGGUCCUCAAAUGGAGAUGGUGCAAACCAGGGUGUUGCAGGAGCAAAAGUGGCUUGAUGAGGAACCGGUGGGGAUUUGGAUGUGGGGGGGAAAGGCACAGGAGCAUGGCGGGUGAAAAAUGGGUUCAGGUGGCGGUUCAUGGAGUGCAUGGCGUCGUCCAGACGAGCAAGGGCCUCGUCGAGGUUGCGGGAGGCCAUGAGGAACAAUGAUGAAAGCACCAAUUGUUAGGGUAUGAACCCUAAAGCUGGCUUCGAGGGCAGCAAACCUCCAGCAAGAAGAAGAAGACACAGAGGUAAGAAAAGGGAAAUAUCAUUUUCUCAUUCAUGCCCCUUGCUUGUUAUUUACAUGGAUAUAUAUAGCAUUCCUCUUAACAAAUCUGUGCUAUUCUGCUCAAGGAAUAUUACAUCAUAACAGAAUUUGUUAUGCACGAAUCAAGCAAGAUUUUCCUAAUUACUGUAUUGCCCAUACUGCCCUCUGCUUCAAACAAAAUCACGAAGGUAUGAUGGCCCUGCUAUCCUUCUCUUGGACCUUUCUUUUUACACCUCUGGUUUGCUGAUUGUUACCAUUGCCUUCUCUGUUCCAGCUUCCUUGUUGCCUAUUUCUGGUAUCCUAUCACAUACUCUGUAUUGUUCUGACUGUUGUCUUUAUUUUUUUCCCCUGUUCUUGUCCUUUUUUGUCUUAAGUCAUUUUAUCUACCGGGAUCAGUUGAUGCAAACGACAGGCAGAUAGAUCAGUGGAAUGUAAAGCCACCCCAGCUCUACCUUUGGACUGAUAAGCAUAAGGCCAUAGCUCGGAAACAUGGUCACUUUAUCAGCCAGCGGGGGCUGUUAAGAAUUGAAAGCUUUGAUAAAGAAAAAUCACCGGCCAGUCAUACUUUGGAUGAUAGUUAUGGUGAGAAAGGCUGAUAAGACCUCAUGGAAGAGGAAACGAACUGAGGAAAACGAUGGAAGAAGACUAGGUGUGACCUCACCACCCAAUCCAAUUGAUGGGAGACCCUAUGUCAGGGAGGAUGAGAACUACCUUAGGGAAUUAGAGACAAGGCAACAGACUCGCCAUUAUGGUAUUCAGAAUCCUAAUUCUGUAAUGAGUAAUUAUCUAUCUGUGCAUGAUCCUGCUAAUAGCCACCACAUGGGGCCAAGUUAUCCAGCCCUUGCUUUAGCAUCUGAGCCUUAUGUGAUGAAUACACCAGCCAUGCAGCGAUAUGCACCUCGCCUAGACGAAUUAAACCAUGCAAGGAUGGAUCCUUUGGGGUCUGAACCUGCUAUAGUUGGUAGAAACGGUGCUUUUGAACGUAGUGCCCUCCCACCUGGAUAUGGGAGUAGGAUGCCAGGUUUUGCAGCUGGUUCUCACCAUAUGUAUUCACGCCAGAAUUCAUCAGACCGAUUCAAUGGGUAGUUUGAAUGUCCAUCUUUUUGUUCUCCUCUUCUACUUUUGCAUAAAAUUGCUGUAUGCCUUAAUCUGCAGAAAUCAUUGGGUUUUUUUUUUUUUUUUUUGGUGUAUGCUGUAUGCUAAAUCUUCGGUCUCUAUUUCCUUCCUAAAGAACAUUUAGGUUUUUUCAUUUUUUGGUGAUCUGUAUAUGCAAGACCUUGGAGUGGGUAGAUACGUUGUACCACCUACAAGUAUAUGAUAAAUCAGAGUUCACUAUUUGAAGAAUGAGGCUUUCCCUCCUCAUUAUUCAAUUAGACACCUUUACAUUCCCUUUAAAUGUAGACUAAGACAUUCAUUCUCUUCGCCGGUCAUGGGAUAUUUUUAACAUAUCUGUUCUCUCUUUUAGAAGUGCAAUUUGCACUACUACCACAUUUAUUCUACAAGUGUUUGACAUUUUCAAACUACCUUGUUUUAUUUAUUUUCCCAACAACAUAUUUCUUAAAUUUUAUUAUUUCAUCUUUAAAUUAAAUUUUAGUGUUUUUUUAAGAAUGUCAAUAGUUAAAACAAUUUUACAUCACAAUUUAACUAAAGAAGUAAUUUAUUUUAAUUUUCAUUUAUUCAACCACCAACUCCUAACAUUUUGCACAUAUACAAGGGUUCUUCAAGUUUUUUUUUUUCAUUUUAAUUUUCAUGUAUUACAUUUUCCCACUGUUAUUUUACACUAGUCAGUAACUAGCACAGUAAAAGAAUGCCUAAAAUUUUAAGGCCACAUAAUUUUAUUCUUAAGCCAAUAAGUAUUUAUUAAGAAAAAUCAAAUUUGAUUAUAAAUAUAACUGAUCUGUAGCAUUAAUUGCUUCAUCAAUUUUAUUUGUUAUUGAAUACCCAGUCAUACUUUCUUUUGAGUCGCGACCAUAAGCUUGACGGUUGCUUAGUAGUUGUCAAUUUCAUGGAGUUAAAGCCACUAAGCCAGCAGUUGCAGAUUACGAGCAACCUUUUUAAAUAAGAAACGGGAGUUAAUAUUAAUAACCAAUAUUUUCAUCUAUUUUUAUAUUAUUAUUUAUUACAUCAAUUGCUUUUUCUUCUUAUUUGUUCUUUUUAAUUAUCACCUCUUCCUUACUCUUCUACGUACCUUCCCCAUUUUCCAAAAAGAGAAAACGAUAGCUUGAUAUAUUCUUCCGACCGAGCAAAUGAGGUAGCCGGAAAAAUAUCGAAGUUGUUACGUUUGAAAGUUACGUGGGUAACUUCUACGUGAGAGAAAGAAAGAAAGAAAGGUGAUUGGUGUAAUAAUCAUUGUAAUGGGUAAAAAAAGAGAAAAAUUUGAGGGGGAAAAUGCAAGAAAAUUAAAAUAUUAAAUACUGCAACUAAUAUAUUUUUAGAGCUACACUACUAAAUAAAUAAUAAAUAAAAAUUGCCAUGUGACAUAGGAUUCAUGAAAAAAACAAAUAAAUAAUAGUUUAAGCAGCAUGCCCCACUUGCAUCCAAAAGUCUCUUUUAUCACCUAUGAUCGAAAAGAAAAGAGUGAAUUAUAAAAGACUAACGAAGGGGGAAGAGUUUAAAUUAAGUGGACUUAACAUGGAUGAACCAAUACCUAACCAGGAGUAAUAGAUUUCAAGAGCUUAGCAAGAGACUAAAUUCUCUUAUGGAGGAAAGAGAAGGAGAAGUGAAAUAUAUUUAUUUUAGUCAACUUUUAGAAUAAGAUUUAUUUUCAUUUUUUAUUACAUUCAUGGGUCUAUUUUUGGACUUGUAAUGAGCUGCUAGCUUUUUUAUUGUUAUUUCUAAGUCUUUUAAUUAUUAGAUUAAUUAUUGGGCCUUGGGCAUAAUUUAGGAUUAUUUGUAGGAGUUAUAAAAAGACUCUCACCUUGUUGGCAAUUUUGAUGAAAACUUCAUAUUAGACACAAUUAAAAGAGUGUCUAUCUUGGUUCUUAUGUGAAAUAUUAAGUUCUUAUAAAAAAAUUAUUAUUUAUGACGAAUCAUCUUCAGCUUAUCAAUCACUCAAGAUUGUGGUGUUGUUCUUUCCAUCUCUUUCUUUAAGUCUGCUUUAUCCUUUUAUUUUCCCCAAUUUCGUAGAGCUCCAAAUUGGUUAUCCAGUUUGUUGAUGCUAAAAAUUGGAUUCGUCAAUCAGGGUUCCAUCAAAAUUACAAUUCCCUUUUUUGUAUUUCACCUUUGAGAGAUCCUUAGAUCCACCAACAUUAGUCAUCAUUUUCCUUGACAUUUCUUACACCUACAACCACCUAGAUUCAAGGAAGAAAAAGAGAAAGAGAAAAGGGGAAGAAAAUAAAAUCAAUCAUGGAUGGUGAAGUUGAGAGGUUCAUCAAGGUAUGGCUCACAACCAUCUCAUGUCUAUGCUAUUGUUAUUACAUAGCUUCUAGAAUACCAAAAGGCUUCAUGAGGCUUCUCUUCCUCCUCCCUAUUCUCAACCUCUUCCCCACCCUUCCCUUCAACCUCUCUUCCUUCCACCUAGGUGGCCCCACCACCUUCUUCCUUGUUUGGCUUGGCACUUUCAAACUCAUUCUUUUCUCCUUCAACCAAGGCCCUCUUGCACUAUCACCCCCAAACAUUCUCCAUUUCAUUUCCAUAGCUUCCCUCCCCAUCAACCCCAAACAACACUCACCAACCAAAAACAACCACACAAACAACACCCAAAAGCCAAAAUGGCUUUUGCUCCUAAAAGUGCUUAUUUUUGCAAUGAUCAUACGUGCUUAUGACUAUAGAGAAAAGUUGCACGCUCAUUUCAUCUUAGUCCUCUAUUGCUGUCACAUGUACCUUGGCAUAAAAUUUGUGUUAGCCCUUAGUCCUAUCUUGAUUCGAACCCUUUUAGGGUUUGAGAUUGAACCACAAUUCAAUGAACCAUACCUUUCCACAUCCCUUCAAGACUUUUGGGGUCGUAGGUGGAAUCUCAUGGUUACCCGUAUUCUACACCCCACCAUAUACUACCCCAUAUACCCUAUUUUCAUAUGCUUUGUGGGUCCCUCUUGUGCCAUGACAAGUGCCAUGUUGGCCACAUUUCUUGUGUCAUGGCUCAUGCAUGAGUUAAUAUACUAUUACCUCACACGUGUGACUCCCACGUGGGAAGUCAUGUGCUUUUUUGUGCUUCACGGUGUGCGCACCACGGCGGAGAUGGCGACGAAGAAGGUGAUGCUCCGCCGUGGGUGGCGGUUGCAUCACCUUCUUCAUGUUUUUUUAAAUCUAAAUGCAUGGAAAAUAAUAUUUAGAUUAGCACAAAUAAUCAACAUAAUAGGAGGAUCGUGUUUUUUUUUCAUGUGUGAAAUUGUCUUGGAGUAACGACAAUUAUCCACACUGAGUAAGAUUAGUGUCAACCAAAUGGGUUGGAAAAAACACUUGACCUAAAACAAAAACAAAAAAAAAACCAUGGAAAACACGAGGAGCCAUGAAAUGGUGAUCUAUAACAAAUAUCUGAUGAAAAAAAAUCUAUAAACAACAAGAAAAUAAAAGAUAAAUUACAUAAAAAAGCCAAAUCAGAUCUAGAUAAAAAAAAACUCAAAUUAUAAAACAACUAAGAAGAAUCGAUAGUAAGUGUCAAAAUUUUAUAUAUUAUAGUAAAUGGUAUUCACGGUGAGAGAUGGUGAGUUGUAUGGGCUGUUUUGGUUUGGAAUAUAUGGAAACAGAGGAACUCUAACAGGAAGAGGUAGAUAAUGACUCACCUAGAGGAUUAUGUUUUUUAGUGUAUUCUGUUAGGUUCUUAGUGCUGAGGGGCAGCUCUGUUAGAAUCAUAGUGCUGGGGUAGUUUUUGUUAUGGCAUGAUAGCAUAAGUGCUUUCCGUUAUCGCUUUUGUAUUUUGGGACGUGGUGUUUGUCUGGUAGCUUGUUGCAAUCAUGUUAUAAAUAUCAUCGUCUCCAUGCAAGAAAGGAAUAAAAAAAGAAAUUUCUUCUCCCUUUCUCUCUUCUAAGGAGGCAUUCCUGGACCUCGAAUCCCAGGAGGUUCACUGUGUGAACCUAACAAACUCGAUCGUCUUUAGGGGAGCAACAUUUAUUUGACACUCAAGUUGUGUUAAAGGACACCAUCUUUUACUCCGGAUCAUGGUUAAAAGGUAUUUAAAGAGUUUUUCCCUACUCUUUUCAGCAAUGGCAGGGUCGACCCAAGGCUAAGGCCAUCCAAACUCUUGUUUUAGGCCACUAAAAAAUAAUUUUUUUACUAUUAAUAUAUGUAUAUUAAACAUAUGCACUAUCAAGGACCACGAACUGUUAUACGUGAAGUUCUGUCGUGACAUGCGUGUGGAAGGUAUCAAAUAUUUUAAAAUAAAAUAUGAAUAAUUUUAUUAAAUAUUUUAAUAAUUUAGAAAAAACUCCAUUUUUUUUUGUCAACAAAAAAAUCCCAUUUCGAAGUUUGGUUUAGGCUUACUAAUAUGUUGGGCCCGGCCCUGAGGAUAAGCAACCUGAUGAUCCUCGAUGUGCAGCUUUACUAUGUGAGGCUGUUGCCUUCAUCAAAACUCAAAUCCUUCUCCUUCAAAGUGCCUAUAAGAUUCAGGAUGUUAAAUCCCUUGUUCGUGCUGAAAGAUAUGGUUUCCAAAGCCAUUUUCCUUUAGAGCAAAGACCAACCAGUUCUAGAGGAAAUCAAGAUAUCACAUGGCAGAAACUUAGAAGGGAUCCUCUCUUUAUCGAGGAAGAUGAGGUUGUGGGGCUUGAUGGCCCUAGAGGUAUAUUGGAAAAUUGGUUGACAAAGGGAAGAAAAAAACGCACUGUCAUCUCUGUGGUGGGAAUUGCAGGGGUGGGAAAAACCACUCUUGCCAAGCAAGUUUAUGACCAGGUGCGUAACAAUUUCGAGUGCCAUGCGUUGAUCAAAGUUUCUCAAUCCUUCUCUGCUGAAGGAUUGCUGAGGCAUAUGUUGAAUGAGCUUUGCAAAGAAAAAGAGGAGGACCCUCCCAAGGAUGUUUCUACCAUCGAGUCGUUGACAGAAGAAGUCAGAAACCGCUUGCGCAACAAGAGGUAUGUUGUCUUGUUUGAUGACGUAUGGAAUGAAACAUUUUGGGAUCACAUUGAAUCUGCUGUAAUUGAUAAUAAAAAUGGAAGUAGGAUAUUAAUCACAACCAGGGAUGAGAAGGUUGCAGAAUAUUGUAGGAAAUCAUCAUUUGUUGAGGUGCAUAAGCUAGAAAAACCUUUAACUGAAGAAGAAUCAUUGAAAUUGUUCUGUAAGAAGGCAUUUCAGUAUAGUUCCGAUGGAGAUUGUCCAGUAAAGGUGAUUGGUGUAAUAAUCAUUGUAAUGGGUAAAAAAAGAGAAAAAUUUGAGGAGGAAAAUGCAAGAAAAUAAAAAUAUUAAAUACUGCAACUAAUAUAUUUUUAGAGCUACACUACUAAAUAAAUAAAAAUUGCGAUGCGAUAUAGGAUUCAUGAAAAAAAAAAUAAUAGUUUAAGCAACAUGCCCCACUUGCAUCCAAAAGUCUCUUUUAUCACCUAUUAUUGAAAAAAAAAGUGAAUUAAAAAUUUGAUAAAGGAUUAUCCAAGGGGGAAGAUUUUGACUUAAGUGAACUUAACACAGAUGAACCAAUUACUAACGAGGAUUAAUAGAUUUCAAGAGCUUAGCAAGAAACUAAAUUCUCUCGUGGAGGGAAGACAAAGAGAAGUGAAAUUUAUUUAUUUUAGUCAACUUUUAGAAUAAUAUUUAUUUUCAUUUUUUAUUACAUUCUUGGGUCUAUUUUUGGACAUGUAAUGGACUGCUAGCUUCUUUAUUGUUAUUUUUAAGUCUUUUAAUUAUUAGAUUAGUUAUUGGACCUUAGGCAUAAUUUAGGAUUAUUAGUAGGAGUUAUUAAAAGACUCCCACUUUGUUGGUAAUUUUGAUGAAAACUUCAUAUUAGACACAUUUAAAAGAAUGUCUAUCUUGGUUCUUAUGCGAAAUAUUAAGUUCUUAUAAAAAAAAUUAUUCUUUAUGACGAAUCAUCCUCAGCUUAUCAAUCUUUCAAGAUUGUGGUGUUGUUCUUUCCAUCUCUUUCUCUAAGUCCGCUUUAUCCUUUUAUUUUCCCCAAUUUCAUAGAGCCCCAAAUUGGUUAUCUAGUUUGUUGAUGCUAAAAAUUGUAUCCGUCAAUCAAGGUUCCAUCAAAAUUAUAAUUCCCUUUUUUGUAUUCCACCUUUCAGAGAUCCUUAGAUCUACCAACAUUAGUCAUCAUUUUCUGAUGAGAAUACUGAAACUGGCCAAAUACAGGCUAAAGGCCCAAGUGGAGAAGGACGAAGGCCCAAGUGGAGAAGGACAAAGCCUCCGAGCGGAGAAGGAUGAAGGCCUAGAGACAGAGACACUAUCAAGACUAUUAAUUGUUGCUUAAGGCCCAAACUAAUUUGAAGGCCCAAGUUAUAUAUGUUUUUUAGUUAUAAUUUUUAUUUAUUGUAAUUUUGGCCCAAACUGUUUAGAAGGCCCAUGUCUAUUUUAUCUUUUUGUUCAGAUACACUAUAAGUAUUGGUUUUUGUUUUCAAUAAAAAGAAACUUUUGGCAUUUUCAUAAAAUUUGGUGAGAGCUUCUCUCUGGGUUCCUUGUUGAACCAAUUUCAGACUUAUCAAGGUAAUCAUUGUCUACCCUGACUUAUCUUCCUUCACUGGAAGUGGCGUCAUCCAAAUCUCUGUAGCCUAUAUCAAACGAUCCGCUCCUAGUCAGGAUCACAUCAUCUUCCUUGACAUUUCUUACACCUACAACCACCUAGAUUCAAAGAAGAAAAAGAGAAAGAGAAAAAGGAAAGAAAAGAAGAUCAAUCAUGGAUGGUGAAGUUGAGAGGUUCAUCAAGGUAUGGCUCACAACCAUCUCAUGUCUAUGCUAUUGUUAUUACAUAGCUUCUAGAAUACCAAAAGGCUUCAUGAGGCUUCUCUCCCUCCUUGUGGCGUCCCCAAAAUAAUGACUGGAUUAAUAGUAAUAAUUUAAAUAACAAAAACCAUGGUAAAUUUUUUUUCCUUUUUCUUUUUCAUUUCUUUCUCUUUUCUCAAUAAUUAAUUUCAGAAGGGAAAAUCAUCACUAUAGAGUCCUGAAUGACCAGUUCACAACUCUAUUCGGAGUCAUUUCUUUCUGAUCACUCAUAACCUCUAAAUAUGUUGCUUUUUCAAAAGGAAAGGUAUGUCAGCCAUUACUUUAGGUCGUCACGUGAAAACAAUAAAAUAUAAUAUGGUCGGUAAACUCCUUUGCAAAUGAAGUUUGCUAAUGCUUUCUUUUCAAAUAACAAGAUUAAACAUAAAUACAUUCAUCAUUUAAAGCUAUCCAAAAUAUGGGAGUUUUUACAAAAUACAUAGUGUCAUCCAGAGCAAAAGUAUCCACUGUAGUAGCUUCAGUCACAUGUAUACAAUCAUCAAAUUCCUUUACAAUAGGUCUACCCAUACAAAAACAAAAGAGUAAACCUAAUAGUCAGCACUAGAUACACCCACCCUCAAAAGUAUACAAAACUAGUAUGAGGAGCUGUCUACUAUGAUGAAGAGCCUCCACUGAUCGCCAUCUCUCUAGGGCCACUAUCCUCCGUAGAGUCUGCCUCAGAUGCCGACAUGACGUCCUCGGGAGAAUCCACCUCAAGGAGUGGGUCCUCGUCGCCCUCUAGAAAGUCAAGAGCAUCCACAGCAGGCUCAGGAGGUAGCUCCUCUGGGUCUUCCUCAGAUGACGUCACCUCGAUCACUUGGACUGGCUCCACUAGACGAUAUGGUGUAGGCGUGGGUAAUAUCCACUCCACAGUGCGCUGAAGCAUACGCGCGGGUUCAUCUGGAUGCACCAAUGAGGUAGCCGUGAAUCGAAUCGUACCCCGAAAUCGGCACCUUGCGUUGCCUUCGAGGGUCUCCCAAGCUCCCUCUAGGCACUCCAUCUCCACACGAUCAUGGAUUAGUUGCGCCGCCAUCGCGAUCUACAAGAAAGAAAAGAGAGGGGUAGACUCUUUCACGCGACACCUAACUAUGUAGCAACACAAUGCGUCUCAUAACCACUACAUGCAAGAAAAAAGGGUAUCUCAAGGCUUUUCAUCUCUGGUAAUCGAUUACACAACCUUGGUAAUCGAUUACCAGAGGCCAAACUCGAAUUACACAGCUUCAGGACAUGAAACCUGCAAAAAUGCACUGUGUAAUCGAUUACACCUAACUGGUAAUCGAUUACCAGUGGCAUGUUCCUCUGUGUAAUCGAUUACACAGCCUGGUAAUCGAUUACCAGAGGCCUCCAAAACAUGCUGCCUUCAUUUCUAAGCCUGGUAAUCGAUUACACCCCUUGGUAAUCGAUUACCAGAAGCCCUCCUAGCUUCUUGACCUCGUUUUCAAGCCUGGUAAUUGAUUACACUCCCUUGGUAAUCGAUUACCAGAGACCAUCUUAGCCUCAUGUCUUCAUUUUUAAGCCUUGUAAUCGAUUACCCACCCUUGGUAAUCGAUUACCAGAGGCCAUAUCCCAUAUAUCAAUCAAAGUUCACAGCUGGCCAGCCACCACACAAGCCUCCUUGCUUUGUGGUCUUUGUUCCUUUUAUCUGUUGACUGCCAGGAGCUCGCCUGCUUAGGUACAUCACAGGUUCUCACUGACUGACUAUGUCCGGGUUGGGUCGGGAUUGGUCAAGCUUGGUUUUGGGCAAUAGCACCCCACCUGACGUCCCCAAGGUCUCCUGACCCCCGCGACAUAUCUCCAGGUACCACUUUGUGGUCAACAAUAAAAGCAGGAAGUCUCACCCUUCCACACUUCCUCAUUUCAAGCUUGUAGGAUUAUGGGGUAUCCAUCACAUGUGGUACUAGGUGGCGGUCGGGCGAUGGUGCAAAACAAGUUCUCCACAUCCACAAAUCACGUAUAAAUCCACCAUCCCCUGUUGCCCACCUCCAACUGAGCUCACGUACUCCCACGUAGCUCUUAUCCUCGUUCCUCUCAACGCCGGGUCCCCAUCAAUCCUCCCAAGCUUCCACAACAUCCAAGUAGUUCCACAUCCAAUUGUCAUGAACUCACAAAACCAAGCAAAACAGGGCAAAGGCAGAAAACUCUGCCCAAAACACAAACCAAAAUCACAGCUUUUCACAUACAAAUACCCCAGUAACAUUCUCUUCGUUCCAAUUCGUUCACCGUUGGAUCGACUCGAAAAUUUUACUGGAAGUCUCUAGCACAAAAGUCUACAUCUUGACCGUUGGGAUUUGUUAGCAAAUGUCCAAAACCCCAUGUGUACUACCCUUUCCACAGCCAGCCAUACACAAGCAUUUUUCUGCACAUAUACAAAAUUCUGCUGCACAUUUCACAGCAAAAUUCUGCAUAAAGUGCAGAAUUCGAAAAUCACUCUUACCUUCAUCCAAUUUUGCCCAAAUUGAAUCCUACAAGUCCUAAAUCAUGUAUCAAUCAUGUCUAAACCAAGGACAAGCUUCAGACCAAAGCAACACAAAAUCUAGGUAUCCAAAACCCCUCAAUUUAAUGGAUUUUCAAGGUUUGAGAAGUGAAAUUGAGAAUGAGGUAAAUUUGGAGCAAACUCUCACCUCACACAAGUCUAUAACAUCAAUUUAAACUUGCUCAAACUGGAUUUACACCUAAAAUUCCACCGAAUCAAAAUUUGACUUCUCAACACCCAAUUUUACCCUAGAAAUGGCUCUUGCCUUCACUUUGAUCAUUUGUUUUUCUCUCUUGCACAACCCAAGCUUUCUCAUAACUCCUAAAUGACAUUUCAAACUAGGAUUAAUUCCCUUUAACCUCCAAAUACCAUUAAAUCCAGAUUUGGCCUUCCAACUCUCAAAGCCUCACUUUUUUUCCACUCAUAACACCACAUUCUCACUUUCUAACCCUAGGUUAACCCUACCUUUCAUCUCUAACAGUUUUCCAUAAGCAAUUUCAGUACACCAACAUCAAAAGCAUCAUCAUAAAAACCCUAAAACUGAAUGGGUAAGCUUAACUCACUCAAACAUAAUAAGUUUAGCAUGCUUUCGUCAAAUCUCUUCACAAAUAACUAUCACAAAGCAUUAACCAAGAAAAACUGCCCAUCAUAUCUCCCAAAGCCCCAUACCCACGAAAAUCAAGUGAGAAAGAAGUCUACCCAAACCUGAAAUUUCGAAGUCCCACACGUAGAGAUGCGCUUCACGACUCCGAAAAUGCCUUCCUUUUGCGAUUUGGAGCAGAAAUGGUGACCAAAGGUUGGAGCUUUGUUGGGCAACAAUGGUGGAUGAGAGAAAAGAAGAAGAAGGCUGCGUGAGAGAGAGGGAGAGAGCUUCUGAAAUUUGGGGCUGAGUGAGAAGAGAGAGAGUGUGUUGCUUUUUAGUUUAAAAAGAAAAGCUUUUCUCUUUUCUAUUAUUUUAUUUUAAGUUAUGCCACAUGUCUCCAUUUAAGUGGAGCAAAAGGCCCACUUUUCUCUUGAUGUGACUCGCACUCAGUCACAAAAAGGGAAAAAUCUGACAUUUGCAACGCUAAAAUCCUGCCUCAGUUUGCGUGCCAUUUCUCUAGUUUCAGUUCCUCGCGUUUCUCUGCACCAGUCGGGGCCAGUUUUCGAAAGUAAGCAAUAUAUAUAUCAAAACGCUCAGAAUAAAACCCCGAGCGUGAUUCAGAGGUUGGUUUCGUUAAAUUUUUAGUUACACGCAAAACGAUGAUUUUUAGACUAAUUAAUUGAGAAUUAACCUAUAACAAUCCAGUUAUGGAUUUUUCUUCCUUAAUUAGCCUAACUCGCGUAUCUUUUCCCCCAAAAUACCUACUUCCACCAGGAAUAUAUAUAUACAUGUACACUGAAUAAUACUUAUAUAUAUAUAUAUAUAUAUAUAUAUAUAUAUAUAUAUAUAUAUAUAUAUAUAUAUAUAUAUAUAUAUAUAUAUAUAUAUAUAUAUAUAUAUAUCAUUCAAAAUGAACCGUUUACAAAAUUCUGGGUAGAAUUUCCAGGAUGUCACACUCCUCCCUAUUCUCUACCUCUUCCUCACCCUUCCCUUCAACCUCUCUUUCUUCCACCUAGGUGGCACCACCACCUUCUUCCUUGUUUGGCUUGACACUUUCAAACUCAUUCUUCUCUCCUUCUACCAAGGCCCUCUUGCCCUAUCACCCCCAAACAUUCUCCAUUUCAUUUCCAUAGCUUCCCUCCCCAUCAACCCCAAACAACACUCACCAACCAAAAACAACCACACAAACAACACCCAAAAGCCAAAAUGGCUUUUGCUCCUAAAAGUGCUUAUUUUUGCAAUGAUCAUACGUGCUUAUGACUAUAGAGAAAAGUUGCACCCUCAUUUCAUCUUAGUCCUCUAUUGCUGUCACAUGUACCUUGGCAUAGAACUUGUGUUAGCCCUUAGUGCUAUCCCGAUUCGAACCCUUUUAGGGUUUGAGAUUGAACAACAAUUCAAUGAACCCUACCUUUUCACAUCCCUUCAAGACUUUUGGGGUCCUAGGUGAAAUCUCAUGGUUACCCGUAUUCCACGCCCCACCAUAUACUACCCCAUAUACCAUAUUUUCAUAUGCUUUGUGGGUCCCUCUUGUGCCAUGACAAGUGCCAUCUUGGCCACGUUCCUUGUGUCAUGGCUCAUGCAUGAGUUAAUAUACUAUUACCUCACACGUGUGACUCCCACGUGAGAAGUCAUGUGCUUUUUUGUGCUUCACGAUGUGCACACUGCGGUGAAGAUGACGACAAAGAAGGUGAUGCUCCGUCAUGGGUGGCGGUUGCAUCGCGUUGCAUCAGGACCGCUCGUGGUGGCGUUCUUGGCGGUCAUCGGAAGGUGCCUCAUACUUCUUAAAUUAAUUUUUUUUUCAAAACUAUUUUCUUUUAUCAUGGAUUAUAGUUUAUUUGGUUGGUGUUGAUUAACAAAACUAUUGACAUUUACACAUAUAUAAGAAAUUAAAAUUAUAUUUUACAAGAGAAAAACAAUAUAAUCAGUAGCUUUAACAUUAUACCUCGAAAAAUAAAAUAAAUGUGUAAACAGAAUGGAGCAGUUGGUAGGAAAUUUUUUUUUCACACACUAAAAUGAUGAGUCCUUGAAUCAUGAUUCACAGAUAUAAGUAAUUUUUUUUAGUUGAUCAUAAAUAUUUUUAACAUUAUUUAUAUAAUAAGUUUUUAAAAAUUAAAGAGUUACGUGAUAUUGAGAAUUAUAUUAUAUUUUUAUAAUUUCUUAAUGAGAAUCAAAAUGUAAAGUGUUUUUAAAAUAAUAAUAUUUGAUUGAUUGAAUAAAUUAAAAUAUUAUUUUAUUCUAAUCAUAAAGAUUCAACCAUUAAUUUAAUAAAUAAAUCACCAUUGAUAAAUCAAUUGUUUGUGUUGAAUUAUUGAAAGGUUAAAUAGACCAAUAAAUGAGAAAUCGAAAGAAUAUUAUAUAAAUUCAUUAUAUUAUAAAAGGAUCUCUGAAAACUAUAAAAUUACAUUUCAAAUACGUUUAUAAUGUUUUAUAUUUAAAUAUUUUAAGUGAAUAUUUAAAUCAAUCAAAUAAUUUAUGUUGUGAUAUAUAUAUAUAUAUAUAUAUAUAUAUAUAUAUAUAUAUAUAUAUAUAUAUAUAUUGUUAUUGUUAAAUAUUUCCUUUAAAUCUAAAUGCAUGGAAAAUAAUCUUUAGAUUAACACAAAUAAUCAACAUAGGAGGAUCGUGUUUUUUUUUCAUGUGUGAAAUUGCCUUGGACUAACAACAAUUAUCCACAGUGAGUAAGAUUAGUGUCAACCAAAUGGGUUGGAAAAAACACUUGACCUAUAAAAAAAAAACCAUGGAAAACACGAGGAGCCACGAAAUGAUGAUCUAUAACAAAUAUCUGAUGAAAAAAAAUCUAUAAGCAACAAGAAAACAAAAGAUAAAUUACAUAAAAAAGCCAAAUCAGAUCUAGAUAAAAAUAAAAUAAAACUCAAAUUAUAAAACAACUAAGAAGAAUCGAUAGUAAGUGUCAAAAUUUUAUAUAUUACAGUAAAUGGUAUUCACGGUGAGAGAUGGUGAGUUGUAUGGGCUGCUUUGGUUUGGAAUAUAUGGAAACAGAGGAACUCUAACAGGAAGAGGUAGAUAAUGACUCACCGAGAGGAUUAUGUUUUUUUAGUGUAUUCUGUUAGGCUCUUAAUACUGAGGGGCAACUCUGUUAGAAUCAUAGUGCUGGGAUUGUUUUUGUUAUGGCAUGUUAUAAAUAUCAUCGUCUCCAUGCAAGAAAGGAAUAAAAAAAGCAAUUUCUUCUCCCUUUCUCUCUUCUAAGGAGGCAUUCCUGGACCUCGAAUCCCAGGAGGUUCACUGUGUGAACCUAACAAACUCGAUCGUCUUUAGGGGAGCAACAUUUAUUUGACACUCAAGUUGUGUUGAAGGACACCAUCUUUUACUCCGGAUCAUGGUUAAAAGGUAUUCAAAGAGUUUUUGCCUACUCUUUUCAGCAAUGGCAGGGUCGACCCAAGGCUAAGGCGAUCCAAACUCUAUUUUCUAUUAGUUGAAAUUAAUUAUUUUGUCUCCAUUUUUAUUUAUAAGACUUUUAAAAUGAUAUUUAUUCUAUUUUAUAAAACUCAAUCUAUAAUAUUUCUUUGAUUAAUUAUUUUUAGACUAAAAAUAUCCAUCAUUAAAUGAAGAAAGAGAAUGUAUUGACAAACUAUUAGACCAGAGAGAAGUGUAAUUACAAGGAUAAUUUUAAAAAAUAUUAUAAACGUAAGACAAACUUAUUAAAAAGGAUGGGACAAACUUAUUAAUCAAUGCAUGGGACAGACUUAUUAAUCACUCAUCAUAGGUGGCAUGCAAUGGAGAAUGUAACAUUCAAUUUUUCGUAAAAUAAAUUAAAAAGAAUUUUACUUAAAAAUAAAUAAAUUUUUAGAAAAAUUAUCAGAUUUUUGUGAUUAAAUAAAUAAGGAGAAAUAAUUUUAUGAAUUAAAAUAGUGUUUGCAAGGUAAAUAAAAUAAAUAUAUGUCUUUAGAAAAUAAAACCGACAAACAUCAUUUGAAUCGAAUAAUUAGUUUUUUCUAAGAUAAUUAGUUUUCGUCCUUAUUUAAAAAUUGGGUAGCGUGAUAUGAUAUGGAUACGGUGACAAAUAAUUAACAUUAACAAUGGCAGAAACUGCAGUGUCCUUGGCUGGUCAGCAUGCACUUUCAAAAAUAUUGGAAGCUGUCAAAAUGCUGAGAGAUCUCCCAAAAGAAGUUAGAGACAUUACAGAUGAACUUGAAAGCUUUCAAGAUUUCAUCAAUGAUGCUGAUAAAAUGGCUGAAGCUGAAGAAGAUGAUGGAAGGCGUCAUAGAAUAAAAGAAAGGGUGAUGCGGCUGAGAGAAGCAGCUUUUCGCAUGGAAGAUGCCAUCGAUGAAUAUAACAUCUCCUGUGAGGAUAAGCAACCUGAUGAUCCUCGAUGUGCAGCUUUACUAUGUGAGGCUGUUGACUUCAUCAAAACUCAAAUCCUUCGCCUUCAAAGUGCGUACAAGAUUCAGGAUGUUAAAUCCCUUGUUCGUGCUGAAAGAGAUGGUUUCCAAAGCCAUUUUCCUUUAGAGCAAAGACAAACCAGUUCUAGAGGAAAUCAAGAUAUAACAUGGCAGAAACUUUGAAGGGAUCCUUUCUUUAUUGAGGAAGAUGAGGUUGUGGGGCUUGAUGGCCCUAGAGGUAUAUUGAAAAAUUGGUUGACAAAGGGAAGAGAAAAACGCACUGUCAUCUCUGUGGUGGGAAUUCCUGGGGUGGGAAAAACCACUCUUGCCAAGCAAGUUUAUGACCAGGUGCGUAACAAUUUCGAGUGCCAUGCGUUGAUCACAGUUUCUCAAUCCUUCUCUGCUGAAUGAUUGCUGAGGCAUAUGUUGAAUGAGCUUUGCAAAGAAAAAAAGGAGGACCGUCCCAAGGAUGUUUCUACCAUCGAGUUGUUGACAGAAGAAGUCAGAAACCGCUUGUGCAACAAGAGGUAUGUUGUCUUGUUUGAUGACAUAUGGAAUGGAAAAUUUUGGGAUCACAUUGAAUCUGCUGUAAUUGAAAAUAAAAAUGGAAGUAGGAUAUUAAUCACAACCAGGGAUGAGAAGGUUGCAGAAUAUUGUAGGAAAUCAUCAUUUGUUGAGGUGCAUAAGCUAGAAAAACCUUUAACUGAAGAAGAAUCUUUGAAAUUGUUCUGUAAGAAGGCAUUUCAGUAUAAUUCCGAUGGAGAUUGUCCAGAAGAACUUAAAGAUAUAUCUCUAGAAAUUGUUAGAAAGUGUAAAGGUUUACCUCUAGCAAUAGUGGCCAUUGGUGGUCUUUUGUCUCAAAAAGAUGAAAGUGCAUCUGAAUGGGGACAAAAAUUUAGACUUGGAGAGGAAUUCUGAGUUAAAUAGUAUAACAAAAAUUUUAGGUUUAAGUUAUGAUGAUUUGCCGAUCAAUCUCAGAUCAUGUUUAUUGUAUUUCGGAAUGUAUCCGGAGGACUAUGAAGUUGGGCAACAAUAUUUAUCAGGGUUGGUCCGUAGAAGUUUGGUGCAAGUAUCCUCAUUUAGAAUUGAUGGCAAAGUUAAAAAGUGUCGUGUUCAUGACUUAAUACACGACAUGAUCCUUAUAAAAGUCAAGGAUACAGGGUUUUGUCAGUAUAUUGACGGGUGUGAUCAAUCUGUAUCAAGUAAGAUUGUUCGACACCUGACAAUUGCAACCGAUGAUUUUAGUGGAAGUAUAGGAAGCUCACCCAUUCGGUCAAUUUUUAUUAGCACAGGAGAAGAUGAAGCAGUAUCUGAACACUUAGUAAACAAAAUCCCUACCAAUUACAUGCUAUUGAAGGUACUUGAUUUUGAAGGUUCUGGUUUACGUUAUGUUCCUGAAAAUUUGGGGAAUUUAUGCCACUUGAAGUAUUUAAGCUUCCGGUUUACAGGGAGAUUAGUAAGCUUAAAAAGCUACGUCAUCUUCUGAGUGGCUACAUACCUUCAAUUCAAUGGAAGGAUAUUGGAGGCAUGACAUCCCUACAAGAGAUACCUCCAGUGAUUAUAGAUAAUGAUGGAGUGGUCAUUAGAGAGGUUGGAAAGCUAAAGCAGUUAAGGGAACUGACAGUGAUAGAUUUUACGGGAAAACACAAAGAGACUCUGAGUUCCUUGAUAAAUGAGAUGCCACUCUUGGAGAAACUACUUAUUGAUACAGCUGAUGAGAGUGAAGUAAUUGACUUGUACAUUACGUCACCUAUGUCUACACUUAGGAAGCUUGUCCUAUGGGGGACGUUAACAAGGUUUCCAAAUUGGAUUUCACAGUUCCCAAGCCUGAACUUGAAUUGGAGUGAAAAUUUGGAUUGUACAUGUUAAGCUUGGGGUGAACUCGUAUUGUAACAAGACAUGUUUGAUUUUGGCUUAGCACUUUAAUCCUUUUAGCAUAGUGCUUCAGCAAUUUUGGUACCCAAACUUUUAUGUUCAGGUUUGAUCAAUUUAUAUAUCACUUAUCUGGAGUUAGAUAAUUUUUUCAUGGCUUAAUUUUAUCUGGAGUUAGAUCAAAAAAAAAUUAAUGGUUGAAUAUAUGUUAUUAAAAUCAAUUUAUAUAUCACUUAUCUGGAGUUAGAUAAUUUUUUCAUGGCUUAAUUUUAUCUUUUUGUGUCAUUCAUUAUUUAUUUUAUUUAAUUUUGUCCUCCUAAUAAAAAAAUCUUUAAUUUGAUCGCUUAAAUCCAAAUCGAUUCAGUUUGAUCUUUUUGGUCCAAAUUCACCUGACAUUGUCUAUUAAUAGUGGGAUGAGAUUGAAUCAAACAAAGGAACAAAUUAAAUUGUUUAUUAAAAUUUUAAAAACAAACAGUGAGAAUAAGAAGUUUAUUAAGGGGUCAAGUUGCACCGUUUUGAAAAUUAAAGUACUAAAUUAAAUUGUUUAUUAAUAGAGGACCAAUGCUAAAUAAAGAAAUAGCACGACAAAAAAGUAAGGUUUUUUUUUUUACUUUUAAAGAUUUUAAAAUUUUUAUUGAAUUCUAAAAUAUUCAAUUAACUUGCCUAAUUCUUUGUUUAUUCACUCUUUUUUUUCCUUUUAAUCCUUGAUGUUUGAAAACUUCAAAACUCUUUUUGAUCACAAACAUAUUUUAACUCUCAUAAUUAAAACAACACAACAAUGUUUCUAAAAUCGGACUUUUAUAAGUUAUUGAUAAAUCACUUUGUGAGUGAUAUUUUGUACAAACUUUUGUGUUAUUUUGUAUGCAUUUUCUUGGUAGAAUUUACAAUUGGACACUAGUUUUGUAUUCCAAAAGUAUAACCACUCAAUUGAGCGAAAGAGUAGGAAAUUAUACAAAUUUAUGAAGAUUUAAGAACUUUACAUAACUUGAUUACUAUCGUGGUACAUUGAUCACGGUCGUGGUAAUCAGCAUGAUCACAAUAAAGUGAUAAGAGUCCUCCCAAACAGCAUCAAGAUCCAACAAUAGCCAUGGUAAAUUGACCACGAUCAUGGUAAAUCAAGAGGCUCAUAGUCAAUUUAUAAUGGUUCAAGGCUUCAGCGUUACUUCUAACCACAAUUGUAGUGCUCCUUUUCGAGCAAAUAUCUUUAGGAAGCUAUAUAUAGGUUUCUAGACUAUGUAAAAUCAUUUUUUAAUUAUUUUGAGUUUUAUUCUUAUCUUUUACGAAUUUGAGACAACCUUGAAAGCUUUUAAGAGCCGAAGAACUUAAACAACAUCGCUAGAAUGGAUCAUGAUCAUUGUUCCUACUUAUUGGUAUGUUUAUGUUUAUUUUAUCUAGGAUUGCUAGUGUUGUUCUGAUCAUGAGGAGCUAGUCCUCCUAGUCCGAAGAUUAUUAGAUAACUUUUCAUUUGUACCAUUCUACUCAUUUUUAAUGAAAUUUCUCAUUGAUUUUAUGUUAAUUAAUUCUCUUGUUUUUACUGUUUAUUUGAAACCAAUCAGUUUAAUACUUAAUCAAUUGCAUAAUACCAAUCAUGUAAUUGGUAGAUUUAGGUAGAGAAUGUUUUAUGUCAAAUUGCAUGAUCAACCUCUUUGGGUAAUCUCCAAUACAUUAGUCAAUCUUUAAUUAAUCUUUCCUAUAAUUGAUUUUCUUUUGACUUAAAUUGAUAGAACCAAUGAUCAUUGGGGUAUUGAUUUAAGGCAAGAAACAUCUUAUAACCUUGAUCAUAGACUUUAGUUGAUUUUGUGAAUGAGUAAUUAACUGGAGAAAGCAUUUUAUUACAACUAGGGUUGAAGGAAAAUUAGUACUAGUAAGUCAUAACCCCUAAUCACUCUUAUCAUCAAUAAACCCUUUCUUUAUAUUCGUAUAUUUUUUUACUUAUAAAUCCGUAAAAAUAUUUAAAUUAUCUUUUUAAUUACUUCAACGGUUAAUUUAAUAAACUUGACUAAUUGGGAAUACAACUCGUCAUUUAGGUUUGAUAUCCAUACUUUCGAAACCACUAUUAUGAUUGCGUAAGGUACACUUAAGGUAUAACAAACAUAUUGGACAUACAACGAUGACAACAUGUAGCAUAUGCAUUUAUGGUUUUGGGAAUAAAAGAAGAAAUCUGAAAUGAAAACACUAUGAGUGUGUUUGGAUGAGGGAAUUUAAAAUUCGGAGGAAUUUUAAAUUCUAAGAAUUUCAAAUACCUCAAUUGAAAUUCUUUUAUUUUGAAAAUUUUGUGUUUCUAUAAAAAAAAAUUAAAAUUGAGGGUGAAAGAAAAUGAGUCACGAGUUCGAGAAUGCGAUUAGUGAAAAUGAGGAUGAAGGUUAUAAAGGAAAUACACAAACUUUUUGGAAAGUUCUAAUGUAAGAAGAGAAUUUCAAUUUCUCACGUUUUACAAGGAAGUUAAAAUUCCACAUUUUUAGUGGUUUAAAAUUAUGUUUUAAAAUUCCAAAAACUUAAAUUCUUCAAAUAAAAAACAUCCAAACAAUGAAUUUUAUAUUAAAGAAAUUAAAUUUUCUGAUAAAUUACUUUCCUUAGUUAAAAUUAUAUAUUAAAGAUAUAUUGAUAGAGAAAACAUGAAAGAAAACUGGAUUCGAGGCCAGCCUCCAAACAAGGCAAGAAAGAAAGCAAACUUAGCUUUUUUCAUAUCAUGUGUGCCUUACAAUUGCUUUAUUUAUACUAAUUCCUUGCUAAAAGAAUUUGUCAUUUUGUGUCAAGGAAUAUUUUAGGAAAUCAUUGGCUAACAAUUUAUGAUUACGCUUGUCUCCCUAAGGCCAACCAACCAUCAUCUAGCAAUUCUUCAUUCCAGGUCAGCUUCCUUUCUCGCUUUUCUUUCUCAUGUGUAGUCUCUGAGGUAAGAGGGCUUUGUGAUGGCCCUCUUUACUUUCUUGCUAUCUGUACCCUUGAUUUUUGUGUUUGUACCUCUGUUUUGUGUUCUCUGUUAACUGCCCCAGCUUUUGUAUCAUGCGUACGCCCUUGUAAAAUUACCUUGUCCUCAAGGUGAUAAUCCUCACAUAAUUGAUCCCAAUUCUCCCACGAGGUGUCAUCCGGGGAUAGCCUUUCCCAUUGCACCAACACUUCCCAAGGCCCUUGUUCUAAAGCUCGCCGAUAAUCUAAUAUGGCUAGCUAAAUGAGUAAUGACUGGUUGGUGCUGAACAAAUUGUUUUGGAAAGUGAACUUCCUGAAUAUGUUCUGGGGAGCCUUUGAAUGCUUUCAACUGGGAGCGGUGGAAAACAGGAUGUAUGCGGACUUCUUUCGGCAAUUUCAAGCGGUAUGCCACGGGUCCUAGGCGUUCCAGAACUUGAAAUGGUCCGUAGAAUCUCUUAGCCAACUUGCCCAUGAUUGCUUGUGGUCCCUUAGCGGAGACUUUUCGGUGGGGCCUUAAUUUAAGCAUAACCCAAUCUCCUUGUUGGUCGAUCACCUCUCUUCGUUUAGCAUCUGCAGUUAUCUUCAUACGGUCUUGUGCUUUGAGAAGCUUCUUGCGAAUGGCCUAAAAUGUUUCUUCUUUGUUGGUCAACAUUUCGUCAACUGCAUCCAGAGCAGAAGAACCCGCGAUAUAUUCAGGAAAAUUAAAGGAUUUGCGCUUGAAUGUGAUCUCAUAUGGAGUGGUGCCUGUUGCCGCAUUCCAUGAAGUGUUAUGAGACCACUCCACCCAGAGAAGAAACUUGCCCCAUUCCCUUGGCUGAUAAUGAACAAAUGUGCCCAGACAUUGCUCUAUGACCCUGUUUAGCACCUCCUUUUGACCAUCACUUUGUGGGUGAUAAGCGGAGCUCAUCCUUAGCCGUGUGCCACUCCGACGAAACAACUCUUGCCAGAAUUUGCCAACGAACAAGGGGUCGCAGUCAGAGACCAGGCUGCGAGGGAGGCCGUGAAUCUUGCCCAUGAUUUCCAUGAACAACGAGGCUACCACAUGGGCUGUGUGUGUCGCUAAUAGCAUGCCAAGAUGAAUGCCUUUUGAAAAUUGAUCAACCCCUACUAGUAUUAACUGUGUUGCUGUGAUAUGGUGGGAGCCCGGUAAUGAAGUCCAGGGAUAAGUCUUCCCAAGGUUGAUGGGGAACUGGCAAAGGGCAUAGUAAUCCUGUUGCUCUUUUUGUCUCGUACUUAGCAUGCUGACAAUCAAUACAUUGCGAGACAAACUUCGUGACAUCUUCUCAAAGUCCUGACGAUUCAAAGUUUUCCGUCAAGCGAGCUAUCAUUUUCGCAAUCCCCAUGUGGCCUCCUGUGGGUGUUGUAUGCUACUCCACCAGUAAUGUGGGAAUCAAGGGCAGGUCCUUUGGUAGCCAAAUUCGUCCCUUCCAGAGGAUCAAGUUAUGAACAAGAGUGAAUCCAGAGUGCUUAUCGGGGUCCACCGUGAUUGCUUGUCGAAGAUGUCGAUACUCAGGAUGAUCCUUCAAUUGGUGGUGCAGUUCUUCAAAGAAAAGAGGGCAAGGGACAGAAAAGCUCAUAUAGAAUGAAUUGGAACCACGCGAGCGUCCUGCCUUCCAUGUAGAACAAAGCUAUGGUAAGUCUUUCAUUCUUUGGUGUGCCAUGGUAUUCGAAGAAUUGGUUGAUUUAGAAAAUCCAACCAAGUGGUUCGGUGCCAUCAAAACGAGGCACAUCUAACUUCAUUCGGUGAUUGUUUGCAGGUACCGAUGGUGAUGGUGGAGGUGUUGGAGAAGAAGAUGACGAGAGGAUGGGAGUGACACGAUUAAGGAGUUCAUCAAUUUUUUGAGUGAGUGAGUGCAUGGAUUCGCCGAGGGAUAGUUGAUGAUUGGUGAGUCUGAGUAAAACUUCAUCAAGCUUAUCGAAGGUACCCAUGGUGUGGACCGGAUGGAACGAUAGCACCAAAAUUAAAAGAGAAAACUUGAAAGGAAACUGGAUUCGAGGCCAGCACCUCCAGACAAGGCAAGAAAGAAAGGAAACUUAGCUUUUUUCAUAUCAUGUGUGCCUUACAAUUGCUUUAUUUAUACUAAUUCCUUGCUAACAGAAUUUGUCAUUUUGUGCCAAGGAAUAUUUUAGGAAAUCAAUGGCUAACAAUUUAUGGUUACGCUUGUCUCCCUAAGGCCAACCAGCCAUCAUCUACAAAGGCAGACAAUUUUUGACAACGGAAAAUUCAAGAUUCCCUCAAAUUCUUUCUUUUGUAGCCCGUGAGAUGGUGGAUGAGUGGAUUUGAGCCAUCAAAGGGCAAGAUUCAUCAAAUUAAUUUUUUAAGUGAUAUAUAUAUAUAUAUAUAUAUAUAUAUAUAUAUAUAUAUAUAUAAUUUAGAUAUCUUCUCGAUCUUCCUAUAAUGGAAAACAUGAAUAAACUAUAGGAAAUUGUAAUUCUACCUUAAUUAGUGAUUUUGAAUGAGAUUUGAUUAAGUAGUUAUGUUAAAUAUUUGGAAAACUCUUUUUAUUGUACAUAAUAAUUAUAUUGGGUUCAAAGAAAUUAUUUUUAAUGGGAAAUAUCUUUUCUUUGUUGAAUUAAGGCAUUGUUCUUCACUUCUCCCUUAAAAAAAUUGAAGAAAAAAAAAAAGAAAAGUGCAUCCCCUUCGACGUCCCUUGCAGGAGACAAUCAUAGAAGAAAGUCGAGCCACCUCUCUCUCUCUCUCUGGUGGCAAUAUAUAACAAUUAAAAGGAAAAUAUAAGCCAUUAGUAUUAUUCAGUAACAACAAGAAUUAUUGAAUCAGUCAACGCUUACUUUCGAAUAUAAUAUAUAUUGUGUGUAUUGUGUUGCAUAUUUUAUAACACAUCUUCAAUUAUUUACAUAUAAUAUCAUUCCUGUCUAAAGUCUUCUAUAGCAUAUGAUGAUUAAAAAAAUGUCCGAGACUCACCCUAUAACAAUACUCAUAAUUUCCGUUGACAUUUCACAUACUCAACUCAUAGAUUCAAGGAGAGGAGAUGUAUGGUGAAAUUGAAAGGUUCAUCAAAGUAUGGAUUUCAGCCAUCUUAGGUUUAUGUUAUUGUUAUUACAUAGCUGCAAGAAUACCAAAGGGCUUCUUGAGACUUCUCUCCCUUCUCCCUAUUCUCUACCUCUUCAUCAUCCUUCUUCCUUGUUCAACUUGGCAUUUUCAAGCUCAGCUCCUACUUUUUUCCUUCAACAAAGGCCCUCUUGCCCUAUCACCCCCAAACAUUGUCCAUUUCAUCUCCAUAGCUUCCCUCCCCAUCACCCCAAAACAACAUCCACCAACCAAUAAAAAUAACACCACCAACACCCAAAAGCCAAAAUGGCUAUUGCCCUUAAAAUUGCUUAUUUUUGCAAUGAUCGCACGUGUUUAUGAGUACAAUGAAUACUUCCACCCUCAUUUCAUAUUAGUCCUUUAUUGUCUUCACUUGUACCUUGGCUUAGAGCUUGUUUUUGCUCUUAUUGCAACCUCGGUUCAAACCCUUUUUGGCUUAGAGAUAGAACCACACUUCAACGAACCCUACCUUUCGUCCUCACUACAAGAUUUUGGGGUCAUAGAUGCAACCUUAUGGUUAGACAUGGCGAGAAAACCCAUACCUGUGGGUACCCGCCCGAAUCCUUCCCGACUUUGACGGGUAAUACCCGAGUUGAUCGGCUAUGGGUUCAGGUUUUUUCCGAUAAUCAAAAGUUGGAUACGGGUACGGGUAUGUGAUUACUAGAUCCGUCUCGACCCCGAAACCGAACCCGCCUCGCCACUUGAAAUCUUUAAAACUUUUGCAUAAUUUAAUCAAAAGACAUAGAAUUUUUAUUACUAGUUAAUUUUAUUUUUGAAUUUUUACAUAAUUUAAUAUUAUUUUUUUAACGAUUUUUUAAGACACAUGUGCUAUGAUAAAUUUAUAGAUAUAUAAGUGGUUAAAAAUAAAUGUUUAACAAUCAAUUUAUUUUUUCUAAAAUCAAAUUUUUAAUAUUUUUUUACAAAAAAUUAUUUUUCUAAUUUGAAUUGGGUAUGGGACGGAAUCAGGGAUACCCGAUACCCGACGGGUACCCGAUGGAUACGGGGAUGGGAUAAUAAACUUUAACCCGUCGGGUAUCGGGUACGGGUAUGGGGAUAUGUUGGGGAGUCGGGAUAAGGGAUUGUGGAGAUAAUACCCGUACUCGCCCCGUCCCAUUGCCAUGUCUACUUAUGGUUUCUCGUCUUCUACACUCUACAGUAUACAACCACGUAAGCUGUACGAUUACGGGUUUAGUGGGUCCCUCAUGUGCCACGUCAGCUGGCAUGUUCGCCACGUUCCUUGUGUCUGGGCUUGUGCAUGAGUUAAUCUAUUAUCAUGUUACACGUGUAACUCCCACGUGGGAAGUUACGUGUUUUUUUGUGCUUCACAGUGUGUGCAUGGUGGCGGAGGUGGCUGUUAAGAAGGUGGUUCUCCGUCGUGGAUGGCGGCUGCACCGUGCCGUGUCAGGGCCACUCGUGGUGGCAUUCUUGGCUAUCUGGGCGAAUUGGCUGUUUUUUCCUCAGUUGUUGAGGAAUGAAAUGGAUAGAAAGUCCACUGAAGAGUAUGUAAUUUUGGUGGAUUUUGUUAAGUCUAAGAUAUACCAUUGAGAAUGUUUAACUCUUGAGAGUAAACGUUAAAGGAUGAGAGAGACUUAUAAUUGUAAUAUUUACCUUAAAGGGUAAAAUAAAACAUUUCGUUUUUUUUUAAGAAUUAUUUAAUUGUGAAUAAGGCAUAUAUGUUGAAUAUGUUGAAAAAUGAUGAGUGUGACUCAAGAGCUAACAUCUGAAAAUGUGCAAGUCUAAAAACAUUAAAGUAUUUUAUGUUUUUAUUGGAUUUACGUGGGUGUAUAAAAAAAUAUAUGGGUGUAUGAGUUUAGUUUUGAAGGCAAAAAAAUAUCUAUUUAAAUAUUUGAAAAAAAAAAAACUUAAUUGCACAUAGUGUUUCAAAUGAAAGAUACGCAUACGUGGUUUAAAAAAAAAAUGCCAUCUCUAUCUUGGAUUAAUGCAUUGUUCUUUCUUACAAAAUUGGGAAAAAAAAAUUAAGGAAAAGUGUGUCCCCCCUUGAAGCAAUAACAACUAAUCUAAGGAAAAUAUCAUCCAUUAGGAGAUUUAUAAUUAAAGUGUGUCCCCCCUUGUAGCAAUAACAACUAGUUAGUAAUAAAUGAUUGAACUACUGUUACAGCUGGCUAAGUUUCCUUCUAGAUUAGUCAAAGGCAAGAUCGAGAGGCACAGAAGCGUGGCAAUUAAUUUGGGUAGCUAUAAUCUGCUGCCUGUUGAACUUCAGAAAAAAAAUUGUCUUUAGAAGUGGUAAUUUGUCGUUUGAAGAUUGCUUGGAAUAUGUAAGAUUUAGAACAUGAUCUUGAUUGCAUGCCAGCAUAUUUAAAGGCUUCAGUUAUUCCUUCUUUGAGUGGUUAAACAGCCCAAUGAUGACUAUAAUUAAUGGUUUUUUUAUUAUUAAAAUGGAAUAAAAAUUAAAAUUAUCAUAAUGGAUUCAUCAAGAAAAUAUUUAUCAAAAUAGAUGAUUUUUGUCACAUAGGAUUAUAGAAAAUGUUACUUAAGUGAUACCUUAUGUUUUUUGUGUAUUUUAUAGCAUGAGGCACCAUUCUUGUAUACUCCAUUUUCGCCAAUGCUAAAUUCGUAUUUAAUGAUUAGAUCUUAUGACACAGUUUUACUCAAUGAUGAUCAAGCUAAUACAAAAUACUUAUAAAAUUAAACUCUUGUCUUUACAACAAUUUAAAAUAAGUAUAAAUGUAUAAUUAAUUAUGAAAAAAAGAGAUAGGUAAGCUUAGUAACGAAGAAUAAAAUAAUAAGAGUAUGUAUUUGUAUUUCUUUUGAUAAUGAAGAAUAUUUUUUGGAGACAAAAUAAGACGUAUAAAUUUCAAUUUUUUUAUAUAUAAUUUUUUGGUUGAGUGUCUUUCAGUAAACGACAUCAUGCUUUAAGAUUUUAGUGUCAGCCUCAACUUUUUGGCAUCUAGAGUUGAAUGGGAACAUUCUUUAGUUCUUAUCACUUUGUCCUGAUUGUUUUGUGCUAGCAAAAUAAAUUUUUAGAAAGUCUGUUGAAAGUCAUUCUAAUUAUCUAGAAUCAUGAGAUGCUCUUCAUCCUGAAGUAGUUAAUUGGUCAAGAUAUAUGUGGGGUGUUGAACAUGUAUUGAUUUCCGUUGGCUUGAGAAGUUCUACUGUUUCAUUCACACAAAAAGCUCAUAGAACUUUGGUUGGUUUGUGCCUGUCUCUCAAAAGUGCAAGUGUGUAAAUUUGAGUACUUUCAUGAAUCAUUUAUACUAGGUGAUUGAUGUUGUGGUUUAUUUUAUGUGCUUAUGUUAAUUGUGUUUUUCUUUUUUCUAUCUUGAGGAGCGUAUGAAUGCAGAGAAAUAGAUGUUGAAAUAUUUAGAAAUAUUUCUUUCAAUAUAUUAUUAUGACAUGAAUUUUAUUUACUAUCAAACAGGUUCAUCAAAUUUGUGGCUAUGAUGUUUAUUGCUUUAGAAAAGUUUUAUUUGAGCUGGUGACAAAAAUUGUUGAUCCGUCAAUGGUUGUUGAUGAGGAUUUCUUAGACGAAAUAUGAGCUAUAUCCAUUUUAGCUCAUUCACUUGCUUUUAAAUUUAAGAAAUUACAAUAUUGUAUAGUAUUGUAACUAUAAAGUUAAUAAAUUAGUAUACUAUUGUAUUUUCAUCCAUAUUAUACAAUCUCAUGAUGUUAUAUUAUCCAGUUUAUCUUAAUCAUCAUUUAUACAUUUUUUUAUAACAUAUAAUAUUAAAUACUUUUGUUUUGCUACAAACAAUGUUUCGAACAUUAUAACUUUGUUACUUCCAUUUUGUUAUAUAAUAUCUAUUUUUUUUUGCUUGAUCUUCAAAUCAGUUAUAUGUGCUGGUAAUUCAUUUUUUAGCUUAUAUUAAUUUUUUUCACAUUUACUUGCUUUCAAAUUUAAUAAAUAAUAAUAUUGUAUAAUAAUAUAUCUGUAUAGUCCACACCUAUAUUAUUAUUUGUAUUUUUCAGCUUACCCGUGCGAAUACACGGGUUACUUUCCUUAUAAAUGAUCAAACAGCAGACAAAUUAGAAAAAAAUGAUUUCAAAGGAUAAAGACCCAAAAAUAGGACUUUCAUAUAAACUAAUUAAGAAAAAAAUCUAUUUUGAGAAGCCUAAAAAGAGGAAUCAAACAUUAUUGUUUGGUCUCCUGUUUGAAGGUGAAUUUCUACAAGAGUUGCUUUGGGCUAUGGGAGUGGAAAAUAGGGUGGUGGAAACAUAUGCAGAUUUAUUGAAUUGUAGAAUUUUAUCUUGGCCAUUUGUAUAUCUUGGGAUACCAAUUGAGGCUAAUCCAAGGAAGUUGAACUUAUGGCAACCCAUCUUUGACAAGUUUUCCAAGAAGUUGACACUUUGGAAGCACAAGUUUAUGUUUCUUGCGGGUAGAUCAUGUUUGGUAAAUUCUGUGUUAUCCUCUUACCUCUUUUCUUUCUUUAGGAUUCAAAAUGUAGUGAGGAAGAUUCUAGUGGGGAUUCAAAGGAGGCUUUCAUGGGGAGGGGGAAAUGAGAAUAAAAAAAUAGCAUGGGUUAAGUGGGGGGAUAUUUGCAAGGAGUAGAGUGAGAGUGGGCUAGGAGUAAAUGAUAUAAGGUCAUUUAACGAGGCUUUGUUGAGAAAUGGAGAUGAAAUUUAUUCCAUGGUGAGGGGAGGGAGUUUUUGAAAGAAGUGUUAAUUUUGAAGUAUGGUGGUUGGAGGGGCAUUCUAAAUGAGUGAGAACAAACUCUUGAGUCAUGGUGGUGGAGGGAUUAAAGAGGGUUUGUGGAGGAAAAAAUGAGGUGAAAUGGUUGAAUGGGUUUGUUGAUGUGUUUAAACAAGUUUUGGUUGAAUGAUUGGAUGGAUAGACAAAGUUUAGCUAAUAUAUUCCCUGGACUUUUUACUAUCUCCGACCAAUAGGAGGAAGUGAUUGUUAAGACGGGUUCAUGGAGGGAUGGUUCUUGGCGGUGGGAGGUAAAGUGGAGGAGGAACCCUUUUGUAUGGGAGACUAAACUUAUACAACAGCUUCAUCAAUUACUGGAAGGGGUCCAACUACAAAUUUCAGGAGAAGACAGAUAGUUUUGGAAGCAAUGCCCCUCAGGGCAGUUUUCAACUUCAUCGGCCUAUCACUUUAUUCAACAACUUGGAGGGGCGGGAGAAACUUGACAACUUUUUGAGUAGAUAUGGAAAAUUAAAAUUCCACCUAAAGCUAAAAUUCUUAUGUGGAGAAUUUUCAGAGAUAGAAUGCCAACUCUUGAUAACUUGGUAAAGUGAAAUGCCAUUGAUAGGUAUUGUGAUCAAAUGUGUCCUCUCUGUUUGGGUCAUCAAGAAUCUGCUCAACAUCUUUUCAUCUCUUCUAAUGUCAUUCAAGAUGUUUGGUUGGAAUGCAUCUCAUGGAAAUCUCUUUCUCUUGCACAGCCAAGUAGUUUGGAAGUUCAUUUCAGGUAAUUUGCAGGUUUAGGAGGUUCUAGAAUUGAGUCAGAAUUUUGGCAAGCAACAUGGGGAGCAGUGGUCUUUUGUGUGUAGAAAUUGAGGAACACAGUUGUUUUUAGACAACAGUUAGUGGACAGAAAGAAAUUGAUAGAGGAAGUUAAAUUCCUUAUCUGGUCAUGGUUACAUAAUCUGGAUUCUGGUUUUAAUUUUUCAUUGGUUCAAUGGUCAUCUAAUCCAGCAGUUUGCGUACAUGGAUGGUUUGGCAGGACAUUAUGUAUGUGGCAAGUAGCUGAGUGCAGGAAAUUCGAUCAGAAAUGUGCAGGAAAGGGUAUGUGUAGCAUUGUGGAAUCUGUCAGGUGGAAAUGCUAAUUAUGGAGGUGAGUUCAUUAAUCUAUUUUGCCACAUACAUGCGAAGAACUUGCGCUGUGUUAUUAUUAAGAAAACUUCUCUGCAUGGUAUAUGGCUUUUGGUAGUGGGGUAACUUCCACAUGACUUUGUUUUGCAUAAUUUUAUCCAGCAAAGACAUGUUAUAGCUGGUUAGUGGUGGGAUACUAUACUAUGAGAGGAAAUGAGUGAAUUACAAUACUCUGGUAUGUUGUGGAGCUUUGAACGGCUAUUUUUUAUUUAUGCAAUCAUCGCCUAAAUAUAUUGUAACCGCUGUCAUGAGCUGAUGGGGAAGUUCUAUGAACUUUUUGUAUUUACCUCUGGUACCCUUCUUUAUUACAUAUAUACAACUUUUGCUGAUUAAAAAAAAUGUUUUUUCGAUUUCUUGCUGACACUGUAAAAGAUAGUCAUUGAAGUUUAUUAGCUGUAUACUAGCAAUGGUAUAUUUUAGUUGAAUAAAUCAGAAAUAAUAAUAAAACAGAUAAUGUGUUUUGAGGUGCAAUAAACAGGCUCAAAUCAUUAAUAAUAAUAUUAAGAAUAUGUUGCUAUAAAGAUCUGCUGCAAAUCUUGGGUAACGUAAAACCAUAUAUUUUUUUUAAAAUUAACAGGUAUUGCUUUCUAACUCAAAUCAUUUUAGCACCAUAUACUGCUGCCUUUUGGUUGACAUGCAAAUGAGGCAAGCUGAAGAUGCCAUAUUUGAAAUAGAAACCACGGAUAAAGAACAUAUAAAUAUAAGAUUGGCCUAGUGGUUAGGAAAGAAGGACUUAAGGGUAAAGGGAGAAAGGAGGGGAGAGAGGUCAUAAGUUUGAAUCUCCACACUGACAAUUUUUAACAAAACUAACAUUUGCCGAUACAAAAAAUCAGAUAAAGAACAUUGUGUAAUCAACAUGCUAUGAUUUAGCACAUUCCAUGUUACAAUGUGUCUCACCCUUAUAUUAUUUCUAAAAGUUUCCAUAAAGACUACAAGAAAGCUACAAAGAAGGCAAAAGAAAGGUGCAUAUGCUAUACACCUUAACCUUAUAUUAAUGAUGCAUAAAAAGCAAUAUACCCUUCUGAAUGAGAUGUAGGAAUUAUACCCUGGUUGCGUACACUUGUUUUCUUGGACAUGGGAUAUGCAAGUGCAGAUCGUUGCUUGGUUAACCCUUCAAUGAUAAAAGAAAGUGCCCCAUAAGCAAUGCAGCUCUGUAGAAGUGAUUGGGGUGUACCUGGAGAAUCCUAAAGGAUGAGUCAUAAUAACAAUAAAAACGUACAAGAGAAGAAAAUUAAAUACAUAUUUUUCUUUUUGGUGAAUAAAUUACAUACAUAUAGAGAUAGACUUAUACAACAGAAUUGAUUGAAAUGCCUGAGUCACUAAAGCAGCUUUUUGUUUUGUUUUGUUAGACCAUUCAACAUAGUAAUAAACCUCAACCUUUCCCCAGCCACCAAUUGGAGACAAAAUUGUCUCAAGUGUUUGGCAUGAAGGAUCAUGUUUAUUCAUAGAUUUCAACAAUGAAAGACAAAUUAAAAUUCAUACCUUUGAGAAAAAAGGUUUGGUCAAAAUAGGUAAGAUUACUGUGACCUUUAUCCUUAAUUUCAAUUGGUGCAGAGACCAACAAGUUACUAAAAAUUUCAAAAGUAAAGGAUGAUAGUUCAUCAAUUAUUAAAAGAAGGGAUAUACCAGGAAAACUUGUAGCAAGACCAGCGCAGCAUCCAGCUACCCCAGCAUUAAUGGCUGCAGAUGUGAAAGGAAUCACAUUAUCAGUGAGAGAACAUUAUAUUGGCGAGGCUUUUUUAAGUUGGCUUCUAACAUAUUUGGCUGAAUUAGAAGUUUGUUUGCCAAAUUAAACCUCUUUGCCAAAGGAACAUAUUUUUAUGAGUGUUUUUGUAACACUUUUCAUGUAGCAUCUGAACACUACCUUAUCAUAAUUCCUUCUUUCUUUUCAUUAAUAGUUUCCAACUAACUUUUUAGCUUCCAAUUAACUUAUAUGUUAAGUUUUGUCAAACACAUCAUUGAAAUUAAAUAUUUUAUACCAUCAUCCUUUCCUCUAAGUCUUCCCAAUAUGCAGACAACCAAACUAUCAACUCCGGAUAAAAUUGCAAAUGUCUAAUGAAAAAGAAGACAAAAAAUGAAGAUUAUUAAUGAAUGGACAUGUUCAAAUAGGUAUUAAGUUUGCAAAGUAAAACGCCGGGCAGAAAAUAAACAACAUUGAUCUCUGGUAUACCUUAGCAUUAGAUCCUGCUUGUAUAAAGGAUCCUUUAAAGUCUUUCUUCUUAAUCAAUCCAGCACCUGAAAACAGACCCAUUGAAAGCAUCCUUGAGCACGAACAGAAAUAUCGACCAACUAUCAAACUCUAAGAAUUUGAAUUUCUUGAUCAUAAUCCUCUGCCAGCAUUUCAAAGAUAGCAUAGAUACACAAAUAUAACCUAUGAUUGAAUAAAGCAGAAAAUUCAGUUCAAAAUCCAUUUCUCUAGUUACUUGUUAGGAAAAUAUUAUAUAGAUUCAAAAUUUUAAGUAAUGUUACACACUCACUCCUCUCCUUCUUCACUCAAAGGUAAUAAAUAACUAAUAACAGAAAAGAUUUGAAGGUGAAAUUAUCUACCAAUAGAUUCCUCUUUAAGUUGUGUACAGGAUAUAAACAAAACGACAUAUACUCCCAAAUUACAAAUUUCUCAGAGGAUGCUAUAAAUUCAAGAAAGAAAAAACAAUUUCAAAUUGCAAAUUCCGUGUAGCCUAUUUGAUUAAGAAUAAAACUUAGAUUUAGUUGCAGUUAAUUAAGUGUCUUUAGAGUUAUUCUCCUGUCAGAAUUGGAGUUUUACUUUCUAAACCUUUAAUACAAAUCUUUAUUAUGUGAAUUACAAGUGAAACUCCAAUUAUGAUUGAAAAACAACAUUAAAAGUACCUAAGGAACUGCUUCUAAGAAAGUUAAAAUACCAGAAACAAGAGAAUGACGAAGAAAAACAGAAAAAAGAAAUGGUAACAUCACAAAAAGUAAACAUAAAGCACAUGCAAGUCCAAGUCAGAGAGAGGACCAUAGCCGAAAAGGGAGCCAGUGAGGGCACCACAAGCAGUGCUAGUGGUGGCAGGGAGAAGAAGGGAAGCCGUGAGGGACGGAGUAGAGGAAGGACCUACAGAUUUUGUAGGAUUGGGAGCAUUGUUCACAUCACUAACCGAAUUAACUGUUACAUCCGAUGCCAUCUUUUUUGAGUUUUGACGAUGUGGUUACCCUGCUCUUGACUUGAAUUUAUUCCACACUAACAACAUUACCUCUUUCAACAAUAAACUAAUCAACACUGCUAUUCACAAUUAUUAAUUAGCUAAGUAAAUAUUUAGGAACACAAGGUCCUUCUCUGACUAUGUCAGUUAUGCAAUCCUCAUUGUUAUUAACGAUAAUCAAAUUCUUUGAAGUAUGAAAACAAAGUUCUGUAUAGAAACCAACGAAAUGGGAUAUUUUUUCUUCCUUUUUUCUUUUAAAAAAAAAUCUCACAAAGUAUAUAGAGUAAACCAAGCAGAUACACAAGAUAUCACCAUUUUAGUCCUAACCAUGAUUUGCAGAUCCUAAACGACGAUGCAAAUCUGCUAAGAGGCAUCCACGAAGUGAAAAUCGUUGGCUUAUAUGAAUCACUGGCUUAUAUCAAUCGAAUUGAAUCAUAGUGUUAAAUGAAAGGGAAAGUGCAAGUGCAUGAGCUAGUCCUGGUGCAUUACCAUCAACUACUACUGUCCACUCUUGUUCACUCUUGCUUUAAAUGAUUAAUUUUGUUCCAUUGAAGCUCAAUAUUCAUUUCAAAUCAUGAUUACAUGCUCUUUAAAUGAAUUACUGCAUAAACUUUUGACCACAAAACAUAACCAACUAUGAGCGUGAAAGCACACAUCCAAUUACAUGUUAUCUACUCAUGCAUUAUACAGUACAAACCAAAAAAGCCUACUAUUUUCAACAAUGUUUUAGGUGUGAUUGGUUUGAGGGUGAAACCAACCAAAAUGUAUCAACUGUAUGAUUUUCUUGAGGUAAUAAUCAAUGAUUAUUUUGGCUCCAUAAACUACUCGUUUUCAUUGUGUUCCUAUUGGUAUUGAAGCUAUUAGUUUCAGGCUAUGAUAAAUUGUAGUAGCUGAAUGCGAUUGUUAGGGAAACAAACCCUUUUAGCUACAAUGAACAUCAAAGACAGAACACACUAACAACACCACCAUGAAAAAGAAAUAUGGGAAGAACACAUCAAAGGAUAAAAAACACUAACUACAACUCCAUAAAAUAGAAAUAGUAGAACAACACAAAUUUAACAUUUUCAGUACUUCUUGCUUAUGUCAACAGAAAUAUCUUAAUAAAUAUUCAUUAUCUCAAAUAAGUUGAGAGAAACUUCAUCAAAUAAUGAACACAUGAUUUCAAACUUUUUUCAUCACUCAAUUGUAUUCUAUUUCAGCCUAAAAGCCUCACAAAUAAACCCUAAAUCUUAAUAAAAAUAACUUUCAUUAUUUAUAACCUAUUUGACAUUUUUUAAAAUUAAAAUUCCUUCUCACGGAUCAAGAUGAUCCGUAAGCUUGUUGCGGAUCAACUACAUCCUUAAUCAAACUUACGGAUCAACUUGAUCAACCUAACUCUGGCAACAAUGAACUAAAAGACAUGGUUACGGUGCUUACCUCGAUGGUGGACGGUGACGAAACUCCCUCGAUGGUGGACGGUGGCGUUGCUCUUCACGAAAACCUCCUCAAUGCACCUCACGGCAAGCUCCCCUUCACGGCAACAAUGGUGGUUGAAGAAGAAAAAAAACCUCUUCCUAGUAACCUCCUUUUAACGGCAACAAUGGUGACAAAUGGAAACGCCGGUGAGGCGAGCAAGAAGAAGACAAAAAAGGUAAGGAAGAAGAAGAAUAAAUCGGGCUGAGGAAGUAGAAGCCGAAACACGGGCGGGAGAGAGAGUCUCACGUUUUUUUUAAAAAAAAUAAGUCAGGGGUAUUACGGGCUUUUCACUUCAAGUGUUGGGUGCACCAGCAAAAAUACUGGGUGCACCUAGCAACACUCUUCGAAGUUUGGUUUAGGCUUACUAAUAUGUUGGGCCCGGACCUGAGGAAUGGUCAACCAACAUAAUAUAAUUAAGUCCUUGCAUUGUUAAAUUUUAAGGGACGUACAGGUAUGAUAUAUGCAUGGUGCGAUUAUUGACGGUGGGUGUCUCUCGCCGAUAAUGACAUAAUUACAUAGAUGAGGGGGUGAGUAUGUUGUGUUUGAUAGUUAGUCUUGCAUCUUCCUUUGCGUAUUUAUUCUUAUGCAGAUUAAGAUGUAAGGCGCAGUCAUUUGUUGGGUAAUGCUUUCUUUCGAGCCUUAGGGGUAGGCUAGUAGUUCUUUGCAUUCCAUGUACGGGCCAAUGUAGCCACUUGUAUUUGCACUGCUUGUGCUUCUUAUUAUCAAUAUAAAUAUAUAUAUAUAUAUAUAUAUAUAUAUAUAUAUAUAUAUAUAUAUAUUCGUCGAUAAAAAGAAAAACUUAUCGUGUGACCUAAUAUCAAAUAAACAAUACCAAUCCACAAAAAGAAAAAGAAAUAACCUACUAUAUAGAGUCAAACAAGUAGUAGAUAAUUUGAGUAGUUUCAUGAAAUCAUAAGUUUUAAAUGUUAAGUUUGUGUUCAUCUUCUUAAGUUACGAUAAAUGAAAUUAUAUAUAUUGAAACAGAUUUUAUUUAAAAAUAAAUAGAAUUUUAGAAAAAUAAUGAGAUUUUUUAUUAAAUAAAUCAGGAGAAAUAAUUUUAUUAAUUAAAAUAAGGUUUGUAAGGUAAAUAAAAUAAAUAUAUGUCCUUAGAAAGUAAAAAGGAUGUUUUAUUUAUUAAUUUGAUAUAAAUUAAAAUAAAAUUCCUUUUUAUAAAAUAAAUAUAUGCUCUUUUAAGAUUUUAACAUAUUUUUUUUUACACACUAUUUUCUAUUAGUUGAAAUUAAUUAUUUUGUCUCCAUUUUUAUUUAUAAGACUUUUAAAAUAAUAUUUAUUCUGUUUUAUAAAACUCAAUCUAUAAUAUUCCGUACUUAUUUAAAAAUUGGGUAGCAUGAAAUGGUAUGGAUACGGUGACAAAUAAUUAACAUUAACAAUGGCAAAUUCAGUGCUGGCAUACACGUUCAGCUUUCUCUGAAACUAGCGCUGGUCAUAUCUAGCAUGUGUUUUAAAGACAAGUGGAUGAUACUUCAACCAGCGCUGUUCGUAUUAGUUGGUUCAACAAUAAUGGCAUAUUUCAAUACAUUGGAAUAAAUAACUACUUUAUAAAUUAACAAUAAAAAUAUUGGAAGAAACUGCAGUGUCCUUGGCUAGACUAAAAUGGCAGAAACUGCAGUGUCCUUGGCUGGUCAGCAUGCGCUUCCAAAAAUAUUGGAAGCUGUCAAAAUGCUGAGAGAUCUCCCAAAAGAAGUUAGAGACAUUACAGAUGAACUUGAAAGCUUUCAAGAUUUCAUCAAUGAUGCUGAUAAAGUGGCUGAAGCUGAACAAGAUGAUGGAAGGCGUCAUAGAAUAAAAGAAAGGGUGAUGCGGCUGAGAGAAACAGCUUUUCGCAUGGAAGAUGUCAUCGAUGAAUAUAACAUCUCCUGUGAGGAUAAGCAACCUGAUGAUCCUCCAUGUGCAGCUUUACUAUGUGAGGCUGUUGACUUCAUCAAAACUCCAAUCCUUCGCCUUCAAAGUGCGUACAAGAUUCAGGAUGUUAAAUCCCUUGUUCGUGCUGAAAGAGAUGGUUUCCAAAGCCAUUUUCCUUUAGAGCAAAGACAAACCAGUUCUAGAGGAAAUCAAGAUAUCACAUGGCAGAAACAUAGAAGGGAUCCUCUCUUUAUCGAGGAAGAUGAGGUUGUGGGGCUUGAUGGCCAUAGAGGUAUAUUGAAAAAUUGGUUGACAAAGGGAAGAGAAAAACGCACUGCCAUCUCUGUGGUGGGAAUUGCAGGGGUGGGAAAAACCACUCUUGCCAAGCAAGUUUAUGACCAGGUGCGUAACAAUUUCGAGUGCCAUGCGUUGAUCACAGUUUCUCAAUCCUUCUCUACUGAAGGAUUGCUGAGGCACAUGUUGAAUGAGCAUUGCAAAGAAAAAAAGGAGGACCCUCCCAAGGAUGUUUCUACCAUCGAGUCGUUGACAGAAGAAGUCAGAAACCGCUGGCGCAACAAGAGGUAUGUUGUCUUGUUUGAUGACGUAUGGAAUGGAAAAUUUUGGGAUCACAUUGAAUCUGCUGUAAUUGAUAAUAAAAAUGGAAGUAGGAUAUUAAUCACAACCAGGGAUGAGAAGGUUGCAGAAUAUUGUAGGAAAUCAUCAUUUGUUGAGGUGCAUAAGCUAGAAAAACCUUUAACUGAAGAAGAAUCUUUGAAAUUGUUCUGUAAGAAGGCAUUUCAGUAUAGUUCCGAUGGAGAUUGUCCAGAAGAACUUAAAGAUAUAUCUCUUGAAAUUGUUAGAAAGUGUAAAGGUUUACCUCUAGCAAUAGUGGCCAUUGGUGGUCUUUUGCCUCAAAAAGAUGAAAGUGCACCUGAAUGGGGACAAUUUUGUCGAGAUCUAAGUUUAGACUUGGAGAGGAAUUCUGAGUUAAAUAGUAUAACAAAAAUUUUAGGUUUAAGUUAUGAUGAUUUGCCAUUCAAUCUCAGAUCAUGUUUAUUGUAUUUCGGAAUGUAUCCGGAGGACUAUGAAGUUCAAUCUGAUAGACUGAUUAGACAGUGGAUAGCUGAAGGGUUUGUCAAACAUGAAACCGGAAAAACAUUGGAAGAAGUUGGGCAACAAUAUUUAUCAAGGUUGGUCCGUAGAAGUUUGGUGCAAGUAUCCUCAUUUAGAAUUGAUGGCAAAGUUAAAAGGUGUCGUGUUCAUGACUUAAUACACGACAUGAUCCUUAGAAAAGUCAAGGAUACAAGGUUUUGUCAGUAUAUUGACGGGCGUGAUCAAUUUGUAUCAAGUAAGAUUGUUUGACGCCUGACAAUUGCAACCGAUGAUUUUGUUGGUAGUUGAUUAGAUGAUAGUUGAUAAUUUUAGAGAAUUGUUUUAGAAAGAAGGCUAUGUCAUUGAUUUCUUGAAUGAUCAAUUACAACAUUCCAAUUGCCUAUUUAUAGGCUCAAGUCACCAACCUCUCAAUGGUGGUGAAUGUUUCUACAUUACUUUAGGUCUUUCUAGAGUUUUCAUGAUAGAUUAGUAUCAUGAUAGUUCUAGAUUCUUCUAUCUUAUACAUACACUUAUGAUUCUAGAUUGUUCUACCAUAUUCAUACACGUUAUAGGUCUAGAUUGUUCUAUCAUAUUCAUACACAUUAUAGUUCUAGGAUAUUCUACUAUUUUCAUACAUAUUAUAUUUAAGAAUAUUCUAGAAAUUUGUAGCAAUUUCAACACUCCUCCUUGAUGCAAAUUUCUGUGACUCCGAGCAUAGCUCGUAAUUCUUCAAAUCUUGGUCUUGGCAAAGCCUUCGUGAAUAUGUCUGCAAUUUGAUCUUCUGUUCUGCAAUAGUCGAGUUUGAUCUCUUUAGUUGCUUCAGCUUCUCUGAUAAAGUGAUACUUGAUUGCUAUGUGUUUUGUUCUGCUGUGAUAAACUGGAUUCUUCGCCAUUGCAAUUGUUGAUUUGUUGUCGCAGUUGAUUUUAGUAGGCUCAUCUUGUUUUUCUCCCAUGUCUUCAAGUAUCCUACGAUGCCAUAUAGCUUGACUCGUUGCUUCAGCAGCUGCCACGUACUCUGCUUCUGUUGUUGAUUGUGCUACUGUAGCUUGCUUCUUCAACGCCCAAGAGAACAUUCCCGAUCCUAGUGAGAAAGCAUAGCCAGAGGUACUCUUCAUGUCAUCUGCCGAACCUGCCCAAUCACUGUUGGUGUAGCCAAGUAAUUCUGAGUUGGUUUCGGUAGUAUACCAUAUACCGAACUCUUUUGUUCCUUGUAGAUACCUCAAAAUUCUUUUUCCUGCUCCAAAGUGUAUUUGACUUGGGCUUUGCAUGAAUCUUGAUAGAAGACUUGUAGCAUACAUUAUGUCAGGCCGUGUAGCUGUCAAAUAUAGGAGGCUUCCAAUUAGACUUCGGUAUUUGGAUGCAUCAGCUUUUGGUGCUCCAUCAUUCUUCUGUAGUUUCUCAUUUGUUAUGAGUGGAGUAGCAACAGGUUUGCAACCAUACAUCUUGAAUUUCUUAAGUAAGCCUUCUGUGUAUUUCUUUUGCGAGAUGAAUAUCCCUUCAUUUCUCUGACUUACCUCUAUGCCGAGGAAGUAACUCAUCAAACCAAGGUCGGUCAUCUCAAAGGUCUUCAUCACGUCUUCUUUAAACUCCAUCAUCAUCUUAGUAUUGUUUCCCGUGUAGAUAAGAUCAUCUACAUAUAGAGAGAGUAAGAGAGUGCACUGCCCUUGAGACUUGAUGUAAAGUGUAGGCUCACUCUUACUCCUCCUGAAUCCUCGAUCCAUGAAAUACUGAUCGAUUUUGCUAUACCAUGCUCGAGGUGCUUGCUUCAAACCGUAGAGUGCUUUUCUUAGUCUUAACACUUUGUUUUCUUUGCCUUCAGACACGAAUCCUUGUGGCUGAUCCACAUAGAUCUCUUCUACAAGUACGCCGUUAAGGAAGGCGGAUUUGACAUCUAGUUGAUGGAUACUCCAUCCUUUUUGUGAUGCAAGAGCUAUUAGAGCUCUUAUGGUAUCAAGACGAGCUACUGGUGCAAAUGUCUCAUUGUAGUCAAUUCCGGGUUGCUGUGAGUAACCCUUAGCUACUAGCCUAGCCUUGUGUUUAUGUAUGGUGCCAUCAGGGUUGAGCUUUGUCUUAUAGACCCACUUAACCCCAAUGAUAUCUUUUCCAUGGGGACGAUUUACUAACUCCCAUAUGUUGUUUUUCUCGAUCAUUUGUAUCUCUUCUUCCAUUGCCUUGACCCAUACUUCCUGCUUUGACGCUUCUUCAAAGCUUCCAGGUUCAAGUAUGGCCAAGUUACAGGUUUCAUAUAUGUCCACCAAAGAUCUUACUCGUCUUGGAGUAGACUCUGGUGAUGAUAGUUCUUGAUCUUGUUGUUGUGGUGGAGGUGAAGGUGGUUCACCUGGGUCUUCUUCCUCAGCUUCUUCUUGAGGUAGUUGAGUGGGUAUAAGAAUGUUUUUCUCCACUUUUUCUUUAUCUUUAUCCCAAUUCCAAGAAGCAUACUCAUCAACUUCAACAUCUCGAUUGACGAUGAGUUUCUUAGUUUGCAAGUUGUAGACACGGUAGCCCUUAGAGAUAUUGCUAUACCCAAGGAAGAUACCUCGUAUAGUCUUGUCUUCAAGCUUGUGCCUCUUCACGUCUGGAAUAUGAAUGUAGCAUAUAGAUCCAAAGACCCUUAGGUGCUUUGCUGAUGGCUUCUUCCCGUUCCAAGCUUCAAUUGGAGUCUUGUCUUUUACAGACUUAGUUGGACAUCUGUUGAGUAUGUAAACUGCAGUGUAGACUGCUUCAGCCCAGAAUGUGUUAGGUAGUCCCUUUUCCUUGAGCAUCGAUCUAGCCAUCUCCAUAACUGUGCGAUUCUUUCUCUCGGACACUCCAUUUUGUUGAGUAGAAUAUGCGACUAUAAGUUGUCGCUCAAUGCCUUCAUCCUCACAAAAUCUUUCAAACUCGCGAGAGGUGUACUCUUUGCCGCGAUCACUUCUUAGUACUUUUAUCUGUUUUCCACUUUGAUUUUCAGCAAGGGCCUUGAACUUUUUGAAUACUCCAAAGACUUCUGAUUUUUCUUUUAGAAAAUAUACCCAUGUCAUUCUAGAGAAGUCAUCAAUGAAGAGUAUGAAGUACCUGUUGUUCUCAUGUGAUGGCGUCCUCAUUGGUCCACAGACGUCCGUAUGUAUCAGCUCCAAUAGAUCUUUCACUCUCCAUGCUCCGCUUGUUGAGAAAGGAAAUCGGUGUUGCUUACCAAGGAGACAUCCUUCACACACUUCAUUGUUCUCUUUUAUGCUUGGAAGAUCUCUCAUCAUGUUCUUCUCAUGUAACAACUUCAAGGCAUGUGUGUUGAAGUGGCCAAAUCUUCGAUGUCAUAGCCAUGAAUCAUCAACUUGUACCUUCAUGGAAAUGUUUGUUGCAUAUUUUAAAUUUAGAGGGAAGCUUCUAUUGCUCUUAUUCAUCUUUACUUGGGCUAUCUCAGACCUUUUAUUUUUGUUGUUUAAGAUUUUGCAUACACCUCCUUCAAAGUGAAGUGUGUAGCCUCUCUCCAUCAUUUGGCCAAUGCUUAGAAGAUUUUCUAUUAGGCUGGGAACUAGUAAGACAUCAUGGAUGAGUCACGUACCUUUAUCUGUCUCCACCAUGACAGUGCCUUUGCCUUUUGAUUCAACCACACUUCCAUUUCCCAGUCGAACUUUGACUUUGACAGACUCAUCAAUACUUUUGAAAAUAGUCUCAUCGUUGGCCAUGUGAUUGCUACAUCCACUAUCCAAGUACCAGUUUCCUCCCUUUUCUUUUAUUGAGUCUUGAGUGGCGUAGAAUGUACAUUGUUCUUGAUCAUGCUCCUCUGUGAUAUUGGCUUGAUGCCUAUUUUUGUUGCGACAAUUUUUCUCUACAUGCCCGAACUUCUUGCAAUGGUUGCAUUGUGGCAUAUUACGGAACCAACAAUUUUUCUCUGCAUGGCCUUGCCUUUUGCAUAUAUUGCAUGGAGGAUUUUUAUCUAUUUUGUUCUUAAGGAAAUUCCUAGAACCUUCUCUUCUUCUGGAAGUUUCUCCAUAAUUUUUCUUUCCUCCAUUUUCUUUGUUUUGGGGCUGAAAUUUAUGGAAGGCAUUUUCAAUUGUAUCUUCUUUAUGCCUAUACAGUCUUUGCUCAUAUGCUUCAAGAGAGCCCGCAAGUUCUGUCUCUGAUAGAGUGGACAGAUCUUUGGUUUCUUCAAUCGUUGUCACGAUUGGGUCAAACUUUUGGGGCAUAGUAAUUAAAAUUUUCUCAACAAUUUUCUUGUCAAGAAUAUCUUCCCCAAAAGCUCUCAUUUGAUUAACUAUUUCUUUAACUUUAGAAUAGUAAUCUUUAACUGUCUCAGACUCCUUCAUCUUCAAUAGUUCAAAAUCUCUUCUUAGAGAUUGAAGUUUAACGACACGUACCUUAACACUUCCUUGAAACUCCUCCUGCAAUGUGUUCCACGCUUCUUUGGCAGUCUUAGCUCCCAUAAUUCUUGGAAAAAUUGGAUCAGUCACCGCUUGUUGCAAGGUGAACAACGCCUUUGAAUUUUUCUGUUUAUUUUUCUUCAACUCUUUUUCUUGAGAUGCAUUAAGAGCUGAAGUAUCCGCAGGAAUGGUGAAGCCUUCUUCUACUAUGUCCCAUAAAUCUUGAGAUAAAAAAUAUGUUUCCAUUUUAACACGCCAGAAAUCAUAAUUUUCACCAUUGAAGAUAGGGACAAAAAUAGUUGACGAUUGAGUAGUGUUAUCCAUAGCUUAGAAAAAAAUAUUAUUAGAGUGGGUUAAUAGUACAAAGAAAAUUUUCGAAGUAGUUGGGAGGAUUUUGGAAUGGUAGGUAGGUAAUAUAACUACGCCCAAUGUAUGACCGAACGUAGCUCUGAUACCACUGUUGGUAGUUGAUUAGAUGAUAGUUGAUAGUUGAUAAUUUUAGAGAAUUGUUUUAGAAAGAAGGCUAUGUCAUUGAUUUCUUGAAUGAUCAAUUACAACAUACCAAUUGCCUAUUUAUAGGCUCAAGUCACCAACCUCUCAAUGGUGGUGAAUGUUUCUACAUUACUUUAGGUCUUUCUAGAGUUUUCAUGAUAGAUUAGUAUCAUGAUAGUUCUAGAUUCUUCUAUCUUAUACAUACACUUAUGAUUCUAGAUUGUUCUACCAUAUUCAUACACAUUAUAGUUCUAGAUUGUUCUACCAUAUUCAUACACAUUAUAGUUCUAGGAUAUUCUACUAUUUUCAUACAUAUUAUAUUUAAGAAUAUUCUAGAAAUUUAUAGCAAUUUAAACAGAUUUUAGUGGAAGUAUAGGAAGCUCACCCAUUCGGUCAAUUUUUAUUAGCACAGGAGAAGAUGAAGCAGUAUCUGAACCCUUAGUAAACAAAAUCCCUACCAAUUACAUGCUAUUGAAGGUACUUGAUUUUGAAGGUUCUGGUUUACGUUAUGUUCCUGAAAAUUUGGGAAUUUAUGCCACUUGAAGUAUUUAAGCUUCCGGUAUACACGGAUAGAAAGUCUACCAAAAUGCAUUGGUAAGCUCCAGAAUUUGGAGACCUUGGAUACAAGAGGCACAAAUGUGUUUGAGAUGCCAGAGGAGAUUAGUAAGCUUAAAAAGCUACGUCAUCUUCAGGCUUCUGAUAUGAUCAUGGGUUCAAUAUGGAGGAAUAUUGGAGGCAUGACAUCCCUAGAAGAGAUACCUCUAGUGUUUAUAGAUGAUGAUGGAGUGGUCAUUAGAGAGGUAGGAAAGCUAAAGCAGUUAAGGGAACUGAAGGUGGUAGAAUUAAGGGGAAAACACGAGACGACUUUGUGUUCCGUAAUAAAUGAGAUGCCACUCUUGGAGAAACUACGUAUUUAUACAGCUGAUUCGAGUGAAGUAAUUGACUUGUACAUUACGUCACCUAUGUCUACACUUAGGAAGCUUGUCCUAAGUGGGACAUUAACAAGGUUGCCAAAUUGGAUUUCACAGUUCCCAAAUCUUGUGCAUCUGCGUUUGCGCGGCUCCAGGUUGACUAAUGAUGCAUUGAAAUCACUAAAAAAUAUGCCAAGGUUGUUGUUCCUCGAUUUAAGUUACAAUGCUUAUGAAGGUGAAACUUUGAAUUUUCAAAGUGGAGGGUUUCAGAAACUAAAGCGACUGCUACUCGGAUAUUUGGAUCAAUUGAAGUGCAUCCUUAUCGACAGAGGAGCACUGUGUUCUUUGGAAGUAUUUUCUUUACGAGACCUCUCCCAACUCAAAACAGUACCCUCUGGAAUUCAACACUUGGAGAAGCUUAAAGAUCUCUAUAUCGAGUUCAUGCCAACUAAAUUUGAGCAGUGCAUUGCUCCUGAUGGAGGAGAAGACCACUGGAUCAUCCAAGAUGUGCCCCAUGUACGUAUUUGGAGCAGGGAUGCUGAAGAACUUUCGCAUAUAUUCGGCAGAAGUCAUCACUAAGAUGUGCCCAAAUUUGAAAAAGAAGGUGCGUCUUUUUCACAUCUAUAACUUUGUAGAAUGACAUUCGUGGCCUUUUUCUUUUCUUCAAUAAAAAAUGCAACCAUUAUCUAAUGUUUUCGACGUUCCAAUCAUGUGGUUUUUUGAGUGUUAAUUAUUACGCCCAUUUUAGCGUUAUUAACACCAACACAAUACAAAGAAGCUGAAAAUAGUGUUCCUACAAAGGCAGACAAUUUUUGACAACAGGAAAACUCAAGAUUCCCUCAAGUUCUUUCUUUUGCGGCUCGUGAAAUGGUGGAUGCAUGAGUGGAUUUGAGGCAUCAAAUUGAUUUUUUAAGCUUCCUUCUUCUCUUUCUCUUGUUUCCCUUUUUUCUAAAAUGUGUACUCAAAUUUUUGUUAACUUGAUGUAAUUUGAAUUCUUAUCUAUAAUUCAAGUUCAUUUCUUUUAAAUUGAUUGUUUGCCUUUGUUUUAAUUUAAUGCCUUUAUAAAUUGGCAUUUGGUUACUUAUAGUAACUUGAUCGUAUAUUCUUGUCUACAACUGUGAAAUUGAAAUAAGAAUUGAAUUUAAGGUAUAAUGCAACAAGAUUGGAGAUUCUAUAGUAAUAAAUAUCAACAAUUACGCUAAUUUAGGGUGUGUUUGAUUUGUAUUUUUAUUUUCUGUUUUCAUUUUCUGAAAACUGUUUUCAUUUUCAAAAGAUUAGAAUUCUGAAAAUAUGUUUGGUUUGACUUCUUGUUUUCUAUUUUUAGGAAAUAAAAACAUUGAAAAUUUAUGAUAUAUUGACGUCUUGUCAUUUUUGUAUUUUUAGAUUUGCUUAAAAUUACAUUUCUUGUCAUCGCAUUUUCAUUUUUCCCAAAAUGAGGUUCCUGUUUUCAACUGAAAACACUGAAAAUGAAAUUUUAUUGUUUUCAUUUUUUGGUUUUUUUCUGUUUUCAUUUUUACUGAAAACGUUUUCAAAAAUCCAACCAAACAUAUUUUCAUCACCAUUUUCCGCUUUAGUAAAAAUGAAAACAGAAAACAGUCAAACCAAACACCCCCUUAGAUAUUCUUGAACCUAAUGAUUACCUUAAUUGAGAAAUUCUAAAGAUUUAGAAUUUUCAAUUGCGGAAGAGUUUUUGAGUUAAGAUAUAUUCACCUUCAAUUACAAUAGUAAAUAAUAAAUUCAGUUUCCAAUAUGCUUCUAGAACUUGAAUUGGAGUGAAAAUUUGGGUUGUACAUGUUAAGCUUGGGGUGAACUUGUACAAUAACAAGACAUGUUAGAUUUUGACUUAGCACUUUAAUCCUCUUAGCAUAGUGCUUCAGCAAUUUUGGUACCCAAACUUUUAUGUUCAGGUUUGAUCCCAUAUUUUUCAAAAAAAAAAUAAUGGUUGAAUAUAUGUUAUUAAAAUCAAUUUAUAUAUCACUUAUCUGGAGUAUGAUAAAUUUUUCAAGGCUUAAUUUUAUCUUUUUGUCUCAUUCAUUAUUUAUUUUAUUUAAUUUUAUCCUCCUAAUAAUAAAAUCUUUAAUUUGAUUGCUUAAUUCCAAAUUGAUUCAAUUUGGUCUCUUUGGUCCAAAUUCACUUGACGUUGUUUAUUAAUAGUGGGAUGAGAUUGAAUCAAAUAAAGGAACAAAUUAAAUUGUUUAUUAAAAUUGAAAAAAAAAUGAAAAAACAGUGAGAAAAAGAAGUUUAUUAAGGGGUCAAAUUGCACCGUUUUGAAAAUUAAAGUACUAAAUUAAAUUGUUUAUUAAUAGAGAACCAAUGCUAAAUAAAUAAAUAGCACGACAAAAAAGUAGGAUUUUUUUUUUACUUUCAGAAAAUUUGAAAAUUUUAUUGAAUUCUAAAAUAUUCAAUUAACUUGCCUAGUUUUUUGUUUAUUCACUCUUUUUUUUUCCUUUUAAUCCUUGAUGUUUGAAAACUUCAAAAUUCUUUUUGAUCACAAACAUAUUUUAACUCUCAUAAAAAAACAAAACAAUGUUUUCUAAAAUUGGACUGUUAUAAGUUAUUGAUAAAUCACUUUCUGAGUGAUAUUUUAUACAAAAUUUUGUGUUAUUUUAUAUGCAUUUUCUUGAUACGAUUCAUAUUUGAACAUUAGUUUUGUAUUCGAGAAGUAUAAUUACUCAAUUGAGUGAAAGAGUAAGAAAUUAUACAAAUUUAUGAAGAUUUAAGAACUUUACAUAACUUGAUUACUACUGUGGUAUAUUGAUCACGAUCGUGAUAAUCAGCAUGAUCACAAUAAAGUGAUAAUAGUCAUCCCUAAUGUUUUUAUAAUAAAAAUGUGAUAUUGAUUUAAAUGUUUAUUUAAUCUCACAUAAAUCAUUUAAAGAAAUAGUUAGACCUAAAAUCAAAAUAUAAAUAUAAAUAACACCAAAAAUAAAAAAUUAAAUAGAUGAAUUUUUAAUAAUUAUAAAUAUAGAUUUACCUUAUAUCUUAUCAAUCAAAAAGAGUUAAAUUCACUACAACUUUUAUUGGUACAACUAACACUACUUACAAUUACAAUAAACAUUGUUUUAUCACAUUUACAUAUUAGGAAGAUCAGAAAUUCACGUGAUGUUGUAGUAGAACAAAAAUAAGGAGACAAAAUCACUAACAUGUUCACAAAAAUAUUUAGAAUUAGCUAAGGUUUUAGUUUUUAAAUUUUUUUAAAUUUGAUUUUAAUCACUAAAUUCUUGUUUGACUAGUCAAAAAAUUUUAAAAUUUUAAUUUUAGGUUCUUGAAUAAAAAAAUUAAAUCUAUUAUUUUUAUUAAUUUAAUAAGUUUUUAAUAAUUAUAAAUCAAUUUUUUAAAAGUUUGGAAAUUAAAAAUCUUAAUGAAAAAAAGUCGAGAGACAUUGACCCGUCAAUUAAAAAUGUAGGAACUAAAAAUCUUGAUAAAAAAAAGUUGAAAGAUCUUGAUGAAUAGAAAAGAAAAUUUAAAAAUUAAAAACUAAAUUUUGAAAAAGUAUAGUAAUAAUUAGCCCAAAUAUUUAAGAGAGAUGCUCGAAUCUCAAAGUCUUCUUAUCAAAUCUCAAGGUAGACGUUGCACUAAUUUUUUUGUAAACACUAGCAUGGAUAAAAAAUAUGAUGUCAAUUUGAUGUAGAUAAAAGUAUGUCGUAAUAAAAAAAUCAUAUUAAGUGUGUAUAUCAAUUUUUAAAAUAAUUAUUAUAAAAGUUGAUGAUUAAAUUUAUUAUAUAUAUACCAUUUUUUAUUAAAUGAGAGUGUAAAGUCUUAUAUUUUCGCAUUAACUAUAUCUUGCUUCUACAAAACAUUUAUUCUUAGCCAAUUUAUCACCAGAAGACUCUUUGUAAGCAUCUUUUAGUAGUAUUAAAGUCUCUAGGAAAAUUUUCAUUCAGUAUUUUAAUGACAACUAGGUGAUCCUCGAUCCUGCGAAAAAUAGGAAAGUAAAUUUUGUUUUUCUAAAUUAAAGACCAACAAAAUAGAUCGAAAAUUUCCAUUUUUGAAAGAAAAAAAGAGAGUAAAUUUUAAAGCUUAGAGUAAACCAUAUGCAAUGAUAAGAAGGAUACACCAGCCUGUAUAUAGCUUUUAAAAAACUGGUUAACCUAGUUAAAAAAAAAAAAAAAAAACUGUUCCUGUGGAUCAGCAUUUAAUUUCUUGCUCAUCAUAUAACAUUAUUAUUGCCAGCAUGGAUUAGAUCAAAUCAGGUGGCUGACCUAUUCAACGGCAAUUCAUCAUCUCAGACCAGUUUCAAGAUCAAUCCUCAAAAUGAUGAAUUGUGUAAUCGGCGCAAACUAAAACACUAGAGCCAAAUGAAUAAUCAAAAUUAUAUAUAUAUAUAUAUAUAUAUAUAUAUAUAUAUAUACCUGCAAGGUAAAUACUUUGACAAGUGUAAGAUAUUUUAUUUAAAUUUUAUCGGUACAAUAACACUCACAAAUACAUUUGACAUUGUUUAAUUAAUCACAUUUAUUUACAAUUAACUAGAUAGCAAAUUCACAACUUGCUAUAGUACGACAAAAAUAAAGGGAAAAAUAUCACAACUUGCUCAUAGUAUAUUUAAGAUAGAUGAUGCUGAAAAGAUCAAAGUCUUCCUCUCGACAGAUGUGAUAAAUUUUUUGUAUAACACUUAUGGGUACAAAAUUUAUAACACUAAUAUGCUAUAGAUAAAGGAGAUGUAUUCGAGAAAACCUGAUGGCCAGAAAAGUUAAUCAUAUCUGUAUAAUUAUGCAGAUUAUUAUUUUACUUAAAAUUAAUUUUAUAUUUAUUGUAUUUGUACAAUUAAGAUUAAUUAAUCGUGCGUGAGGCUAACAAGAGUUGACACAUUUGAUGGAGACUUUUGUCCACACUUGCUAUAACUUGACAGUCUUCCUUGACUUUACAAGAGGUGGCAUGGCUUCCCCUAUUGUAAUUUUUCACCUCAAAAAUAGGAUGAAUAGUACAUGAGAACAUCAUCUUACACAGCUUACUGGAUAUAAAAAAAGGCAAUAUGAAAAUAUACAAUAUAUUAUAAUAAAGUUUGUGCCAAUGUGUGUCAUCGUGUGUGGCUAACAUGCAAUCAAUACAUUGAUCGAAUGGAGAAAAAAAGGUCAUAAUCAUAAUAAGAAAAAUAUUAGAGCAUGUUCUUUUAAGACUUUAACAUGGUCUUUUUUACACACUGUUUUCUAUUAGUUGAAAUUGAUUAUUCUUUUCCUGUUCCUAUUUAUAAGACUUUUAAAAUAAUGCUUAUUCUUUUUUUAUAAAAUUUAAUUUAUAAUAUUUUUUACAUUCAAUUAUUUUUAAACUAAAUAUGCAUCAUUAAAAAAAUAAAAAAAUAUAUUAACAAACCAUUAGACGAGAGAAAAUUUUAAUGACAAAAAUAAUUUUAAAAAAUAAUAUAAAUGUAAGACAAACUUAUUAUUAUGAAUUAAAUUAGUAUCUUUCUUUAAUCAUAAUAAAUUAGGUAAUUGCAUGGAGGGACUAAAAAUCAUAAAAUUGAAUGAAUUUCAUCGGUUCUUAUUCAAAGGACCUUAUUCAUGAUUUUUCAUUUUUAACAAAUUUCAACCAAUAUGAAAUUGUGCUAGAAAGUGUAAUGCCAACAUUUAAAACUUUAUGUUGUAAUACUAAUUUUAAGUGCUAAUCAUGAGUAGGUUUGCUUUAUGAAAGAAAAGUAAUAUUUCCUUUCGUUUCAAAUAUAAGAAAAAAAUUAUUUUUACUCUCAAAUAUAAGAAAAUUAGUAUUAAUUAAAUUUAUUUUAUUUAAUGUUAUUAUCUCUAAAAUAUCUUUCAUUUAAUUGAUAUCUUUUUCAUUUUUUAUUUUUUUAACACAAAGUUCCAAUGAAUGAUAAGUUGAGAAAAAGUUAGUUUUAAUUAAAUGUGGUUAACUAAUUUUCUUAAUUAGAAAAAAUGAGUAUUUUCUUUGAUAAAUGCCAACUAGUAUCCUUAACACAUUAGGUAAACAACUUAAAGUAGAAAUAUUUUAAUGGAAGAGAAAAUUACGCUGCUCAUGAUUUUUUUGCAUUCUCUUAUAAUUUUUAUGGUGAAUAUUUUCUUCUUUUAGUUUCUUAACUAGUGUUCUUUUCUUCUUUUAGUUUCUUAACUAGUGCUCUUAGGGCACAAGUUUAGCAAGACCAUUUUUCUUAUAUUUGAGAUCCAACAGAGUAUGAACUUUACAGGUUUUUGUGCAAUUGGUCCGAAUUUAGAUUAAAUUAAAAUUAAAUCCUAAUGAGUCGUGUUGAAUAUAUUAUAUAUUGGUUAUAUUUGAAUUUUUUAAAAAUAAAUCAUUCUAUUGUCAUUUAAAAUUUUUAUCUCCACUAAGUGUUGAUUUUUUAUUAUCUAAAACUGUAAGCAAAUGAAUAUAUUAGAGAAUCAAACAAACUGUAAUUGGAUAUUCAUGUUUGAAGUAAAAAAAAAAAAGAGAACUAAUUAAUCAAACCAAUUUGAAUCAAAAUAAUUGAUUUGAUUUAGAUGGUGUGUUUAUCAAGUCAAUUUGAUCAAUGCUCCUAAAAUGAAGAAAACAAGUGAAAAAAAGAGGGAAAAGAAGUUUAAAAUGACACAAUUUGUUAGGUUUUCUUUUUCGGUUGUUACUAUAUUAUAGGUGUAAAAGUAAUCUAUCAACUUUGUCAAUCAAUAUUUCUGUUAGAGAGUGUGAUUCGUACACCAUUAAUGAUUGUUUGUUCAUCUUGUAUUUAAUUCUGUAGUAAAUAAAAAAUAAAAGUUAUAUAUACUCAAAAUAAGACGUAUAUAUACUAAAAACGAUAGUCUUAUAUAGUCCGUCUUGAUGUUCCUCCGUUUUCUCGGAAAAUAAAACAAAGCUUGAAAGAUUGGCCGCUUGAAUUGAUAUUGCACUGUAUCUGUUUAACAAGUUGUACUUUAAACAUUAAACUGUUUUUUUAUGAUAUAUUCACAAACAUAUUUGUCUUUUUUAUUCGUUUAAACUUUGUAGUUGCAGAGUUCAGAUGUAUAUUGUUAAGCAAAUAAGUUGGUAACGGAAGUAUGAGCCUAAAGCUACAGAGCCAAUAGAACAAGCAAAUAUUAAUUUAUUCCAAACAGGCAAUUAAGUUGACAAGCAGGGCCGUCUAAUUUUGUUGGUAAAACUAAUACCGACAAACAUCAUUAUUUGAAUCGAAUAAUUAGUUUUCAUACUUAUUUAAAAACUGGGUAGCGUGAUAUGGUAUGGAUACGGUAACAAUUAACAUUAGCAAUGGCAAAUUCAGUGCUGGCAUGCACGUUGUGUCUGAAACUAGCGCGGGUCAUAUCUAGCAUGUGUUUUUUAGAAGGAUUCCACGGAUUCGUUUCAAGGUCCCGCAAUUGAGGAAUAAAUGACAAUCCUAAUCGCUAAUUGACCCAAGAAAACUGCUAUCUUCCAAGCAAACUCGUUUGAUUCGAUCUAGACUAAGUUAACACAAGUUUAGUCUGCGUGUCUACUGAGUCUUGUCUCAAUAUGCUAAAAAUGAGUUUGAAUACUAUUAAUUUAACCCGCAUGAAUCAAAUAGACUAUUAAACUCAUAUGAAUAGUAUGUGAAAAUAGACUUGUGAGUUAACAGAGUUUAGUUUGAGUGUCUAGUGAGUCUUGUCUCAAUAUGCUAAAAAUGAGUUUGAAUAGUAUUUAACCUGCAUAAAUCAAAUAAACUCUUAAACUCACAUGAAUAGUAACUGAAAAUAUAAUCUUACAGACCACUGGUUAUAAAAAAGGCAAUAUGAAUAGUAUGUGAGAACAUUAUUUUACAUACUAAUGGGAUAUAAAAAAUGGCAAUAUGAAAAUAUACAAGAUAUUAUAAUAAAAUUUGUGAUUAUGUGUGUCAUCGUGUGUGACUAACAUGCAAUCCAUCCAUUGAUCGAAUGAAGAAAAACAUCGUAAUCAUAAUAAGAGAAAUAUUGACAGCGUGCUCUUUUAAGACUUUAACAUAUUCUUUUUUACAUAUUGUUUUUUAUUAGUUGAAAUUAAUUAUUCUCUCCUUGUUCCUAAUUAUAAGACUUUUAAAAUGAUAUUUUUUUUUAUAAAGCUCAAUUUACAAUGUUUCUUAGAUUAAUUAUUUUUAAACUAAAAAUAUUUAUUAUUAAAAGAAAAAAAUAUAUAUUUACAAAUCAUUAGACGAGAAAGAAAUAUUAAUGACAGAUUUUUUUUUUUUGAAAAAGAUUAUAAAUGUAAAACAAACUUAUUAUUAUUAAUUAAAUUAGUCACUUUUUUUUAAAAUUUUAAUUAAUCAGGUAAUGUGAUCAUGUAUACAAGAACAGAGAGAGAGUACAAAUCAUAAAACUGUAUAUAUUUCAUCACUUCUUAUUUAAUGGGCCUUAUUCAUGAUUUUUGUUUUUAGUUUUAACAAAUUUCAACCAAUAAGAAUGUAUGCUAGAAAUGGCCAACAGUCAAAACUUUGUGUGGUAAUACUAAUUUUAAGGGCUAACCAUAAUUAGGUUUUCUUUAUGAAAGAAAAGUAAUACUUCCUUUAUAAGAUAAAAUUUAUUUUUUUAGUUUCAAAUAUAAGAAAAUUUCAAGUAAAUUUAUUUUAUUUAAUGUUAUUAUCUCUUAAAUAUCCUUCAUUUAAUUGAGGUUUUUUUUCAAUGAUUUUUUAUGUUUAAUAUCAAGUUCAAAUGAAGGAUAUGUUGAAAAAAAAAUUAAUUGAGAUUGAUGAAUUAAAUGUGAUUCAUUAACUUUCUUGGUUAGUACAAAUAAAUAUUUUGAGACUGGAGGGAGGGAGUAUGAAUUUUACAAGUUUUUGUGCAAUUGGUCAAAAUUUAGAGUAAAUUAAAAUUAAAUCCUAACCAGUCAUAUCCAAUUAUAUAUUCGUUAUAUUUAAAAUUUUAAAAAAAUAAAUCAAUCUGUUUUCUUUGAAGUUUUUAUCUCUACUAAGUGUUGAUUUUUAUGAUUUUAAACUUUAUGUUAAUGCAAGGAAAAAAUGAUAAAUUAGAGAAUAAAAUAAAUUGUAAUUUUUUAAAGCAAAAGAAUAUAGUAGAGAAUCAAAGAAACUGUAAUCGGAUAUUCAAAUUAGAAGUAAAAAAAACUAAUUAAUCGAACCAAUUUGAAUCAAAAUAAUUGAUUUUAUUUAGAAUGUUGAGUUUAUGAUCAAGUCAAUUUGAUCAAUGCUCCUAAAAUGAAGAAAAUAAAUGAAAAAUAAGAGUAAAAAAAGAAGUAUAAAAUGACCUAAUUUCUUAGGUUUUUUUUUUGUUGUUAUUAUAUUAUAGAUGCAAAGUAAUCUAUCAAUUUUACCAACAAAUAAUUUAUGUUAGAGAAUCUGAUUUGUUCAUCUUUAGUGAUUUUUUUAUGAGAGAAAAAAUUAAAAAAAGAAUCUUUAUUUUAUAUUUAAUUAUGUAGAAAAUUUUAAAAACAAAAGUUAUAUAUACUCAAAAUAAGAAGUAUAUUCACAGAGAUUGUCUUUUCUAUUCGUUUAAACUUUGUAGUUGCUGAGUUCAGAUGUUAUUGUUAAGCAAAUAAAUUGUUGACGGAAGUAUGAGCCUACAGCAUCAGAGCCAAUAGAACAUUCUAAAGCAAAUAUUAGUUUAUUCCUAACAGGCUAUUAAGUUGACAAGCAUGGCCGUUUAAUUUUGUUGGUAAAACUAGCUAAUAAUACAGACUAACAUCAUUGAAACAAAUAAUUAGUUUUCUCUAAGAUAUUAGUUUUCAUAAUAUUGGAGAGUAUAAGUGUGAUGUGAAAUCAAGAGUAGAAGUGGAAAAUUGUAUCAUACAAGUGAAAAGAAGAUUCAAAAUCCGAAUCUUAAAAUUUCGAAUUAAACUGUGUUAUCAAGUUUUUUUAUUUGAUUUUUUAUGGUUCAUUCGCAUAAAUCUUCAAUUAUGUGGUAGCUUGAUAUGGUAUGGAUACAGUGACAAACAAUUAACAUUAACAAUGGCAAAUUCAGUGCUGACAUGCACGUUCAGCUGCGUCUGAAACUAGCGCUGGUCAUAUCUAGCAUGUGUUUAUAGGACAAGUGGAUGAUACUCUAAGUUCCACAUGCCAACUAUUAUGACUUCGUAUUAAUUGGAAUAAAUAACUACUUUAUAAUUAGCAAUACAUCCAACUUGCUGAAUAAAAGAAUAUUAAAUAUUAAUCAAUUGUCCCCCUCUUACUACGGACAUGGCUAUAUAUAAUGUUCAAGAACAUCAAGUUUUGCAAUCACAACAAACCAAAAAGCAGCGCUAACUAGCUAGACUAAAAUGGCAGAAACUGCAGUGUCCUUGGCUGGUAAGCAUGCCCUUCCAAAAAUAUUGGAAGCUGUCAAAAUGGUGAGAGAUCUCCCAAAAGAAGUUAGAGACAUUACAGAUGAACUUGAAAGCUUUCAAGAUUUCAUUAAUGAUGCUGAUAAAGUGGCUGAAGCUGAACAAGAUGAUGGAAGGCGUCAUAGAAUAAAAGAAAGGGUGAUGCGGCUGAGAGAAGCAGCUUUUCGCAUGGAAGAUGUCAUCGAUGAAUAUAACAUCUCCUGUGAGGAUAAGCAACCUGAUGAUCCUCGAUGUGCAGAUUUACUAUGUGAGGCUGUUGCCUUCAUCAAAACUCAAAUCCUUCUCCUUCAAAGUGCAUAUAAGAUUCAGGAUGUUAAAUCGCUUGUUCGUGCUGAAAGAGAUGGUUUCCAAAGCCAUUUUCCUUUAGAACCAAGACUAACAAGUUCUAGAGGAAAUCAAGAUGUCACCUGGCAGAAACUUCGAAUGGAUCCUCUCUUUAUCGAGGAAGAUGAUGUUGUGGGGCUUGAUGGCCCUAGAGAUACACUGAAAAAUUGGUUGACAAAGGGAAGAGAAAAACGCACUGUCAUCUCUGUGGUGGGAAUUCCUGGGGUGGGAAAAACCACUAUUGCCAAGCAAGUUUAUGACCAGGUGCGUAACAAUUUCGAGUGCCAUGCAUUGAUCACAGUGUCUCAAUCCUACUCUGCAGAAGGACUGCUGAGGCGUUUGUUGGAUGAGCUUUGCAAACUGAAAAAGGAGGACCCUCCCAAGGAUGUUUCUAACAUGGAGUCAUUGACCGAAGAAGUCAGAAACCGCUUGCGCAACAAGAGGUAUGUUGUCUUGUUUGAUGACGUAUGGAAUGAAACAUUUUGGGAUCACAUUGAAUCUGCUGUAAUUGAUAAUAAAAAUGGAAGUAGGAUUUUAAUCACAACCAGGGAUGAGAAGGUUGCGGGAUAUUGUAAGAAAUCUUCUUUUGUUGAGGUGCUUAAGCUAGAAGAGCCAUUAACUGAAGAAGAAUCAUUGAAAUUGUUUUCUAUGAAGGCAUUUCAGUAUAGUUCCGAUGGAGAUUGUCCAGAAGAACUUAAAGAUAUAUCUCUAGAAAUUGUUAGAAAGUGUAAAGGUUUACCUCUAGCAAUAGUGGCCAUUGGUGGUCUUUUGUCUCAAAAAGAUGAAAGUGCACCUGAAUGGGGACAAUUUAGUCGAGAUCAAUGUUUAGACUUGGAGAGGAAUUCUGAGUUAAAUAGUAUAACAAAAAUUUUAGGUUUAAGUUAUGAUGAUUUGCCGAUCAAUCUCAGAUCAUGUUUAUUGUAUUUCGGAAUGUAUCCGGAGGACUAUGAAAUUAAAUCUGAUAGAUUGAUUAGACAGUGGAUAGCCGAAGGGUUUGUCAAACAUGAAACCGGAAAAACAUUGGAAGAAGUUGGGCAACAAUAUUUAUCAGGGUUGGUCCGUAGAAGUUUGGUGCAAGUAUCCUCAUUUAGAAUUGAUGGCAAAGUUAAAAGGUGUCGUGUUCAUGACUUAAUACACGACAUGAUCCUUAGAAAAGUGAAGGAUACAGGGUUUUGUCAGUAUAUUGAUGGGCGUGAUCAAUCGGUAUCAAGUAAGAUUGUUCGACGCCUGACAAUUGCAACCGAUGAUUUUAGUGGACGUAUAGGAAGCUCACCCAUUCGGUCAAUUUUUAUUAGCACAGGAGAAGAUGAAGAAGUAUCUGAACACUUAGUAAACAAAAUCCCUACAAAUUACAUGCUAUUGAAGGUACUUGAUUUUGAAGGUUCUGGUUUACGUUAUGUUCCUGAAAAUUUGGGGAAUUUAUGCCACUUGAAGUAUUUAAGCUUCCGGUAUACAGGGAUAAAAAGUCUACCAAAAUCCAUUGGUAAGCUCCUGAAUUUGGAGACCUUGGAUAUUAGAGACACAGGUGUGUCUGAGAUGCCAGAGGAGAUUAGUAAGCUUAAAAAGCUACGUCGUCUUCAGGCUUCUAAUAUGAUCAUGGGUUCAAUAUGGAGGAAUAUUGGAGGCAUGACAUCCCUACAAGAGAUACCUCCAGUGAAAAUAGAUGAUGAUGGAGUGGUCAUUGGAGAGGUGGGAAAGCUAAAGCAGUUAAGGGAACUGUUGGUGCUAGAUUUUAGGGGAAAACACGAAAAGACUUUGUGUUCCUUAAUAAAUGAGAAGCCACUCUUGGAGAAACUAGUUAUUGAAACAGCUGAUGAGAGUGAAGUAAUUGAGUUGUACAUUACGUCACCUAUGUCUACACUUAGGAAGCUUGUCCUAUUUGGGAAGUUAACAAGGUUGCCAAAUUGGAUUUCACAGUUCCCAAAUCUUGUGCAACUGUCUUUGAACGGCUCCAGGUUGACUAAUAAUGCAUUGAAAUCACUAAAAAAUAUGCCAAGGUUGUUGUUCCUCGAUUUAAGUGACAAUGCUUAUGAAGGUGAAACUUUGCAUUUUCAAUGUGGAGGGUUUCAGAAACUAAAGCGACUGUACCUCGGAAAUUUGGAUCAAUUGAAGUGCAUCCUUAUCGACAGAGGAGCACUGUGUUCUGUGGAAGAAAUUGUUUUAGAAGACCUCUCCCAACUCAAAACAGUUCCCUCUGGAAUUCAACACUUGGAGAAGCUUAAAGAUCUCAUUAUCGACGUCAUGCCAACUGAAUUUGAGCAGCGCAUAGCUCCUGAUGGAGGAGAAGACCACUGGAUCAUCCAAGAUGUGCCCCAUGUACUUAUCUGUAGAUAGGAUGCUGAAGAACCUUCGCAUAUAUUCGGCAGAAGUCAUCACUAAGAUGCGUCCAAAUUUGAAAAUAGAAGGUGCGUCUUUUUCACAUCAAUAACUUUGAGGAAUGACAUUCAUGGCCUUUUUCUUUUGUUCAAUAAAAAAUGCAACCAUUAAUUCCUAAAAUAAUUACUUUUGUCUCAUUUUCUCUUCUAGUAUUUGCUUCAUUUUUCUUUCUCUACAACAUCUCACGUACAAGUUAGGGAUAGAAUUGUCUAACAAGUAUAUGCUUACACCAAUCAAAGUUAACGUUUCUUCAUUAUAAGAUUCUCACCAUUAUAAUACUUUCUAUUAUUGUGCUCAGAAUUGGUAGAUGUUGACCUCAACUAUAUUGAGUUUUUUAUUUUCAUGUUGAUAAAUACUUGAACAAUUUCAUAAUAUCAUUUUAAGAAGAAAUUAACUUGGUGUUUUUAUAGGGUCGUAAGCAUAUAUUUCAUGUAAAUGUUGUGGGUUUUUAAAGUUUUAUUACGAUUGAAGUCCAAUAAUGUGGAUUUUUUUCAAAAAUUAGAUUGUGUUAAAUGUUUCUAAUUUUGAUGCUUUGAAGUUUGACCCACUUUGUACAACCAUGAAUUGUAGGAAAGCAUUGAGGGAAGAUUGUAAGAGGUGUUCCAAAUCCAAUGUUUCCGACGUUCCAGUCAUGUGGUUUUUCGAAUGUUAAUUAUUAUGCCCAUUUUAGCGUUAUUAACACCAACACAAUACAAAGAAGCUAAAAAUAGUGUUCCUACAAAGGCAGACAAUUUUUUACAACUGAAAAACUCAAGAUUCCCUCAAGUUCUUUCUUUUGUGGCCCGUGAAAUGGUGGAUGCAUGAGUGGAUUUGAGGCAUCAAAUUGAUUUUUUAAGCUUCCUUCUUCUCUUUCUCUUGUUUCUCUUUUUUCUAAAAUGUGUAUUCAAAUUUUUGUUAACUUGAUGUAAUUUGAAUUCUUGUUUAUAAUUCAAGUUCAUUUCUUUUAAAUUGAUUGUUUGUCUUUGUUUUAAUUUAAUGCCUUUAUAAAUUGGCAUUUGGUCACUUAUAGUGCCUUGAUCGUAUAUUCCUAUCUACAACUGUGAAAUUGAAAUAAGGAUUGAAUUUAAGGUAUAAUGCAACAAGAUUGGAGAUUCUAUAGUAAUAAAUAUCAACAAUUACGAUAAUUUAGAUAUUCUUGAACCUAAUGAUUACCCUAAUUGAGAAAUUCUAAAUAUUUAGAAUUUUCAAUUGCGGAAAAGUUUUUGAGUUAAGAUAUAUUCACCUUCAAUUACAAUAGUAAAUAAUAUAGACUAUGUAAAAAUUAUUUUUCAAUUAUUUGGAGUUUUCUUCUUAUCUUUUACGAAUUUGAGACAACCUUGAAAGCUUUUAAGAGCCGAAGAACUUAAUUAACAUCGCGAGAAUGGAUUAUGAUCAUUGUUCCUACUUAUUGGUAUAUUUAUGUUUAUUUUGUCUAGGAUUGCUAGUGUUGUUCUGAUCAUGAGGAACUAGUCCUCCUAGUCCGAAGAUUAUUAGAUAACUUUUCGUUUGUACCAUUCUCCUCAUUUUUAAUGAAAUUUCUCAUUGAUUUUAUGUUAAUUAAUUCUCUUGUUUUUACUGUUUAUUUGAAACCAAUCAUUUUAAUACUUAAUCAAUUGCAUAAUACUAAUCAUGUAAUUGGUAGAUUUAGGUAGAGAAUGUUUUAUGUCAAAUUGCAUGAUCAAACUCUUUGGGUAAUCUCCAAUACAUUAAUUAAUCUUUAAUUAAUAUUUCCUAUAAUUGAUUUUCUUUUUACUUAAAUUGAUAGAACCAAUGAUCAUUGGGGUAUUGAUUUAAGGCAAGAAGCACCUUAUAACCUUGAUCAUAGACUUUAGUUGAUUUUGUGAAUGAGUAAUUAAUUGGAGAAAGCAUUUUAUUACAACUAGGGUUGAAAGAAAAUUAGUACUAGUAAGUCAUAACCCCUAAUCACUCUUAUCAUCAAUGAACCCUUUUUUAUAUUUGUAUAUUUGUUUACUUAUAAAUCCAAAACCCUAAAACUAUUUAAAUUAUCUUUUUAAUUACUUCAACUGUUAAUUUAAUAAACUUGACUAAUUGGGAAUACAACUUGUCAUUUGGGUUUGAUAUCCAUACUUUCUAAACCACUAUUAUGAUUGUGUAAGGUACACUUGAGGUAUAACAAACAUAUUGGACAUACAACGAUGGCAACAUGUAGCAUAUGCAUUUAUGGUUUUCGGAAUAAAAGAAGAAAUCUGAAAUGAAAAUACUAUGAGUGUGUUUGAAUGAGGGAAUUUAAAAUUCUGAGGAAUUUUAAAUUCUAAGAAUUUCAAAUACCUCAAUUGAAAUUAUUUUAUUUUCAAAAUUUUGUGUUUGUAUAAAAAAAAAUUAAAAUUGAGGGUGAAAGAAAAUGAGUCACAAGUUCGAGAAUGCGAUUUCGGAAUUUUAGGUGAAAAAGAGGAUGAAGGUUAUAAAGGAAAUACGCGAACUUUUUGGAAAGUUCUAAUGUAAGAAGAGAAUUUCAAUUUCUCACCUUUUAGAAGGAAGUUAAAAUUCCACAUUUUUAGUGGUUUAAAAUUAUGUUUUGAAAUUCCAAAAAUUUAAAUUCUUCAAAAAAAAACAUCCAAACAAUGAAUUUUAUAUUAAAGAAAUUUAAAUUUUCUGAUAAAUUACUUUCCUCAGUUAAAAUUCUAUAUUAAAGAUAUAUUGAUAGAGAAAACAUGAAAGAAAACUGGAUUUGAGGCCAGCCUCCAGACAAGGCAAGAAAGAAAGCAAACUUAGCUUUUUUCAUAUCAUGUGUGCCUUACAAUUGCUUUAUUUAUACUAAUUCCUUGCUAACAGAAUUUGUCAUUUUGUGUCAAGGAAUAUUUUAGGAAAUCAUUGGCUAACAAUUUAUUAUUACGCUUGUCUCCCUAAGGCCAACCAGCCAUCAUCUAGCAAUUCUUCAUUCCAGGUCAGCUUCCUUUCUCACUUUUCCUUCUCAUACGUAGUCUCUGAGGUAAGAGGGCUUUGUGAUGGCCCUCUUUACUUUCUUGCUAUCUGUACCCUUGGUUUCUGUGUUUGUACCUCUGUUUUGUGUUCUCUGUUAACUGCCCCAGCUUUUGUAUCAUUUGUCGGCCCUUGUAAAAUUACCUUGUCCUCAAGGUGAUAAUCCUCACAUAAUUGAUCCCAAUUCCCCCACGAGGUGUCAUCCGGGGAUAGCGCUUCCCAUUGCUCCAACACUUCCCAAGGCCCUUGUUCUAAAGCUCGCCGAUAAUCUAAUAUGGCUAGCUAAGGGAGUAAUGACUGGUUGGUGUUGAACAAAUUGUUUUGGAAAGUGAACUUCCUGAAUAUGUUCUGGGGAGCCUUUGAAUGCUUUCAACUGGGAGCGGUGAAAAACAGGAUAUAUGUGGACUUCUUCCGACAAUUUCAAGCGGUAUGCCCAGGUCCUAUGCGUUCUAGAACUUGAAAUGGUCGUAGAAUCUCUUAGCCAACUUGCCUAUGAUUGCUUGUGGUCCCUUAGCGGAGACUUUUCGGUGGGGCCUUAAUUUAAGCAUAACCCAAUCUCUUGGUUGGUGGAUUACCUCUCUUCGUUUAGCAUCUGCAGUUAUUUCACAUGGUCUUGUGCUUUGAGAAGCUUCUUGGGAAUGACCUGAAAUGUUUCUUCUCUGUUGGUCAACAUUUCGUCAACUGCAUCCAAAGCUGAAGAACCCGCGAUAUAUUCAGGAAAAUUAAAGGAUUUGCGCCCGAAUGUGAUCUCAUAUGGAGUGGUGCCUGUUGCCGCAUUCCAUGAAGUGUUAUGAGACCACUCCACCCAGAGAAGAAACUUGCCCCAUUCCCUUGGCUGACAAUGAACAAAUGUGCGCAGACAUUGCUCUAUGACCUUGUUUAGCACCUCCGUUUGACCAUCACUUUGUGGGUGAUAAGCGGAGCUCAUCCUUAGUUGUGUGCCACUCUGACGAAACAACUCCUGCUAGAAUUUGCUAACGAACAGGGGAUCACAGUCGGAGACCAAGCUGCGAGGGAGGCCGUGAAUCUUGCCCAUGAUUUCCAUGAACAAAGAGGCUACUGCAUGGACUGUGUGUGUCGCUAAAACAUGCCAAGAUGAACGCCUUUUGAAAAUCGAUCAACCACUACAGUAUUAACUGUGUUGCUGUGAUAUGGUGGGAGCCCGAUGAUGAAGUCCAGGGAUAAGUCUUCCCAAGGUCGAUGGGGAAUUGGCAGAGGGCAUAGUAAUCCUGUUGCUCUUUGUGUCUCGUACUUAGCAUGCUGACAAUCAAUACAUUGCGAGACAAACUUCGUGACAUCUUCUCAUUGUCCUGACCAUUCAAAGUUUUCCGUCAAGCGAGCUAUCGUUUUCCAAAUCCCCAUGUGGCCUCUCGUGGGUGUUGUAUGAUACUCAACCACUAAUGUGGGAAUCAGGGGCAGGUCCUUUGGUAGCCAAAUUUGUCCCUUCCUGAGGAUCAAGUUAUGAACAAGAGUGAAUCCAGAGUGCUUGUCGGGGUCCGCCGUGAUUGCUUCUCAGAGAUGUCGAUACUCAAGAUGAUCCUCCAAUUCGUGGUGUAGUUCUUCAAAGAAAAGAGGGCAAGGGAUAGAAAGGAUCAUGUAGAAUGAAUUGGAACCACGUGAGUGCCCUGCCUUCCAUGUAGAACGAAGCUAUGGUAAUUCUUUCAUUCUUUGGUGUGCCAUGGUAUUCGAAGAAUUGGUUGAUUUUGAAAAUCCAACCAAGUGGUUUGGUGCCAUCAAAACGAGGCACAUCUAAUUUCAUUUGGUGAUUGUUUGCAGGUACCGAUGGUGAUGGUGGAGGUGUUGGAGAAGAAGAUGACAAGAGGAUGGGAGUGACACGAUUAAGGAGUUCAUCAAUUUUCUGAGUGAGUGAGUGCAUGGAUUCGCCGAGGGAUAGUUGAUGAUUGGUGAGUUUGAGUAAGACUUCAUCAAGCUUAUCAAAGGUACCCAUGGUGUGGACCGGAUGGAACGAUAGCACCAAAAUUGAUAGAGAACACUUGAAAGAAAACUAGAUUCGAGGCCAGCACCUCCAGACAAGGCAAGAAAGAAAGGAAACUUAGCUUGUUUCAUAUCAUGUGUGCCUUACAAUUGCUUUAUUUAUACUAAUUCUUUGCUAACAGAAUUUGUCAUUUUGUGCCAAGGAAUAUUUUAGGAAAUCAUUGGUUAACAAUUUAUGGUUACGCUUGUCUCCCUAAGGCCAACCAGCCAUCAUCUACAAAGGCAGACAAUUUUUUACAAUUGGAAAACUCAAGAUUCCCUCAAGUUCUUUCUUUUGCAGCCCGUGAAAUGGUGGAUGAGUGGAUUUGAGCCAUCAAAGGACAAGAUUCAUCAAAUUGAUUUUUUAAGCGAUAUAUAUAUAUAUAAUUUAGAUAUCUUCUCGAUCUUCCUAUAAUGGAAAACAUGAAUAAACUAAUAGGAAAUUGUAAUUCUAGCUUAAUUAGUGAUUUUGAAUGAGAUUUGAUUAAGUAGUUAUGUUAAAUAUUUGGAAAACUCUUUUUAUUGUACAUAAUAAGUAUAUUGGGUUCAAAGAGAUUAUUUUUAAUGGAAAAUAUCUUUUCUUUGUUGAACUAAGGCAUUGUUCUUCACUUCUCCCUUAAAAAAGAUUAAAAAAAAAAAAAACAAAAGUGCAUCCCCUUCGGCGUCCCGUGCAGGAGACAAUCAUAGAAGAAAGUCGAGCCACCUCUCUCUCUCUCUCUCUGGGGGCAAUAUAUAACAAUUAAAAGGAAAAUAUAAGCCAUUAGUAUUAUUCAGUAACAACAAGAAUCAUUGAACCAGUCAACGCUUACUUUCGAAUAUAAUAUAUAUUGUGUUGCAUAUUUUAUAACACAUCUUCAAUUAUUUACAUAUAAUAUCAUUCAUGUCUAAAGUCUUCUAUAGCACAUGAUGAUUAAAAAAAUGUCCGAGACUCACCCUAUAACAAUACUCAUAAUUUCCGUUGACAUUUCACAUACUCAACUAAUAGAUUCAAGGAGAGGAGAUAUAUGGUGAAAUUGAAAGGUUCAUCAAAGUAUGGAUUUCAGCCAUCUUAGGUUUAUGUUAUUGUUAUUACAUAGCUGCAAGAAUACCAAAGGGCUUCUUGAGACUUCUCUCCCUUCUCCCUAUUCUCUACCUCUUCAUCAUCCUUCCCUUGAACAUCUCUUCACCUAACUUAGUUGGAUACACUUCCUUCUUCCUUGUUCAACUUGGCAUUUUCAAGCUCCUACUUUUUUUUCCUUCAACAAAGGCCCUCUUGCCCUAUCACCCCCAAACAUUGUCCAUUUCAUCUCCAUAGCUUCCCUCCCCAUCACCCCAAAACAACAUCCACCAACCAAUAAAAAUAACACCACCAACACCCAAAAGCCAAAAUGGCUAUUGCCCUUAAAAUUGCUUAUUUUUGCAAUGAUCGCACGUGUUUAUGAGUACAAUGAAUACUUCCACCCUCAUUUCAUAUUAUUCCUCUAUUGUCUUCACUUGUACCUUGGCUUAGAGCUUGUUUUUGCUCUUAUUGCAACCCCGGUUCAAACCCUUUUUGGCUUAGAGAUAGAACCACACUUCAACGAACCCUACCUUUCAUCCUCACUUCAAGAUUUUUGGGGUCAUAGAUGGAACCUUAUGGUUAGACAUGGCAAGAAAAUCCAUACCGGUGGAUAACCGCUCGAAUCUGUCUCGACUUUGACGGACAAUAUCAGAGUUGACCGAGUAUGAGUUCGGGUUCGGAUUUUUCCCGAUAAUAAAAAAUCGGGUACGGGUACGCGUAUGGGAUUACUAGAUCUGUCCCGACCCCGAACCCGAACCCAUCCCGCCACUUAAAAUCUUUUAAAUUUUUACAUAAUUUAAUCAAAAGGCAUAGAAUUUUUAUUACUAGUUAAUUUUAUUUUAGAAUUUUUACAUAAUUUAAUAUUAUUUUCUUAACGAUUUUUGUAGACACAUGCGCUAUGAUAAAUUUAUAGAUAUAUAAGUGGUUAAAAAUAAAUAUUUAACAAUCAAUUUAUUUUUUCUAAAAUCAAAUUUUUAAUAUUUUUUUACAAAAAAAAUUAUUUUUCUAAUUUGAAUUGUGUAUGGGACAGAGUCGGGGAUACCCGAUACCCAACGUGUACCUGAUGGGUAUAGAAAUGGGAUAAUAAACUUUAACCCGUCGGGUAUCGGGUAUGGGUAUGGGGAUAUGUUGGGGAGUCGGGAUAAGGAAUAGGAGAGACAAUACCCGUAUCCACCCUAUCCCAUUGCCAUGUCUACUUAUGAUUUCUCGUCUUCUACGUUCUACAGUAUACAACCACGUAAGCUGUACAAUAGGUUUAGUGGGUCCCCCGUGUGCCACGUCAGCUGCCAUGUUGGCCACGUUCCUUGUGUCUGGGCUUGUGCAUGAGUUAAUCUAUUAUCAUGUUACACGUGUACCUCCCACGUGGGACGUUACGUGUAUUUUUGUGCUUCACGGUGUGUGCACGGUGGCGGAGGUGGCUGUUAAGAAGGUGGUUCUCCGUCAUGGAUGGCGGCUGCACCGUGCCGUGUCAGGGCCACUCGUAGUGGCAUUCUUGGCUAUCUCGGCGAAUUAGCUGUUUUUUCCUCAAUUGUUGAGGAAUGAAAUGGAUAGGAAGUCCAGUGAAGAGUAUGUAAUUUUGGUGGAUUUUGUUAAGUCAAAGAUAUACCAUUGAGAAUGUUUAACUCUUGAGAGUAAACGUUAAAGGAUGAGAGAGACUUAUAAUUGUAAUAUUUACCUUAAAGGGUAAACACAUUUUGUUUUUUUUUUUAAGAAUUAUUUAAUUGUGAAUAAGGCAUAUAUGUUGAAUAUGUUGAAAAAUGAUGAGUGUGACUCAACAGCUAACAUCUGAAAAUGUGCAAGUCUAAAAACAUUAAAGUAUUUUAUGUUUUUAUUGGAUUUACGUGGGUGUAUAAAAAAAUAUAUGGGUGUAUGAGUUUAGGUUUGAAGGCAAAAAAAUCUUUAUUUAAAUAUUUGAAAAAAAAGAAACUUAAUUGCACAUAGUGUUUCAAAUGAAAGAUACACAUACGUGGUUUAAAAAAAAAUACCAUCUCUAUCUUGGAUUAAUGCAUUGUUCUUUCUUACAAAAUUGGAAGAAAAAAAAUAGAUAAAGGAAAAGUGUGUCCCCCCUUGCAGCAAUAACAAUUAAUCUAAGGAAAAUAUCAUCCAUUAGGAGAUUUAUAAUUAAAGUGUGUCCCCCCUUGUAGCAAUAACAACUAGUUAGUAAUAAAUGAUUGAACUACUGUUACAGCUGGCCAAGUUUCCUUCUAGAUUGGUCAAAGGCAAGAUCGAGAGGCACAGAAACGUGGCAAUUAAUUUGGGUAGCUAUAAUUUGCUGCCUGUAGAACUUCAGAAAUAAAAUUGUCUUCAGAAGUGGUAAUUUGUCGUUUGAAGACUUGCUUGGAAUCUGUAAGAUUUAGAACAUGAUCUUGGUUGCACGCCAGAAUAUUUAAAGGCUUCAGUUAUUCCUUCUUUGAGUGGUUAAACAGCCCAAUGAUGACUAUAAUGGUUUUUUUAUUAUUAAAAUGGAUUAAAAAUUAAAAUUAUCAUAAUCAAGAAAGUAUUUAUCAAAAUAGAUGAUUUUUGUCACAUAAGAUUAUAGAAAAUGUUACCUAAGUGACACCUUAUAUUUUUUGUGUAUUUUAUAGCAUGAGGCACCAUUCUCGUAUAUUUCAUUUUGGCCAAUGCUAAAUUCAUAUUUAAUGAUUAGAUCUUAUGACACAGUUUAACUCAAUGAUGAUCAAGCUAAUACAAAAUACUUAUAAAAUUAAACUCUUGUCUUUACAACAAUUUAAAAUAAGUAUAAAUGUAUGAUUAAUUAUGAAAAAAAGAGAUAUGUAAGCUUAGAAACGAAAAAUAAAGUAAUAAGAGUAUGUAUUUGUAUUUCUUUUGAUAAUGAACAAUAUUUUUUUGAGACAAAAUAAGACGUAUAAAUUAUAAUUUUUUUAUAUAUAAUUUUUUGGUUGAGUGGCUUUCAGUGAACGACAUCAUGUUUUAAGAUUUUAGUGUCAGCCUCAACUAUUUGGCAUCUAGAGUUGAAUGGGAACAUUCUUUAGUUGUUAUCACUUUGUCCUGAUUGUUUUGUACUAGCAAAAUAAAUUUUCAGAAAGUCUGUUGAAAGUCAUUCUAAUUAUCUAGAAUCAUGAGAUGCUCUUCAUCCUGAAGUAGUUAAUUGGUCAAGAUAUAUGUGGGGUGUUGAACAUGUACUGAUUUCCGUUGGCUUGAGAAGUUCUACUAUUUCAUUCACACAAAAAGCUCAUAGAACUUCGGUUGGUUUGUGCCUGUCUUUCAAAAGUGCAAGUGCGUAAAUUUGAGUACUUUCAUGAAUCAUUUAUAUUAGGUGAUUGAUGUUGUGGUUUAUUUUAUGUGCUUAUGUUAAUUGUGUUUUCUUUUUUUCUGUCUUGAGGAGCGUAUGAAUGCAGAGAAAUAGAUGUUGAAAUAUUUAGAAAUAUUUCUUUCAAUCUAUUAUUAUGACAUGAAUUUUAUUUACUAUCGAACAGGUUCAUCAAAUUUGUGUCUAUGAUAUUUAUUGCUUUAGAAAAGUUUUAUUUGAGCUGGUGACAAAAAUUGUUGAUCCGUCAAUGAUUGUUGAUGAGGAUUUCUUAGACGAAAUAUGAGCUAUAUCCAUUUUAGCUUAUUCACUUGCUUUUAAAUUUAAGAAAUUACAAUAUUGUAUAAUAUUGUAACUAUAAAGUUAAUAAAUUAAUAUACUAUUGUAUUUUCAUCCAUAUUAUACAAUCUCAUGAUGUUAUGUUAUCAUGUUUAUCUUAAGCAUCAUUUAUAUAUUUUUUUAUAACAUAUAAGAUUAAAUACUUUUGUUUUGCUACAAACAAUGUUUUUAACAUUAUAACUUUGUUAGUUCCAUUUUGUUAUAUAAUAUCUGUUUUUUUUUUUGCUUGAUCUUCAAAUCAGUUAUAUGUGCUAGUAAUUCAUUUUUUAACUUAUAUUAAUUUUUUUCACAUUUACUUGCUUUCAAAUUUAGUAAAUAACAAUAUUGUAUAAUAAUAUAUCUGUAUAGUUCACACCUGUAUUAUUAUUUGUAUUUUUCAGCUUACCUGUGCGGGUUACUGACUAGUUUCCUUAUAAAUGAUCAAAUAGCAGACAAAUUAGAAAAAAAUGAUUUCAAAGAAUAAAGAUCCAAAAAUAGAACUUUCAUAUAAACUAAUUAAGAAAAAAAUCUAUUUUGGAGACCUUGGAUAUAAGAGACACAUAUGUGUUUGAGAUUCCAGAGGAGAUUAUGAAGCUUAAAAAGCUACGUCAUCUUCUGGCUUAUUCUAGUUGUUCAAUUCAAUGGAAUUGGAGGCAUGACAUCCCUACCAGAGAUACCUCCAGUGAUUAUAGAUGAUGAUGGAGUGGUCAUUGGAGAGGUUGGAAAGCUAAAGCAGUUAAGGGAACUGUUGGUGCUAGAUUUUAGGGGAAAACACGAAGAGACUUUGUGUUCCGUAAUAAAUGAGAUGCCACUCUUUGAGAAACUACGUAUUCGUACAGCUGAUGAGAGUGAAGUAAUUGACUUGUACAUUACGUCAGCUAUGUCUACACUUAGGAAGCUUGUCCUAAGUGGGAUGUUAACUGUGUUUGCGCCGCUCCAGGUUGACUAAUGAUGCAUUGAAAUCACUAAAAAAUAUGCCAAGGUUGUUGUUCCUCGAGUUAAGUGACAAUGCUUAUGAAGGUGAAACUUUGCAUUUUCAAAGUGGAGGGUUUCAGAAACUAAAGCGACUGUUCCUCGGAAGUUUGCAUCAAUUGAAGUGCAUCCUUAUCGACAGAGGAGCACUGUGUUCUGUGGAAGAAAUUGUUUUAAAAGGCCUCUCCCAACUCAAAACAGCUCCCUCUGGAAUUCAACACCUGGAGAAACUUAAAGAUCUCUAUAUCGAGUACAUGCCAACUGAAUUGGUGCACCGAAUUGCUCCCGAUGGAGGAGAAGACCACUGGAUCAUCCAAGAUGUGCCCCAUGUACAUAUUUGGAGCAGGGGUGCUGAAGAACCUUUGCAUAUAUUCGGCAGACGUCCAAAUUUGAAAAUAGAAGGUGCGUCUUUUUCACAUCUAUAACUUUGUAGAAUGACAUUCGUGGCCUUUUUCUUUUCUUCCAUAAAAAAUGCAACCAUUAUCUAAUUCCUAAAAUAAUUACUUUUGCCUCAUUUUCUCUUCUAGUAUUUGCUUCAUUUUUCUUUCCCUACAACAUCUCACGUAGAAGUUAGGGAUAUAAUUGUCUGACAAGUAUAUGCCUGCACCAACCAAAGUUAACGUUUCUUCAUUAUAAGAUUCUCACCAUUUAAUCCUUUCUAUUAUUGUGCUCAGAAUUGGUAGAUGUUGACCUCAACUGGAUUGAGUUUUUUAUUUUCAUGUUGAUAAAUACUUGAAUAAUUUCAUUGUAUCAUUUUAAGAAGAAAUUAACUUAAUUGGUGUUUUUAUAGGGUCCUAAGCAUAUAUUUCGUAUAAAUGUUGUCGGUUUUUAAGGUUCCAUUACGAUUGAAGUCUAAUAAUGUGGAUUUUUUUCAUAAAUUAGAUUGUGUUAAAUAUUUCUAAUUUUGAUGCUUUGACGUUUGACCCACUUUGUACAACCAUGAAUUUUAGGAAAACACCGAGGAAAGAUUGUAAGAGGUGUUCCAAAUCCAAUGUUUCCGACGUUCCAAUCAUGUGAUUUUUUUAGUGUUAAUUAUUACGCCUAUUUUAGUGUUAUUAACACCAACACAAUACGAAGAAGCUGAAAAUAGUGUUCCUACAAAGGCAGAUAAUUUUUGACAACUGAAAAACUCAAGAUUCCCUCAAGUUCUUUCUUUUGCGGCCCGUGAAAUGGUGGAUGCAUGAGUGGAUUUGAGGCAUCAAAGUGCAAGAUUCAUCAAAUUGAUUUUUUAAGCUUCCUUCUUCUCUUUCUCUUGUUUCGCUUUUUUCUAAAAUAUGUACCUCAAUUUUUGUUAACUUGAUGUAAUUUGAAUUCUUGUCUAUAAUUCAAGUUCAUUUCUUUUAAAUUGAUUGUUUGUCUUUGUUUUAAUUUAAUGCCUUUAUAAAUUAGCAUUUGGACACUUAUAGUGCAUUGAUCGUAUAUAUAUUCCUAAUGAUUGCCCUAAUUGAGAAAUUCUAAAGAUUUAGAAUUUUCAAUUGCGGAAAAGAGUUUUUGAGUUAAGAUAUAUUCACCUUCAAUUACAAUAGUAAAUAAUAAAUUCAGUUUCCUAUAUGCUCCUAGAACUUGAAUUGGAGUAAAAAUUUGGGUUGUACAUGUUAAGCUUGGGGUGAACUCGUACAGUAACAAGACAUGUUAGAUUUUGGCUUAGCACUUUAAUCCUCUUAGCAUAGUGCUUCAGCAAUUUUGGUACCCAAACUUUUAUGUUCAGGUUUGAUCCCAUAUUUUUCAAAAAAAAUUAAUGGUUGAAUAUAUGUUAUUAAAAUCAAUUUAUAUAUCACUUAUCUAGAGUAAGAUAAAUUUUUCAAGGCUUAAUUUUAUCAUUUUGUCUCAUUCAUUAUUUAUUUUAUUUAAUUUUAUAUUCCUAAUAAUAAAAUCUUUAAUUUGAUUGCUUAAUUCCAAAUCGAUUUAAUUUGGUCUCUUUUGUCCAAAUUCACUUGACGUUGUUUAUUAAUAGUGAAAUGAGAUUGAAUCAAAUAAAGGAACAAAUUAAAUUGUUUAUUAAAAUUGAAAAAAAAUAUGAAAAAACAAACUGUGAGAACAAGAAGUUUAUUAAGGGAUCAAAUUGCACCAUUUUGAAAAUUAAAGUACUAAAUUAAAUUGUUUAUUAAUAGAGGACCAAUGCUAAAUAAAUAAAUAGCACGACAAAAAAGUAGGUUUUCUUUUUUACUUUCAGAAAAUUUGAAAACUUUAUUGAAUUCUAAAAUAUUCAAUUAACUUGCCUAGUUUUUUGUUUAUUCACUCUUUUUUUUUUCUUUUAAUCCUUGAUUUUUGAAAACUUCAAAAUUCUUUUUGAUCACAAACAUAUUUUAACUAUCAUAAAACAACAAAACAAUGUUUUCUAAAAUGAGACUGAUAUAAGUUAUUGAUAAAUCACUUUCUGAGUGAUAUUUUGUACAAACUUUUGUGUUAUUUUGUAUGUAUUUUCUUGAUAUAAUUCACAUUUGAACAUUAGUUUUGUAUUCGAGAAGUAUAACCACUCAUUUGAGUGAAAGAGUAGAAAAUUAUACAAAUUUAUUAAGAUUUAAGAACUUUACAUAACUUGAUUACUAUCGUGGUACAUUGAUCACGAUAAAGUAAUAAUAGUCCUCCCAAAUGUUUUUAUAAUAAAAACGUGAUAUUGAUUCAAAUGUUUAUUUAAUCUCACAAAAUCAUUUAAGGAAAUAGUUAGACCUAAAAUCAAAAUAUAAAUAUAAAUAACAUCAAAAAUAAAAAUUUAAAUAGAUGAAUUUUUAAUAAUUAUGAAUAUAGAUUUACCUUAUAUCUUGUCGAUCUAAAAGAAUUAAAUUCAUUACAACUUUUAUUGGCACAUCUAACACCAGUGACAACUACAAUAAACAUUAUUUUAUCACAUUUACACGCUAGGAAGAUCACUAACGUGUUCACAAAAAUAUUUAGAAUAAGGAGAGAAAAUCACAUAAUGUUGUAGUAGGACAAAAAUAAGUAGAGAAACACUAACGUGUUGACAAAAAUAUUUAGAAUUAGUUAAGGCUUUAGUUUUAAUUUUUUUUAAAAUUUGAUUUUAAUCCAUAAAUUCUUGUCUGACUAGUCAUAGUUUUUUAACUUUUAGAAAUUUUAAUUUUUAAUUCUUGAAUAAAAAUUAAACCCAUUAUUUUUAUUAAUUUAAUGAGUUUUUAAUAAUUAUAAAUCAAUUUUUUAAAAUUUUAGAAAUUAAAAAUCUUAAUGAAAAAAAGUCGAGGGAUAUUGACCCGUCAAAUAAAAAUGUAGGAACUAAAAAUUUUGAUAAAAAAAGUUGAAAGAUAUUGAAAAAUAGAAAAAACAAUUUAAAAAUUAAAAACUAAAUUUUGAAAAAGUUUAGUAAUAAUUAGCCCAGAUAUUUAAGAGAGAUGCUGGAAUCUCAAAGUCUUCCUAAAGUCUCAAGGUUGAGGUUGCACUAAUUUUUUUGUAAACACUAGCAUGGAUAAAAAAUAUGAUGUCAAUUUGAUGUAGAUAAAAGUAUGUCGUAAUAAAAAAAUCAUAUUAAGUAUGUAUAUCAUUUUUAAAAUAAUUAUUAUAAAAGUUGAUGAUUAAAUUUAUUAUAUAUAUAUAUAUAUAUAUAUAUAUAUAUAUAUAUAUCAUUUAUGAUUAGAUGAGAGAGUAAAGUCUUAUAUUUUCACAUUAACUAUAUCUUGCUUCCACAAAACAUUUAUUUUUAGCCAAUUUAUCACCAGAAGACUCUUUGUAAGCAUCUUUUAGUAGUAUUAAACUCUCUAGGAAAACCUUCAUCCAGUAAUUUAAUGACAACUAGGUGAUCCUCGAUCCUGCGCAAAAAUAGGAAAGCAAAUUUUAUUCUUCUAAAUUAAAGACCAACAAAAUAGAUCGAAAAUUUCCAUUUUUGAAAGAAAAAAAAGAGUAAAUUUUAAAGCUUAGAGUAAAACCAUAUGCAAUGAUAAGAAGGAUACACCAGCCUGUAUAUAGCUUUUAAAAGUAAAUAGAAUAGCUUAACCCUCUUCCACCAAUGGUUAACCUAGUUAAAAAAAACUGUUCCGGUGGAUCAGCAUUUAAUUUCUUGCUCAUCAUAUAAUAUAUUAUUAUUGCCAGCAUCGAUUAGAUCAAAUCAGGUGGCUGACCUAUUCAACGGCAAUUCAUCAUCUCAGACCAAUUUCAAGAUCAAUCCUCAAAAUGAUGAAUUGUGUAAAUUAUCGGCGCAAACUAAAACAAUAGAGCCAAAUGAAUAAUCAAAAUAAUAUAUAUAUAUAUAUAUAUAUAUAUAUAUAUAUAUAUAUAUAUAUAUAUAUAUAUAUAUAUAUAUAUAUAUAUAACUGCAAGGUAAAUAAUUUAACAAGUGUAAGAUAUUUUAUUUAAAUUUUAUUGGUCCAAUAACAAAUACAUCUUACAUUGUUUAAUUAAUCACAUUUAUACACAAUUAACUAGAUAGCAAAUUCACAACUUGCUAUAGCACAACAAAAAUAAAGGGAAAAAUAUCACAACUUGCUCAUAAUAUAUUUAAGAUAGAUGAUGCUGAAAAGUUCAAAGUCUUCCUCUCGACAGAUGUGAUAAAUUUUUUAUAUAACACUUAUGACUACAAAAUAUAUAACACUAAUAUAUGCUAUAGAUAAAGGAGAUGUAUUCUAGAAAACCUGAUGACCAGAAAAGUUAAUCAUAUCUAUAUAAUUAUGCAAAUAUUAUUAUUUUACUUAAAAUUAAUUUUAUAUUUAUUGUAUUUGUACAAUUAAGAUUAAUUAACAAGAGUUGACACAUUUGAUGGAGACUUUUGUCCACACUUGCUAUAACUUGACAGUCUUCCUUGAUUUUACAAGAGGUGGCAUGGCUUCCCCUAUUGUAAUUUUUCACCUCAAAAAUAGGAUGAAUAGUACGUGAGAACAUCAUCUUACACACAGCUUACUGGAUAUAAAAAAAGGCAAUAUGAAAAUAUACAAGAUAUUAUAAUAAAGUUUGUGCCAAUGUGUGUCAUCGCGUGUGGCUAACAUGCAAUUAAUACAUUGAUCGAAUGGAGAAAAAACAUCAUAAUCAUAAUAAGAAAAAUAUUAAGAGCAUGUUCUUUUAAGACUUUAACAUGCUCUUUUUUACACACUUUUUCUAUUAGUUGAAAUUGAUUAUUCUUUUCCAGUUCCUAUUUAUAAGACUUUUAAAAUAAUGCUUAUUCUUUUUUUAUAAAAUUUAACUUAUAAUAUUCUUUGCAUCAAUUAUUUUUAAACUAAAUAUGCAUCAUUAAAAAAAUAAAAAAUAUAUUAACAAACCAUUAGACGAGAGAAAAUUUUAAUGACAAAAAUAAUUUUAAAAAUUUUAUAAAUGUAAGACAAACCUAUUAUUAUGAAUUAAAUUAGAGACUUUCUUUAAUCAUAAUGAAUUAGGUAAUUGCAUGGAGGGACUAAAAAUCAUAAAAUUGAAUGGAUUUCAUCAGUUCUUAUUUAAAGGACCUUACUCAUGAUUUUUCAUUUUUAACAAAUUUCAAUCAAUAAGAAAGUGUGCUAGAAAGUGUAAUGCCAACACUCAAAAAUUUGUGUUGUAAUACUAAUUUUAAGUGUUAAUCAUGAGUAGGUUUGCUUUAUGAAAGAAAAGUAAUACUUCCUUUCGUUUCAAAUAUAAGAAAAAAAUUAUUUUUAGUCUCAAAUAUAAGAAAAUUAGUAUUAAUUAAAUUUAUUUUAUUUAAUGUUAUUAUCUCUAAAAUACCUUUCAUUUAAUUGAUAUCUUUUUCAUUUUUUAUUUUUUUAAUACAAAGUUUCAAUGAAUGAUAAGUUGAGAAAAAGUUAGUUUUAAUUAAAUGUGGUUAACUAAUUUUCUUAAUUAGAACAAAUGAGUAUUUUCUUUGGUAAAUGCCAACUAGUAUCCUUAACGCAUUAGGUCAAGAACUUAAAGUAGAAAUAUUUUAAUGGAAGAUAGAAAAUUACGCUGCUCAUGAUUUUUUUGCAUUCUCUUAUAAUUUUUACAGUGAAUAUUUUCUUGUUUUAGUUUCUUAACUAGUGUUCUUUUCUUCUUUUAAUUUCUUAACUAGUGCUCUCAGGGCACAAGUUUAACAAGACCAUUUUUCUUAUAUUUGAGAUCCAACAGAGUAUGAACUUUACAGGUUUUUGUGCAAAUGGUCCGAAUUUAGAUUAAAUUAAAAUUAAAUCCUAAUGAGUCAUGUUGAAUAUAUUAUAUAUUGGUUAUAUUUGAAUUUUUUAAAAAUAAAUCAUUCUAUUGUCAUUUAAAUUUUUUAUCUCCACUAAGUGUUGAUUUUUUAUCAGCUAAAACUGUAAGCAAAUGAAUAUAUUAGAGAAUCAAACAAAUUAUAUUUUUUUAAUUUUUUAAGCAAAUGAAUAUAUUAGAGAAUCAAACAAACUGUAAUUGGAUAUUCAUAUUUGAAGGAAAAAAAAAAGAAGAAGAAGAGAGAACUAAUUAAUCAAACCAAUUUGAAUCAAAAUAAUUUAUUUGAUUUAGAUUGUGAGUUUAUCAAGUCAAUUUGAUCAAUGCUCCUAAAAUGGAGAAAACAAGUGAAAAAAAGAGGAAAAAGAAGUUUAAAAUGACCCAAUUUGUUAGGUUUUCUUUUUCGUUUGUUACUAUAUUAUAGGUGUAAAAGUAAUCUAUCAACUUUGUCAAUCAAUAUUUCUGUUAGAGAAUGUGAUUCGUACACCAUUAGUGAUUGUUUGUUCAUCUUUUAUUUAAUUGUGUAGUAAAUAAAAAAAAAGUUUAUGUAUACUCAAAAUAAGACGUAUAUAUACUAAAAAUGAUAGUCUUAUAUAGUCCGUCUUGAUGUUCCUCCGUUUUCUCGGAAAAUAAACAAAGCUUGAAAGAUUGGCCGCUUGAAUUGAUAUUGCACUGUAUCUGUUUAACAAGUUGUACUUUAAACAUUAAACUGUUUUUUUAUGAUAUAUUCACAAACAAAUUUGUCUUUUUUAUUCGUUUAAACUUUGUAGUUGCAGAGUUCAGAUGUAUAUUGUUAAGCAAAUAAGUUGGUAACGGAAGUAUGAGCCUAACUAACAGGCAAUUAAGUUGACAAGCAGGGCCGUUUAAUUUUGUUGGUAAAACUAAUACCGACAAACAUCAUUAUUUAAAUCGAAUAAUUAGUUUUCAUACUUAUUUAAAAACUGGGUAGCGUGAUUUGGUAUGGAUACGGUAACAAUUAAAUAAUUAACAUUAGCAAUGGCAAAUUCAGUGCUGGCAUGCACGUUGUGUCUGAAACUAGCGCGGGUCAUAUCUAGCAUGUGUUUUUUAGAAGGAUUCCACGUAUUCAUUUCAAGGUCCCGCAAUUGAGGAAUAAAUGACAAUCCUAAUCGCUAAUUGACCCAAGAAAACUGCUAUCUUCCAAGCAAACUCGUUUGAUUCGAUCUAGACUAAGUUAACACAAGUUUAGCCUGCGUGUCUACUGAGUCUUGUCUCAAUAUGCUAAAAAUGAGUUUGAAUAUUAUUAAUUUAAUCCGCAUGAAUCAAAUAGACUAUUAAACUCAUAUGAAUAGUACGUGAAAGUAGACUUGUGAGCUAACAGAGAUUAGUUUGAGUGUCUAGUGAGUCUUGUCUCAAUUUGCUAAAAAUGAGUUUGAAUACUAUUUAACCCGCAAAAAUGAAAUAAAUUCUUAAACUCACAUGAAUAGUAACUGAAAAUAUCAUCUUACAUACCACUGGUUAUAAAAAAGGCAAUAUGAAUAGUAUGUGGGAACAUCAUUUUUCAUACUUGCUGGAUAUAAAAAAUGGCAGUAUGAAAAUAUACAAGAUAUUAUAAUAAAGUUUGUGACUAUGCGUGUCAUCGUGUGUGACUAACAUGCAAUCCAUCCAUUGAUCGAAUGAAAAAAAAAAUCAUAAUCAUAAUAAGAGAAAUAUUGACAGCGUGCUCUUUUAAGACUUUAACAUACUCUUUUUUACAUUUGUUUUUUAUUAGUUGAAAUUAAUUAUUCUCUCCUUGUUCCUAAUUAUAAGACUUUUAAAAUGAUAUUUUUUUAUAAAGUUCAAUUUACAAUGUUUCUUAGAUUAAUUAUUUUUAAACUAAAAAUAUUUAUCAUUAAAAGAAGAAAAAGAAUGUAUUUACAAAUCAUUAGACGAGAAAGAAAUAUUAAUGAUGAAAUUUUUUUUGAAAAAGAUUAUAAAUGUAAAACAAACUUAUUAUUAUUAAUUAAAUUAGUCACUUUUUUAAUUUUAAUUAAUUAGGUAAUGUGAUCAUGUAUACAAGAACAUAGAGAGAGUACAAAUUAUAAAACUGUAUAUAUUUCAUCACUUCUUAUUUAAUGGGCCUUAUUCAUGAUUAUUUUUUUUUAUAGUUUUAACAAAUUUCAACCAAUAAGAAAGUAUGCUAGAUAUGGCCAACAGUCAAAACUUUGUGUGGUAAUACUAAUUUUAAGGGCUAACCAUAAUUAGAUUUUCUUUAUGAAAGAAAAGCAAUACUUCCUUUAUAAGAUAAAAUUUAUUUUUUUAGUUUCAAAUAUAAGAAAAUUUCAAGUAAAUUUACUUUAUUUAAUGUUAUUAUCUCUAAAAUAUCUUUCAUUUAAUUGAGGUUUUUUUCAACGAUUUUUUAUGUUUAAUAUCAAGUUCCAAUGAAGGAUAUGUUGAGAAAAAAAUAAUUUUUAAUUGAGAUUGAUGAAUUAAAUGUGAUUAAUUAACUUUCUUGGUUAGUACAAAUAAAUAUUUUGAGACCGGAGGGAGGGAGUAUGAAUUUUACAAGUUUUUGUGCAAUUGGUCAAAAUUUAGAGUAAAUUAAAAUUAAAUCCUAACCAGUCAUAUCCAAUUAUAUAUUGGUUAUAUUUGAAAUUAAAAAAAAUAAAUCAAUCUAUUUUCUUUUAAGUUUUUAUCUCCACUAAGUGUUGAUUUUUAUGAUUUUAAACUUUAUGUUAAUGCAAGGCAAAAAAGAUAAAUUAGAGAGUCAAAAAAAUUAUAAUUUUUUAAAGCAAAAGAGUAUAGUAGAGAAUCAAACAAACUGUAAUCGGAUAUUCAAAUUUGAAGUAAAAAAAAACUAAUUAAUCGAACCAAUUUGAAUCAAAAUAAUUGGUUUUAUUGAGAAUGUCGAGUUUAUGAUCAAGUCAAUUUGAUCAAUUCUCCUAAAAUGAAGAAAAUAAAUGAAAAAUAAGAGUAAAAAAAGAAGUAUCAAAUGAUCUAAUUUCUUAGGGUUUUUUUUGUUGUUAUUAUAUUAUAGAUGCAAAGUAAUUUAUUAAUUUUACCAACAAAGUUAGAGAAUCUGAUUUGUUCAUCUUUAGUGAUUUUAUUAUGAGAGAAAAAAAUAAAAAAAAAUCUUUAUUUUAUAUUUAAUUAUGUAGAAAAUUUUAAAAAAAUGUAUAUAUACUCAAAAUAAGAAGUAUAUAUACUAAAAAGGAUAGUUUUAUAUCGUCCGUCUUGCAUGUUCCCUCCGUUUUCUAGGAAAAUAAACAGCUUGAAAGUUAGCCCGCUUGAAUUGAUACUGCACUGUAGCUGGUUAACAAGUUGUACUUUAAACAUUAAAAUAAGAAGUAUAUUCACAGAGAUUGUCUUUUCUAUUCGUUUAAACUUUGUAGUUGCUGAGUUCAGAUGUUAUUGUUAAGCAAAUAAGUUGUUGACGGAAGUAUGAGCCUACAGCUUCAGAGCCAAUAGAACAUUCUAAAGCAAAUAUUAGUUUAUUCCUAACAGGCUAUUAAGUUCACAAGCAUGGCUGAUAACUGCUAAAUAAUUGUGAAUUAAUAGUAGUUAAAUAGUGAAAUUUUGGCUUAAAAUUAAUUAUUUAGAAGUUAUUUGUAAUUAAAAGUUGGAAAAUUAAUUAAAUUGAAUUUCUGGUUGCAGAUACGAAAAAUGAGGUUACAUUAAGCAAAAAGGGCAACAGAAAUGAAGAGAAAGAAGGAAUUCUGAAGCAGGCCCAGCCCAACAGUGGCGCUAAGCGCGCAUCAGGCGCUAAGCGAGCAACCAAAUGCAGGCGCUAAGCGUGACGUUAAGCACGAAGGAGUAGAAACCGUUACGCGCGCUAAGCCUGGCUACGCGCCCAGUGCGCGAUCCAACAGAAGCACAGGCUAAGCCUGCAGGGCGUGCUGGGCGCGCGAUCCGAACGCGCUAAGCGCGAGGUGUCGCGCUGAGCGCGACUACGAAGGCUCAGAAGCCCACUUCAGCAACUAUAAAUAGAGAACCAGUCCCAAGGAAUCAUCACCUCGUCUCAGAGCACUGUUCUCAGCACUCCAAGCCUGAGCUCUCUUCUCUCUCUAUAUAUUCUUUGUCUUUAUUACCCCUAUUCUUUCCUUCACCCCCAAUUGUAAGCCCUCAAUGGCCAUGAGUGGCUAAUCCCCUAGCUAGAGCCUGACAGGCCUAAAAAGCCAACGAUGUACGAUGUGCUUCAAGAAUUAUCAAUGCAAAGGGAAUUUAUUUCAGGUUUUUCUGUUCUAAUUCUUUUCUUGUUAUCUUGCAUUUGUUCUUAAAUUUCUUUUGGGUUUUAUUCGCUCGGGAGAGGGUAUUUCCUAAUAAGGGUUAAGAAUUAAUGCAUGCAUCAGUUUUAGGGGUUAUACACUUGGGAAAGGGUAACACCUAACAGAACAUCUUAAGAAAAGAAUCCUUGGGUUAGCAUUGCUAGGCAUAGAAUGAUAACCCACUGCCCAUGCAUUUAAGCAACAUCUAGAACUUAACCUUAAUGCAUUUUAAUUAUUGAAUCUUCGCAAAGGCAUUUGGGAGAUAGGUAGUUAAAAUAGGCUUGUCAACGUGAGGCAUCAGGGGCAAGUAAUUAACAUAUGUGGGUAGAACUAAUACCAGUGCAUUGGUAAUGAAUAUCAUAUUUACAUGCAUCGUAGGCCAAUUGGGUUUGUCCGGUCUUGGCAUCUUUAUUAAUUGUCUUUCUUUUUAAACUACUUGAUUUAGUAAUAGCACUCUAUUCCUGCACUUAUUCCUGUUUUUCUUAUUUUACUCUUACUUACAAAUUGAGAAGUAUUUAAUAAAGUGCAAUAAAAUCCCUGUGGAAACGAUACUCAGACGUCCGAGGUUUACUACUUAAGAGCGAUUUGGUACACUUGCCAAAGUCUCAACAAGUUUUUGGCGCCGUUGCCGGGGAUUUUAGUUUCGCACUUAAUUACCAUACUAUAUCAGUUUGUAAGCCCAACUCUUCUUUUCUUGGCUUAUUCUUUAGUAUUUACUCUCUUUACUUCUAUUCUUUCUUUCUUCCAUAAUUGCACGGGUAGUGCUUUUUUGUUUUUUAUGCGACUUAGGACUACAUCUGGAGACGUUGUCCCUAUCAACUUAGAAAUUGAAGCUACUUGUCGGGGUAACAACGCUGCAAGAAGAAGAAGGGAACAAGACACAGAAGGAAGCAGUUACACCUCACCUCCUCUUUCUCCACAUCACACUGAAAUGGACGGGGAACCGGCACGAAGAGUCACCCUAGAGGACUUCUCCAAUAUCGCUACUCCUCAGUUCUUCACGAGCAUUGCCAGACCGGAGGUACAAGCCACCAAUAUUUCCUACCCGCAUUCCCUUAUUCAGCUAAUCCAAGGGAACCUCUUCCAUGGUCUUCCAAGCGAAGAUCCAUAUGCUCACCUUGCCUCGUACAUAGAAAUAUGCAACACCGUAAAAAUCGCUGGAGUCCCAGAAGAUGCGGUACGCCUUAACCUCUUCUCCUUUUCUCUAGCAGGAGAGGCAAAACGAUGGUUGCACUCUUUCAAAGGCAACAGCUUAAGAACCUGGGAAGAAGUAGUGGAAAAGUUCUUAAAGAAGUACUUCCUAGAGUCAAAGACCGUCGAAGGGAAAAUGGAGAUUUCUUCUUUCCAUCAAUUCCCGGAUGAGUCCCUUAGCGAAGCACUAGACCGUUUUCACGGGCUGUUACGAAAGACACCGACACACGGAUACAGCGAGCCGGUACAACUGAACAUAUUCAUCGAUGGCUUGCGACCUCAAUCGAAACAGCUACUAGACGCAUUCGCAGGGGGAAAAAUCAAACUGAAGGCUCCCGAAGAAGCGAUGGAGCUCAUCGAGAACAUGGCGGCCAGUGACCAAGCAAUCCUUCGUGAUCGUAGCUAUAUGCCCACAAAAAGAAGCCUUUUGGAACUUGGCACGCAGGACGCAACAUUGGCACAAAACAAGCUGUUGACGAGGCAGAUAGAAGCCCUUACUGAAACCCUCAGCAAACUACCUCAACAAUUACAAGCGGUAAGUUCUUCCCACUCUUCUGUUUUGCAGGUAGACGGAUGCCCCACAUGCGGAGGAACCCAUGAGCCUGGACAAUGUGUAAGCCAACAGGAUACUUCUCGAGAAGUAAACUAUAUGGGCAUACCAAAUCGCGGAUUCCAGGGGUUACAACCAGGGGAACUCAUCCGGAUUCCACCAAGGGAGAGCAGGAUUCAAUCACGCACCACCGGGAUUCAAUCAAGGAAGGAACUUCACGCAAGGUUCAGGGUGGAGGAAUCAGGGAAACCAGUACAAGGAGCAGAGGAAUCAACAACCAUACCAACCGCCAUACCAGCAUCCCAGCCAGGGCCCCAAUCAACAAGAAAAGCCCACCAAUAUAGAAGAGCUGUUGCUACAAUUCAUCCAGGAAACACGGUCCCAUCAAAAGAGCACGGAUGCAGCCAUUCGAAAUCUGGAAGUUCAAAUGGGCCAAUUGGCACAAGACAAAGCCGAACGGCCCACUAGAACUUUCGGGGCUAACACGGAGAAGAACCCAAAGGAAGAAUGCAAGGCUGUGCUGACUCGAGGGCAGAAAAAAACACAGGAUGAAGGUAAGGUUGAAGAAGAAGACCGGUCAGAGGAAGACAGGACAGAGACACCAGAAGAAAGGACAGAAGAAGAAGAGAAGGUGGCAUCACCACCUUCAACCAAGAGCCAGAAAGCGCGGGAAGCCAGGAAAGAAGAACCACCAGCCCUACCACAAGAUCUCCCAUAUCCUGUGGUACCCACCAAGAAGAACAAGGAACGCUACUUCAAGCGUUUCUUGGAAAUAUUCAAAGGGCUGGAGAUCACUAUGCCAUUCGGGGAAGCCUUACAGCAGAUGCCCCUAUACUCCAAAUUUAUGAAGGACAUCCUCACCAAGAAGGGUAAGUACAUUGACAAUGAGAACAUUGUGGUAGGGGGUAACUGCAGCGCUAUAAUACAGAGGAAGCUACCCAAGAAGUUUAAGGACCCCGGAAGUGUUACCAUCCCGUGCACCAUAGGGAAGGAGACGGUGAACAAGGCCCUCAUUGACUUAGGAGCAAGUAUCAAUCUGAUGCCCUUGUCAAUGUGUAAAAGAAUUGGGAAUCUGAAGAUAGAUCCUACCAAGAUGACGCUUCAGCUAGCAGAUCGCUCGAUUACAAGGCCGUAUGGGGUAGUAGAAGAUGUCCUAGUCAAGGUACGCCACUUUACUUUUCCGGUGGACAUUGUCAUAAUGGAUAUCGAAGAAGACAAAGACAUUCCCCUCAUCUUAGGCAGACCAUUCAUGCUGACUGCCAACUGUGUGGUGGAUAUGGGGAAUGGGAACUUGGAGCUGAGUAUUGACAAUCAGAAGAUCACCUUCGACCUAUUCAAAGCAAUGAAGUAUCCACAGGAAGGUUGGAAGUGUUUCAGAGUAGAAGAGAUUGAUAAGGAAGAUGUCAGUAUUCUCGAGACACCACAGUCUUCACUGGAGAAAGCAAUGGUAAAUGCUUUGGACUGUCUAACCAGUGAAGAGGAGAAAGAUCUGAAGGCUUGCUUGGAAGACUUGGAUCGACAAGACAGUAUUCCUGAGGGAGAAGCCAAAUUUAAGACACUAGAAGAGAAAGUUCCGUCCGAGAAGAAGAAGAUAGAGUUGAAGAUAUUACCCAAUCAUCUAAAGUAUGUGUUCUUGGAGGAAGACAAGCCUGUAGUAAUCAGCAAUGCACUCACGACAGAGGAGGAAAACAGAUUAGUGGAUAUCCUCAAGAAACACAGGGAAGCUAUUGGAUGGCAUAUCUCGGAUCUCAAGGGAAUUAGCCCUGCUUAUUGCAUGCACAGAAUAAUGAUGGAAGAGGAUUACAAGCCAGUCCGACAACCCCAGAGGCGACUAAAUCCAACAAUGAAGGAAGAGGUCAGAAAAAGGAGGGGUACCAAUAGCAGAAGUGAAGUGGGCUGCACGAAGCCACGCGCUUAGCGCACGACCUCGCGCUAAGCGCCCAAGUUAGUUUUAAAUUUUGAAUUUAAAAUCUGAGGGGCAACCAAGGGACGUUUUCCCUGGUGCGCUUAGCAGCCACAUGCGCGCUAAGCGCGCACGUCAUAAAUUCUGGGGAGUUUUUGAAACUCCCCAACUCCUCAGUUGCCUCCAGGGGGGCUUUUUAAGUGCAGAACUUCAUUUCUUUUCUCUACGCUUUUACACUUUCCACACUUCCUUUCUGCACCCUCUUCUCACCUACAAAUUCCCUUGUGAUUUUCACGCUGAUUAACAGGAGAAACGAGGUAAGAUGUGAAUCUGGUUGUGCUGUAGCAUUUGCAGGCAUCAUCACGCUAAGCCUUGCACAUAGGCUUAGUGGGAACGAACAAUGUGAGGAACAACAAGAGGAGCGCGCUAAGCCGCUGCAAGACACAGGAGCCACCACGAAGCACGCGCUUAGCCAGCACUGUCGCGCUAAGCGCGCUCAUCAGCUUCAGCGAACGCGCUAAGCGCGUGCCAGUUGCGCUAAGUGCAUGCCUCCGUCAGCAGGCAGGCGCGCCAAGCGCGGGGCUGGGCCUCAGGGUCCCCAAGUUGCCUGGCCAGGAGACCAGCCCUCCACUGACAGGGGGGAAGAGCCUUCUGGAGCCGCUGAGGAUCCUGCGGUCGAUGAAGACCUCAUUGCUGACUUAGCCACCCUUGACUGGGGCCCAUGGGCAGACUUGGGCGAAGGCAGUUGAUGUUUCCUUUUUGUUGUUUUCUUUUAUGUUUGGUGUCUUCUUCUUUCUUAUGUUUUGUUUAUGUGGUCUGUUUGGGUAUUUAAAAGAAGAAGUAGUAAUAAUAUUAGUAUUUCAGUAUGUGUGUUCUGAGUAAUAAUUGCAUGGUAAACUUGAGCAGUCAUAAUUUUUGAGCUUGUUCUGGAAGGUUCAAACACUUGAGAUGCCACUAGUCCUUGGAAACACUGGUUCUGGAAGCACGAGUCAGGUUAGGAAAUGGAACAUGAGUAGCACAAGGAGGGAAGGUUAGUCUGAUGGAACAAAGUCAUAACUGGUACGCCGUAUACUUGCUUUUAUUCCGGUGAGAGUGUGAACUUAAUUGUGAGAGAAAACGCCUACUUUUAAUUUCCUGGUUUUGCAUGAGUCUUGGAUUGUUAGAAUAGUUACUUAAGGUGGAUAUGAUUAAGGCCAUGUUUGUUAUAUCUAGCUACUUAGCCAAAAAGCCAACCCGACAUCAUCUUUUUCCCCUUGCACCCAUGAUUGAGCCUAUAUAUUAUUUUGAAUUAACCCUUGAGCCAAUAAAAUGAUAGUCCUACCCUUUAGGAUGAUAAGAGAGCAAAAAUGGGUUAUAAAGGUCUUAAUUUGGGGGAUUUUGGAAAAUAGGUAGCUAAGACAAUAGUACAACAUAUAGUAAGACACCUCUCACAAAGUGGAAGCCCAAUUAAAAAUAAAAAAAUAAAAAUAAAUAAAUAAAUAAUAUUCAUAAGUGUAAUAAAGGGCAGAAACAAAAGAGCAAGAGAGGUGUCAAAAGAAAAGUGCUGUGGGGAAAUAAAAGGGUUAAGAAGAAGGCCUUAGAAGUAUUAGAAAUUUUUGCUCUCUUAAUCCUAAGUUGAAUUUUCAAGAAAUACCAUGAUUUUUUGUUGUAAGCCAAGCCCCAAUACAAGCCAAUAAAGUCCUUAGUGAUCCACCUGAAGGUAACUAAAGAUAACUAUACUUAAGAUGAAAUGCAAAACUUUGGAGUCUUACUUGUAGGUUGUUAGUAAAAUUGCAAACACUGAACCAGACACUUGUGAGCAGAGGGAAACACCAGCCUUGUGAGGAAAGUAAGGCAAGCCAGAUUUGAUCAAGAUUCCAGAGGACUGACUAAUUCCACUUUUGUGUUUUAUGCUUUCAUUUUGAGAUGUUAACAGAUGCGGAAAGGACCACUGAAAGAAGGAGGAACUAAGGCCAUUAAUAGUGUUGGAACACUCAGAACUUGUUUGAAAAUUUAUUUUUAUUCUUGGUUUGCUUGGGGACAAGCAAAGUUUAAUUUGGGGGAUUUUGAUAAUUGCUAAAUAAUUGUGAAUUAAUAGUAGUUAAAUAGUGAAAUUUUGGCUUAAAAUUAAUUAUUUAGCAGUUAUUUGUAAUUAAAAGUUGGAAAAUUAAUUAAAUUGAAUUUCUGGUUGCAGAUACGAAAAAUGAGGUUACAUUAAGCAAAAAGGGCAACAAAAAUGAAGAGAAAGAAGGGAUUCUGAAGCAGGCUCAGCCCAACAGUGGCGCUAAGCGCGCAUCAGGUGCUAAGCGAGCAACCAAAUGCAGGCGCUAAGCGUGACGUUAAGCACGAAGGAGCAGAAACCGUUACGCGCGCUAAGCCUGGUUACGCGCCCAGUGCGCGAUCCAACAGAAGCACAGGCUAAGCCUGCAGGGCGCACUGGGCGCGCAAUCCGAACGCGCUAAGCGCGAGGUGUCGCGCUGAAUGCGACUACGAAGGCCCAGAAGCCCACUUCAGCAACUAUAAAUAGAGAACCAGUCCCAAGGAAUCAUCACCUCGUCUCAGAGCACUAUUCUCAGCACUCCAAGCCUGAGCUCUCUUCUCUCUCUAUAUAUUCUUUGUCUUUAUUACCCCUAUUCUUUCCUUCACCCCCAGUUGUAAGCCCUCAAUGGCCAUGAGUGGCUAAUCCCCUAGCUAGGGCCUGGCAGGCCUUAAAAGCCAACGAUGUACGAUGUGCUUUAAGAAUUAUCAAUGCAAAGGGAAUUUAUUCCAGGUUUUUCUGUUCUAAUUCUUUUCUUGUUAUCUUGCAUUUGUUCUUAAAUUUCUUUUGGGUUUUAUUCGCUCGGGAGAGGGUAUUUCCUAAUAAGGGUUAAGAAUUAAUGCAUGCAUCAGUUUUAGGGGUUAUACACUUGGGAAAGGGUAACACCUAACAGAACAUCUUAAGAAAAGAAUCCUUGGGUUAGCAUUGCUAGGCAUAGAAUGAUAACCCACUGCCCAUGCAUUUAAGCAACAUCUAGAACUUAACCUUAAUGCAUUUUAAUUAUUGAAUCUUCGCACAGGCAUUUGGGAGAUAGGUAGUUAAAAUAGACUUGUCAACGUGAGGCAUCAGGGACAAGUAAUUAACAGAUGUGGGUAGAACUAAUACCAGUGCAUUGGUAAUGAAUAUCAUAUUUACAUGCAUCGUAGGCCAAUUGGGUUUGUCCGGUCUUGGCAUCUUUAUUAAUUGUCUUUCUUUUUAAAGUACUUGAUUUAGUAAUAGCACUCUAUUCCUGCACUUAUUCCUGUUUUUCUUAUUUUACUCUUACUUACAAAUUGAGAAGUAUUUAAUAAAGUGCAAUAAAAUCCUUGUGGAAACGAUACUCGGACUUUCGAGGUUUACUACUUAAGAGCGAUUUGGUACACUUGCCAAAGUCUCAACAAUGGCCGUUUAAUUUUAUUGGUAAAACUAGCUAAUACCGACUAACAUCAUUGAAACAAAUAAUUAGUUUUCUCUAAGAUAUUAUUUUUCAUAAUGCUGGAGAGUAUAAGUGUGAUGUGAAAUCAAGAGUAGAAGUGGAAAGUUGCAUCAUAUAAGUGAAAAGAAAAUUCAUAAACUUGAGUCUUAAAGUUUUGAAUUAAAGUGUGUUAUCAAGUUUUUUUAUUUCAUUUUUUAUGGUUCAUUUGUGUAAAUCUCCAAUUAUGUGGUAGCGUGAUAUGGUAUGGAUACAGUGACAAACAAUAAACAUUAACAAUGGCAAAUUCAGUGCUGACAUGCACGUUCAGCUGCGUCUGAAACUAGCGCUGGUCAUAUCUAGCAUGUGUUUAUAGGACAAGUGGAUGAUACUUUAAGUGCAGAAACUGGCUAGACUAAAAUGGCAGAGCUAACUAGCUAGACUAAAAUGGCAGAAACUAGCUGCACUCACAACAAACCCAAAAGCAGAGCUAACUAGCUAGACUAAAAUGGCAGAAACUGCAGUGUCCUUGGCUGGUAAGCAUGCCCUUCCAAAAAUAUUGGAAGCUAUCAAAAUGGUGAGAGAUCUCCCAAAAGAAGUUAGAGACAUUACAGAUGAACUUGAAAGCUUUCAAGAUUUCAUUAAUGAUGCUGAUAAAGUGGCUGAAGCUGAACAAGAUGAUGGAAGGCAUCAUAGAAUAAAAGAAAGGGUGAUGCGGCUGAGAGAAGCAGCUUUUUGCAUGGAAGAUGUCAUCGAUGAAUAUAACAUCUCCUGUGAGGAUAAGCAACCUGGUGAUCCUCGAUGUGCAGCUUUACUAUGUGAGGCUGUUGACUUCAUCAAAACUCAAAUCCUUCGCCUUCAAAGUGCGUACAAGAUUCAGGAUGUUAAAUCGCUUGUUCAUGCUGAAAGAGAUGGUUUCCAAACCCAUAUUCCUUUAGAACCAAGACUAACAAGUUCUAGAGGAAAUCAAGAUGUCACCUGGCAGAAACUUCGAAUGGAUCCUCUCUUUAUCGAGGAAGAUGAUGUUGUGGGGCUUGAUGGCCCUAGAGAUACAUUGAAAAAUUGGUUGACAAAGGGAAGAGAAAAACGCACUGUCAUCUCUGUGGUGGGAAUUCCUGGGGUGGGAAAAACCACUCUUGCCAAGCAAGUUUAUGACCAGGUGCGUAACAAUUUCGAGUGCCAUGCAUUGAUCACAGUGUCUCAAUCCUACUCUGCAGAAGGACUGCUGAGGCGUUUGUUGGAUGAGCUUUGCAAACUGAAAAAGGAGGACCCUCCCAAGGAUGUUUCUAACAUGGAGUCGUUGACCGAAGAAGUCAGAAACCGCUUGCGCAACAAGAAAUAAUGUUGUCUUGUUUGAUGACGUAUGGAAUGGAAAAUUUUGGGAUCACAUUGAAUCUGCUGUAAUUGAUAAUAAAAAUGGAAGUAGGAUUUUAAUCACAACCAGGGAUGAGAAGGUUGCGGGAUAUUGUAAGAAAUCUUCUUUUGUUGAGGUGCUUAAGCUAGAAGAGCCAUUAACUGAAGAAGAAUCAUUGAAAUUGUUUUCUAAGGCAUUUCAGUAUAGUUCCGAUGGAGAUUGUCCAGAAGAACUUAAAGAUAUAUCUCUUGAAAUUGUUAGAAAGUGUAAAGGUUUACCUCUAGCAAUAGUGGCCAUUGGUGGUCUUUUGUCUCAAAAAGAUGAAAGUGCACCUGAAUGGGGAGAGUUUAGUAGAGAUCUAAGUUUACACUUGGAGAGGAAUUUUGAGUUAAAUAGUAUAACAAAAAUUUUAGGUUUAAGUUAUGAUGAUUUGCCGAUCAAUCUUAGAUCAUGUUUAUUGUAUUUCGGAACGUAUCCGGAGGACUAUGAAAUUAAAUCUGAUAGAUUGAUUAGACAGUGGAUAGCUGAAGGGUUUGUCAAACAUGAAACCGAAAAAACAUUGGAAGAAGUUGGGCAACAAUAUUUAUCAGGGUUGGUCCGUAGAAGUUUGGUGCAAGUAUCCUCAUUUAGAAUUGAUGGCAAAGUUAAAAGGUGUCGUGUUCAUGACUUAAUACACGACAUGAUACUUGGAAAAGUCAAGGAUACAGGAUUUUGUCAGUAUAUUGAGGAGCGUGAGCAAUCUGUAUCAAGUAAGAUUGUUCGACGCCUGACAAUCGCAAUCGAUGAUUUUAGUGGAAGUAUAGGUAGCUCACCCAUUCGGUCAAUUCUUAUUUGCACCGGAGAAAAUGAAGAAGUAUCUGAACACUUAGUAAACAAAAUCCCUACAAAUUGCAUGCUAUUGAAGGUACUUGAUUUUGAAGGUUCUGGUUUACGUUAUAUUCCUGAAAAUUUGGGGAAUUUAUGCCACUUGAAGUAUUUAAGCUUCCGGUAUACACGGAGAGUAAGUCUACCAAAAUCCAUUGGCAACCUCCAGAAUUUAGAGACCUUGGAUAUAAGAGACAAGUGUGUCUAAGAUGCCAGGGGAGAUUCCUAAGCUUACUAAGCUACAUCAUCUUCUGUUUUAUGCUAUGUGUUCAAUUCAAUGGAAGGAUAUUGGAGGCAUGACAUCCCUACAAGAGAUACCUCGAGUGUUUAUAGAUGAUGAUGGAGUGGUCAUUAGAGAGGUCGCAAAGCUAAAGCAGUUAAGGGAACUGACGGUGGAAGAUUUUAUGGGAAAACACGAAAAGACUUUGUGUUCCUUAAUAAAUGAGAAGCCACUCUUGGAGAAACUACUUAUUGAAACAGCUGAUGUGAGUGAAGUAAUUGACUUGUACAUUACGUCACCUAUGUCUACACUUAGGAAGCUUGUCCUAUUUGGGAAGUUAACAAGGUUGCCAAAUUGGAUUUCACAGUUCCCAAAUCUUGUGCAACUGCAUCUGUACAACUCCAGGUUGACUAAUGAUGUAUUGAAAUCACUAAACAAGAUGCCAAGGUUGUUGUUCCUCGAUUUAAGUAGCAAUGCUUAUGAAGGUGAAACUUUGCAUUUUCAAUGUGGAGGGUUUCAGAAACUAAAGCAACUGUACCUCGGAUCUUUGGAUCAAUUGAAGUGAAUCCUUAUCGACAGAGGAGCACUGUGUUCUGUGGAAAAAAUUCUUUUACAAAACCUCUCCUAACUCAAAACAGUACCCUCUGGAAUUCAACACUUGGAGAAGCUUAAAGAUCUCUAUAUCGAGGACAUGCCAACUGAAUUUGAGCAGCGCAUUGCUCCUGAUGGAGGAGAAGACCACUGGAUCAUCCAAGAUGUGCCCCAUGUACGUAUUUGGAGUGAGGAUGCUGAAGAACCUUUGCAUAUAUUCGGCAGAAGUCAUCACUAAGAUGCGUCCAAAUUUGAAAAUAGAAGGUGCGACUUUUUCACAUCUAUAACUGGAUUGAGUUUUUUAUUUCCAUGUUGAUAAAUACUUGAACAAUUUCAUUGUAUCAUUUUAAGAAGAAAUUAACUUGGUAUUUUUAUAGGGUCGUAAGCAUAUAUUUCGUGUAAAUGUUGUGGGUUUUUUAAGUUCAAUUACGGUUGAUGCCCAACAAUGUGGAUUUUUUUCAUAAACUAGAUUGUGUUAAAUGUUCCUAAUUUUUAUGCUUUGAAGUUUGACCCACUUUGUAUAACCAUUAAUUUUAGGAAAGCACUGAGGGGAGAUUGUAAGAGGUGUUCCAAUUCCAAUGUUUCACACGUUUCAAUCAUGUGGUUUUUUGAGUGUUAAUUAUUACGCCCAUUUUAGCGUUAUUAACACCAACACAAUACAAAGAAGCUGAAAAUAGUGUUCCUACAAAGGCAAACAAUUUUUUACAACUGGAAAACUUAAGAUUCCCUCAAGUUUUUUCUUUUGCGGCCCGUGAAAUGGUGGAUGAGUGGAUUUGAGGCAUCAAAGGGCAAGAUUCAUCAAAUUGAUUUUUUAAGCGAUAUAUAUAUAAUUUAGAUAUCUUCUCGAUCUUCCUAUAAUGGAAAACAUGAAUAAACUAAUAGGAAAUUGUAAUUCUACCUUAAUUAGUGAUUUUGAAUGAGAUUUGAUUAAGUAGUUAUGUUAAGUAUUUGGAAAACUCUUUUUAUUGUACAUAAUAAUUAUAUUGGGUUCAAAGAGAUUAUUUUUAAUGGAAAAUAUCUUUUCUUUGUUGAAUUAAUGCAUUGUUCUCCACUUCUCCCUUAAAAAAAUUGGAAAAAAGAAAAGAAAAGUGCAUCCCCUUCGGCGUCCCCUGCAGGAGACAAUCAUAGAAGAAAGUCGAGCCACCUCUCUCUCUCUCUCUGGCGGCUAUAUAUAACAAUUAAAAGGAAAAUAUAAGCCAUUAGUAUUAUUCAGUAACAACAAGAAUCAUUGAACCAGUCAAGGCUUACUUUCGAAUAUAAUAUAUAUUGUGUGUAUUGUGUUACAUAUUUUAUAACACAUCUUCAAUUAUUUACAUAUAAUAUCAUUCCUGUCUAAAGUCUUCUAUAGCACAUGACGAUUAAAAAAAUGUCCGAAACUCACCCUAUAACAAUACUCAUAAUUUCCGUUGACAUUUCACAUACUCAACUCAUAGAUUCAAGGAGAGGAGAUGUAUGGUGAAAUUGAAAGGUUCAUCAAAGUAUGGAUUUCAGCCAUCUUAGGUUUAUGUUAUUGUUAUUACAUAGCUGCAAGAAUACCAAAGGGCUUCUUGAGACUUCUCUCCCUUCUCCCUAUUCUCUACCUCUUCAUCAUCCUUCACUUGAACAUCUCUUCGCCUAACUUAGUUGGAUACACUUCCUUCUUCCUUGUUCAACUUGGCAUUUUCAAGCUCCUACUUUUUUCCUUCAACAAAGGCCCUCUUGCACUAUCACCCCCAAACAUUGUCCAUUUCAUCUCCAUAGCUUCCCUCCCCAUCAGCCCAAAACCAACCAAUAAAAAUAACACCACCAACACCCAAAAGCCAAAAUGGCUAUUGCCCUUAAAAUUGCUUAUUUUUGCCAUGAUCGAACGUGUUUAUGAGUACAAUGAAUACUUCCACCCUCAUUUCAUAUUAGUCCUCUAUUGUCUUCACUUGUACCUUGGCUUAGAGCUUGUUUUUGCUCUUAUUGCAACCCCGGUUCAAACCCUUUUUGGCUUAGAGAUAGAACCACACUUCAACGAACCCUAACUUUCAUCCUCACUUCAAGAUUUUUGGGGUCAUAGAUGGAACCUUUUGUCUUCUUGUCUUCUACGCUCUACAUUAUACAACCCCGUAAGCUAUAAGAUCACGGGUUUAGUGGGUCCCACAUGUGCCACAUUAGCUGCCAUGUUGGCCAUGUUCCUUGUGUCUGGGCUUGUGCAUGAGUUAAUCUAUUAUCAUGUUACACGUGUACCUCCCCCAUGGGAAGUUACGUGUUUUUUUUGUGCUUCACGGUGUGUGCACGGUGGCGGAUGUAGCUGUUAAGAAGGUGGUUCUCCGUCGUGGAUGGCGACUGCACCGUGCCAUGUCAGGGCCACUCGUGGUGGCAUUCUUGGCUAUCUCGGCGAAUUGGCUGUUUUUUCCUCAAUUGUUGAGGAAUGAAAUGGAUAGGAAGUCCAGUGAAUAAUAUGUAAUUUUGCUGGACACCCAAUUCCUAUCCCCAACUCAGGACUACAGAUAACCCAACUUGGUCAUGUUAAGGUAUGAAAUUUGUAAUGUUACCCUUCUUUAGCUGGAUCAUAUUCAUGCCUACUAUGUUCCAUCUUGUAAUUUGAGUAUUUAGAGGCAUAAAUAUUUUGAUUCAAAGCUACCUUUCUUCUUUCUUACUGUUACUUCUUAAUCAGCAGGAAGUUUUAUUUGCUUUCCUUCUUGGAAGCUUUUGAAGAUUAAUAAAUGAUUUCCUAUGAAUGGAAUAGUAAGUACAUUUAUUGAAUAUUGUGAUUUUGGCUAAAAUAUUCUUCAAUUAUGACAGGAUUUGGCAAAAGUUUUUAUCCAAGUUCUUGGUAAUGAGAAAGCCACCAAAGAAGUAUUCAACAUCUCGAGAGAGAAGUAUGUCACGUUUGAUGGAUGUGCUAAGGUAAGUCACUCUUGCCUUGUCAUAUUUAAGGUGACCAAUAGAAAGCAGUGGGAAAAUGCCUUAAUAUGUGAACUUAAUGAUGUGAUUAUUCAUUUACUAUUUUCAUUAUUGAAUUUUGACCAGGGUUUAUGAAGUAAGUCUCACACGAGACAUUAGGUUCAAUUAUAUUUGCAUAUUGUUAUUGUCAUUCAUGAACAAAAAGCAAAUAAAUAAAUAAAAAUUAAUAAUUCUACAUCGGUUACUAGUACAACCGGUGUAGGAUUAUAAAGUAAGUCUCACACGAGACAUUAGUUUCAAUUAUAUUUGCAUAUUGUUAUUGCCAUUCAUGAACAAAAAGCAAAAAAAUAAAAAAAAUUAAUAAUUCUACAUGGUUACUAGUACAACCGAUGUAGGAUUGCUAGAUAUUCUACAUCGGUUAUUAGAAAAACCGAUGUAGAAUGCUUUAUCAUGAGUAACAUUUUACGACAUUUCAGGGUGACAACCGAUGUAGAAAUCUAACAUUCUAAGACGGGUUUAGGGGUAGAAUUCUACAUCGGUUUGACACCACAACCGAUGCAGAAUGGUCAAAAUUCUAAGACAGUCGGUCAACCGAUGUAGAAAGUCGCGGGUGUUUCAACGUCACCGGCUACAAUGACGCAUGAUAACCGAUGUAGAAAGACUAUUUUGUAGUAGUGUUUGUUAAGUCUAAGAUAUACCAUUAAGAAUGUUUAACUCUUGAGAGUAAACGUUAAAGGAUGAGAUAGACUUAUAAUUAUAAUAUUUACCUUAAAGGGUAAAACAUUUCUUUUUUUUUUGUAAAAGAAUUAUUUAAUUGUGAAUAAGGCAUAUAUAUUGAAUAGGUUGAAAAAUGAUGAGUGUGACUCAACAGCUAACAUCUGAAAAUGUGCAAGUCUAAAAACAUUAAAAUAUUUUAUGUUUUUAUUGGAUUUACGUGGGUGUAUAAAAAAAUAUAUGGGUGUAUGAGUUUAGGUUUGAAGGCAAAAAAAUCUUUAUUUAAAUUUUUGAAAAAAAAGAAACUUAAUUGCACAUAGUGUUUCAAAUGAAAGAUACACAUACGUGGUUUUAAAAAAAUGCCAUCUCUAUCUUGGAUUAAGGCAUUGUUCUUCCUUACAAAAGUGGAAGAAAAAAAUAGAUAAAGGAAAAGUGUGUCCCCCCUUGCAGCAAUAACAAUUAAUCAAAGGAAAAUAUCAUCCAUUAGGAGAUUUAUGAUUAAAGUGUGUCCCCCCUUGUAGCAAUAACAACUAGUUAGUAAUAAAUGAUUGAACUACUGUUACCAGUGGCGGAUCCAAGACCCUAAGUCAGUGAGUGCAAAUUAUAAAAAAUAAAAUCAGUGGGUUCAAUUAUAUAAAUUAAAUAUAAAAAAAAUAAAAUAUAAAAAUAUAAGAUUUUAUUUACAAAUUUAGUGAAUUUUAAAAAAUGAGGGGGUGCAAGUGCACACCCUCAUACCAAUGUAGGUCCGCCACUGACUGUUACAGCUGGCUAAGUUUCCUUCUAGAUUAGUCAAAGGCAAGAUCGAGAGGCACAGAAGCAUGGCAAUUAAUUUGGGUAGCUAUAAUUUGCUGCCUGUAGAACUUCAGAAAUAAAAUUGUCUUUAGAAGUUCUAAUUUGUCGUUUGAAGACUUGCUUGGAAUCUGUAAGAUUUAGAACAUGAUCUUGGUUGCAUGCCAGAAUAUUUAAAGGCUUCAGUUAUUCCUUCUUUGAGUGGUUAAACAGCCCAAUGAUGACUAUAAUGGUUUUUUUUAUUAAAAUGGAUUAAAAAUUAAAAUUAUCAUAAUGGAUUCAUCAAGAAAGUAUUUAUUAAAAUAGAUGAUUUUUGUCACAUAGGAUUAUAGAAAAUGUUACCCUAAGUGACACCUUAUAUUUUUUUGUGUAUUUUAUAGCACGAGGCACCAUCCUCCUAUACUCCAUUUUCGCCAAUGCUAAAUUCAUAUUUAAUGAUUAGAUCUUAUGACACAGUUUUAUUCAAUUUAAUGAUGAUCAAGCUAAUACAAAAUACUUAUAAAAUUAAACUCUUGUCUUUACAACAAUUUAAAAUAAGUAUAAAUGUAUAAUUAAUUAUGAAAAAAAAAGAUAUGUAAGUUUAGUAACGAAGAAUAAAGUAAUAAGAGUAUGUAUUUGUAUUUCUUUUGAUAAUGAAGAAUAUUUUUUUGAGACAAAAUAGGACGUAUAAAUUUCAAUUUUUUAUAUAUAAUUUUUUGGUUGAGUGUCUUUCAGUAAACGACAUCAUGUUUUAAGAUUUUAGUGUCAACCUCAACUUUUUGGCAUCUAGAGUUAAAUAGGAACAUUCUUUAGUUGUUAUCACUUUGUCCUGAUUUUUUUGUGCUAGCAAAAUAAAUUUUCAGAAAGUCUGUUGAAAGUCAUUCUAAUUAUCUAGAAUCAUGAGAUGCUCUUCAUCCUGAAGUAGUUAAUUGGUCAAGAUAUACGUGGGGCGUUGAACAUGUACUGAUUUCCGUUGGCGUGAGAAGUUCUACUGUUUCAUUCACACAAAAAGUGUUAAACUCAGAAAAGGUUAGGCCAAAAACUGCUGCUCCUCAUAGAGAUUUCUCAUAUAAAUACACUUUAAUUACAAUCUGUCAAGCUGAUUUUCAGCCCAAUAAAUAGCUAAACUGCCAUAUACACAAUUACAGCUAAUUAUCCUGAUUUUCAGCCCAAUAAAAUAGCUAAACUGCCAUAUAUACAAUUACAGCUAAUUAUCCUAAUUAAGAGAGUAAUUGUUACAAAUAAAUGUGCAAUCCCAUACAAUUUGUUGUGACAUUUAAUUCCGUGCUGUGACAUUUAAUUCCGUUGACAUCCCCCCUCAAAUUGAUGCCCGAAAAUCGACUAGCAUCAAUUUGCUAAGAAGAAAAUUGUGUCGCUGACGUGUUAAUGUUUUAGUGAAAAUGUCAGCUAUUUGAAUGGAAGUUGAGAUGUGUGGUAGACUGAUGACUCUUCGAUCAUAGGCAUCGCGAAUAGAGUGACAGUCAACCUCAAUAUGUUUAGUCCGUUCAUGGUAAAUUGGAUUCGCUGCAAUCUGUAUGGCACUGGUGUUGUCAGCAUGCAGCGGAGUUGGUUGUGCUUGAGAGAAUCCAAGCUCUAUGAGGAGACCACGUAGCCAUAUUAUUUCGGAACAAGCGGCAGACAUCGCGUGAUAUUCUACUUCAGUGGAGGACUUUGAGACUGAAUCUUGUUUCUUACAUUUCCAUGAAAUAGGAGCAUUCCCUAGGAACAUACACCAACCAGUAGUGGAUUUUCUUGUGUCUGGACAACCAGCCCAAUCAGCAUCACUGUAUGCUUGGAGUUGUAUGGAGGAAUCAGCAGGAAAAAACAGACCAUGCUUUGGGGUACCAAGGAGGUAUCUAAUGAUCCGUUUUACUGCUGAAAGAUGCAAAUGCCUCGGAGAUUGCAUGAACUUACUCACGGUGUGGACAGCAAAAGAAAUAUCUGGACAAGUGAUAGUUAGAUAGAUGAGACUUCCUACGAGCUUGCGAUAGUGAGUGGGAUCAUCAAGAAGUUCACCUUCAUCUCUCCGAUAUUUAACAUUAACUUCCAUGGGAGUGUCAACAGGGGUGGCAUUUGGGAGUCCAGCUAGUUGAACCAAGUCUUGAAUAUACUUGUGCUGACAUAGAGAAAUGCCUUGGUGAUGAUAAUGCACCUCUAAACCCAAGAAAUAAGUGAGAUGGCCUAAGUCUUUCAUCUGAAAGGUUGAAUGCAACUGAUUUUUUAUUCUAGAAACAACAUCUUGAUCUGAACCAGUGACCACAAUGUCAUCCACAUAAACAAGAAGCACCACGAUGCCUUUAGGAGUCCUUUGUAGGAAAAGAGAGGGAUCAUACUGACUUUGAGUGAAUUCAAAAACAAGUAGUGUCGAGCGAAACUUUUCAAACCGUACUCUUGGUGCCUGUUUUAAUCCAUAUAAAGAGCGUUUCAGUUUGCAAACAGUAUUAGGUGAAGGGGUAGGCAUACCAUUAGGAAGCUUGAUGUAAACUUCCUCCUUAAGGUCACCGUGAAGGAAUGCAUUUUUGACAUCCAUUUGAUGUAGUGGCCAAGAUUGUGAGGCAGCAAGAGCAAGAAUAGUGCGCACAGUUGUCAUCUUGGCGACUGGUGCAAAAGUCUCAUCAUAGUCCAGUCCAUAUUGUUGCUUAUUGCCAAGCACAACUAAACGAGCUUUGUAACGAUCUAUGGAUCCAUCCGAACGCAGCUUUAUAGAGAAUACAAACUUGAUACUUAAAGGCUUAAUAGAUGUGGGACACGGGACUAUAUCCCAUGUUUGAUUUUCUUCCAAUGCUAGAAGUUCAGUUUCAAUAGCUUUCUGCCAACAAGCAUUCUUCAUGGCCUGGCUAUAAGAGGAAGGGAUAGGAAUAGAGGAUAAUGAGGCUGUCAUGGAAUGGAUAUACCUGUCUGGGGGCUUAAUAAUGCGUGAGCUGCGUCUUGGAGGAGCUGGUUCUGGUUCUUCUACUGGAUCAGCAGCCAAGGAAUUAUCUCGAAGGGGCCCUUGAGGUUCUGUCUGUUGAUUUUGGUUUGCAGUGCUACGUCUGUUGUAGGUCAAGAGAGGUUUAGGAGAUGGUUCUCCUGCAUGAGAGUUAGAAAACAAUGGCAAAACAGAAAUUGGAGGAGAGGUAAGGUCAGGAUGUGAUGCAAAAAAGUAUACAUUUUCUUGGAAAAUGACAUUUCUAGAUACUCGAAUCCUACGGAUGGUAGGAUCAUAACAUAGAAAACCCUUUUGAUGAGGAGAAUAUCCAAGAAAGGCACAUUCAACAGAUAGUGCAGUGAGCUUGGUGCGUUCUCUUGGAGGAAGAUGGACAUAACACACACAACCAAAGAUACGAAGAUUUGAGUAAUUGGGUGGAUGACCAUAUAACCGAUUGAAAGGGGAUUCAUUACCUAUUGAUGGAGAUGGCAAUCGGUUGAUAAGAUGAACUGUAGUGGAGAGGGCUUCACACCAAAAACGUGAUGGCACAUGAGACUCCAGCAAAAGGGUGCGGACAACAUCAAGCAAAUGGCGAUUUUCUCUUUCCGCUACCCCAUUUUGUUGUGGAGUUGAGGGGCAUGACCUUUGGGAUACAAUGCCAUUGGAUUGCAAGAAGUCCUGAAAUGAGUGUGACAUGUAUUCUCCCCCAUUAUCAAAGCGAAAGAUUUUUAUUUUUGACGAAAAUUGGGUCUGAACAAAGGCAUGGAAAAUUUGAAAGUGGAAAAGACUUCAUCUUUUGAUCGCAUAAAAUAGACCCAACUGAAGCGACUAUAAUCAUCAAUAAAAGUUAUGAAAUAUUUAUAAUGAGCAUGAGAUAUAACCGGUGCCACCCCCCAAACAUCACUGUCGAUGAUUUCAAAAGGUUGUGUUACAUUAGACUGAUGUGUUGGAAAAGGCAGAAUUUUACUUUUACCAAGUUUACAAGGAAUACAAUCAAAGUGAACAGCAUUGAGAGAUGAAUUGUGUUUAUUUCCAAGAUAAUUAGAUUUGAGCAAGUCAUGAAGUACAUUUGUGUUUGGAUGUCCAAGACGCUUAUGCCACACUUGGUAAUCAACAAUAGCAGAAUUACAAGAAACUAAAGGCAAAGAAAGACUGGAAGGCAAUGAGAAUUGGAUUGGGAAAAGGCGUCCAACUUUAGGCCCCUUCGCGAUUAUCUUCCCUGAGUGUUGAUCCUGCACAAGACAACCAGACUGUGAGAAUUGUACUUGACAAUCAUUGUCAACUAAUUGACCAACUAAAAUGAGAUUACUAGUGAGACCAGGAGAAACAAAAACAUUGGUUAGAGAUGGAGAAAUAUCACCAGUGGUUGUGAUAGGCAAAGGAUUUCCAUCAGUGGUGUGUAUCUUGAGGUCUCCAAGAUAUUUUUUGAUAUUAGUAAGAAAUUGAGCAUUGUUGGUCAUGUGGUUGGAAGCCCCCGAAUCAAAAUACCAAGGGGAAGAGGAUUUACCUGAGAAUCCUAAAGCAGAGAAUGCUGAAAUGAUCAUUUGUUGAACCAUUUCAGGGGUCAUAGUCGGAGCAGGAUCAGGAGCUUGUUGCUGAACAGGUGUUGGAUUUACUGAAUUAUUAGGAACAGAUGAAUCAACUGAGGCUGUAAAAGCUGUGACAUUUCGCUUGGGUGGCCUUAUGGGGCAUUCUUUAAUAAUAUGUCCAUCCUUUUUGCAGUAGUUGCAGAAUUUGUUCAGACAGUUAGAAGCAUAAUGUCCAAAUUGCUUGCAACAGAAACAUUGAAUAGUACGCAUGUCAUGACUUUUUGGUUUUCCUCGGGCCACAUAUGCCACUGGAACAAUAGCGGAUUUGUGAUCUUCAAUGAUGGACUGUGUAAGGAGGCGUUGUUCUUCACGCAACAGAGCAUUAAAACAUGCAUCCAGUGAUGGUACAGGAUUUCUAUGCAUGAGGUUGGACCGAAUACCUUCAAAAUCAGAUCUCAAUUUCAUAAGAAAUUGAUCACGUUUAGUAGUUUCAUGAACUGUUUGGACUGAAUUGAGGCCUUCAGAAGGCAAGUCCGCAUAAACUAUAUCAGUGUAUUCAGCCCAAAGAUUCAUGAAUUGAGAGUAAAAAUCAGAGAUGGAGAGACUAUCCUGUUUAAAGGUAGCGAUGUCGUGUUCAAGCUGAAACCUUCGAGCUUCAUUGUUCUGACUGUAGACUUUCUUCAAGUAAUUCCACAUUGUGGCUGCUGUCUUGUAAGGCCGAAGAUUCAGGACAAUGUUGGGAUCGACAGAGCCUAGGAUCCAGGCCAUGACAUGAGCAUCUUUGACUGUCCAUUUGGUGUGUUCAACCUUAGCUGUGUCUUUGUCAGGGACGGGAGAGCUGCCGUCAACAUGACCCCAUAAGUCUUUUCCAGUGACAAAGAUCUGGAAUUGGAAUGCCCAAGCUGAGUAGUUUUUGCCAUUAAGGCGAACCAAGAGAACAUCAUACUUUUCGGUAGACAUGGAACAAGGGAUGGUAAUCUGGACUGGGAAAGAAAUGACCAAGAAACAGAAAAAAAAACAAGGACUUGGAGAGAACUGGAACUUGGACGAGGCUGAAAGAACAAGGAAAGAAGUGCAGACUAGGGUCUUGGAUCGAAACCUAGGCUGAUACCAUGUUAAACUCAGAAAAGGUUAGGCCAAAAACUGUUGCUCCUCAUAGAGAUUUCUCAUAUAAAUACACUUUAAUUACAAUCUGUCAAGCUGAUUUUCAGCCCAAUAAAUAGCUAAACUGCCAUAUACACAAUUACAGCUAAUUAUCCUGAUUUUCAGCCCAAUAAAAUAGCUAAACUGCCAUAUAUACAAUUACAGCUAAUUAUCCUAAUUAAGAGAGUAAUUGUUACAAAUAAAUGUGCAAUCCCAUACAAUUUGCUGUGACAUUUAAUUCCGUGCUGUGACAUUUAAUUCCGUUGACAAAAAGCUCAUAGAACUUAGGUUGGUUUGUACCUGUCUUUCAAAAGUGCAAGUGUGUAAAUUUGAGUACUUUUAUGAAUCAUUUAUACUAGGUGAUUGAUGUUGUGGUUUAUUUUAUGUGCUUAUGUUAAUUGUGUUUUCCUUUUUUCUGUCUUUCAAUUAUUAUGACAUGAAUUUUAUUUACUAUCGAACAGGCUCAUCAAAUUUGUGCCUAUCAUGUUUAUUGCUUUAGAAAAGUUUUAUUUGAGCUGGUGACAAAAAUUGUUGAUCUGUCAAUGAUUGUUGAUGAGGAUUUCUUAGACGAAAUAUGAGCUAUAUCCAUUUUAGCUCAUUCACUUGCUUUUAAAUUUAAGAAAUUAUAAUAUUAUAACUAUAAAGUUAAUAAAUUAGUAUACAAUUGUAUUUUCAUCCAUAUUAUACAAUCUCAUGAUGUUAUGUUAUCAUGCUUAUCUUAACCAUCAUUUAUACAUUUUUUUAUAACACAUAAGAUUAAAUACUUUUGUUUUGCUACAAACAAUGUUUCUAACAUUAUAACUCUGUUACUUCCAUUUUGUUAUAUAAUAUCUAUUUUUAUUUUUUCUUGAUCUUCAAAUCAGUUCCAUGUGCUGUAAGACCGGCGAUUUUUGUACGGAACAGAAUGUUGGGCGGUCAAGAGCCAACAUGAGAAUAAAGUAGGUGUAGCGGAGAUGAGGAUGUUGCGGUGGAUGUGUGGUAAGACUCGACAGGAUAAAAUUAGAAACGAAGUUAUUAGAGAGAGGGUUGGAGUAGCGCCUAUUGUAGAGAAGAUGGUGGAAAAUAGACUUAGGUGGUUUGGGCAUGUAGAGAGAAGACCGGUAGACUCUGUAGUGAGGAGAGUAGACCAGAUGGAGAGAAGGCAAACAAUUCGAGGCAGAGGAAGACCCAAAAAGACUAUAAGAGAGGUUAUAAAAAAGGAUCUCGAACUUAAUGAUUUGGAUAGAAGUAUGGUACUUGAUAGAACAUUAUGGCGGAAGUUGAUCCAUGUAACCGACCCCACCUAGUGGGAUAAGACAUUGUUGUUGUUGUUCAAAUCAGUUAUAUGUGCUGGUAAUUCAUUUUUUUAGCUUAUAUUAAUUUUUUUUCACAUUUACUUGCUUUCAAAUUUAAUAAAUAACAAUAUUGUAUAAUAAUAUAUCUGUAUAGUCCACACCUGUAUUAUUAUUUAUAUUUUUCAGCUUACCCGUGCGAAUACACGGGUUACUGACUAGUUUCCUUAUAAAUGAUCAAACAACAGGCAAAUUAGAAAAAAAAUGAUUUCAAAGAAUAAAGACCCAAAAAUAGAACUUUCAUAUAAACUAAUUAAGAAAAAAAAUCUAUUUUGAGAAGCCUAAAAAGAGGAAUCAAACAUUAUUGUUUGGUCUCCUGUUUGAAGGUGAAUUUCUACAAGAGUUGCUUUGGGCUAUCGGAGUGGAAAAUAGGGUGGUGGAAAGAUAUGCAGAUUUAUUGAAUUGUAGAAUUUUAUCUUGGCCAUUUGUAUAUCUUGGGAUACCAAUUGAGGCUAAUCCAAGGAAGUUGAACUUAUGGCAACCCAUCUUUGACAAGUUUUCCAAGAAGUUAGACACUUUGGAAGCACAAGUUUAUGUUUCUUGCGGGUAGAUCAUGUUUGGUAAAUUCUAUGUUAUCCUCUUACCUCUUUUCUUUCUUUAGGAUUCAAAAUGUAGUGAGGAAGAUUCUAGUGGGGAUUCAAAGGAGGCUUUUAUGGGGAGGGGUAAAUGAGAAUAAAAAAAUAGCAUGGGUUAAGUGGUGGGAUAUUUGCAAGGAGUAGAGUGAGAGUGGGCUAGGAGUAAAUGAUAUAAGGUCAUUUAACGAGGCUUUGUUGAGAAAUGGAGAUGAAAUUUAUUCCAUAGUGAGGGGAGGGAGUUUUGGAAAGAAGUGUUAAUUUUGAAGUAUGGUGGUUGGAGGGGCAUUCUAAAUGAGGGAGAACAAACUCAUGAGUCAUGGUGGUGGAGGGAUUUAAAGAGGGUUUGUGGAGGAAAAAAUGAGGUGAAAUGGUUGAAUGGAUUUGUUGAUGGGUCUAAAACAAGGUUUUGGUUGAAUGAUUGGGUGGAUAGACAAAGUUUAGCUAAUAUUUUCCCUGGACUUUUUACUAUCUCCGACCAAUAGGAGGAAGUGAUUGGUAAGAUGGGUUCAUGGAGGGAUGGUUCUUGGCGGUGGAAGGUAAAGUGGAGGAGGAACCCUUUUGUAUGGGAGACUGAACUUAUACAACAGCUUCAUCAAUUACUGGAAGGGGUCCAACUACAAAUUUCAGGAGAAGACAGAUAGUUUUGGAAGCAAUGCCCCUCAGGGCAGUUUUCAACUUCAUCGGCCUAUCACUUUAUUCAACAACUUGGAGGGCCGGGAGAAACUUGACAACUUUUUGAAUAGAUAUGGAAAAUUAAAAUUCCACCUAAAGCUAAAAUUCUUAUCUGGAGAAUUUUCAGAGAUAGAAUGCCAACUCUUGAUAACUUGGUAAAUAGAAAUGCCAUUGAUAGGAAUUGUGAUCAAAUGUGUCCUCUCUGUUUGGGUCAUCAAGAAUCUGCUCAACAUCUUUUCAUCUCUUCUAAUGUCAUUCAAGAUGGUUGGUUGGAAUACAUCUCAUGGAAAUCUCUUUCUCUUGCACAGCCAAGUAGUUUGGAAGUUCAUUUCAGGUAAUUUGCAGGUUUAGGAGGUUCUAGAAUUGAGUCAGAAUUUUGGCAAGCAACAUGGGGAGCAGUGGUCUUUUGUGUGUGGAAAUUGAGGAACACAGUUGUUUUUAGACAACAGUUGGUGGACAGAAAGAAAUUGAUAGAGGAAGUUAAAUUCCUUAUCUGGUCAUGGUUACAUAAUCUGGAUUCUGGUUUUAAUUUUUCAUUUGUUCAAUGGUCAUCUAAUCCAGCAGUUUGCGUACAUGGAUGGUUUGGCAGGACAUUAUGUAUGUGGCAAGUAGCUGAGUGCAGGAAAUUCGAUCAGAAAUGUGCAGGAAAGGGUAUGUGUAGCAUUGUGGAAUCUGUCAGGUGGAAAUGCUAAUUAUGGAGGUGAGUUCAUUAAUCUAUUUUGCCACAUACAUGCGAAGAACUUGCGAUGUGUUAUUAUUAAGAAAACUUCUCUGCAUGAUAUAUGGCUUUUGGUAGUGGGGUAACUUCCACAUGACUUUGUUUUGCAUAAUUUUAUCCAGCAAAGACAUGUUAUAGCUGGUUAGCGGUGGGAUACUAUACUAUGAGAGGAAAUGAGUGAAUUACAAUACUCUGGUAUGUUGUGGAGCUUUGAACGGUUAUUUUUUAUUUAUGCAAUCAUCACCUAAAUAUAUUGUAACCGCUGUCAUGAGCUGAUGGGGAAGUUCUAUGAACUUUUUUGUAUUUACGUCUGGUACCCUUCUUUAUUACAUAUAUAUAACUUUUGCUGAUUAAAAAAAAAUGUUUUUUCGAUUUCUUGCUGACACUGUAAAAGAUAGUCAUUGAAGUUUAUUGGUUGUAUACUAGAAAUGGUAUAUUUUAGUUGAAUAAAUCAGAAAUAAUAAUAAAACAGAUAAUGUGUUUUGAGGUGCAAUAAACAGGCUCAAAUCAUUAAUAAUAAUAUUAAGAAUAUGUUGCUAUAAAGAUCUGCUGCAAAUCUUGGGUAACGUAAAACCAUUUUUUUUUUUUUUUAAUUAACGGGUAUUGCUUUCUAACUCAAAUCAUUUUAGCACCAUAUACUGCUGCCUUUUGGUUGACAUGCAAAUGAGGCAAGCUGAAGAUGCCAUAUUUGAAAUAGAAACCACGGAUAAAGAACAUAUAAAUAUAAGAUUGGUCUAGUGGUUAGGAAAGAAGGACUUAAGGGUGAAGGGAGAAAGGAGGGAAGAGAGGUCAUAAGUUUGAAUCUCCACACUGAUAUUUUUAACGAAACUAACAUUUGCCCAUACAAAAAAUCACAUAAAGAACAUUGUGUAAUCAACAUGCUAUGAUUUAGCACAUUCCAUGUUACAAUGUGUCUCACCCUUAUAUUAUUUCUAAAAGUUUCCAUAAAGACUACAAGAAAGCUACAAAGAAGGCAAAAGAAAGGUGCAUAUGCUAUACACCUUAACCUUAUAUUAAUGAUGCAUAAAAAGCAAUAUACCCUUCUGAAUGAGAUGUAGGAAUUAUACCCUGGUUGCGUACACUUGUUUUCUUGGACAUGGGAUAUGCAAGUGCAGAUCGUUGCUUGGUUAACCCUUCAAUGAUAAAAGAAAGUGCCCCAUAAGCAAUGCAGCUCUGUAGAAGUGAUUGGGGUGUACCUGGAGAAUCCUAAAGGAUGAGUCAUAAUAACAAUAAAAACGUACAAGAGAAGAAAAUUAAAUACAUAUUUUUCUUUUUGGUGAAUAAAUUACAUACAUAUAGAGAUAGACUUAUACAAAAGAAUUGAUUGAAAUGCCUGAGUCACUAAAGCAGCUUUUUGUUUUGUUUUGUUAGACCAUUCAACAUAGUAAUAAACCUCAACCUUUCCCCAGCCACCAAUUGGAGACAAAAUUGUCUCAAGUGUUUGGCAUGAAGGAUCAUGUUUAUUCAUAGAUUUCAACAAUGAAAGACAAAUUAAAAUUCAUACCUUUGAGAAAAAAGGUUUGGUCAAAAUAGGUAAGAUUACUGUGACCUUUAUCCUUAAUUUCAAUUGGUGCAGAGACCAACAAGUUACUAAAAACUUCAAGUAAAGGAUGAUAGUUCAUCAAUUAUUAAAAGAAGGGAUAUACCAGGAAAACUUGUAGCAAGACCAGCGCAGCAUCCAGCUACCCCAGCAUUAAUGGCUGCAGAUGUGAAAGGAAUCACAUUAUCAGUGAGAGAACAUUAUAUUGGCGAGGCUUUUUUAAGUUGGCUUCUAACAUAUUUGGCUGAAUUAGAAGUUUGUUUGCCAAAUUAAACCUCUUUGCCAAAGGAACAUAUUUUUAUGAGUGUUUUUGUAACACUUUUCAUGUAGCAUCUGAACACUACCUUAUCAUAAUUCCUUCUUUCUUUUCAUUAAUAGUUUCCUACUAACUUUUUAGCUUCCAACUAACUUAUAUGUUAAGUUUUGUCAAACACAUCAUUGAAAUUAAAUAUUUUAUACCAUCAUCCUUUCCUCGAAGUCUUCCCAAUAUGCAGACAACCAAACUAUCAACUCCGGAUAAAAUUGCAAAUGUCUAAUGAAAACGAAGACAAAAAAUGAAGAUUAUUAAUGAAUGGACAUGUUCAAAUAGGUAUUAAGUUUGCAAAGUAAAAAGCCGGGCAGAAAAUAAACAACAUUGAUCUCUGGUAUACCUUAGCAUUAGAUCCUGCUUCUAUAAAGGAUCCUUUAAAGCCUUUCUUCUUAAUCAAUCCAGCACCUGAAAACAGACCCAUUGAAAGCAUCCUUGAGCACGAACAGAAAUAUCGACCAACUAUCAAACUCUAAGAAUUUGAAUUUCUUGAUCAUAAUCCUCUGCCAGCAUUUCAAAGAUAGCAUAGAUACACAAAUAUUACCUAUGAUUGAAUAAAGCAGAAAAUUUAGUUCAAAAUCCAUUUCUCUAGUUACUUGUUAGGAAAAUAUUAUAUAGAUUCAAAAUUUUAAGUGAUGUUACACACUCACUCCUCUCCAUCUUCACUCAAAGGUAAUAAAUAACUAAUAACAGAAAAGAUUUGAAGGUGAAAUUAUCUACCAAUAGAUUCCUCUUUAAGUUGUGUACAGGAUAUAAACAAAACGGCAUAUACUCCCAAAUUACAAAUUUCUCAGAGGAUGCUAUAAAUUCAAGAAAGAAAAAACAAUUUCAAAUUGCAAAUUCCGUGUAGCCUAUUUGAUUAAGAAUAAAACUUAGAUUUAGUUGCAGUUAAUUAAGUGUCUUUAGAGUUAUUCUCCUGUCAGAAAUGGAGAUUUACUUUCUAAAUCUUUAAUACAAAUCUUUAUUAUGUGAAUUACAAGUGAAACUCCAAUUAUGAUUGAAAAACAACAUUAAAAGUACCUAAGGUACUGCUUCUAAGAAAGUUAAAAUACCAGAAACAAGAGAAUGACGAAGAAAAACAGAAAAAAUAAAUGGUAACAUCACAAAAAGUAAACAUAAAGCACAUGCAAGUCCAAGUCAGAGAGAGGACCAUAGCCGAAAAGGGAGCCGGUGAGGGCGCCACAAGCAGUGCUUGUUGGUUAAUUUUGAAAAUCGAGAUAAUCCUGGAUAAAUCUGAAGUCGUGUAUAAACACUUUCAGAUUGAAUCAAAUUUCGGGGUUCAACCAAAAUUGUUCAAUCGGAUAAAAUCAGAAGAUUAUAAUUCAAGAGUUUUGUUUUGGUCUUGUGAGUUUUUCACAUGUUAUGCUUUCUGAACCAGGAUGAUUAUUUAUAAUCAAAGAACAGGUGGUUUUUGGCGGUUGAAGGAAGUUAUGGAAGUUUUAUCCUUUGAAAAAAAAAACGGUUGGCGGUUGAUGGAAGUUUAUCUUUUUAAAAAACUGUCUUUUCUUGAAAAAUAACUUCCAUGUAACUUCCAAAAUUUGACUUCCAUGUAACUUCCAAAAUUUGCCUAAACCGAGCAUCUCGUUAUUAUAUUAAAACAAGCGUGCACUCUUAUUUUAACAUAAUAAAGAGAUCAAUUACACUAAAAUGUCCAACAGACCUCCCCCAUUUUAGUGUAAUUACCGAUCAAAUCACCAAAGUCAUAACAUACAACAAACUACUGCAUAGAUGAAAUAUCGUGACGAUUGAAUUUCAUCUUAGCAAAUUACACGUUUCAAAUAUUCGAAUAUCAGGGUGUCACUAAGGAUUGAACCCUUUCUAUUCAUAAUGAAUACAUGAAGAUAAUCUGCACAAUAGUUUAUAACAUUACUCUUGCUCGACACUAGUUUUACUAGCCUGUGUCCCUAUCCUUCAUAAGCAUAUCAAAGCCAAGUCCCAGCUUCUUGAAGCGGCUAAACUUCAUGCUUAUAUAGGUAGUCCUUUUCUUUCUUGCACCUGUAAAUGCAAUUUUUCAAAAGAACCAUUGAGAAGUUAUACUUCAACCUCCUUAACUUACAGAACCGAACACAUUCCUUUUGGGAUACUUUCGAUGAUGUGUUCCAAUCUCUACAUGUUAAGCUUUCCACAUUGAAUUCAGCACCUAAUGUCAUAUUAGAUGGGAAUUGGGUAUCUUAACAUAAGAGAUUUCAGAUGGACUUUAAUCCUAAUCCCACAGCCGACCUUUUUACGAGAUCUCUACUUAACCCUUUGGUUAAAUGAUCGGCCAAAUUAUGCUGAGUUCUCACAAACUCCACUGAUAUCACACCAUGCAUGAUUAACUCCCGAACCAUGUUGUGUCUAACACCCAAGUGUCUAGACUUCCCAUUAUACACUUGACUAUAUGCCUUAGCCAAAGUUGCCUGACUAUCACACCUGAUAGACAUGGGAGGUAUAGGUUUGGGCCACAAUGAAAUCUCAUAGAUUAGAUUUCUUAGCCACUCAGCUUCUUUACCAGCUGCUGCUAAAGCUACAAAUUCAGAUUCCAUUGUUGAAUUUGUAAUGCAGGUCUGUUUCUUGGAUGCCCAAGAGAUAGCACCUCCUCCAAGGAGGAAUACCCAACCACUUGUGGAUGAAUAAUCCUCCAUAUUGGUUAUCCAACUUGCAUCAGAGUAACCUUCAAUAACCGAAGGAAAUCCAGUAUAUGUCAAACCAUAGUCAAUGGUUCCCUUUAAGUACUUGAAUACUCUAUUCAUAGCUUGCCAAUGAUGAGAACUAGGAUUACUUGUAAACCUACUGAGUUUAGCAACAGCAUAAGCUAUAUCAGGCCUAGUACUAAUCAUUGCAUACAUGAGUGAUCCUAUCGCCCUUGAGUAUUCAAGUUGAGACACUGCUACACCUUUAUUAGGUAAUAGCUUCAGGUUAGGAUCAAUGUGAGUACUUACCGGAGAACAAUCUUUAAAAUUAAAUUUCUCCAAUAUCUUCUCAAUAUAAUGUGAUUGAGAGAUGAAAAUGCCAUUGUUUCCACGUUUGAUCUUUAUUCCUAAGAUCACAUCCGCCUCCCCCAUAUCUUUCAUAUCAAACUUAGAAGACAAAAAUGCCUUAGUUUCAUCAACUUGAUCUUGGUCGGUACCAAAGAUCAACAUGUCGUCUACAUACAGACAAAUGAUAACUCCUUUGCCAUGAGUAUCAAACUUGCUGUAUAGACAUUUAUCUGCUUGGUUUAUAACAAAACCACUAGACAACACAACCUCAUCAAAUUUUUGAUGCCAUUGCUUAGGCGCUUGUUUCAAGCCAUAAAGAGAUUUCAUCAGUUUACACACCUUAUUUUCAUUUCCUGGCAUAACAAACCCUUCAGGUUGUUUCAUGUAUAUCUCUUCAUCCAAUUCACCAUUUAAGAAUGCAGUUUUCACAUCCAUUUGGUGAAUCAUCAGAUUGUGGAUAGCAGCAAGUGCUAACAACAGUCUAAUAGUGGAUAUCCUAGCAACAGGAGCAUAUGUAUCGAAAAAAUCAAUACCCUCCUUUUGCCUAAAGCCUUGGAUAACCAAUCUGGCUUUGUACUUGUCAACAGUACCAUCCACUUUCAUCUUUCUCCUAAAGAUCAUCUUACAUCCUAAUGGCUUACAUCCAGGAGGUAAGUCAACCAAUUUCCAUGUAUUAUUUUGCAUGAUGGAAUCCAUCUCACUUUGGAUUGCUUCUUUCCAGAAUACAGCAUCCCUUGAAGCCAUUGCUUCACUAAAAGUUUUUGGGUCUUCCUCAACAUUAAGGCAAUAUUGAUAUUGAAAUUCAAUAUCAUUCCUUGACCCUUCAACCAAAUAGAGUUGAAAGUCAUCACCAAAUGACUUAGCUUUUCUUACUCUCGUACUCUUUCUAGUUUCAGUACUAGUUAAAGGUAUAUCCUCAAUAUUAACUGAGACUUUCGACAUGGAAUUCAUGUCCUUUGGCCUAGGUAUAGAUGUAAACCUUUGUUCAUCAAAGAUAGCAUCCCGUGACUCUAACCGAGUUCACAGCAACAGAAUCAUUAGAUUCUAGCACAUAGAAUCUAUAUACUUUAGAAUGUUCAGCAUAUCCAAUAAAUAUGCAAUCUAUACCUCUUUCACCUAUGGUUUUCCUUUUAGGUUCUGUAAGCCUGACUACAGCCCUACAUCCCCAAAUUUUGAGAUAACUCAAAUUUGGUGUCUUUUUGUGCCAAAGUUCAUAUGGGGUAACCUUAUUCCUUUUGUUAGGAAUUCGGUUCAACAAGUAACAGGCUGUCAACAUAGCCUCACCCCAAAAUCCUUCACUUAAACCCGAAUAGGAUAACAUGGAAUUCACCAUUUCUUUCAAGGUUCUAUUCUUCCUUUCGGCUACACCAUUCUGUUGUGGUGUAUAGGGAGCUGUAGUUUGAUGUAUUAUUCCAGUAGAUUGAAAAUAAACCGGAUCAUAAUACUCACCUCCCCUAUCCGUACGAAGAGUUUUGAUUAGCCCAUUUUGAUGAAGUUCUACCUCUUUCUUAUAAAUUUUAAAUUUAUCAAGAGCUUCAUCUUUUGUAUUUAAUAAAUAUACAUAACAAUACCUUGAUGCAUCAUCAAUAAAAGUAACAAGAUAUUUUUUAUGACCUAAUGAUGGAGUAGCAUGCAAAUCACACAAAUCACUAUGAAUAAGGUCUAAGACUUUAGUCUCACUUUUAACAUCCUUAAAAGGUUUCCUAGUGAUCUUGGUCAACAUGCAAGUUUUGCAUUUUUCAAUGUUCAUAUCAAAAGGAGGAAUCAUACUUGUUUUUGACAUAUCUUUUAAUCUUUUGUAAUGAACAUGUCCUAAUCUAGCAUGCCAAAUUUCUGAUUUUGUCAUAUUAGUUAUAGAACUACACGAGGCCAUACAAACAGAUUCAUGAACAAAAGGAACAUCAAUGUUUAAUUUAAACAUUCCAUUACAACGAUAACCAAAUCCAACAAACGAACCAUGUCUUGACAAGAUGUACUUGUCACUUUCAAGUACUUGCUUGAAACCACAAUUAUUUAAAACCAUACCAGACAAUAAGUUCUUACGAAUACCAGGUACAAAUAAGACAUUAUCCAAAUACAAACUUUUUCCGGAAGUAAAAACUAAAUUCACACAACCUAAUCCUAGGAUUGGUUCAGUUGCAACAUUGCCCAUCUUCACAAUAGAGCCAUCAUCGAUUGGUCUAAAUUCCUUGAACCAACGACGAUCUUUGCACACAUGGCUUGUUGCUCCCGAAUCAAACCACCAAGCAACGUCAUCAUCCUGCACAUAGAAUGCAUCAGAUAUUAGUGAUACAUAAUUUGAAUUCGUAUUCGAAUUAAAAUUAUUCACUACAAUCUGACCUUGUUGCUUUUCAGGAUCAUUAGACCCACUUGGACCAGCCUUGUUCUUUCCUUUGAACACCCGGCAAUCCCUCUUUAAAUGACCAGGUUUCCCACACUUCCAACAUGACAAUUUUGUCUGUUUGUUUGGACCUUUGUUCUUAUUUCCUUGAAAUUUUCGUUUGUUACCUUUAGCAUUGUAAUUUUGCUUAACUGUUCCACUUUCCUCUACCAUAUUAACGGAAGAGGAACCUGCUACGGUUUUAUUAUUGACUUUGUCAAUUUCCUGAGCCCUCAGCGACUCCUCAAUCAUGAAAUGACUACCGAGUUGAACCAGAGUCAACUCUUCCUUCAUAUGUUUCAAGGUAUGCUUGAAGUCUUUCCAAGAAGAAGGCAGUUUAUCAAUUAUAGAUGAAACUGCAAUGGAUUCAUCCAUUUUCAAAUCAUGUUGAGUAAACUGACCCAAAAUCCGCAGUAGUUCAUUAUAUUGCUCCAUAACAGGCCUCGAAUCAAUCAUUUUGUAAUUAAAGAAAUUACUAACUAAGAAUUUGUUACUUGAGGCAUCUUCUGCCAUAUACUUGGAUUCAAGAGAGUCCCAUAAUUCCUUAGCAGACUCAACAUUUUGAUAAAUAUCAAAGAGAGAGUCAGACAUACCGUUCAGAAUGUGUUCACGACAAAUGUAAUCGUCGUUCUCCCAUUUCGAACGCUUCCUUGUUUGAUCCAGAGUUUCGCCUUCCAUAUACACCGGCAUCGGUGUACUCAGCACAUACACCACAUUCAAUGUUGUCAAGAGAAAGUGCAUCUUCUUCUGCCAUCUUCUGAAAUCCUGCCCUUCAAACUUGUCCAACUUCGCAAACUUGCUUGUCAUCUUCGAACUAUCGUUCGUCAUCUCGAAAGAUUUGAUUCAAUCUUUUGUUGGUUAAUUUUGAAAAUCGAGAUAAUCCUGGAUAAAUCUGAAGUCGUGUAUAAACACUUUCAGAUUGAAUCAAAUUUCGGGGUUCAACCAAAAUUGUUCAAUCGGAUAAAAUCAGAAGAUUAUAAUUCAAGAGUUUUGUUUUGGUCUUGUGAGUUUUUCACAUGUUAUGCUUUCUGAACCAGGAUGAUUAUUUAUAAUCAAAGAACAGGUGGUUUUUGGCGGUUGAAGGAAGUUAUGGAAGUUUUAUCCUUUGAAAAAAAAACGGUUGGCGGUUGAUGGAAGUUUAUCUUUUUAAAAAACUGUCUUUUCUUGAAAAAUAACUUCCAUGUAACUUCCAAAAUUUGACUUCCAUGUAACUUCCAAAAUUUUCCUAAACCGAGCAUCUCGUUAUUACAUUAAAACAAGCGUGCACUCUUAUUUUAACAUAAUAAAGAGAUCAAUUACACUAAAAUGUCCAACAGUGCUGUGGCGGCAGGGAGAAGAAGGGAAGCCGUGAGCGACGGAGUAGAGGAAGGACCUACAGAUUUUGUACGAUUGGGAGCAUUGUUCACAUCACUAACCGAAUUAACUGUUACAUCCGAUGCCAUCACUUUUGAGUUUUGACGAUGUGGUUACCCUGCUCUUGACUUGAAUUUAUUCCACACUAACAACAUUACCUCUUUCAACAAUAAACUAAUCAACACUGCUAUUCACAAUUAUUAAUUAGCUAAGUAAAUAUUUAGGAACACAAGGUCCUUCUCUGACUAUGUCAGUUAUGCAAUCCUCAUUGUUAUUAACGAUAAUCAAAUUCUUUGAAGUAUGAAAACAAAGUUCUGUAUAGAAACCAACGAAAUGGGAUAUUUUUUCUUCCUUUUUUAUUUUAAAAAAAAUCUCGCAAAGUAUAUAGAGUAAACCAAGCAGAUACACAAGAUAUCACCAUUUUAGUCCUAACCAUGAUUUGCAGAUCCUAAAUGACGACGCAAAUCUGCUAAGAGGCAUCCACAAAGUGAAAACGUUGGCUUAUAUGAAUCACUGGCUUAUAUCAAUCGAAUUGAAUCAUAGUGUUAAAUGAAAGGGAAAGUGCAAGUGCAUGAGCUAGUCCUGGUGCAUUACCAUCAACUACUACUGUCCACUCUUGUUCACUCUUGCUUUAAAUGAUUAAUUUUACUCCAUUGAAGCUCAAUAUUCAUUUCAAAUGAUGAUUACAUGCUCUUUAAAUGAAUUACUGCAUAAACUUUUGACCACAAAACAUAACCAACUAUGAGCGUGAAAGCACACAUCCAAUUACAUGUUAUCUACUCAUGCAUUAUACAGUACAAACCAAAAAAGCCUACUAUUUUCAACAAUGUUUUAGGUGUGAUUGGUUUGAGGGUGAAAUCAACCGAAAUGUAUCAACUGUAAGAUUUUCUUGAGGUAAUAAUCAAUGAUUACUUUGGCUCCAUAAACUACUCGUUUUCAUUGUGUUCCUAUUGGUAUUGAAGCUAUUAGUUUCAGGCUAUAAUAAAUUGUAGUAGCUGAAUGCGAUUGUUAGGGAAACAAACCCUUUUAGCUACAAUGAACAUCAAAGACAGAACACACUAACAACACCACCAUAAAAAAGAAAUAAAACACAUCAAAGGAUAAAAAACACUAACUACAACUCCAUAAAAUAGAAAUAGUAGAACAACACAAAUUUAACAUUUUCAGUACUUCUUGCUUAUAUCCACAAAAAUAUCUUAAUAAAUAUUCAUUAUCUCAAAUAAGUUUGGUUUAGGCUUACUAAUAUGUUGGGCCCGGCCCUGAGGAAUGGUCAACCAACAUAAUAUAAUUAAGUCCUUGCAUUCUUAAAUUUUAAGGGACGUACAGGUAUGAUAUAUGCAUGGUGCGAUUCUUGACAGUGGGUGUCUCUCGCCGAUAAUGACAUAAUUACGUAGAUGAGGGGGUGAGUAUGUUGUGUUUGAUGGUUAGUCUUGCAUCUUCCUUUGUGUAUUUAUUCUUAUGUAGAUUAAGAUGUAAGGCGCAGUCAUUUGUUGGGUAAUGCUUUCUUUCGAGCCUUAGGGGUAGGCUAGUAGUUCUUUGCCUUCCAUGUACGGGCCAAUGUAGCCACUUGUAUUUGCAGUGCUUGUGCUUCUUAUCAUCAAUAUAUAUAUAUAUAUAUAUAUAUAUAUUAUUUCGUCGAUAAAAAGAAAAACUUAUCGUGUGACCCUAAUAUCAAAUAAACAAUACCAAUCCACAAAAAGAAAAAGAAAUAACCUACUAUAGAGUCAAACAAGUAGUAGAUAAUUUGAGUAGUUUCAUGCAAUCAUAAGUUUUAAAUGUUAAGUUUGUGUUCAUCUUCUUAAGCUACGAUAAAUGAAAUUAUAUAUAUAUAUAUAUAUAUAUAUAUAUAUAUAUAUUAAAUUGGAUUUUUUUAAAAAAUAAAUAGAAUUUUAAAAAAAUAAUGAGGUUUUUGUGAUUAAAUAAAUAAGGAGAAAUAAUUUUAUUAAUUAAAAUAAUGUUUGUAAGGUAAAUAAAAUAAAUAUAUGUGCUUAAAAAAUAAAAAAAAUAUUUUAUUUAUUAAUUUGAUAAAAAUAAAAUAUAAUUUUUUUUAUAAAAUAAAUAUAUGCUCUUUUAAGACUUUAACAUAUUCUUUUUUCACACACUAUUUUCUAUUAGUUGAAAUUAAUUAUUUUGUCUCCAUUUUUAUUUAUAAGAUUUUUAAAAUAAUAUUUAUUUUGUUUUAUAAAACUCAAUCUAUAAUAUUUCUUUCAUUAAUUAUUUUUAGAUUAAAAAUAUCCAUCAUUAAAAGAAGAAAAAAAUGUAUUGACAAACCAUUAGAUAAGAGAGAAGUACAAUUAAAAGAUAAUUUUAAAAAAUAUUAUAAACAUAAGACAAACUUAUUAAAAAGGAUGGAACAAACUUAUUAAUCAAUGCAUGGGACAAACUUAUUAAUCACUCGUCAUGGGUGGCAUGCAAUGGAGAAUAUAACAUUCAAUUUUUUGUAAAAUAAAUUAAAAAAUAUAUAUUUAAAAAUAAAUAAAUUUUUAUAAAAAUAAUAAAAUUUUUGUGAUUAAAUAAAUAAAGAAAAAUAAUUUUAUGAAUUAAAAUAAUGUUUGCAAGGUAAAUAAAAUAAAUAUAUAUUCUUAGAAAAUAAAACUGACAAACAUCAUUUGAAUCAAAUAAUUAGUUUUCUCUAACAUAAUUAGUUUUCGUACUUAUUUAAAAAUUGGGUAGCGUGAUAUGGUAUGGAUACGGUGACAAAUGAUUAACAUUAACAAUGGCAAAUUCAGUGCUGGCAUACACGUUCAGCUUUGUCUCAAACUAGCGCUGAUCAUAUCUAGCAUGUGUUUUUAGGAUAAGUGGAUGAUACUUCAACUUGGAAAUGUAAAAUAUUAAGACUUAAACCAAUAUUACUUUGGCCUUUUCGUAUUAAUUGGUUCAACAACCAUAAUGUAAUAUUUCAAUACAUUGGAAUAAAUAACUACUUUAUAAAUUAACAAUACAUCCAACUUGCUGAAUCAAAGAAUAUUAAAUAUUAAUCAAUUGUCCUCUUACUACGGACAUGGCUAUAUAUAAUGUUGAAGAGCAUCAAGUUUUGCACUCACAACAAACCAAAAAACCAGAGCUAGCUAGCAAGACUAAAAUGGCAGAAACUGCAGUGUCCUUGGCUGGUCAGCAUGCCCUUCCCAAAAUAUUGGAAGCUGUCAAAAUGCUGAGAGAUCUCCCAAAAGAAGUUAGAGACAUUACAGAUGAACUUGAAAGCUUUCAAGAUUUCAUCAAUGAAGCUGAUAAAGUGGCUGAAGCCGAAGAAGAUGAUGGAAGGCGUCAUAGAAUAAAAGAAAGGGUCAUGCGGCUGAGAGAAGCAGCUUUUCGCAUGGAAGAUGCCAUCGAUGAAUAUAACAUCUCCUGUGAGGAUAAACAACCUGAUGAUCCUCGAUGUGCAGCUUUACUAUGUGAGGCUGUUGCCUUCAUCAAAACUCAAAUCCUUCGCCUUCAAAGUGUGUAUAAGAUUCAGGAUGUUAAAUCCCUUGUUCGUGCUGAAAGAGAUGGUUUCCAAAGCCAUUUUCCUUUAGAGCAAAGACAAACCAGUUCUAGAGGAAAUCAAGAUAUCACAUGGCAGAAACUUAGAAGGGAUCCUCUCUUUAUUGAGGAAGAUGAGGUUGUGGGGCUUGAUGGCCCUAGAGGUAUAUUGAAAAAUUGGUUGACAAAGGGAAGAGAAAAACGCACUGUCAUCUCUGUGGUGGGAAUUGCAGGGGUGGGAAAAACCACUCUUGCCAAGCAAGUUUAUGACCAGGUGCGUAACAAUUUUGAGUGCCAUGCGUUGAUCACAGUUUCUCAAUCCUUCUCUGCUGAAGGAUUGCUGAGGCAUAUGUUGAAUGAGCUUUGCAAAGAAAAAAAGGAGGACCCUCCCAAGGAUGUUUCUACCAUCGAGUCGUUGACAGAAGAAGUCAGAAACCACUUGCGCAACAAGAGGUAUGUUGUCUUGUUUGAUGACGUAUGGAAUGGAAAAUUUUGGGAUCACAUUGAAUCUGCUGUAAUUGAUAAUAAAAAUGGAAGUAGGAUAUUAAUCACAACCAGGGAUGAGAAGGUUGCAGAAUAUUGUAGGAAAUCAUCAUUUGUUGAGGUGCAUAAGCUAGAAAAACCUUUAACUGAAGAAGAAUCUUUGAAAUUGUUCUGUAAGAAGGCAUUUCAGUAUAGUUCCGAUGGAGAUUGUCCAGAAGAACUUAAAGAUAUAUCUCUUGAAAUUGUUAGAAAGUGUAAAGGUUUACCUCUAGCAAUAGUGGCCAUUGGUGGUCUUUUGUCUCAAAAAGAUGAAAGUGCACCUGAAUGGGGACAGUUUAGUCGAGAUCUAAGUUUAGACUUGGAGAGGAAUUCUGAGUUAAAUAGUAUAACAAAAAUUUUAGGUUUAAGUUAUGAUGAUUUGCCGAUCAAUCUCAGAUCAUGUUUAUUAUAUUUCGGAAUGUAUCCGGAGGACUAUGAAGUUGAAUCUGAUAGAUUGAUUAGACAAUGGAUAGCUGAAGGGUUUGUCAAACAUGAAACCGGAAAAUCUUUGGAAGAAGUUGGGCAACAAUAUUUAUCAGGGUUGGUCCGUAGAAGUUUGGUGCAAGCAUCCUCACUUAGAAUUGAUGACAAAGUUAAAAGUUGUCGUGUUCAUGACUUAAUACACGACAUGAUCCUUAGAAAAGUCAAGGAUACAGGAUUUUGUCAGUAUAUUGACGGGCCUGAUCAAUCUGUAUCAAGUAAGAUUGUUCGACGCCUGACAAUUGCAACCCAUGAUUUUAGUGGAAGUAUAGGAAGCUCACCCAUUCGGUCAAUUCUUAUCAUGACAGGAAAAGAUGAAAAAUUAUCUCAAGACUUGGUAAACAAAUUCCCUACAAAUUACAUGCUAUUGAAGGUACUUGAUUUUGAAGGUUCUGUUCUUCUCAGUGAUGUUCCUGAAAAUUUGGGGAAUUUAUGCCACUUGAAGUAUUUAAGCUUCCGGAAUACAUUCAUAGAAAGUCUACCAAAAUCCAUUGGUAAGCUCCAGAAUUUGGAGACCUUGGAUAUAAGAGGCACAUAUGUGUCUGAGAUGCCAGAGGAGAUUAGUAAGCUUAAAAAGCUACGUCAUCUUCUGGCUUAUUCUAGGUGUUCAAUUCAAUGGAAGGAUAUUGGAGGCAUCACAUCCUUACAAGAGAUACCUCCAGUGAUUAUGGAUGAUGAUGGAGUGGUCAUUGGAGAGGUUGGAAAGCUAAAGCAGUUAAGAGAACUGUUGGUGACAGAAUUUAGGGGAAAACACCAAAAGACUUUGUGUUCCUCAAUAAAUGAGAAGCCACUCUUGGAGAAACUACUUAUUGCUGCAGCUGAUGAGAGUGAAGUAAUUGACUUGUACAUUACGUCACCUAUGUCUACACUUAGGAAGCUUUUCCUAUUUGGGAAGUUAACAAGGUUUCCAAAUUGGAUUUCACAGUUCCCAAAUCUUGUGCAACUGUAUUUGGGCGGCUCCAGGUUGACUAAUGAUGCAUUGAAAUCACUAAAAAAUAUGCCAAGGUUGAUGCUCCUCUUUUUAAGUGACAAUGCUUAUGAAGGUGAAACUUUGAAUUUUCAAUGUGGAGGGUUUCAGAAACUAAAGCAACUGCACCUCGCAGGUUUGGUUCAAUUGAAGUGCAUCCUUAUCGACAGAGGAGCACUGUGUUCUGUGGAAAAAAUUGUUUUACAAGACCUCUCCCAACUCAAAACAGUUCCCUCUGGAAUUCAAAACUUGGAGAAGCUUAAAGAUAUCUAUAUCAAGGACAUGCCAACUGAAUUUGUGCAGCGCAUUGCUCCUGAUGGAGGAGAAGACCAAUGGAUCAUCCAAGAUGUGCCCCAUGUAGGUAUUUGGAGUAAGUAUGCUAAAGAACCUUCGCAUAUAUUCGGCAGAAGUCAUCACUAAGAUGCGUCCAAAUUUAAAAAAAGAAGAUGCGUCUUUUUCACAUCUAUAACUUUGUAGAAUGACAUUCGUGGCCUUUUUUUUUUCUUCAAUAAAAAAUGCAACCAUUAUCUAAUUCCUAAAAUAAUUACUUUUGCCUCAUUUUCUCUUCUAGUAUUUGCUUCAUUUUUCUUUCUCUACAACAUCUCACGUACAAGUUAGGGAUAGAAUUGUCUAACAAGUAUAUGCCUACACCAACCAAAGUUAACGUUUCUUCAUUAUAAGAUUCUCACCAUUCUAAUCCUUUUUAUUAUUGUGCAUAUAUUUCGUGUAAAUGUUGUGGAUUUUUAAAGUUCUAUUACGAUUGAAGCCCAAUAAUGUGGAUUUUUUUUCAUAAAUUAGAUUGUGUUAAAUGUUUCUAAUUUUGAUGCUUUGAAGUUUGACCCACUUUGUACAACCAUGAAUAUUAGGAAAAAGCACCGAGGGAAGAUUGUAAGAGGUGUUCCAAAUCCAAUGUUUCCGACGUUCCAAUCAUGUGGUUUUUUGAGUGUUAAUUAUUACGUCCAUUUUAGCAUUAUUAACACCAACACAGUACGAAGAAGCUGAAAAUAGUGUUCCUACAAAGGCAGACAAUUUUUUAUAACUGAAAAACUCAAGAUUCCCUCAAGUUCUUUCUUUUGUGGCCCGUGAAAUGGUGGAUGCAUGAGUGGAUUUGAGGCAUCAAAUUGAUUUUUUAAACUUCCUUCUUCUCUUUCUCUUGUUUUUCUUUUUUCUAAAAUGUGUACUCAAAUUUUUGUUAACUUGAUGUAAUUUGAAUUCUUAUCUAUAAUUCAAGUUCAUUUCUUUUAAAUUUUUGUUUGUCUUUAUUUAAAUUUAAUGCCUUUAUAAAUUGGCAUUUGGUUACUUAUAGUACCUUGAUCGUAUAUUCCUAUCUACAACUGUGAAAUUGAAAUAAGGAUUGAAUUUAAGGUAUAAUAUAACAAGACUGGAGAUUCUAUAGUAAUAAAUAUCAACAAUUACGAUAAUUUAGAUAUUCUUGAACCUAAUGAUUACCCUAAUUGAGAAAUUUUAAAGAUUUAGAAUUUUCAAUUGCGGAAGAGUUUUUGAGUUAAGAUAUAUUCACCUUCAAUUAGAAUAGUGAAAAAUAAAUUCAGUUUCCAAUUAUGCUUCUAAAACUUGAAUUGGAGUGAAAAUUUGGGUUGUACAUGUUAAGCUUGGGGUGAACUUGUAUUGUAACAAGACAUGUUUGAUUUUGGCUUAGCACUUUAAUCCUCUUAGCAUAGUGCUUCAGCAAUUUUGGUACCCAAACUUUUAUGUUCAGGUUUGAUCCCAUAUUUUUCAAAAAAAUAAAAUAAUGGUUGAAUAUAUGUUAUUAAAACCAAUUUAUAUAUCACUUAUCUGAAGUAAGAUAAAUUUUUCAAGGCUUAAUUUUAUCUUUUUGUCACAUUCAUUAUUUAUUUUAUUUAAUUUUAUCCUCCUAAUAAUAAAAUCUUUAAUUUGAUUGCUUAAUUUCAAAUCAUUCAAUUUGGUCUCUUUGGUCCAAAUUCACCUGACGUUGUUUAUUAAUAGUGUGAUGAGAUUGAAUCAAAUAAAGGAACAAAUUAAAUUGUUUAUUAAAAUUGAAAAAAAAAUGAAAAAACAGUGAGAACAAGAAGCUUAUUAAGGGGUCAAAUUGCACCGUUUUAAAAAUUAAAGUACUAAAUUAAAUUGUUUAUUAAUAGAGGACCAAUGCUAAAUAAAUAAAUAGCACCACAAAAAAGUAGGGUUCUUUUUUUACUUUCAGAAAAUUUGAAAAUUUUAUUGAAUUAUAAAAUAUUGAAUUAACUUGCCUAGUUUUUUGUUUAUUCACUCUUUUUUUUCCCUUUUAAUCCUUGAUGUUUGAAAACUUCAAAAUUCUUUUUGAUCACAAACAUACUUUAACUCUCAUAAAACAACAAAACAAUGUUUUCUAAAAUGGGACUGGUAUAAGUUAUUGAUAAAUCACUUUCUGAGUGAUAUUUUGUACAAACUUUUGUGUUAUUUUAUAUGCAUUUUCUUGAUACAAUUCACAUUUGAACAUUAGUUUUGUAUUCAAGAAGUAUAACCACUCAAUUGAGUGAAAGAGUAGGAAAUUGUAUAAAUUUAAGAUUUAAGAACUUUACAUAACUUGAUUACUAUUGUGGUACAUUGAUCACGGUCGUGAUAAUCAGCAUAAUCACAAUAAAGUGAUAACAAUCGUCCCUAAUAUUUUUAUAAUAAAAAUGUGAUAUUAGUUUAAAUGUUUAUUUAAUCUCACAAAAAUCAUUUAAAGAAAUAGUUAGACCUAAAAUCAAAAUAUAAAUAUAAAUAACACCAAAAAUAAAAAUUUAAACAGAUGAAUUUUUAAUAAUUAUGAAUAUAGAUUUGUCUUAUAUCUUGUUGAUCUAAAAGAGUUAAAUUCACUACAACUUUUAUUGGUACAACUAACACUACUGACAAUUACAAUAAAUAUUGUUUUAUCACAUUUACACAUUAGGAAGAUCAGAAAUUUACAUGAUGUUGUAGUAGGACAAAAAUAAGAAGAGAAAAUCACUAACGUGUUCACAAAAAUAUUUAGAAUUAGCUAAGGCUUUUAGUUUUUAAAUUUUUUUAAAUUUGAUUUUAAUCCCUAAAUUCUUGUUUGACUAGUCAAAGUUUUUUAACUUUUAGAAAUUUUAAUUUUUAGUACUUGAAUAAAAAAUUAAAUCAAUUAUUUUUAUUAAUUUAAUGAGUUUUUAAUAAUUAUAAAUCGAUUUUUUAAAAGUUUAGAAAUUAAAAAUAUUAAUGAAAAAAAGUCGAGAGACAUUAACCCGUCAAAUAAAAAUGUAGAAACUAAAAAUCUUGAUAAAAAAAGUUGAAAGAUCUUGACGAAUAAAAAAAUUUAAAAAAUUAAAAACUAAAUUUUGAAAAAAUUUAGUAAUAAUUAGCCCAAAUAUUUAAGAGAGAUGCUGGAAUCUCAAAGUCUUCCUAUCAAGUCUCAAGGUAGACGUUGCACUAAUUUUUUUGUAAACACUAGCGUGGAUAAAAAAUAUGAUGUUAAUUUGAUGUAGAUAAAAGUAUGUCGUAAUAAAAAAAUCAUAUUAAGUGUAUAUAUCAUUUUUAAAAUAAUUAUUAUAAAAGUUGAUAAUUAAAUUUAUUAUAUAUAUAUACCAUUUAUGAUUAGAUGAGAGAGUAAAGUCUUAUAUUUUGGCAUUAACUAUAUCAUGCUUCUACAAAACAUUUAUUCUUAGCCAAUUUAUCACCAGAAGACUCUUUGUAAGCAUCUUUUAGUAGUAUUAAACUCUCUAUGAAAAUCUUCAUCCAGUAUUUUAAUGACAGCUAGGUGAUCCUCGAUCCUCUGAAAAAAUAGGAAAGCAAAUUUUGUUCUUCUAAAUUAAAGACCAACGAAAUAGAUCAAAAAUUUCCAUUUUUGAAAGAAAAAGAGAGAGUAAAUUUUAAAGCUUAGAGUAAAACCAUAUGCAAUGAUAAGAAGGAUACACCAGCCUGUAUAUAGCUUUUAAAAGUAAAUAGAAUAGCUUAAUUACCCUCUUCCACCAAUGGUUAACCUAGUUAAAAAAAAAAAAAAAAAACUGUUCCUGUGGAUCAGCAUUUAAUUUCUUACUCAUCAUAUAAUAUAUUAUUAUUGCCAGCAUCGAUUGGAUCAAAUCAGGUGGCUGACCUAUUCAACGGCAAUUUAUCAUCUCAGACAAGUUUCAAGAUCAAUCCUCAAAAUGAUGAAUUGUGUAAAUUAUCGGCGCAAACUAAAACACUAGAGCCAAAUGAAUAAUCAAAAUAAUAUAUAUAUAUAUCAUAUAUAUAUAUAUCNNNNNNNNNNNNNNNNNNNNNNNNNNNNNNNNNNNNNNNNNNNNNNNNNNNNNNNNNNNNNNNNNNNNNNNNNNNNNNNNNNNNNNNNNNNNNNNNNNNNAUACAUCUGACAUUGUUUAAUUAAUCACAUUUAUAUAAUAGCAAAUUCACAACUUGCUAUAGCACGACAAAAAUAAAGGGAAAAAUAUCACAACUUGCUCAUAGUAUAUUUAAGAUAGAUGAUGCUGGAAAGUUCAAAGUCUUCCUCUCGAGAGAUGUGAUAAAUUUUUUAUAGAACACUUAUGGGUACAAAAUAUAUAACGCUAAUAUAUGCUAUAGAUAAAGGAGAUGUAUUCGAGAAAACCUGAUGGCCAGAAAAGUUAAUCAUAUUUGUAUAAAUGUGCAUAGAUUAUUAUUUUAUUAAAAUUAAUUUUAUAUUUAUUGUAUUUGUACAAUUAAGAUUAAUUAAUCGUGCGUGAGGCUAACAAGAGUUGACACAUUUGAUGGAGACUUUUGUCCACACUUGCUAUAACUUGACAGUCUUCUUUAACUUUACAAGAGGUGGCAUGGCUUCCCCUAUUUUAAUUUUUCACCUCAAGAAUAGGAUGAAUAGUACGUGAGAACAUCAUCUUACAAAGCUUACUGGAUAUAAAAAAGGCAAUAUGAAAAUAUACAAGAUAUUAUAAUAAAGUUUGUGCCAAUGUGUGUCAUCGCGUGUGGCUAACAUGCAAUCAAUACAUUGAUCGAAUGGAGAAAAAAGGUCAUAAUCAUAAUAAGAAAAAUAUUAAAAGCAUGUUCUUUUAAGACUUUAACAUGCUCUUUUUUACACACUGUUUUCUAUUAGUUGAAAUUGAUUAUUCUUUUUUUGUUCCUAUUUAUAAGACUUUUAAAAUAAUGCUUAUUCUUUUUUAUAAAAUUUAAUUUAUAAUAUUUCUUUCAUCAAUUAUUUGUAAACUAAAUAUGCAUCAUUAAAAAAAAUAUAUUAACAAAUCAUUAGACCAGAGAAAAUUUUAAUGACAAAAAUAAUUUUAAAAAAUGUUAUAAAUGUAAGACAAACUUAUUAUUAUGAAUUAAAUUAGUCACUUUCUUUAAUCAUAAUGAGUUAAGUAAUUGCAUGGAGGACUAAAAAUCAUAAAAUUGAAUGGAUUUCAUUAGUUCUUAUUUAAAGGACCUUACUCGUAAUUUUUCAUUUUUAAAAAAUUUCAACCAAUAAGAAAAUGUGCUAAAAAGUGUAAUGCUAACACUCAAAACUUUGUGUUGUAAUACUAAUUUUAAGUGCUAAUCAUGAGUAGGUUAGCUUUAUGAAAGAAAAAUAAUACUUCCUUUCGUUUCAAAUAUAAGAAAAAAAAUUAUUUUUAGUCUCAAAUAUAAGAAAAUUAGAAUUAAUUAAAUUUACUUUAUUUAAUGUUAUUAUUCUAAAAUAUCUUUCAUUUAAUUAAUAUUUUUUUUCAUUUUUUAUUUUUUUAAUAUCAAAUUUCAAUGAAGGAUAAGUUAAGAAAAAGUUAGUUUUAAUUAAAUGUGGUUAAUUAAUUUUCUUAAUUAGAACAAAUGAGUAUUUUCUUUGAUAAAUGUCAACUAGUAUCUUUAACACAUUAGGUAAAGAACUUAAAGUAGAAAUAUUUUAAUGGAAGAUAGAAAAUUACGCUGCUCAUGAUUUUUUUGCAUUCAUUUGUAAUUUUUACACUGAAUAUUUUCUUUUUGUUUCUUAACUAGUAUUCUCAGUGCACAAGUUUAGCAAGACCAUUUUUCAUAUAUUUGAGAUCCAAGUAUGAACUUUAUAGGUUUUUGUGCAGUUGGUUCGAAUUUAGAUUAAAUUAAAAUUAAAUCCUAAUGAGUCAUGUUGAAUAUAUUAUAUAUUGGUUAUAUUUGAAUUAUUUUAAAAUAAAUCAUUCUAUUGUCAUUUAAAAUUUUUAGCUCCACUAAGUGUUGAUUUUUUAUUAUCUAAAACUGUAAGCAAAUGAAUAUAUUAGAGAAUCAAACAAAUUGUAUUUUUUUUAAGCAAAUGAAUAUAUUAGAGAAUCAAACAAACUGUAAUUGGAUAUUCAUGUUUGAAGUAAAAAAAAAAAAAGAGAGAAUAAUUAAUCAAACCAAUUUGAAUCAAAAUAAUUGAUUUGAUUUAGAUGGUGAGUUUAUCAAGUCAAUUUGAUCAAUGCUCCUAAAAUGAAGAAAACAAGUGAAAAAAAGAGGGAAAAGAAGUUUAAAAUGACCCAAUUUGUUAGGUUUUCUUUUUCGUUUGUUACUAUAUUAUAGGUAUAAAAGUAAUCUAUCAACUUUGUCAAUCAAUAUUUCUGUUAGAGAGUGUGAUUCGUACACCAUUAAUGAUUGUUUGUUCAUCUUGUAUUUAAUUGUGUAGUAAAUAAAAAAUAAAAGUUAUAUAUACUCAAAAUAAGACGUAUAUAUACUAAAAAUGAUAGUCUUAUAUAGUCCGUCUUGAUGUUCCUCCGUUUUCUCGGAAAAUAAAACAAAGCUUGAAAGAUUGGCCGCUUGAAUUGAUGUAUCUGUUUAACAAGUUGUACUUUAAACAUUAAACUGUUUUUUUAUGAUAUAUUCACAAACAUAUUUGUCUUUUUUAUUCGUUUAAACUUUGUAGUUGCAGAGUUCAGAUGUAUAUAGUUAAGCAAAUAAGUUGGUAACGGAAGUAUGAGCCUAAAGCUACAGAGCCAAUAGAACAAGCAAAUAUUAAUUUAUUCCAAACAGGCAAUUAAGUUGACAAGCAGGGCCGUCUAAUUUUGUUGGUAAAACUAAUACCGACAAACAUCAUUAUUUGAAUCGAAUAAUUAGUUUUCAUACUUAUUUAAAAACUGGGUAGCGUGAUAUGGUAUGGAUACGGUAACAAUUAACAUUAGCAAUGGCAAAUUCAGUGCUGGCAUGCACGUUGUGUCUGAAACUAGCGCGGGUCAUAUCUAGCAUGUGUUUUUUAGAAGGAUUCCACGGAUUCGUUUCAAGGUCCCGCAAUUGAGGAAUAAAUGACAAUCCUAAUCGCUAAUUGACCCAAGAAAACUGCUAUCUUCCAAGCAAACUCGUUUGAUUCGAUCUAGACUAAGUUAACACAAGUUUAGUCUGCGUGUCUACUGAGUCUUGUCUCAAUAUGCUAAAAAUGAGUUUGAAUACUAUUAAUUUAACCCGCAUGAAUCAAAUAGACUAUUAAACUCAUAUGAAUAGUACGUGAAAAUAGACUUGUGAGUUAACAGAGUUUAGUUUGAGUGUCUAGUGAGUCUUGUCUCAAUAUGCUAAAAAUGAGUUUGAAUACUAUUUACUGGAUAGUAACUGAAAAUAUCAUCUUAAACUAUCAUCUUAAACUUACAUGAAUAGUAACUGAAAAUAUCAUCUUACAGACCAUUGGUUAUAAAAAAGGCAAUAUGAAUAGUAUGUGAGAACAUCAUUUUAUAUACUUACUGGAUAUAAAAAAUGACAGUAUGAAAAUAUACAAGAUAUUAUAAUAAAAUUUGUGCUAUGUGUGUCAUUGUGUGUGACUAACAUACAAUCCAUCCAUUGAUCAAAUGAAGAAAAAAAAAUCAUAAUCAUAAUAAGAGAAAUAUUGACAGCGUACUCUUUUAAGACUUUAACAUACUCUUUUUUACAUAUUGUUUUUUAUUAGUUGAAAUUAAUUAUUCUCUCCUUGUUUCUAAUUAUAAAAAUUUUAAAAUGAUUUUUUUUUAUAAAGCUCAAUUUACAAUGUUUUUUAGAUUAAUUAUUUUUAAACUAAAAAUAUUCAUCAUUAAAAAAAGAAAAAGAAUGUAUUUACAAAUCAUUAGACGAGAAAGAAAUAUUAAUGACGUAAUUUUUUUUUGAAAAAGAUUAUAAAUGUAAAACAAACUUCUUAUUAUUAAUUAAAUUAGUCACUUUUUUUUAACUUUAAUUAAUUAGGUAAUGUGAUCAUGUAUACAAGAACAGAGAGAGCGAGUACAAAUCAUAAAACUGUAUAUAAUUCAUCACUUCUUAUUUAAUGGGGCUUAUUCAUGAUUUUUUUUUUUUUUAGUUUUAACAAAUUUCAACCAAUAAGAAAGUAUGCUAGAAACGGCCAACAGUCAAAACUUUGUGUGGUAAUACUAAUUUUAAGGGCUAACCAUAAAUAGGUUUUCUUUAUGAAAGAAAAGUAAUACUUCCUUUAUAAGAUAAAAUUUAUUUUUUUAGUUUGAAAUAUAAGAAAAUUUCAAGUAACUUUAUUUUAUUUAAUGUUAUUAUCUCUAAAAUAUCCUUCAUUUAAUUGAGGUUUUUUUUUAAUGAUUUUUUAUGUUUAAUAUCAAGUUUCAAUGAAGGAUAUGUUGAGAAAAAAAAAUAAUUUUUAAUUGAGAUUGAUGAAUUAAAUGUGAUUAAUUAACUUUCUUGGUUAGUACAAAUAAAUAUUUUGAGACCGGAGGGAGCGAGUAUGAAUUUUACAAGUUUUUGUGCAAUUGGUCAAAAUUUAGAGAAAAUUAAAAUUAAAUCUUAACCAGUCAUAUCCAAUUAUAUAUUGGUUAUAUUUGAAAUUUAAAAAAAAUAAAUCAAUCUAUUUUCUUUUAAGUUUUUAUCUCCACUAAGUGUUGAUUUUUAUGAUUUUAAACUUUAUGUUAAUGCAAGGCAAAAAAGAUAAAUUGGAGAAUCAAACAAAUUGAAAUUUUUUAAAGCAAAAGAAUACAGUAGAGAAUCAAACAAAUUGUAAUCGGAUAUUGAAAUUUGAAGUAAAAAAAAAAAACUAAUUAAUCGAACCUAUUUGAAUCAAAAUAAUUGGUUUUAUUUAGAAUGUCGAGUUUAUGAUCAAGUCAAUUUGAUCAAUGCUCCUAAAAUGAAGAAAAUAAAUGAAAAAUAAGAGUAAAAAAAGAAGUAUAAAAUGACCUAAUUUCUUAGGUUUUUUUUGUUGUUAUUAUAUUAUAGAUGCAAAGUAAUCUAUUAAUUUUACCAACAAAUAAUUUCUGUUAGAGAAUCUGAUUUGUUCAUCUUUAGUGAUUUUUUUAUGAGAGAAAAAAUUAAAAAAAAUCUUUAUUUUAUAAUUAAUUAUGUAGAAAAUUUUAAAAAAAAGUUAUAUAUACUCAAAAUAAGAUGUAUAUAUACUAAAAAGGAUAGUUUUAUAUCGUCCGUCUUGCAUGUUCCCUCCGUUUUCUAGGAAAAUAAAGAAAGCUUGAAAGUUAGCCCGCUUGAAUUGAUAUUGCACUGUAGCUGGUUAACAAGUUGUACUUUAAACAUUAAAAUAAGAAGUAUAUUCAUAGAGAUUGUCUUUUCUAUUCGUUUACACUUUGUAGUUGCUGAGUUCAGAUGUUAUUGUUAAGCAAAUAAGUUGUUGACGGAAGUAUGAGCCUACAGCUUCAGAGCCAAUAGAACAUUCUAAAGAAAACAUUAAUUUAUUCCAAACAGGCUAUUAAGUUGACAAGCAUGGCCGUUUAAUUUUGUUGGUAAAACUAGCUAAUACCGACUAACAUCAUUGAAACAAAUAAUUAGUUUUCUCUAAGAUAUUAGUUUUCAUAAUGUUGGAGAGUAUAAGUGUGACGUGAAAUAAGAGUAGAAGUGGAAAGUUGCAUCAUACAACUGAAAAGAAAAUUUAUAAAUCUGAUUUUAAAGUUUUGAAUUAAAGUGUGUUAUCAAGUUUUUUUAUUUGAUUUUUUAUAAUUCAUUCGUGUAAAUCUCCAAUUAUGUGGUAGCGUGAUAUGGUAUGGAUACAGUGACAAACUAGCGCAAUGUUCAGCUGCGUCUCAAACUAGCGCUGACAUGCACAUUCAUCUUACAACUCAGCUGCGUCUCAAACUAGCGCAAAUGUGCAUCAUGCAACAGCAAAUUGACAUUUGGGAGUGGAUAGGAGAUUCAUCAGGGAUUUACACAACUCGCAGCGCCUACAAUCUGAUAUGGGAGGAAAUUGCUGGGGCCAGAAGGAGGAUUGGAGUAUGGAACUAUGGAAGACAAAGAUACCUAGCAAAAUUGCAGUAUUCGCUUGGAGAUUAUGCAAGGGCAGACUGCCCACAAAGGAGAAUCUGCGAAAAAGGAACAUACAGAUCAACAAUAUGCUUUGCCCUUUCUGCAGUGGAGCUAUGGAAGAUGAAUCUCACCUAUUUAUUCAUUGCAUCAAAAUCCAACCAAUUUGGUGGGAAUUGAUGUCAUGGAUGAAUAUCAAAGGCGCUUUCCCCUUCAACCCGAAACAGCACUUCAUGCAGCAUAUUUCUAUCCAGAUCGAAGGAUUAAGGGCUAAGCGAUGGAGGUAUUGGUGGCUGGCAGUAACAUGGUCUAUAUGGAAGCUCAGAAACAGAAUUUUGUUUGCAAAUGCAGAAUUUGAUACUAAUCGGCUUUUUGAAGAUGUUAUCUUUAUAAUUUGGACUUGGCUUAGACAAUUUGAGAAGGACUUCACAGUCCACUAUAAUCAGUGGUCAAGUAAUAUUAGACAAGGCUUUUUGUUUUUGUAGAGGGAGUGCACAUAGUUUCAGAAAUACUUGUACACUACACAAGUAGACCUAUUAGACUACUUAUGUACUACAUAUAAUAGUCCAUACCUUUGUAAUUAGUACCUCUGGUACUUUAUUUCAAUAUAAUAUAUUUAUUUUUGCUGAUAAAAAAAAAACAUUUGCUUGCCGAUUGAUCAAAGAUAGAAUCCCAACUAAAGGGAAUUUGCGGAGAAGAUAGCUGGAGAAAGGCUUUGCCCAGCCCUACAACUAUUGGUCUAGUAAUUUAUCAACAACAUUUUUUGAUUAGGGUAGCAGUGCAGGGUUAUUGUAUUCUAUUUAGAUUGGCAUCCUGAUUCGUAGGACCUAUGGUUCUACUAGUCUGCUGGUUUCUACCUUGUAUAUUCAGUACCUUUGGUACUCACAGUUAUUAAUAUAAAUUAUAAUUUUGCUGAUAAAAAAAAAGAAGAUAAUACAAGACAGAGAGAAGGGUAGUGGCAGUCACAACAUAUAUAUAGAGAAGGCAUGAACAUAUCAGUCCAAUGAAAGAAAGGUCAUGUAGACAGGCAUAGCAUAAGUUACAGAUAUACCAGUAAUGCAUACAACAACAAUUUCAAAUUAGUUUUCGAAUCAAACAUAUAAAUACCUUAGUUCGAGGCUUCAAAGAUAUAAUCAAAGCACUUCCACAGCAACGCCAAUUAGCAGUAGUAAAUGAUAACCCUAAAAAAACCAUACAGAAAUUAGUCAUAGUGUAUUUAAAGCCUUUUAUCAACAAUAUGAGGGUUGUCUAGUAUUCGAAUAGAGAAGAACCAUAAUGAUAAUGGGUUUAGCUUUUUCCGUGAGUAAUGGAGAAGGAAAACUUGUCUACAAUAGUACUAGUAGUUGUUUCAUUUGCACACUGCACAAUUCACAUGACUUUCAGCACAAGCUAACUAUUCAAGCCAUGAUGACCAUAGGAAGAACCACUUAAGAAAAAUUCUUCGAAAACAAACAAACAAACCCCAUGAAAGGAAAACAAACAAAUAAACCCUAACAACACAAAUCAGUUAAGAGUGCUGGUAGUAGCUUUACAUGGAUCAGGCCCAAUGGUAGUGUGAAGAGUAGGCUUGCUAGAUUCCUAGUUUCAAACCAGUGGCUGUCUACUUGGCCUGAUAGCUGUCAACAUGUCCUACCACACAACGUUUCUGAUCAUUGCCCAACCAUCUUGCAAACUAAGCUGGUGGAUUGGGGUCCUAAGCCAUUUAGGGUAGCUGAUUGGUGGAUUCAUCAAAAAGGGUAUCAAAAAUUGGUGAGGGAGACUUGGAGUAGUGCUCAGCAGGGGGGUUGGGGGGCAAGCUGAUGUACUUAAAAGAUGUCAUAAGGCAAUGGAGUAAAGAUUAUGGAUUCAUUAAUGACAAAGGAAUUCAGAAAAUCCAACAGAAGCUAAAUGAAGUGGAAGAUCUAGCAUCCAAUACAAGUCUAUCUGAGGAAGACAUCAAGGCUAAGAGAGAUUUACAGCAACAAUUGUGGGAGAUCUCAAAUGACUAUGAAUCCCUUUUAAGACAGAAAUCUAGAGCAAAGUGGUUAAAAGAAGGAGACUGCAACUCAGCAUAUUAUGUUUGAAAUGCUUCCAGGUUUUUGCAACUCAGCAAAGUGGCUGGUUGUCCAAAUGGCCUGACAGCUCCCAAUUUAACCUUGAGAGGAAUUACUCUGACCACUGUCCUAUUAUCAUGCACUCUAAAUGCAUUGAUUGGGGCCGUAAACCUUUUAAGGUUUAUGAUGGAUGGCUAAUUCACAAGCAAUUUCAGAAGGUAGUGAUGGAUUGUUGGUUAGAUUAUCAGCCUAUGGGGUGGGGUGGUUAUGCUUUAAAAUGCAAGCUUCAGCAUCUUAAACAGAGGCUGAAAAUCUGAAGUAAAGACAACAUAGGAGACCUGUGCAGCAAAGUCAAACAGCUUCAACAAAAACUAAAUGACUUGGAGAAUUCUAUGCCAGUUCAACCUUCUGAACAACAAGUGAAGGACCUUAAGAAAACCCAAGCUGACCUUUGGGAAAAAGCUACUAUGCAGGAGUCUAUUGUGAGGCAGAAAUCAAGAUGCAGAUGGAUCAAAGAGGGGGACAACAACACAUCCUAUUUUCGUAGAGUUAUUAAUUUGAGGAGGAGGAGAAAUGCUUUGAGGGGGUUGCAGAUUGGUGACACCUGGGUGGAAAAUCCUAACAUUAUAAAGGCUGAAACCCUUCAUCAUUUUCAGAACAGGUUCAAUGAGCCUCACUUGAGCAAACCUAACUUGGAUGGGGUUUCAUUUAAAAGUCUGCCUUCUACUCAGAGAGAAAUUAUAUAUGAUUGAACCUUUUAAAGAGGAAGAGAUAAGGUGUGCUGUGUGGGCCUGUGGCAAUGGCAAAAGCUCAGGGCCACAUGGUUUAAUUUCAGAUUUAUUAAGCACUUUUGGAAGGAAUUGAAGCCUGAAUUCCUAAGAUUUAUAGCAGAAUUCCAUGUGAAUGCUUCCUUCCCCAAGGGUCUCAAUUCCUCUUUCAUUGCUCUUAUCCCUAAGAUUAAGGACCCUCAAUCCUUCAAUGAUUUCAGACCCAUCUCCCUCAUUGGAUGUGUUUACAAAAUCAUUGCUAAACUACUGGCUAACAGGCUUAGAAAGGUCAUGAACCACCUCAUUGAUGAAAGGCAAACAGCCUUUGUGAAGGGUAGACAGCUGCUCCAUGGUGUUUUAAUUGCCAAUGAGGUGGUUGAGGAGGCUAGGAGGUCUAAGAGGCCUUGCAGGUUUUUUUCUGUUUGUGGAUUCAAUCCAAAAGAAAACUUAGGAGAAUAAUUGUUGCAGGUUUCUACAAUUCAGAAGAUUGUCUAGGUUUCAAGAGGACUAUUGUGAUAGUCUUAGAUUAGUACUGACUAUAAUCAGAGGAUAAUUAGAAAUCAUCAUGUUUACAGCUGGUCAGGUUUCAACUUUUAAGUUAGCAAAAUCAAUGUGCAUUAUAUAAUUUUCUAAACUUUAAAGUACUGAAAUUUCUAAAAGUCCAAAACUGUAUCUAGAUUCUAGAUCAUCUUAUGAAUGAUAAGAUGUUUGCAUUUGUAUUUGUAAGCUCAAGUGUAGAUUAUGAAGAUAAGCUAAAAAAAAAUACGCAAACACAUAAGCAGUUCACUUCAAGAUAUGUUAUUGUAAAACAGUUACAAACACAGUUUAUUUGAAAGCACACUUACAUAUGACAACUUUUAGAAACUGCCAAUACGAGGCAAGUGAAUAGUUUAUAAACAGUCUGGAAGCAUUCAACAAUUAAGCGAAUAAAAUAGAAAAGAGAGCAAGCAACCCAGUUCCUUAAAUCCAGUUGGGUAAAAACAUUAUCUAUACUUAAGCAUUACUUGCUCAACAAACAAAAAAUAUGUUAAAACAAAUAUAGUGAAGCCCCCUCUGUUGGAUAGUAAAAUGUUAAAGCAAUUGCAGGCAAUUUUAACAACCCUGUGGAUCCAUCUACAGAAAUCAUGGUUGAUUCUCUGUUAUAGUGCAAACAGAAUAACACCUUACUAAAAAUCAUGCAACAUUACUUAUUACUACCCAGAAAAAAUAAAAUAGGUCAAAUGAAGUAUAGAAGUUAGAGUUACCUUGAUCAAGAGAACCCAGCAACACACACACGUCAGCGGAGCCUGUACAAUCGCAAACAAAAAACUUUUUUUUAUUAUCCGAUGCCACUCUCAAUUCGGGUCAAACCACUCACAACGAAACUUAGCAUACACGAAUUUGACCUACGUACCUUGCGGAGAAAGCUUUGACCUUUGAGCACCGACGAUUGUUUCAGCACCCUAGUAGCAAUAGUGUAUCUAGGGUUUUCUUCGAGCCAGGACAAUGUGGGUUCUGUGGGGUUCGAGCGACGACAAUAUGGGUUUUUCGGCAGUGUAGGGGGUUCUGUGGGUUCCAACAAGGGCAAUGUGGGUUUUCCGGCAGUGUAGGGGGUUCUGUGGGUUCGACCAACGACAAUGUGGGUGUCGACGGAGCGGUUUCCGGCAGAUUUCGUGCGGGAGGAAAAAGAGAACAGCGAUUUCNNNNNNNNNNNNNNNNNNNNNNNNNNNNNNNNNNNNNNNNNNNNNNNNNNNNNNNNNNNNNNNNNNNNNNNNNNNNNNNNNNNNNNNNNNNNNNNNNNNNNNNNNNNNNNNNNNNNNNNNNNNNNNNNNNNNNNNNNNNNNNNNNNNNNNNNNNNNNNNNNNNNNNNNNNNNNNNNNNNNNNNUGGUUUUAUAACAAACCGAUGUUAAAAUCAACUCCUUAACAUCGGCUCCCUCAAAACCGAUGUUAACUCUAUGAAGUUAACAUCGGUUUUGCCUAAACCGAUGUUCCCAUAUUCAUCUUAACAUCAUGUUAACAUCGGUUUUUUAAAUAAAUGAUGUUAACAUCAAUUAGUUUACAUCGGUUAUGCUAAAAUCGAUGUUAAGUAACUCUAUUUAAUUACAAAAAUGUCAUCACGCUUUCGUUAACAUCGGUUUUUGCUAUAACCGAUGUUAAUAGGGCGAUGUAGAAAGCUUUUUUUUAGUAGUGUCUUCAUCUUCAUUGUGACGGUGCUCGUUGUUCUGGGUCUAGUUUUGGGAUUGAGGCUCCUUCGCCGCCGCCACCACCACAACACUGCAAAUAAAUGCUCAGAUGAAUCUUGCAUUCCUUCACCAACCACAUUUCCAAACCCCAAUUUCAACACCAACCCCACCUUCUCCAAUUGACAACAACCCCACUACCCCACAAACUCCUCAGGUUCCAAAUCCAAUUCCUCUUCCUCCUUACUCCAAUAACACAUCUUUGCCGCCGCCGCCGCCGCCGCCGAUUCUGCAGUCUCCACCGCCCCCGGAGGAAACAACCCCUCCGAAUCCUCCUAGUGUGGCGGCACCGCCUAUGAACACUCCCACACCAGGGUCGGCGCUGUUGACCCCAGGUCCUGUGCUGACAUGCACGUUCAGCUGACAUGUGGCGCCGCCUAAAAAGACAAAGGAGAGAACGGCGAAGGUGGAAGAGGAAGAAGUAACCUUUAACUCGGACAAUUUUCCACACUCAGACAAAACAAAACCCACUCUUCUUCUCUUUCUUUGAUGUUCUUUAAGUUUAAGCCUCUCUCUCACUCUCAUCGCACAUUUCAAAACGACACCGUAUUCUCCACCACACUUCCAUCUCUCUCUCUAUAUAUGCUUCCUCUUCCAACCGUCACUCCAAAUUCACUCUUAUGGAAGUAGUUACCUUCACCCUCGCUGUCUUCGUGCCACUCAUUCUCGCCGGAGCUUCCUCCGCCAGGGAGCUCCGGCCGUCGGACCAUGGCCUCACCUUCCAGACACUCCCACACCAUAGCGUGAUAUGAUAUGGUAUGGAUACAUUAACAAUGGCAAAUUCAGUGCUGACAUGCACGUUCAGCUGCGUCUCAAACUAGCGCUGGUCAUAUCUAGCAUGUGUUUAUAGGACAAGUGGAUGAUACUUUAACUUCCACAUGCCAACUAUUAUGACUUCGUAUUAAUUGGAAUAAAUAACUACUUUAUAAAUUAGCAAUACAUCCAACUUGCUGAAUAAAAUAAUAUUAAAUAUUAAUCAAUUGUCCCCAUCUUACUACGGACAUGGCUAUAUAUGUUCAAGAACAUCAAGUUUUGCACUCACAACAAACCAAAAAGCAGAGCUAACUAGCUAGACUAAAAUGGCAGAAACUGCAGUGUCCUUGGCUGGUAAGCAUGCCCUUCCAAAAAUAUUGGAAGCUGUCAAAAUGGUGAGAGAUCUCCCAAAAGAAGUUAGAGACAUUACAGAUGAACUUGAAAGCUUUCAAGAUUUCAUUAAUGAUGCUGAUAAAGUGGCUGAAGCUGAACAAGAUGAUGGAAGGUGUCAUAGAAUAAAAGAAAGGGUUAUGCGGCUGAGAGAAGCAGCUUUUCGCAUGGAAGAUGUCAUCGAUGAAUAUAACAUCUCCUGUGAGGAUAAGCAACCUGGUGAUCCUCGAUAUGCAGCUUUACUAUGUGAGGCUGUUGACUUCAUCAAAACUCAAAUCCUUCGCCUUCAAAGUGCGUACAAGAUUCAGGAUGUUAAAUCGCUUGUUCGUGCUGAAAGAGAUGGUUUCCAAACCCAUUUUCCUUUAGAACCAAGACUAACAAGUUCUAGAGGAAAUCAAGAUGUCACCUGGCAGAAACUUCGAAUGGAUCCUCUCUUUAUCGAGGAAGACGAUGUUGUGGGGCUUGAUGGCCCUAGAGAUACAUUGAAAAAUUGGUUGAUAAAGGGAAGUGAAAAACGCACUGUCAUCUCUGUGGUUGGAAUUCCUGGGGUGGGAAAAACCACUCUUGCCAAGCAAGUUUAUGACCAGGUGCGUAACAAUUUCGAGUGCCAUACAUUGAUCAGAGUGUCUCAAUCCUACUCUGCAGAAGGACUGCUGAGGCGUUUGUUGGAUGAGCUUUGCAAAGUGAAAAAGGAGGACCCUCCCAAGGAUGUUUCUAACAUGGAGUCAUUGACCGAAGAAGUCAGAAACCACUUGCGCAACAAGAGGUAUGUUGUCUUGUUUGAUGACGUAUGGAGUGAAACAUUUUGGGAUCACAUUGAAUCUGCUGUGAUGGAUAAUAAAAAUGCAAGUAGGAUUUUAAUCACAACCAGGGAUGAGAAGGUUGCGGGAUAUUGUUAGAAAUCUUCUUUUGUUGAGGUGCUUAAGCUAGAAGAGCCAUUAACUGAAGAAGAAUCAUUGAAAUUGUUUUCUAAGAAGGCAUUUCAGUAUAGUUCCGAUGGAGAUUGUCCAGAAGAACUUAAAGAUAUAUCUCUUGAAAUUGUUAGAAAGUGUAAAGUUUUACCUCUAGUAAUAGUGGCCAUUGGUGGUCUUUUGUCUCAAAAAGAUGAAAGUGCACCUGAAUGGGGACAGUUUAGUCGAGAUCUAAGUUUAGACUUGGAGAGGGAUUCUAAGUUAAAUAGUAUAACAAAAAUUUUAGGUUUAAGUUAUGAUGAUUUGCCGAUCAAUCUCAGAUCAUGUUUAUUGUAUUUCGGAAUGUAUCCGGAGGACUAUGAAAUUAAAUCUGAUAGAUUGAUUAGACAAUGGAUAGCUUAAGGGUUUGUCAAACAUGAAACCGAAAAACAUUGGAAGAAGUUGGGCAACAAUAUUUAUCAGGGUUGGUCCGUAGAAGUUUGGUGCAAGUAUCCUCAUUUAGAAUUGAUGGCAAAGUUAAAAGGUGUCGUGUUCAUGACUUAUGUUGAGUCGUUGGCAAAUGUACCAAAUUGUCACAAGUAGUAAAGUGCUCGGAAGUUCGAGUGUCAAAUCCACAGGGACGUUGUUUGUACUUAGACUAAUGCAAACCCAAUUUACAAGCAAGAGAUAAUAAAUUUAAAAUAAAAAAUAGAAAAAGAUAGAAGAUAAGAAAAGAUAAAAUUAGAAGAUAAAGGAAAAGAUAAAAGAAUUAAAGAUAAAAUUAAAAGAUAAAGAAAAAGGAAGAAGAUUAGAAAAGUGAAAGAUAAGAAAGAUAAAAGAUUUAGAUAAAAAAAAAAUAAAUUCAAGAUAAGAUAAUGUUGGGAACUGACUUGCCUAGCCUGCCUAGGAUAUAUGAGUUUAUGAUUUUUUCUUUACCAAUUCAGGUGAUUCUAUCCCACCCACAUCUAUUCAUUUACUUGUCCCUGAUGCCUCACGAUGACAAGCCUAUUUUACCUAUCUAUCCCCCAAAUGCCUAUGCAAAGACGCAAUAGAUAAAAUGCAUGAAGUUCUAAUUCUAGAUGUUUGCUUUGACACAUGGGCAUAAUGCAAUCACUUAUGGCUAGCAAUGAUUUUAUUAUGAUAUCUUUUCUUCUUGUUCUAUUAGAAGUUAUCAUCUCCCGAGCGUCUAACCCCUAAAACUAAUGCAUGCAUAUCUUCUUUAAAUCUUAUUUAGAAGUUACCCUCUCCCGAGCAUCUAACCCCUAACAGAAUAUAAAGAUGAGUAUGCAAGAUAAAAAUAGAAAAGAAAAUAGGAAAGAAAAACCUGGUAUUGCAUUGAUAAAUAGUGAAGAAUACAUCAUACAUCGCAUUGGCUUCUAGGCCUGCCAGGCCCUAAGUAAGGGUUUAGCCACUCAUGGUCAUGAGGGCUUUACAAUGAGAGGAGGGGUGAAAGAAAGAAAGGGAAUAAAUGAAACCCCUAGGAGAGGGGGUUCUGUGGUGGUGUGUUCUUCCCUUUGGACUGACUCUCUAUUUAUAGCUGCUGAAGUGGGCUUUGGGCCUUCGUAGGCGCGCUCAGCGUGACACACCCUCGCUUAGCGCGUGUAGAUCGCGGGCUUAGUGCGUGUGUUGCAGGCUUAGUGCGUUCUUCUGUUGGAUCGCUGGCUUAGCGCGCGUGUUGCAAGCUUAGCGCGUUCUUCUGUUGGAUCGCAAGCUUAGCGUGCGUGUUGCAUGCUUAGCGCGCGCUUCUAUUGGAUCACGGGCUUAGCGCGUGACGUACGCUCAGCAUGGGUAUUGGGCUGGGCCUGCUUCAGAUUUUCUUCUUUUCUUCAAUUUUUUUGGCCUUUUUGCUUGUUACACCUCCAGUUUUUAUAUCUGCAGCCAAAAUUCAACAAAACAUCAAUUAUUUAAUAUUUAAGCGCAAAUAACUGCUAAAUAAUUAUUUUUAAAGACAAUUUUGCCUUAUUUUCUAUUAUCAAAAUAUAAUUAUUUAGCAAUUAUCAAAAUCCCCCAAAUUAAAACUUUGCUUGUCCCCAAGCAAAUGAAAUUAAAAGCAGGCUCCGAAUGCUUCAACACUUUCAGUGGCUGCAAUUUCUCAGAUUCCUCCAACUGGUCCUUUCCGCAUUUGUCAUAAUCUCACAAUGGAAGCAUAAAUUACAUCAAGAUGAAAUUGGUUGGUAUCGGAAAUCAAUCAAGUUGGUUUGCCUCACUUUCCUCACAAGGUUAGUGUUUAUUGUCUGGGGUGAGUGUUUAAAAUUUAUACGACCUGCAAUUAAGAUUCCCAAAUUUUGCACUUCAUCUCAAUUAAAGUUAUUCUUACUUACAUUUGGUGGAUCACUAAGGACUUUUAUUGGCUUGUAAUGGGGCCUGGCUAGACAAGAAAUCAUGGUUUUUCUGGGAUUUCAAACUUAAGGUUAUAAGAGAGCAUUCAUCCUAGAAAAACUUAUACUUAGCCUAGGCUUUAUUUGUUUUUCAGCCUUAACACAUGCAAUCUAUUUUUCUUAUUUCCAACCUUAGCACUUAUGGCACCUCUCUUUUUUUUUUCUGCCCUUAUUUUCUUUUUUUUCUUUUUUUUUGGGAAAGAGACUUUGGGCUUACAAGUUUUUUUUUUUUUUGGGUGCCUUAUUAUGUGCUACUUUUACAUUCCCAAGACCAUCUUCAUUCUACCCAUCCCCCAAAUUAGGGGUUUAUUAUGACUAAAACCUUUAUGCUCUCUUAGAAUCCUAAAAUAAGGUUAGAGAUAUCACAAUUAGGCUCAGGGGUUUUAUUUAAAAAAAUAAUUACUAAUUUUGGCUCAACAAGGGUGCAAGGGAUAAAUUUCAUCACAGGUUGGCUUUUUGGCUAUGUGGCUAAAAUAAAAAAUAAAAAAAGAAACAUGGCCUUGAUCAUAUCCACCUUAUGUAAAUAAUCUAACAGUCUAAGAAUGAUGCAAAAUUAGGAAUUUAAAAACAUACGUUCUCUCAUAAUUAAGUUCACACAGCUCUCCGGGACAAGAUAAAGUUAUCGGCUUACCGGAACAUGAUCUAUUUCCAUCAAGCUAACCUGUUCUCUCUUUGUGAUUCAUGUCCCACUGUUUGACUGACUCUUGCUUCUAGGAAUCCAGUAUUUUCAUAAUUGUCAUGCAGCAUUUCAAGUGUUGAAUCCUUCAAAAAAAGCCUAAAUAGUGACUUCACAAAUAUCAUGCAAUUUUUAUUCAAUAACUGAAUUUAAACUACUAAAAUUAAAAUGCAUAAAAUCAAAAUGCACAAAUUCAAAAUAAAGAAAAGAAAUAACACAACUAUCCUAAAAGAAACAAAAUUGCAAUUAACUAAAAGAGAUAAAGUUUGAAAUCCUGGGUUGCCUCCCAGUAAGCGCUUCUUUAACGUCAUUAGCUUGACGGGUCAAAUGCCUUCAAGGUGGCAUGAAGGUCACAAAGAACACAUCUUCCUUGCAUUUUCGCCUCUUAGCUAGAGACGCCAUGAAACUCAUGUAUGCUGGAAACACCUUCCAUAUUGUAGCAAAAAAAGUGCUGGUGGUCAAGGAGAGAAGGACACUUAAGGGUUUAUCAUGUUUUCCAUGUCUUUCUUCCUUGACAAUCAGUUGAUGAGGAGUGGUAUUGACUUGGAGAAUACUUUCUUGUUGAAUUCUACUUGUGAGUACUUCUCCCAUUGUUGUGCUUUCUCCUCAUUUCUUUCUAUCUCUUCCUUCUUUUCUUCUUCCACAUCUUCCUCAGUUAAAAUUACCUUGCACUCCUUUUUGGGCUUCAUCUCAAUAUUUAUCGCAAAGGUUUCGUUGGGCCUUUCAGCAACUAGCUUAGCUAAUUGUACUUCCAAAUUUCUGAUUGCUGCAUCAGUGCUCUUCUGAUGUGACCUUGUUUCCUGCAUGAAUUGUACCAGCAAUUCUUCUAGCCUAGUGCUUUCUUCUUGUGGGUUGGGCUCUUGGUCACGUAGAAUGACAUAAUCAUUGGCCGCCAUAUUCUCUAUUAGCUCAAUAGCUUCUUCUGGAGCCUUUAACUUGAUUUUUCCACCGGCUGAGGCGUCGAGGAGCUACUUGGAAUGGGGUUGCAAGCCAUCAAUAAAGAUGUUGAGCUGGACUGGCUCGCUAAACCCAUGUGUAGGAGUCUUCCAAAGUAACCCAUGAAAGCGAUCAAGGGCUUCACUCAACGAUUCAUGAGGAUGUUGGUGGAAGGAUGAGAUUUCCACCUUUUCCUCAAUGGUCUUGGACUCUGGGAAGUACUUCUUCAGGAACUUCUCCACCACCCCGUCCCAUGUCCGCAGGCUAUUCCCUUUUAACGAGCGAAGCCAUGUUUUUGCUUCACCGGCCAAGGAAAAACAAAAUAAGUCGAGGCGGAUGACAUCUUCAGGCACUCCUACUAUCUUCACCGUGUUGCAAAUGUCGAUGUAUAUGGCCAGGUGUGCGUAUGGAUCUUCACUUGGUAGGCCGUAAAAUAAAUUCCCUUGAAUCAGCUGGAUCAAGAAAUAUGGAUAUGAGAAGUUGGUCGUCCGCACCUCUGGUCUAGCUAUGCUGGUGAAGUACUGAGGUAUAAUAGAGCUAGAGUAAUCCUCUAGCGUCAUUCUUUGUGGACGAUUUUCUACCAUGAUGCGUUCUUCGAAGAAGAAGUGUGCACUAUUAACAAAAGAAAUAACUACCGUGCACGUUAUCACAUAAUAAAUAAUUUUUUAUUUUAUUUAUUUUAUUUAAAAAAGAAAAGAAUAAAGUAAGAAUGAGUAAAGAGAAAAAAAUUGAAAAAUAAAAUAAAGCAGCUAAAAGAAAUAAUAGAUAAAAAAACAAAAAAAUAAAAUAAAAAUAAAAAUAGAAAGUGAAAACUAAUUGCUUACAAAUUGGAAUAUGCAAUUAAUCAAGUACGAAAAACAAAGUACUCGGCAACGGCGCCAAAAACUUGUUGACUCGUUGACAAGUGUACCAAAUUGUCACAAGUAGUAAAGUGCUCGGAAGUUCGAGUGUUGAAUCCAUAGAGACGUUAUUUGUACUUAGACUAAUGCAAACCCAAUUUACAAGCAAGAGAUAAUAAAUUUAAAAUAAAAAAUAGAAAAAGAUAGAAGAUAAGAAAAGAUAAAAUUAGAAGAUAAAGGCAAAGAUAAAAGAAUUAAAGAUAAAAGAAAAAGAUAAAGAAAAAGGGAGAAGAUUAGAAAAGUGAAAGAUAAGAAAGAUAAAAGAUUUAGAUAAAAAAAAGAUAAAUUCAAGAUAAGAUAAUGUUGGGAACUGACUUGCCUAGCCUGCCUAGGAUGUAUGAGUUUAUGAUUUUUUCUUUACCAACUCAGGUGAUUCUAUCCCACCCACAUCUAUUCAUUUACUUGUCCCUGAUGUCUCACGAUGACAAGCCUAUUUUACCUAUCUAUCCCCAAAUGCCUAUGCAAAGACUCAAUAGAUAAAAUAAAAUGCAUGAAGUUCUAAUUCUAGAUGUUUGCUUUGACGCAUGGGCAUAAUGCAAUCACUUUAUGCCUAGCAAUGAUUUUAUUAUGAUAUCUUUUCUUCUUGUUCUAUUAGAAGUUAUCCUCUCCCGAGCGUCUAACCCCUAAAACUAAUGCAUGCAUAUCUUCUUUAAAUCUUAUUUAGAAGUUACCCUCUCCCGAGCAUCUAACCCCUAACAGAAUAUAAAGAUGAGUAUGCAAGAUAAAAAUAGAAAAGAAAAUAGGAAAGAAAAACCUGGUAUUGCAUUGAUAAAUAGUGAAGAGUACAUCAUACAUCGCAUUGGCUUCUAGGCUUGCCAGGCCCUAACAAAGGGUUUAGCCACUCAUGGUCAUGAGGGCUUUACAAUGAGAGGAGGGGUGAAAGAAAGAAAGGGAAUAAAUGAAACCCCUAGGAGAGGGGGUUCUGUGGUGGUGUGUUCUUUCCUUUGGACUGACUCUCUAUUUAUAGUUGUUGAAGUGGGCUUUGGGCCUUCGUAGGCGUGCUCAGCGCGACACACCCUCGCUCAGCGCGUGUAGAUCGCGGGCUUAGCACGCAUGUUGCAGGCUUAGCGCGUUCUUCUGUUGGAUCGCUGGCUUAGCGCGCGUAUUGCAAGCUUAGCGCGUUCUUCUGUUGGAUCGCAGGCUUAGCGCGCGUGUUGCAGGCUUAGCGCGCGCUUCUGUUGGAUCACGGGCUUAGCGCGUGACGCACGCUCAGCGUGCGUAUUGGGCUAGGCCUGCUUCAGAUUUUCUUCUUUUCUUCAAUUUUUCUGGCCUUUUUGCUUGUUACACCUCCAGUUUUUAUAUCUGUAGCCAAAAUUCAACAAAACAUCAAUUAUUUAAUAUUUAAGCGUAAAUAAUUGCUAAAUAAUUAUUUUUAAAGACAAUUUUGCCUUAUUUUCUAUUAUCAAAAUACAAUUAUUUAACAGUUAUCAACUUAAUACACGACAUGAUCCUUAGAAAAGUCAAGGAUAUAGGGUUUUGCCAGAGGAGAUUAGUAAGCUUAAAAAGCUACGUCAUCUUCUGAGUGGCUAUAUAUCUUCAAUUCAAUGGAAGGAUAUUGGAGGCAUGACAUCCCUACGAGAGAUACCUCCAGUGAUUAUAGAUGAUGAUGGAGUGGUCAUUAGAGAGGUAGGAAAGCUAAAGCAGUUAAGGGAACUGUUGGUGGUAGAUUUUAGGGGAAAACACGAAAAGACUUUGUGUUCCUUAAUAAAUGAGAAGCCACUCUUGGAGAAACUACUUAUUGAUGCAGCUGAUGUGAGUGAAGUAAUUGACUUGUACAUUACGUCACCUAUGUCUACACUUAGGAAGCUUGUCCUAUAUGGGAAGUUAACAAGGUUGCCAAAUUGGAUUUCACAGUUCCCAAAUCUUGUCAACUGUAUUUGUACUACUCCAGGUUGACUAAUUAUGGAUUGAAAUCACUAAAAAAUUUGCCAAGGUUGUUGUUCCUCGUUUUAAGUGACAAUGCUUACGAAGGUGAAACUUUGAAUUUUCAAAGUGGAGGGUUUCAGAAACUAAAGCAACUGCAACUCAGAUAUUUGUAUCAAUUGAAGUGCAUCCUUAUCGACAGAGGAGCACUGUGUUCUGUGGAAGAAAUUGUUUUACAAGACCUCCCCCAACUCAAAACAGUUCCCUCUGGAAUUCAACACUUGGAGAAGCUUAAAGAUCUCGAUAUCGUGCACAUGCCAACUGAAUUGGUGCACCCAAUUGCUCCCGAUGGAGGAGAAGACCACUGGAUCAUCCAAGAUGUGCCCCAUGUACGUAUUUGGAGCAGGUAUGCUGAAGAACCUUUGCAUAUAUUCGGCAGAAGUCAUCACUAAGAUGCGUCCAAAUUUGAAAAUAGAAGGUGCGUCUUUUUCACAUCUAUAACUUUGUAGAAUGACAUUCGUGGCCUUUUUCUUUUCUUCAAUAAAAAAUGCAACCAUUAACAAAUUCCUAAAAUAAUUACUUUUGCCUCAUUUUCUCUUCUAGUAUUUGUUUCGUUUUUCUUUCUCUGCAACUUCUCACGUAAAAGUUAGGGAUAGAAUUUUCUAACAAGUAUAUGCCUACACCAACCAAUGUUAACGUUUCUUCAUUAUAAGAUUCUCACCAUUCUAAUCCUUUCUAUUAUUGUGCUCAGAAUUGGUAGAUGUUGACCUCAACUGGGUUGAGUUUUUUUAUUUCCAUGUUGAUAAAUACUUGAAAAUUUUCAUUGUAUCAUUUGAAGAAGAAAUUAACUUGGUGUUUUUAUAGGGUCGUAAGCAUAUAAUUCAUGUAAAUGUUGUGGAUUUUUAAAGUUCCAUUACAAUUGAAGCCCAAUAAUGUGGAUUUUUUUCGUACAUUAGAUUGUGUUAAAUGUUCCUAAUUUUUAUGCUUUGAAGUUUGACCCACUUUGUACAACCAUAGAUUUUAGGAAAGCACUGAGGGAAGAUUGUAAGAGGUGUUCCCAUUCCAAUGUUUCUGACGUUCGAAUCUUGUGGUUUUUUGAGUGUUAAUUAUUACGUCCAAUUUAGCGUUAUUAACACCAACACAAUACAAAAAAGCUAAAAAUAGUGUUCCUACAAAGGAAGAUAAUUUUUGACAACUGGAAAACUCAAGAUUCCCUCAAGUUCUUUCUUUUGCGGCCCGUUAAAUGGUGGAUGAGUGGAUUUGAGGCAUCAAAGGGCAAGAUUCAUCAAAUUGAUUUUUUAAGCUUCCUUAUUCUCUUUCUCUUGUUUCCCUUUUUUCUAAAAUGUGUACUCAAAUUUUUGUUAACUUGAUGUAAUUUGAAUUCUUAUCUGUAAUUCAAAUUCAUUUCUUUUAAAUUGAAUGUUUGUCUUUUUUUAAUUUAGUGCCUUUAUAAAUUGGCAUUUGGUCACUUAUAGUGCGUUGAUUGUAUAUUCCUAUCGACAACUGUGAAAUUGAAAUAAGGAUUGAAUUUAAGAUAUAAUGUAACAAAGUUGGAAAUUCUAUAGGAAUAAAUAUCAACAAUUAUGAUAAUUUAGAUAUUCUUGAACCUAAUGAUUGCCCUAAUUGAGAAAUCCUAAAGAUUUAAAAUUUUCAAUUGUAGAAAAGAGUUUUUGAGUUAAGAUAUAUUCACCUUCAAUUACAAUAGUAAAAAAUAAAUUCAGUUUCCAAUUAUGCUUCUAGAACUUGAAUUGGAGUGAAAAUUUGGGGUGUACGUGUUAAGCUUGGGGUGAACUCGUAUUGUAACAAGACAUGUUUGAUUUUGGCUUAGCACUUUAAUCCUCUUAGCAUAGUACUUCAGCAAUUUUGGUACCCAAACUUUUAUGUUCAGGUUUGAUCCCAUAUUUUUCAAAAACAAUUUAAUGGUCGAAUAUAUAUUAUUAAAAUCAAGUUAUAUAUCACUUAUUUGGAGUUAGAUAAAUUUUUCAAGGCUUAAUUUUAUCUUUUUGUCUCAUUCAUUAUUUAUUUUAUUAAUUUUGUCCUCCUAAUAAUAAAAUCUUUAAUUUGAUUGCUUAAUUCCAAAUCGAUUCAAUUUGAUCUUUUCGGUCCAAAUUCACUUGAUAUUGUUUAUUAAUAGUGGGAUGAGAUUGAAUCAAACAAAGGAACAAAUUAAAUUGUUUAUUAAAAUUUAAAAAACAAACAGUGAGAACAAGAAGUUUAUUAAGGGGUCAAUUUGCGCUGUUUUAAAAAUUAAAGUACUAAAUUAAAUUGUUUAAUAAUAGAGGACCAAUGCUAAAUAACACGACAAAAAAAGUAUGGUUUUUUUUUUUUACUUUUAAAAAUUUUGAAAAUUUUAUUGAAUUCUAAAAUAUUCAAUUAACUUGCCUAAUUUUUUGUUUAUUCACUUUUUUUCCUUUUAAUCCUUGAAGUUUGAAAACUUCAAAACUCUUUUUGAUCAGAAACAUAUUUUAACUCUCAUAAAACAACACAACAAUGUUUCUAAAAUUGGACUUUUAUAAGUUAUUAAUAAAUCACUUUGUGAGUGAUAUUUUGUACAAAUUUUUGUAUUAUUUUGUAUGCAUUUUCUUGAUAGAAUUUACAAUUGGACACUAGUUUUUUAUUCCAAAAGUAUAACCACUCAAUUGAGUGAAAGAGUAAGAAAUUAUACAAAUUUAUGAAGAUUUAAGAACUUUACAUAACUUGAUUACUAUCGUGGUACAUUGAUCAUGGUCGUGGUAAUUAACAUGAUCACAAUAAAGUGAUAAGAGUCCUUCCAAACAGCGUCAAGAUCCAACAAUAGCCAUGGUAAAUUUACCACGAUCAUGGUAAAUCAAGAGGCUCAUAGUCAAUUUAUAAUGGUUCAAGGCUUCAGCGUCACUUCUAACCACAAUUGUAGUGCUCCUUUUUGAGCAAAUAUCUUUAGGAAGCCAUAUAUAGGUUUCUAGACUAUGUAAAAAUCAUUUUUCAUUUAUUUUGAGUUUUAUUCUUAUAUUUUACGAAUUUCAGACAACCUUGAAAGCUUUUAAGUGCCGAAGAACUUAAACAACAUCUCUAGAAUGGAUUAUGAUCAUUGUUCCUACUUAUUGGUAUGUUUAUGUUUAUUUUAUCUAGGAUUGCUAGUGUUGUUCCGAUCAUGAGGAGCUAGUCCUCCUAGUCCGAAGAUUAUUAGAUAACUUUUCAAUUGAACUUGCCCAGUUUUUGUUUGUUCACUCUUUUUUUUCCUAUUAAUCCUUGAUGUUUGAGAACUUCACCACUCUUUCUGAUAACAAAAAUAUUUUGACUCGCAUAAUACCACACAACAAUGUUUUCUGAAAUGGGACUGUUAUAAUUUACAUAUAACAAACAUAUUGGACUUACAUAUGGUGGGUCUGCCACGUCUGAAUCAUAUUGCAUUUAGCAAAAAGUUUUGGCAACAUAUAGUGGCAUUUGCAUUUCUGUUCUGGGAAUAAUAGAAGAGAUCUAAGGAGAUCUAUUUACCAGGAAAAACACCAUAAGGAACAAUAAUGCAAUGGUACAACAAUCAAUUUACCUAUUAUAUCAGUACACAACAUGAAUGAUCACAAUUGUUGCAGUUCUAUGACAAGUGUUGGAUGGAUGAUUACAACAUGGAAAAAAAUACAAUGAAAUUCUGACAAGGACUUCCAUAACAACUUCGAGUGUCAUGCAUGGAUCACAAUCCUACACUGUAGAAGAAUUGCUGAAGGAUAUGUUGCACAAGCUAUGCAAAGAAAAAUUGGAGACACCUCUUCAUAAUGAUUCAUUGAUAUAUGAAGUGAGAAACCACUUGCGCCAAAAGAGGUAUGUUGUCCUGUUUCAUGAGGUAUGGGAUAAAAAGUUUUCGGAUGGUAUUGAUUUUGCUAUAAUUGAUAAAAAUUCGGACACAGAGGUAUCAAUCACAACUUCGGACAGAGGUUGCGGAGUUUUGUCAGAUAACUUCCUUCAUUCAGGUGUAUAAGCUAGAACCUUUAAGUGACGAAAAAUCUUUGGAAUUGUUAUGAUGUGGAAAGGCAUUUUUUUCGGGUUUUGGUGGAUGAUGUCCAAAAGAAUAUGAAGACGUAGGUCUUGAAAUGGUUAGAAAGUGUGAACGUUUACCUCUAGCAAUUGUUCGUGCUCUGGAUCGAUCAUUAUUUUUCUCUGACGAUUUUUGGAGAGAUAAUUAUUUUUUUUUGUUCUUAAGAUCAUAAGGAGUAUGUCCAAAUAUUUUUGUGUGAAAAUAUUAAUGUCAACAAUUUUAAUAAAAUCUAGAAAAGGAUGAAUGUUCUUUGAUGUUCUGGGUUUUUCUGGGUGAAUGUUGAUACGGUUCUUCACUUACUAGGAUGAAUCUCUGUUGAAUUUUGGGGAAAAAAAAUAUUAGGAUGUUUCUGUAUUUGUUUGAUGCAGCUGUAUAAAGCAAUAAAGAAAUAGUAGCUCAAGCUUUUGCUAUAAAUGUGUGGCAGGAAUUGAUCCUACACAUACGAGUUCCUUUAUGCUGUUCUUUUAUUUCCUCUUGUCUAACUUCAUAUAAAGAAUUUUAUAGUCCUUUUGGAAUUCCAGUGAAAAUUCAGUCCUCACUGUUUUCUUAUAUAUAUAACAGGAGGAGAAUAAAAAAUAUGACGAAAUUAGAAGCGGAUUAGGGAGAGUUAUGUAUCUUAGUACUUCAAGGAUGGGAGAAUAAAUCCUUCCUCUUUUUCUGGCUUACUUUGCUGAUAUGUAUUCUAUAAGAUCUCAUUCAUUUGUUUCCUAAUCACAUUUUUUCUCGUAUUUACAUCAUUGAUAGUGGCAAUGUUCUUUAUAAGUUAUGAUUAUUUUUUCUAUAUAUUUUUUCUGGGCAGAUAGAAAUUUUUUGGACUGCACUUCUUAAUCAUGGUUAGGACCAGGGAUAAUAAAUCUUGUUAUGCUAUCAGGGAAACAAGUUGGUGGAUUCAACAUUAGGAAAAGAAGUAGGGAAUGGAGAACAUCUAACUUUCAUCAAUGCUUCCAUCCGAAAAUUACCACACUCCACGUAAUCUACCACCUAUGCUCAAUAACUUGGGGUAUUCAUGAGUGUAAUUGCUGCCUAGAUUAUUUUAACUUUUGAGUUCAGGUUUUUCUCACCAAGGCUGGUGGACACUGCAGUGAGUAACAAUUCAUUUGAUGAGAUGUUCUUGCUGGUGGGAUUGGUACUCUAGAUGAGGUGUUUAAGAUACAGGCAUGCACUGAUUCAGCUUGAAUGGAUUGGACCAGAGCUCUUUGUGUUCUCUUCUAGAAGAAGUGUUUGAGAUACAGGCACUAUUCAGCUUGAAAUGAAUUGGAGUAUGCCUUAUUUCUCUUUGUCUACAUCACACUAAUAGGAGUUAGACAUAAAAUUAUGGCUAAAUUACUAUGUUGGUCUUGUAUCUCUAUUUUAUAUUGUAAUUUAAGCUUCUAUUUGUUAAAAGUUACAAAAUGAUAUUUUAUUUAUUAAAAGUUGUAAAAUGGUUCCUUACAUAAUUUAUUUAUUGUAUCUUUACUUCUGAAGUAAUGUCUUUUUCAGUUGUUUUGGAUAAAUAAAAAAUAAUUAUUUUAAGUUAUAAUUAAUAUUCACACACUGGUAGACCCAAAGAUAGCAGAGACAAUAAUGUGUUUUAAGUGGCAUCUUCAAUUUGCAAGACAGCUAGAUUGAGAAAGGACAAGACAAGGCAAGAAGCCAUGUGCAAAGGACUGUUAGAUGAUUAUUGAUUACAUUGUAUUGAGGAAUUCUUUUGACUAGUAUGAUCUAUUUUUCACAGGCUGAGAUGACAACAAACUUUCAUCUCAAGUUUGGCACCUUGUUUCCAAUGAUAUAUUUAAUUUCCUCAAACGUUUUUUUUUUGCAGUAUUACAUCUAAUAUUCUAGUUUAUAUAUAUAUAUAUAUAUAUAUAUAUAUAUAUAUAUAUAUAUAUAUAUAUAUAUAUAUAUAUUAGUUUAAAAAGCUCUUUUUGAUCUCCCAAUAUAUAAAUUUCGUGUAUGAUAUGACUGAUUGUUGUGUUCAUUCUAACAUGAAUUUAUUCAUUUAAAUGCAAAUUAAAAUAGAUGAAAAGGAUAAAACAUUGGACAUGGAAAAGUUUAGGAAUGUUGAUCGGUGGUAAAAUAAUUUAAUGAUCAAAAUCAUAAAUUAUAAGAAAAUUAAGGAUAAAAAAAUAUUUUAUCAAAAAACAAUUAUAAGGACAAAAAUUCAAUUUUUUUAUUAAAGAUUAAAUACAAAAUUCAAAAAUGUUAAGGACCAAAAGUAUAUUAUGUCUGUCAAAAAUACUAAUUAUUCAUCUCACGUCCACCAAAUUUUCUUUUUUUAUUUUGCUCCUUUCUUUUUAAUAUAUUACUUAUCACAUAUAUCACUUUGUCUCUGUAUCUUUUUUCUUUUCUCUCUCAUCUUUCCAUCUCAAUUCAUCCUAAAACGGGGUAGAAGAAUAUCAUAGUUCUAUUUCUUUUCUUUUGUCAGAACAAGACCUAAUGAAUGAAUGAAGACUUGGCUACAGGGGUAAACAGGCAUGUUAUAUCCAUCAAAUGAAUUUUUUAAUAUACCAAAAAAAUGUUAGUGAAAAUAAAAUAACAUUACUAAAAAGAAAAUAAAAGAUUAUAUAUAUUUUUAGACCAUGAAAAAAUGAAUAUAUUGAAUUAGAGUUAGAGAUAUUCGAAAUCAAGCAAAAGAAAAAUACUCCGACGAUAGAAUAAAUCUUCAAGACUUGGGUAUAUUUCUUUUUCUUGGAAGCAGAGUCUAAUGACAAAGAAAAUACAAAAUGACUAACGAAGGAGUGAAGUCAGUUGCUGAAUUAACAUACAACGGAAGAGAUAGAAACUGGGACAAUAUAAAAAGUUUAAAAAUAAUAAAUAAAUAAAUUGGAAAAUAAAAAUGUGGCCACUUUAUCUCUUCUUUCAUGUUUGACCAAAAAGAAGACAUAUCUUUUUUCCAUAUGGUUUAACAUUUUUUUUUUCUCACACUAGAAGUUGCUCGAUCUGUUUUUUAGACACGUUAAAAAAGUCUCAUUUUUUUUUUAAAUCAUCUGUAUACAAUUAUUAGCGGCAAAGCUAGCAUAUAUGAACUAUUAGGGGCGAAAAGUGGUUUACAAAAAUAUGAGCCUUAAGUGCUAAAUGAAAAAUCAAAAUGAAAUUAUUCCUUUAAAACAAAUAAUCUGAUAAUCACAUUUUGACAUUAGCUGGACCACAAUAUCACAACUUGCUCGCAAAAGAGACGCUGCAAAGCUCAAAGUCUUCGUCUCCGCGUACACAGUGCACUAAGUUACAAAAUAUCAUCUCAGUAUGAUAUAGAUAAAAAGAAUUUAUAAAAAAAAAAUCUGAUAACCGACACCUGUUAAUCAUGACAAUAGAACUUAUAAAUAGAGAAUCCUGUUAAUUUUAAAAUUUUAUUAAAAUUAUAUGGUUAAGAUAUUAUCAUAAACAGUGUCCGUGUCAUUGUUUGGCUAAUUAAGUACAUGCCUACACCAACCAAAGUUAACGUUUCUUCAUUAUAAGAUUCUCACCAUUAUAAUCCUUUCUAUUAUUGUUCUCAGAAUUGGUAGAUGUUGACCUCAACUGGAUUGAGUUUUUUAUUUCCAUGUUGAUAAAUACUUGAACAAUUUUAUUGUUAUCAUUUUAAGAAGAAAUUAAUUUGGUGUUUUUAUAGGGUCGUAAGCAUAUAUUUCGUGUAAAUGUUGUGGGUUUUUAAAGUUUCAUUACGAUUGAAGUCCAAUAAUGUGGAUCUUUUUCAUAAAUUAGAUUGUGUUAAAUGUUCCUAAUUUUGAUGCUUUGAAGUUUGACCCACUUUGUACAACCAUGAAUUUUAGGAAAGUACUCAAGGAAGAUUGUAAGAGGUGUUCCAAAUCCAAUGUUUUCGAUGUUCCAAUCAUGCAGUUUUUUGAGUGUUAAUUAUUACGCCCAUUUUAGCGUUAUUAACACCAACACAAUACGAAGAAGCUGAAAAUAGUGUUCCUACAAAGGCAGACAAUUUUUGACAACUGGAAAAUUCAAGAUUCCCUCAAGUUCUUUCUUUUGCGGCUCGUGAAAUGGUGGAUGCAUGAGUGGAUUUGAGUCAUCAAAUUGAUUUUUUAAGCUUCCUUCUUCUCUUUCUCUUGUUUCUUUUUUUUUCUAAAAUGUGUACUCAAAUUUUUGUUAACUUGAUGUAAUUUGAAUUCUUAUCUAUAAUUCAAGUUUAUUUCUUUUAAAUUGAUUGUUUGUCUUUGUUUUAAUUUAAUGCCUUUAUAAAUUGGCAUUUGGUCACUUAUAGUGCCUUGAUCGUAUAUUCUUAUCUACAACUCUGAAAUUGAAAUAAGGAUUGAAUUUAAGGUAUAAUGCAACAAGAUUGGAGAUUCUAUAGUAAUAAAUAUCAACAAUUACGCUAAUUUAGGGUGUUUUUGAUUUGCAUUUUCAUUUUUUGUUUUCAUUUCCAAAAGAUUAGAAUUAUGAAAAUAUGUUUGGUUUGACGUCUUGUUUUCUGUUUUUAGGAAAUAAAAACAUUGAAAAUUUAUGAUAUAUUGACUUGUCUUUUUUUUUGUAUUUUUAGAUUUGCUUAAAAUUACAUUUCUUGUCAUCGCAUUUUCAUUUUACCCAAAAUGAGGUUCCUGUUUUCAACUGAAAACACUGAAAAUGAAAUUUUAUUGUUUUCAUUUUCUGUUUUUUUUUUGUUUUCAUCUUCACUGAAAGCGUUUUCAAAAAUCCAACCAAACACAUUUUCAUCACCAUUUUUCGCUUUCAGUGAAAAUGAAAACAGAAAACAGUCAAACCAAACACCGCCUUAGAUAUUCUUGAACCUAAUGAUUACCCUAAUUGAGAAAUUCUAAAGAUUUAGAAUUUUCAAUUGCGGAAGAGUUUUUGAGUUAAGAUAUAUUCACCUUCAAUUGCGGAAGAGUUUUUGAUUGCUUAAUUCGAAAUCGAUUCAAUUUGGUCUCUUUGGUCCAAAUUCACUUGACGUUGUUUAUUAAUAGUGGGAUGAGAUUGAAUCAAAUAAAGGAACAAAUUAAAUUGUUUAUUAAAAUUGAAAAAAAAAAUGAAAAAACAGUGAGAACAAGAAGUUUAUUAAGGGGUCAAAUUGCACCGUUUUGAAAAUUAAAGUACUAAAUAUUAAAUUGUUUAUUAAUAGAGGACCAAUGCUAAAUAAAUAAAUAGCACGACAAAAAAGUAGGAUUUUUUUUUACUUUCAGAAAAUUAGAAAAUUUUAUUGAAUUCUAAAAUAUUCAAUUAACUUGCCUAGUUUUUUGUUUAUUCACUCUUUUUUUUUUCCUUUUAAUCCUUGAUGUUUGAAAACUUCAAAAUUCUUUUUUAUCACAAACAUAUUUUAACUCUUUUAAAACAACAAAGCAAUGUUUUCUAAAAUGGGACUGUUAUAAGUUAUUGAUAAAUCACUUUCUUGAGUUAUAUUUUGUACAAACUUUUGUGUUAUUUUAUAUGCAUUUUCUUGAUACAAUUCACAUUUGAACAUUAGUUUUAUAUUCGAGAAGUAUAACUACUCAAUUGAGUGAAAGAGUAAGAAAUUGUACAAAUUUAUGAAGAUUUAAGAACUUUACAUAACUUGAUCACUAUUGUGGUACAAUGAUCACGAUCGUGAUAAUCAGUAUGAUCACAAUAAAGUGAUAACACUCAUCCCUAAUGUUUUUAUAAUAAAAAUGUGAUAUUGAUUUAAAUGUUUAUUUAAUCUCACAAAAAUUAUUUAAAGAAAUAGUUAGACCUAAAAUCAAAAUAUAAAUAUAAAUAACACUAAAAAUAAAAAUUUAAACAGAUGAAUUUUUAAUAAUUACAAAUAUAUAUUUACCUUAUAUCUUGUCGAUCUAAAAGAGUUAAAUUCACUACAACUUUUAUUGGUACAACUAACACUACUUACAAUUACAAUAAACAUUGUUUUAUUACAUUUACACAUUAGGAAGAUCAGAAAUUCACGUGAUGUUGUAGUAGGACAAAAAUAAGGAGACAAAAUCACUAACGUGUUCACAAAAAUAUUUAGAAUUAGCUAAGGCUUUAGUUUUUAAGUUUGAUUUUAAUCACUAAAUUCUUGUUUGACUAGUCAAAGUUUUUUAACUUUUAGAAAUUUUAAAUUUUAGUUCUUGAAUAAAAAAUUAAAUCUAUUUUUUUAUUAAUUUAAUAAGUUUUUAAUAAUUAUAAAUUGAUUUUUUAAAAGUUUAGAAAUUAAAAAUCUUAAUGAAGUCGAGAGACAUUGACCCGUCAAAUAAAAAUGUAGAAACUAAAAAAUCUUGAUUAAAAAAGUUGAAAGAUCUUGAUGAAUAGAAAAAAAAUUUAAAAAUUAAAUACUAAAUUCUGAAAAAGUUUAGUAAUAAUUAGCCCAAAUAUUUAAGAGAGAUGCUGGAAUCUCAAAGUCUUCCUAUCAAGUCUCAAGGUAGACGUUGCACUAAUUUUUUUUGUAAACACUAGCGUGGUUAAAAAAUAUGAUGUCAAUUUGAUGUAGAUAAAAGUAUGUCGUAAUAAAAAAAUCAUAUUAAGUGUAUAUAUCAUUUUUAAAAUUAUUAUUAUAAAAGUUGAUAAUUAAAUUUAUUAUAUAUAUAUACCAUUUAUGAUUAGAUGAGAGAGUAAAGUCUUAUAUUUUUGCAGUAACUAUAUCUUGCUUCUACAAAACAUUUAUUCUUAGCCAAUUUAUCACCAGAAGACUCUUUGUAAGCAUCUUUUAGUAGUAUUAAACUCUAGGAAAAUCUUCAUCCAGUAUUUUAAUGACAACUAGGUGAUCCUCGAUCCUGCGAAAAAAUAGGAAAGCAAAUUUUGUUCUUCUAAAUUAAAGACCAAUGAAAUAGAUCGAAAAUUUCCAUUUUUGAAAGAAAAAAAAGAGAGUAAAUUUUAAAGCUUAGAGUAAAACCAUAUGCAAUGAUAAGAAGGAUACACCAGCCUGUAUAUAGCUUUUAAAAGUAAAUAGAAUAGCUUAAUUACCCUCUUCCACCAAUGGUUAACCUAGUUAAAAAAAAAAAAAACUGUUCCUGUGGAUCAGCAUUUAAUUUCUUGCUCAUCAUAUAAUAUAUUAUUAUUGCCAGCAUCGAUUAGAUCAAAUCAGGUGGCUGACCUAUUCAACGGCAAUUCAUCAUCUCAGACCAGUUUCAAGAUCAAUCCUCAAAAUGAUCAAUUAUGUAAAUUAUCGGCGCAAACUAAAACACUAGAGCCAAAUGAAUAAUCAAAAUAAUAUAUAUAUAUAUAUAUAUAUAUAUAUAUAUAUAUAUAUAUAUAUAUAUAUAUAUAUCUGCAAGGUAAAUACUUUGACAAGUGUAAGAUAUUUUAUUUAAAUUUUAUCGGUACAAUAACACUGACAAAUACAUCUGACAUUGUUUAAUUAAUCACAUUUAUAUACAAUUAACUAGAUAGCAAAUUCACAACUUGCUAUAGCACGACAAAAAUAAAGGGAAAAAUAUCACAACUUGCUCAUAGUAUAUUUAAGAUAGAUGAUGCCGAAAAGUUCAAAGUCUUCCUCUCGACAGAUGUGAUAAUUUUUUUAUAUAACACUAAUAUAUGCUAUAGAUAAAGGAGAUGUAUUCGAGAAAACCUGAUGGCCAGAAAAGUUCAUAUCUGUAUAAUUAUGCAUAGAUUAUUAUUUUACUUAAAAUUAAUUUAUAUUUAUUGUAUUUGUACAAUUAAAAUUAAUUAAUCGUGCGUUAGGCUAACAAGAGUUGACACAUUUGAUGGAGAUUUUUGUCCACACUUGCUAUAACUUGACAGUCUUCCUUGACUUUACAAGAGGUGGCAUGGCUUCCCCUAUUAUAAUUUUUCACCUCAAAAAUAGGAUGAAUAGUACGUGAGAAUAUCAUCUUACACAGCUUACUAGAUAUAAAAAAGGCAAUAUGAAAAUAUACAAGAUAUUAUAAUAAAGUUUAUGCCAAUGUGUGUCAUCGCAUGUGGCUAACAUGCAAUCAAUACAUUGAUCCAAUGGAGGAAAAAAGAUCAUAAUCAUAAUAAGAAAAAUAUUAAGAGCAUGUUCUUUUAAGACUUUAACAUGCUCUUUUUUACACACUAUUUUCUAUUAGUUGAAAUUGAUUAUUCUUUUCCUGUUCCUACUUAUAAGACUUUUAAAAUAAUGCUUAUUCUUUUUUUAUAAAAUUUAAUUUAUAAUAUUUCUUGCAUUAAUUAUUUUUAAACUAAAUAUGCAUUAUUAAAAAAAAUAUAUAUUAACAAACCAUUAGACGAGAGAAAAUUUUAAUGACAAAAAUAAUUUUAAAAAAUAUUAUAAAUGUAAGACAAAAAUUAUUAUUAUGAAUUAAAUUAGUCACUUUCUUUAAUCAUAACUAGUAUGCAACCCGUGCAUACGCACGGGUUGCUUGAUUAAGGCAAAAUUCCAAAGUUUGAUAUUCAUCUCAUAAGAGAUAAUAUGAUCAGAAUUAUCCAGACUGUAAUGCAAAUUAAUUUGGCAUUGAUAUGAAGCAUCGAAGAAAGGUUAACUACUUAUAUACUAUUAUCUACAACUAAUUAACUUGUCCAGCAUGAUAAGAACUCAUGAAAUAACGUUAAUUUCAUAGUAGUUUCACUUUCUAGACAACAAUGCAAUUACAAAAGGGUUCUUUUAUAGCUAUCAUGCAGCUACUCGAGGACGCAAAUUCUGGUGAUGUCAAUGUAACACUGAGUGAAUUCUUGGUCUCCUGGAAAGAUCAGUGGGGUAACUAAUGGAAUGAAUGAAACAGAAAGUGUUAAAAGGCAAACAACAGAAGUGUAUGUCAGCACUAAAUAAGGGAUUGGUAUAGACACAACAGAAAGAAAUCCACGGUAAUCUAUCUUGUAAGUUUAGGAACAGAAACAUUACUUAUCUAUGUUUCAUGAUUUAAUCAUGAGGUUCAAACAUAAUAAAGAAAAUAAAUGUUUAAAACUAAAAGGGGUUAAAAAGAAAAAAGAAAGUGUAGUCAAAUUGAGAAUUGAAAUUUUAAAUAAGUCAAAUAGUUUUUUUUUUAUAUAUAAACACAUGACAUCAUGUCAAUUAUAAUACAAAUUACUCCAUAUUUACAUUUGUCAGGUCACAUAAUAAUAAGUUGAUUGUUAAUUUACUGUUAAACAACUUAAAUUUAAAAGAGAAUGCAAAAGAAUAGGACUGACCACCAUCCCUAUGACAUUUUUCUCAUUGCCAUUCAAACUAAGAAACUAUAGAAGAAUAAAGACUACAUAAUAAUAAUAAUAAUUCAUGAAAAAAUUUUAAAAAAAUUAAAUUCAAGUAAAAAUGAGAGAAACACUAACGUCUUAAAAUCCUGUAGUUGUCCUGACCUAUGCAUGGUGGAGAGAAGGGAUCACAAAAGAGAUAAUGGCAUGUAUGUCUGUCAUUUGUAACAUAUAAAAGAAAGAAAAACAUGAUAAAAAUGACAUAAAAUGAAAGAAAAAAUAGUUAUCUUUUAGUGAUAUUGCACCUCCCGUUACACAUUCACUCAAGAAAGUAACAAUUUAUUUUCUGAUUAAAAAACAAACUAAGAAACUAUAGAAAAAUAAAGACUAAAUAAUAAUAAUAAUAAUAAUAAUAAUAAGAUAUAGGAAAUAAUUUUUGGCUUUAUUUCAUUAUUAUUAUUAUUAUUAUUAUCAUUAUUAUAUAGGUUUUGUUCUUCUAUAGUUUCUUAGUUUGUUUUCUAAUUAGGGAAAAAAUAAAAAGGAUUAGGGAAGAAAACUUGAGAAUUAUUUUGGUUUUGUUUCAUUAUUAUUAUUAUUAUUAUUAUUAUUAUGUAGGCUAUGUUCUGCUGUAGUUUCUUAGUUUGUUUUUUAAUCAGAAAACAAAUAAAAAAGAUUAGAGAAGAAAAAAAAUUGUAAGUCUAAUAUCUCAACUCUAUGGUUAAUUUUUUUCCUUGAGACACAUAACAACCAAAAGUUAUGAACUAAGCAGGAAUAGCCACAAAAACCAUGAAGAAUUAACAAAAUCCUACCUUCAAGUAGAUGUCUAUAGCUCUGUACAGACCAUCAUGAUUUGGUCUAGCAAAAUCAGGAAUGGACUGUGAUUAGAAGCUGAAAUACAGAGUGCAAUGAAUAGAAUUUUAUCAAGUAAUGGUAGCUAUAGAGCUUCAGAUAUUUCUCUCCAUUUAACACUUUCUUCAACAAAGAAUCACGAACCCGAGAAAUGUAAGAGUCAUAUCUCUUAUCUGUCUUAGUAAUAUUGUCGUACCUUCAAAACAAAAGUAAAAUAAAACAAAAAUAGGAUCACAUCUAUCAAAUUAUUGCACCAGAUUUCACAAACAACCUCAAAACACUCAAAAUUGGAAGGAGAAAAGAAAAAGAAAGGAUGAAGCACAAAGACUGAGAAUUGAGAACAUCAUUAACUAUUAACAAAUAUACUUGGGCUUUAAUAUCCUUGUCCAACGCCGAAGACCCCCCUUCCUCUUUGUUCACAUAUUCUAGAUAUCCCCUUAAUUAUCUAAAGGUUCUCCACUAUUUGUCUACAGAGAGGUUGGUCCCUUCAUUGCCACUAAAUGCAUGCCUUCCUAUUUCCUUUGUUUUGAUGACCCUCUCAUGAACAUUAGUAGUAAACAUGAAACAAUGGAAUUGCACAAAAAAAAAAGCAUUUUUUUUGUUUUAUUUUUUAGAAGAAUAAAGAGGAAGAAAUUGCAAAAAAAAAAGUCACAUGUCAAAAGAGAAAUAAAACAAAUGACAACUUCCAAGAUUAAACUUAUAGUAUAUUUAUUGAUAUUGAUUUAUAUUUUAUCUUUUAUAUAUAUAUAUAUAUAUAUAUAUAUAUAUAUAUAGUACUCAAUACUUACAAAAUUUACUUUGCUUAAUUUCUUGGAUCAUCCUGUACUCAGUUUUUUUCCCUAACAAAGGAAAUCAAUUUUUUUUCACGCUGUCGCCCAUCCAACAAUGCAUACUUCCAACUGUUCUCCUCAAUGAAGUUCUUGCCUGUGUGACCUUCGAUAAUGUCCUUCCUCAAGUUGGUAACCCUGUCAAUCACGGCCUGCACACAUUUUUCUUACUAAAUGUAGUAUACCAGCAGUCAAUACAUGAUCAUAUUUUCAAAAAUAAAUAUUGCCUCUGUCAAUUUUCCUUCCCUUCAAGCUAUGAAUGUUGAGUAUAAACUUACCAUCCAAACAUGAAGUCAAGGCCCCUACGUGCAGCAUCUUGAUCAGAUUUCUCUUUAGAAACCGGCACAUACCAAUCAGAAUUCAAGGUAAUCCCUAUUAAACCCUUUUGAGAUGCCAGCAUACACACUUUUAAAUAUUUUGUCAAUUUAAUUGCUAACAGCAGAAAAUAGGAGAAAGUGAUAAGAUAUUCUUAAAAUAAUGGAUUAUCAUGUUCACUAAACUGGCAUUAAAAAAAAUCAAUUUUUAAAAUUUAAUUAUGUACAUCAUCCUUUUCAAUUUUUAACAACCAUACUUUAAUCUUAUCUUCUUUUAAAUCCUAUUUUUAUUUUUUAAAAAAGAGAUACUAUAUAUAUCAUAUAUGAAUUUUAAAACCAAAUUCAAUUGUCUUGCAGGAAGAGAAGGCUUUUCCCGCUAUGUCACACUCACACCUCAACAACUUGUCUUCUAACUGCUCCAGCUCCAUGGAAUUGGAGAUUGGAGCUACUCAUACAGAUCAGACACUUGGUACAUAUGCUAUAUAAUAAUAUUUACCUUUCAUUUGAAUAUUACUAUAUUCUUAUUUAGGCUUCAUUUGUUGUUUCUUAGAAUGCUAAUGACUGACACCAUUAGUUCUACUUGUUUGUGAAUUGUGAUCUUAGAAUGCUAAUGACUGACAUCGAGCAUACAUUCAUCAUCACCAAAUAAACUGCGUUUAAGCUUCUCCUCAACAGUUCGCCCAACUUUACCACUCCCAACAAACUCCUCCUCAUCAGACAGCCCAGAGGGCUCCUCCUCGGUAUCCCUCCGGUUUUUUUUCAGCCGCUUAAACUUUUUGCUCUCCUUAUGAAUCAUAAAAAUUAUUGUCAAUAAAUUUGUAUAUAUGUAGCAUGGUAUUUAUCCACUGAAAGCCAACAUUAAUAAGAAAAAUUUGAAACACAUACAAAAAAUUCAAAACCUUCCAUCGAUGAAUAUUGAUAUUAUUGUCCUCCAGCAAUUCAUAAUCAUCUUCAUCAAGGACAUACUCCUCCCUAAAAUAGUGAGAUUAAUUUGUCAAAUAUGAAUGUUAACAUCAUUGAUGUUUAAAAUUUCAACCAAGUAUAGACAAAAGCAAAUAAUAAAAAAAAUUCAAUCCAAUGUCGAUCUCCCUCCAAAGGGACACAGAAUGAACCAAGGGGUACCAGAGAAAAAAGGAAGGGCAGAAGCUAGCCAUGCACAUUUUUGAACUUCAAAAAAAAAAAAAAAAGACAGAUUUAUAUGUAAGUAUGUCAUUCACACAACAUGUGAAUAGUUUUAAGGAAAAAACCUAUCAGCUACUUGAUGCAAGUGAUUAUCAAAUAAAUACACAUACACACAUACAAAUAUAUCUAAAUUAAUAAAAAAUAUUUAUAUAUUACCAAUCAUUGUGCUUUCUUCUCUAAACAUAUAAGUUCAUCAACUUCAACCACAAACAGGUAAAAAAUACAUUAGUGAUAAAAACUGACCUUUUCUUCCUCUUCUUUUUCUUCUGUGGCUUAUCAUCAGAUUCUGUUCUAUCUUCUUCUUCAUCCUCCUCUUCGUCCUCAUCCGCUAUAAACCCAUCAUUUUCAUAUUCAUCCUGCCCUUCCGAAGUGAGGAGGAAAAGAAAAAGAGGAUCAGCAAGAAUAAUAAGAUGGCAUAAAGCCCAUGAAGGGAUAAUCCUAUGGACAUUAUUAUUGGCUACAGAAAAUAAGAAACCAUCUUAAAUAUCACAUUCAUAUAAGCAAAAACAAAAUCAAAAACAUCAAAACAAAAAAAAGAACAAAAUGCUAAACUCUCAACCGACAAUCACAUUGCAUUUACCACAGGCAAUCAGAACACCGACCAGGUGCAAACCAGCCAUUUGCAUAGCCAUUCUUGCUCACACUCCUCGGUUCAUUCAAAGUAAUCCAAUGUUUCACCCUAUUGCCAAAUUCCUUGAAGCAAAGUUUAGCAUAGUCCCUAAAAUCAUCUCUGCAUGUUCAUAUGAAUUAUAUGUGUUUAUCAUAUCGUUAGAUUUACUAAAAAUUUCUCUCAAUAUUCGUACAAUGGAAGGAAACUGAUUUCACUUACACAAUGUGAGGACUUAAAAAACCACCAUACUCAUCCUUUAAGGCUUGGGGAACGUCGCAAUGGAAAACGAUCACAUACGGUUGCAGACCUGCAUGAUUUAUGGUGAUUAUAUAUGGUUAACAACCAUAUGGAUAAGAUAUUAAUGAAUUAUGACCAUUAGCCAUGAGCUCAUUGAUGAGGUUGUUGUAGUAGUUUACUCCAUGGUUCACACCUGCACUAAGCUUUACUUCGGCAAAUGAUUUAUAAGAAAUUAAUAAUCGUUGCUAUGGAACACAAACUAAGAAAAAAAUUUAUUUGGGUGGAAUUUCAACAAAACUUGACUUACUCGGUAGUACCCUUAGAAGCUGCAUCUUUAAACAUAUUUUUCAAACUACACUACCUCAAAUAAGACUCUAAUACAAUAUUAUAAAACUGAAAAUUGCUUGACAAACAUCUAACCUAUAUAUGGGUAGUGGAGACGGAGAUUUCCCUAUGAUAAAGAAAUUAUCUGGUUGUGGUACUCUGUUUUGAAUUAUAGAUAUGCAGACUAUAUAUAUAUAUAUAUAUAUAUAUAUAUAUAUAUAUAUAUAUAUAUAUAUAUAUUCAUGCUCAAAUUUUAAAUUUUAUAACACUAAGGCGUCUACAACAUCAACACUUCACUGUCAAUAGGUGAAAAAUUAACUCAAUUGAAACACUACCUUUAGUCACGUCGAAGGAAUUCCACCCACAAAAAUCUUUUUCGUUCGAAAGUCUUUUUGAGUUCCAGCCAGCAGCCCCCCUCAGUAUCGUCCGCUUAAUCUCCACCUACAAACAAAACCAUUCAAUGCAUCAGCUUUCAUUUCCCUUUCAUUCUGUUCCCUCCUUUAAGUCUUUAAUAAUCAAUACUAAAAAAGAUUCAAAAUUCAAACGCGUGUCAAUUAUCACCUGCUUGCCAUUGAUAAUGUGAGUGUCCUCAAUCACUAUAUCUACCAAAGUGCUUGAUGAAUUGCGCUACACAAAAUUAUUUUAAAAAAAUAGUUAAUUACACGAAAUCUCAUUGGUAAACCCGGAAAGAAAAACCAAUGCAAUACAAAUAGAAAACACUCAUCAAUCGGCGUUUCUCUCGCUAAACCCCCUAUGAAUAUCUUUCUACAAUCAAUGGGUCCAGGAUAAUUAGAUAGAACCAAAUCUAAGAAAUUUUGAGAAUACAAUCAAGAAAAAUUAAUAACAACGUGGAGUUAAUUAACACAAACUCAACGAAGAAAAACAAAAGGAACACUAUAUCUGUUCCAAUCAAUAUAAAUACACAAUUCUAAAUACAAAUCUAUUAAAAUGCUAGAAUGAAAAUAUAAUUGGUGUUAACCAAAGAAAUGCUGGUGAGAAGUAAAUUUUUUUUUGAGCUGAUAUUAUCAGUAAAAUAGUUGUUGUACCAUCACCAUGCAGGUGCCAACUGUUUGAAAGCUUCUUGGAUGUCUUCGGAAAGGUUAAAGUUAUGGAUUACAGAAAGAGGCUUGUGACACAGAAACAUAACAUUUCACACAUGGUUUUUUCUUUCCCUUGAAAAUCCUAGAUAAUAAUUGAAACACCAAUAUUUUUUUAAAAAAAAAAAAAACAGCAGAGAUUGCUCACAUCUACCAAAAUUGACGUAAGAUCAUUUUUAUCCAUACUGGCUAGACGGGAAAACAAUUAAAAAUGAGACAUUUGAAUAUUAGUUUAAAUUAUAGGCACAUGUAAAAUUGUUUAUAUAAUUAAUUAAUCAGAAAUCCUGAUAGGUGUGAUUUUUUUAUUAUAAAAAAGUCAAUAAACUUAUCAAAUAUAGGAAUUUAUGAAUAGAUGCCAUUAUAAAAAUCCUUUACACCAUCAAUAAAUAAAUUGUUAACUCUUUAAAGAUUUGUGAAAGGUAUGGUGCAAACUGCAGACUCAGUUAAAAGUAACACUCAGUGGAAAUCAUUUAUGUCUCUCCUCUUUGAAUACAUAUAAUUCCUUCUCAUGAGAGUAUUAUACACUACAUUAUUGUUGUAGUUUUAUCUUUCAUCCCAUUUACAAAUCAAAUACGACAUGAAAUUAAAACCUAAAUCAAGAUGCAAACCACCGUCCUUUCAAUUUUUAUUAGGAAAAGUAAUAUGUACACCUUAUUCAUAUGUGAGUGAGAAUAAUUUAAACCACUUAACUUAAAUACAGUUUCAAGUGAAACAAAUUUACAAUGAUGACAAAGAUGAUGCAGUUACAGUUUGAUCCAGUGUGGAAGUAUGCAGACAUUACUCUUUUUAUCAUCUUAUGAAGCGUAGGCGACAUGCAUAUUUCACCUAGGAUAUGAAACCAAAUCAAUGCGUCAAUCCCCUUCCAAAACACACCGAGACCAAAAGAUAAAUUUUUAAACAUGAAAAAUUAAAAGUUCUAAAUUGUACUAAUGCAUCACAAAUAAAUAAUUUUAAAAGUGCCACAAAUUUAAAAUUAAAAUAAGAAAUAAGAAAACAUACCUAAAAAUAUUAUAUUUACAUUUGAUCAAACACAUAACCUGUAACCAAUAAAUGUCCUAAUGAACAUGAUCAGAAAAUCCAUAACUGUGAGCACUAAAAAUACCACUGAGCCACAGACACCCUGAUCCAAAUAAAAAUCGCAAAAAUAAAAACCGCAAAAAGAUAUUGUGAGGUGUAGAGCUUGCAUGCAAAUCCAGAUAAUUAAGCACUGAGGAAAAUACAUAAAAAUUAUAGCUUACCUCGUAGAUUAUCCCGUAAAACUCUGAACAAUAUCAUAAAUAUGAGUUUAAGGAAAAAAUAGCAACGAAGCAUCCAAAAAAAUCAGACAAAAAAACAUAAACACCGUUUUAAUAAAAUCAAAAUAAAAUAACCUCUAUCUUCCUCUUAAUUUCUCUGACCACUUCUUUGCCAAAGCCGCUGUUAUUAUUGUAGCUUGUUCCAAAAAUAAGACCUGUUAAUUUUUUGCUUUUUCUUUUUCUGGGGUGCAUUUUCUAAGCAAAACGUGAAGAAGCGAAAAAAAACACAAAAGGAAUAGAAAGAAGAGUGAAAGGAAACAACACAAACUAGUGAGAGUGUUCCAAGUGGUUCUGUGAGAUCCUCAUGCAGAGACCAAAGUGAGCAGCAAAUGAAGAAGAAGAAGAACAAAGAAUGCAUUGCGAAAAGCGGGUGGCUUCAGCAUUCUGGGGAAAUUUCAGUUUCCGAAAAAAAAAGAAAAAGAGAUAAACGGAGGAAAGAGAAAGAUUUAGGAUUUGAAACAAAUUAUCAAGCAAAAUUAAACGGAAGUUGAAAUCCACCAGUUUCAGAAUGAUACGUGGAGUUGGCAGCAGAAAAAAAAGUUCAAAGGAAGACACAUGGCAGCGAGGUGGCACAAAAUCAAGCAAAGCUGAAGGGGCAUAAAAUGACCAUAAAACCAAGAAAAUGGACAGAUGUCAACACCUCAGUCAUGGGCAUUUUAGUAUAUUUGUCAUACUUCAGUUUUAGUAUAUAGAUAUUGAUGAAUUAGGUAAUUGCAUGGAGGGACUAAAAAUCAUAAAAUUGAAUGGAUUUCAUCAGUUCUUAUUUAAAGGACCUUACUCAUGAUUUUUCAUUUUUAACAAAUUUCAACCAAUAAGAAAAUGUGCUAGAAAGUGUAAUGCCAACACUCAAAACUUUGUGUUGUAAUACUAAUUUUAAGUGCUAAUCAUGAGUAGGUUUGCUUUAUGAAAGAAAAGUAAUACUUCCUUUCAUUUCAAAUAUAAGAAAAAAAAUUCUUUUGUCUCAAAUAUAAGAAAAUUAGUAUUAAUUAAAUUUAUUUUAUUUAAUGUUAUUAUCUCUAAAAUAUCUUUCAUUUAAUUGAUAUCUUUUUCAUUUUUUAUUUUUUUAAUACAAAGUUUCAAUGAAUGAUAAGUUGAGAUAAAGUUAGUUUUAAUCAAACGUGGUUAACUAAUUUUCUUAAUUAGAACAAAUGAGUAUUUUCUUUGGUAAAUGCCAACUAGUAUCCUUAACACAUUAGGUAAAGAACUUAAAGUAGAAAUAUUUUAAUGGAAGAUAGAAAAUUACGCUGCUCAUGAUUUUUUUGCAUUCUCUUAUAAUUUUUACAGUGAAUAUUUUCUUCUUUUAGUUUCUUAACUAGUAUUCUUUUCUUCUUUUAAUUUCUUAACUAGUGCUCUCAGGGCACACGUUUAACAAGACCAUUUUUCUUAUAUUUGAGAUCCAAUAGAGUAUGAACUUUACAGGUUUUUGUGCAAUUGGUCCGAAUUUAGAUUAAAUUAAAAUUAAAUCCUAAUGAGUCAUGUUGAAUAUAUUAUAUAUUGGUUAUAUUUGAAUUUUAAAAAAAUAAAUCAUUCCAUUGUCAUUUAAAAUUUUUAUCUCCACUAAGUGUUGAUUUUUUAGCAUCUAAAACUGUAAGCAAAUGAAUAUAUUAGAGAAUCAAACAAAUUGUAUAUUUUUUAAGAAAAUUAAUAUAUUAGAGAAUCAAACAAACUGUAAUUGGAUAUUCAUAUUUGAAGUAAAAAAAAAAAGAGAACUAAUUAAUCAAACCAAUUUGAAUCAAAAUAAUUGAUUUGAUUUAGAUAGUGAGUUUAUCAAGUCAAUUUGAUCAAUGCUCCUAAAAUGAAGAAAACAAGUGAAAAAAAGAGGGAAAAGAAGUUUAAAAUGACCCAAUUUGUUAGAUUUCCUUUUUCGUUUGUUACUAUAUUAUAGGUGUAAAAGUAAUCUAUCAACUUUGUCAAUCAAUAUUUCCGUUAGAGAAUGUGACUCGUACACCAUUAGUGAUUGUUUGUUCAUCUUAUAUUUAAUUGUGUAGUAAAUUAAAAAAAAAGUUAUAUAUACUCAAAAUAAGACGUAUAUAUAUACUAAAAAUGAUAGUCUUAUAUAGUCCGUCUUGAUGUUCCUCCGUUUUCUCGGAAAAUAAACAAAGCUUGAAAGAUUGGCCGCUUGAAUUGAUAUUGCACUGUAUCUGUUUAACAAGUUGUACUUUAAACAUUAAACUGUUUUUUUAUGAUAUAUUCACAAACAUAUUUGUCUUUUUUAUUUCGUUUAACUUUGUAGUUGCUGAGUUCAGAUGUAUAUUGUUAAGCAAAUAAGCUGGGAACGGAAUUAUGAGCCUAAAAGCUAGAGCCAAUAGAACAAGCAAAUAUUAAAUUUAUUCCCUAACAAGGCAAUUAAAUUGACAGCAGGGGCCGGUUAAAUAGUAUGGUGAGAACAUCAUUUUAUAUACCUUACUGGAUAUAAAAAAAUGGACAGUAUGGAAAAUAUACAAGAUAUUAUAAUAAAGGUUUGUGACUUUGGGUGUCACCGUGGGGGACUAACUUACAAUCCAUCCCUUGUUCGAUGAAGAAAAAAAUCUAAUCCUAAUAAAGAAAAAAAUUNNNNNNNNNNNNNNNNNNNNNNNNNNNNNNNNNNNNNNNNNNNNNNNNNNNNNNNNNNNNNNNNNNNNNNNNNNNNNNNNNNNNNNNNNNNNNNNNNNNNNNNNNNNNNNNNNNNNNNNNNNNNNNNNNNNNNNNNNNNNNNNNNNNNNNNNNNNNNNNNNNNNNNNNNNNNNNNNNNNNNNNNNNNNNNNNNNNNNNNNNNNNNNNNNNNNNNNNNNNNNNNNNNNNNNNNNNNNNNNNNNNNNNNNNNNNNNNNNNNNNNNNNNNNNNNNNNNNNNNNNNNNNNNNNNNNNNNNNNNNNNNNNNNNNNNNNNNNNNNNNNNNNNNNNNNNNNNNNNNNNNNNNNNNNNNNNNNNNNNNNNNNNNNNNNNNNNNNNNNNNNNNNNNNNNNNNNNNNNNUGAUUGUCAUCUUUGUGAUUUUUUUGUGGCGACAAAUUACAAAAUCUUAUUUUUUAUUUUUUUUUGUGGGAGUUUGGAAAAAAGUUAUAUAUACUCACUAUCAGACGUAUAUAUACUAACAGUAUAGUUUAUAUCGUCCGUCUCGAUAUGUUCCUCCGUUUUCUAGGAAAUAAACAAUGCUUGAAAGUUAGCCCGCUUGAAUUGAUAUUGCACUGUAGCUGGUUAACAAGUUGUACUUUAAACAUUAAAAUAAGAAGUAUAUUCACAGAGAUUGUCUUUUCUAUUCGUUUAAACUUUGUAGUUGCUGAGUUCAGAUGUUAUUGUUAAGCAAAUAAGUUGUUGACGGAAGUAUGAGCCUACAGCUUCAGAGCCAAUAGAACAUUCUAAAGCAAAUAUUAGUUUAUUCCUAACAGGCUAUUAAGUUGACAAGCAUGGCCGUUUAAUUUUGUUGGUAAAACUAGCUAAUACCGACUAACAUCAUUGAAACAAAUAAUUAGUUUUCUCUAAGAUAUUAGUUUUCAUAAUGUUGGAGAGUAUAAGUGUGACGUAAAAUAAGAGUAGAAGUGGAAAGUUGCAUCAUACAACUGAAAAGAAAAUUUAUAAAUCCAAGUUUUAAAAUUUUAAAUUAAAGUGUGUUAUCAAGUUUUUUUAUAAUUCAUUCGUGUAAAUCUCCAAUUAUGUGGUAGCGUGAUAAGGUAUGGAUACAGUGACAAACAAUUAACAUUAACAAUGGCAAAUUCAGUGCUGACAUGCACGUUCAGCUGCGUCUCAAACAAUUAACAUUAUAGGACAAGUGGAUGAUACUUUAACUUCCACAUGCCAACUAUUAUGACUUCGUAUUAAUUGGAAUAAAUAACUACUUUAUAAAUUAGCAUUACAUCCAACUUGCUGAAUAAAAGAAUAUUAAAUAUUAAUCAAUUGUCCCCCUCUUACUACGGACAUGGCUAUAUAUGUUCAAGAACAUCAAGUUUGGCACUCACAACAAACCAAAAAGCAGAGCUAACUAGCUAGACUAAAAUGGCAGAAACUGCAGUGUCCUUGGCUGGUAAGCAUGCCCUUCCAAAAAUAUUGGAAGCUGUCAAAAUGGUGAGAGAUCUCCCAAAAGAAGUUAGAGACAUUACAGAUGAACUUGAAAGCUUUCAAGAUUUCAUUAAUGAUGCUGAUAAAGUGGCUGAAGCUGAACAAGAUGAUGGAAGGUGUCAUAGAAUAAAAGAAAGGGUGAUGCGGCUGAGAGAAGCAGCUUUUCGCAUGGAAGAUGUCAUCGAUGAAGAUGAAUAUAACAUCUCCGGUGAGGAUAAGCAACCUGGUGAUCCUCGAUGUGCAGCUUUACUAUGUGAGGCUGUUGACUUCAUCAAAACUCAAAUCCUUCGCCUUCAAAGUGCGUACAAGAUUCAGGAUGUUAAAUCGCUUGUUCGUGCUGAAAGAGAUGGUUUCCAAACCCAUUUUCCUUUAGAACCAAGACUAACAAGUUCUAGAGGAAAUCAAGAUGUCACCUGGCAGAAACUUCGAAUGGAUCCCCUCUUUAUCGAGGAAGACGAUGUUGUGGGUCUUGAUGGCCCUAGAGAUACAUUGAAAAAUUGGUUGACAAAGGGAAGAGAAAAACGCACUGUCAUCUCUGUGGUGGGAAUUCCUGGGGUGGGAAAAACCACUCUUGCCAAGCAAGUUUAUGACCAGGUGCGUAACAAUUUCGAGUGCCAUACAUUGAUCACAGUGUCUCAAUCCUACUCUGCAGAAGGACUGCUGAGGCGUUUGUUGGAUGAGCUUUGCAAAGUGAAAAAGGAGGACCCUCCCAAGGAUGUUUCUAACAUGGAGUCGUUGACCGAAGAAGUCAGAAACCGCUUGCGCAACAAGAGGUAUGUUGUCUUGUUUGAUGACAUAUGGAGUGAAACAUUUUGGGAUCACAUUGAAUCUGCUGUGAUGGAUAAUAAAAAUGGAAGUAGGAUUUUAAUCACAACCAGGGAUGAGAAGGUUGCGGGAUAUUGUAAGAAAUCAUCAUUUGUUGAGGUGCAUAAGCUAGAAAAACCAUUAACUGAAGAAGAAUCAUUGAAAUUGUUUCUAAGAAGGCAUUUCAGUAUAGUUCCGAUGGAGAUUGUCCAGAAGAACUUAAAGAUAUAUCUCUUGAAAUUGUUAGAAAGUGUAAAGGUUUACCUCUAGCAAUAGUGGCCAUUGGUGGUCUUUUGUCUCAAAAAGAUGAAAGUGCACCUGAAUGGGGACAGUUUAGUCGAGAUCUAAGUUUAGACAUACAUGGAGAGGAAUUCUGAGUUAAAUAGUAUAACAAAAAUUUUAGGUUUAAGUUAUGAUGAUUUGCCGAUCAAUCUCAGAUCAUGUUUAUUGUAUUUCGGAAUGUAUCCGGAGGACUAUGAAAUUAAAUCUGAUAGAUUGAUUAGACAGUGGAUAGCUGAAGGGUUUGUCAAACAUGAAACCGGAAAAACAUUGGAAGAAGUUGGGCAACAAUAUUUAUCAGGGUUGGUCCGUAGAAGUUUGGUGCAAGUAUCCUCAUUUAGAAUUGAUGGCAAAGUUAAAAGGUGUCGUGUUCAUGACUUAAUACACGACAUGAUCCUUAGAAAAGUCAAGGAUACAGGGUUUUGUCAGUAUAUUGACGGGCGUGAUCAAUCUGUUCGAUGCCUGAAAAUUGCAACCGAUGAUUUUAGUGGAAGUAUAGGAAGCUCACCCAUUCGGUCAAUUUUUAUUAGAUUAAUAAGCUUAAAAAGCUACGUCAUCUUCUGAGUGGCUAUAUAUCUUCAAUUCAAUGGAAGGAUAUUGGAGGCAUGACAUCCCUACAAGAGAUACCACCAGUGAUUAUAGAUGAUGAUGGAGUGGUCAUUAAAGAGGUAGGAAAGCUAAAGCAGUUAAGGGAACUGUUGGUGCUAGAUUUUAGGGGAAAACACGAAAAGACUUAAUUUGUGUUCCUUAAUAAAUGAGAAGCCACUCUUGGAGAAACUACUUAUUGAAAGAGCUGAUGUGAGUGAAGUAAUUGACUUGUACAUUACGUCACCUAUGUCUACACUUAGAAGCUUGUCCUAAGUGGGACGUUAACAAGGUUGCCAAAUUGGAUUUCACAGUUCCCAAAUCUUGUGCAACUGUAUUUGUACUACUCCAGGUUGACUAAUGAUGCAUUGAAAUCACUAAAAAAUAUGCCAAGGUUGUUGUUCCUCGUUUUAAGUGACAAUGCUUAUGAAGGUGAAACUUUGAAUUUUCAAAGUGGAGGGUUUCAGAAACUAAAGCAACUGCAACUCAGAUAUUUGUAUCAAUUGAAGUGCAUCCUUAUCGAAGGAGCACUGUGUUCUGUGGAAGAAAUUGUUUUACAAGACCUCCCCCAACUCAAAACAGUUCCCUCUGGAAUUCAACACUUGGAGAAGCUUAAAGAUCUCGAUAUCGUGCACAUGCCAACUGAAUUGGUGCACCGAAUUGCUCCUGAUGGAGGAGAAGACCACUGGAUCAUCCAAGAUGUGCCCCAUGUACAUAUUUGGAGCAGGUAUGCUGAAGAACCUUUGCAUAUAUUCGGCAGAAGUCAUCACUAAGAUGCGUCCAAAUUUGAAAAUAGAAGGUGCGUCUUUUUCACAUCUAUAACUUUGUAGAAUGACAUUCGUGGCCUUUCUGUUUUCUUCAAUAAAAAAUGCAACCAUUAUCUAAUUCCUAAAAUAAUUACUUUUGCCUCAUUUUCUCUUCUAGUAUUUGCUUCAUUUUUCUUUCUCUACAACAUCUCACGUACAAGUUAGGGACAGAAUUGUCUAACAAGUAUAUGCCUACACCAACCAAAGUUAACAUUUCUUCAUUAUAAGAUUCUCACCAUUCUAAUCCUUUCUAUUAUUGUGCUCAAAUUGGUAGAUGUUGACCUCAACUGGGUUGAGUUUUUUUUAUUUCCAUGUUGAUAAAUACUUGAAAAUUUUCAUUGUAUCAUUUUAAGAAGAAAUUAACUUGGUGUUUUUAUAGGGUCGUAAGCAUAUAAUUCGUGUAAAUGUUGUGGAUUUUUAAAGUUCCAUUACGAUUGAAGCCCAAUAAUGUGGAUUUUUUUCAUAAAUUAGAUUGUGUUAAAUGUUUCUAAUUUUUAUGCUUUGAAGUUUGACUCACUUUGUACAACCAUAGAGCACUGAGGGAAGAUUGUAAGAGGUGUUCCAAUUCCAAUGUUUCUGACGUUCCAAUCUUGUGGUUUUUUGAGUGUUAAUUAUUACGUCCAAUUUAGCAUUAUUAACACCAACACAAUACGAUGAAGCUAAAAAUAGUGUUCCUACAAAGGCAGAUAAUUUUUGACAACUGGAAAACUCAAGAUUCCCUCAAGUUCUUUCUUUUGCGGCCCGUGAAAUGGUGGAUGAGUGGAUUUGAGGCAUCAAAGGGCAAGAUUCAUCAAAUUGAUUUUUUAAGCUUCCCUCUUCCACUACUAUAAAAAAGCAUUUCCACGACAUCAAUAUAACAUUGGUGCUAUGCUAUCGUUGUUGAAUCUGUAGCGGUGACAUUUUUGUAAACACCCGGACAUUAACGACAACGUUUUUGGUGCUGCCCGAUGUCGUAUUUGAGCGGUUCAAAUGACUACGUUUCAGUAGUGAAAAACGUCUUCGUAUUUCACAGCAUGCCAAUGAAUACAACGACAUUUUUUAAGAAAUCACUGUCCUUGUUGCAGUUUUGCAAAUUAAAAUAAAAUUUUAGAAACCGCGCCAUUACCUUUUAACUCUUUGCCCUUCCUAUCUGUCAUGAGCACGCCCUAGCUAGCAACCUCCUUCAUAGAAAACCUCUGUGGUGCCCUCCCUCGUGUGCUUCUGCGUUUCGUCGGUGCCGGUAACUUGUCCGGGCUAGGUUUUGUCCAACUUUUGUGAGGUAAGUAAACUUUGUUAAUUACUUGUUAGUUUUCGUCAUUUACCAGUACUAGGGUCUGUCCGGGCUUGGUAUUUACAGUUGAGGUCGAACUCUAGGGUCUGUUGGACUGAGUUCUGCAUAAGCAACAUGAAAAUAUAACAACAUUACAAUUAACCCAGCUUGUCCUUAAUUUAUUGGGUGCUAUGGUAAGGACUGUGUUUGAAAGUGAAAAUAGUUUUUUUAAUUGGAGUUGCAUGUACACUUUGAGGUAACACCAUAUGUAUGAUACAGCUAUAUAGGUGAGUCAUGGUUUUGAGGGACAAAGAGAACACUUCAUGGGGCGGGAAUGGUAAAUAAUGAUGAUGAUGGUUUGUGGGGUUUGCUUAAAAUUAAUAUGAAUAUGAGGGUAUAUAGAGAGAGACAGAGGAGAGACAAGGAUUGUGUUUUUAUUUUGGUUGAUGCCUAUAGUGGAAAAGGGAUUGGAGGGGGACCUCAUACAGAGCUGUUUAGCAGACAAUCUGAUUGUGUAUUCCUCCAACCCCUCAAUUUGCUUACUUUUUUUAAAUUGCUGUCAUAGAUGCAUGAAUUAACAUCUGGACUCAUUUAAGGACCCUGUUUUUUAGGGGAAGAACCAAAUUUUGUUUGUUGUAACUUAAGUUUCCAAUUCCCUAGCAAGAUAGGUUACUGCUAGUAUGAUAGUUUGAAGGUCAUUUCCUCUUUUUGGUAAAUAUAAUAUAAUUUUUACCCCAAGCAUAAUUAUUUCCUUUCCUUAAGUAGUUUAGGUGAGUAUUUGUGUUCAUGCCGGUUGUAGAUCAAAGUUAUUUUUCCAGAAAUAAGUUUUCAGUGAAAAGUUUUAUCCAUAUUGGUUUUCCAUAGAGAAUUAAACUAUAUCCGAUUUUUUUUCGACAAAUGCUACUUUGUUAGUUGUUAGUUUUUGUUAAUGCUUAGUUGGCUUGCAACAGUGGCCUAUAACAUUAGUGGACAGGAGAGAACAAUUAACUAGCAUGAGUAACUGAUAAUUGGUGAGUUUCUUGAGUUAGUGUGUGUUCAACCAACUAAUGGUGAUUGUUAGUUAGUAGCACAGUAUGUGGGUAAGGUGGCAAUGCAUAGCAUAAUUCUUGAAAUUUUUCUGUAAAAUAGGAUCUGCAACAAGAAGCAAUUAUAUUUGUCUGCAGAGUGCUUCUUUAUUUAUUGGAUAAUUUCCUUUGACCAGAACUCCAGAAGUUUCCUUAGACAGUUACUUCUGGUGAAAUAAAUGUGUUCUUACACUCAGCUUUCAUUUUUAUUAGUGUUGGGGCUACACAAGUUUCUGUGUGUAAGGUGAGGUAUUAUAACAGUAGAAGGGAUAAGUCAUAAGUUAAAGAGGUUCAAAAUUGAAAGGCAGAUUCAAUUUGGAAGAAAAUCUUGAAAUGGAACUAUUCAUCACCUGGUGUGUCUGAGGCUAUCAGGUUAAAAAAAAUGAACUUAAAAAGCAAAUGAGUUAAUCUAGUAUUGCAAUACAUCGGCUAGUUAGUUUCUUUAUAAUAGUAUCACAUGUAAUACGAUUUCCGUCUUUUGACUUUCUUUAAUAGAGGUAAUGGCCCUCUUUAAUUUAUGAAGAACUGGUUAGUAAGCAGAAACGAUCAUCUAUCAAAGAUGGUUCAUGUCAGCUAUAAGAAGUAAGCUUGUAAUCCUUAACAAGAAUUCUUUUGGUUUAGUCUUUCCUAUUUAACCUUCAUUCGCCAAUGUUUGUUUCUAUUACUUCUAUAUAUAUUACAUGUUUGAGGCAAAGCAACGUUGCUACUCAAUAAAAAAUAAAAAAAUAAAAGUCUGAAAUUAUUAUUAUAAUGUGUAGAUGUGUUAAAAACAUUUUAGUGAGAUCCAUUGGAAGCAACAAACAAGAGUUGCUCCAUGCAAAGAUUUAUUGCGUAGAGUUGUUUGUAUUGAGAAAAAUAAAAAUAAAUAAUGUGUAUAUAUGGGUCCUAUUGAAAGCAACUAUUGUGAGUUUGCUAAAAUGGUGUGGUUUCCACAUUAGCCUAGAUGAGCAUGAAAUUAGUAUAGCCUUCAUGGAUUUUAAACUCUUAUAUUGAACCUAACCAAAUGUGUACUGUAAAACAUGACAAACUUUAUAAGUAUAGCCUCUUCUGUUUCUUUAUACUUUCAUCAGCUCACGCACAAGCACAACCAAUUGAGAUCUCUUUUCUCAUUCAAUUUUCCCUGCAUUUCAAGUAAAAUGUUGUUUUAUAUAUUUAUCAAUUAUUUAUAGACAGUAAGUUUUUUUAAUAUCUUAUAUCAAUUAUUUAUAGUCAUAUUUACCACUAUAGUCAUAUUUAUCACUAUAAACAGUAUGUUUUAUUUAUAGAUAAUUUUAUCAUUAUAAAUUAUUUAUUUUUAAUUAACCUUAAAUUAUUAUGCAGGUUAAAUAUGUUUUUACAUCGGUGCCUAUGUCACCCCGAUAUAGAAGUUCUCAUAUUCAACAUCGUUGCUUUCUGUAAAACGAUGUAGAAAGCACAGCAUACUACAUCAGUGUCUACGUCACCACUGAUGUAGAAGUUCCCAUAUUCAACAUCGUUGCUUUCUGGAAAAUGAUGUAGAAAACGCAACUUACUACAUCAGUGCCUACGUCAUCACUGAUGUAGAAGUUCCCAUAUUCAACAUCAUUGCUUUCUGUAAAACGAUGUAAAAAGCGCAGCUUACUACAUCGUUACUUAAUUUUAAAAUGAUGUAGAAAAUAAGAGAUCAACAUCGUUGCUUAAUUUAAAAAUGAUGUAGAAAAUCCGCCUUCAAAGAGCAGAACCAAGGUUUCUACAUCAGUCAUUAGUAUAGCACCGAUUUAGAAAAAAAACAGCUUACUACAAUGUUCGCUUAUGGACUGUUGUUGAAAUUUUUAAGUUUCAACAUCAUUAUAAUCAAAAACGGUCAUGCACCGUUGUUGAAGCGCGAUUCUGACCGAUGUACAACAUGCAUCUUCUAGUAGCGUUCUCUUUCUCUUGUUUCCCUUUUUUCUAAAAUGUGUACUCAAAUUUUUGUUAACUUGAUGUAAUUUGAAUUCUUAUCUAUAAUUCAAGUUCAUUUCUCUUAAAUUGAAUGUUUGUCUUUGUUUUAAUUUAAUGCCUUUAUAAAUUGGCAUUUGGUCACUUAUAGUGUGUUGAUCGUAUAUUCCUAUCAACAACUGCGAAAUUGAAAUAAGGAUUGAAUUUAAGAUAUAAUGUAACAAGGUUGGAGAUUCUAUAGGAAUAAAUAUCAACAAUUAUGAUAAUUUAGAUAUUCUUGAACCAAAUGAUUGCCCUAAUUGAGAAAUUCUAAAGUUUUAAAAUUUUCAAUUGUAGAAAAGAGUUUUUGAGUUAAGAUAUAUUCACCUUCAAUUACAAUAGUAAAAAAUAAAUUCAGUUUCCAAUUAUGCUUCUAGAACUUGAAUUGGAGUGAAAAUUUGAGUUGUACGUGUUAAGCUUGGGGUGAACUCGUAUUGUAACAAGACAUGUUUGAUUUUGGCUUAGCACUUUAAUCCUCUUAACAUAGUGCUUCAGCAAUUUUGGUACCCAAACUUUUAUGUUCAGGUUUGAUCCCAUAUUUUUCAAAAACAAUUUAAUGGUCGAAUAUAUAUUAUUAAAAUCAAGUUAUAUAUCACUUAUUUGGAGUUAGAUAAAUUUUUCAAGGCUUAAUUUUAUCUUUUUGUCUCAUUCAUUAUUUAAUUUAUUUAAUUUUGUCCUCCUAAUAAUAAAAUCUUUAAUUUGAUUGCUUAAUUCCAAAUUGAUUCAAUUUGAUCUUUUGGGUCCAAAUUCACUUGAUAUUGUUUAUUAAUAGUGGGAUGAGAUUGAAUCAAACAAAGGAACAAAUUAAAUUGUUUAUUAAAUUUUAAAAAACAAACAGUGAGAACAAGAAGUUUAUUAAGGGGCCAAAUUGCACCAUUUUAAAAAUUAAAGUACUAAAUUAAAUUGUUUAUUAAUAGAGGACCAAUGCUAAAUAAAGAAAAUAGCACGAAAAAAAAAUAAGGUCUUUUUUUUACUUUUAAAAAUUUUGAAAAUUUUAUUGAAUUCUAAAAUAUUCAAUUAACUUGCCUAAUUUUUUGUUUAUUCACUUUUUUUUUUGUUGAAGUUUGAAAACUUCAAAACUCUUUUUGAUCACAAACAUAUUUUAACUCUCAUAAAACAACACAACAAUGUUUCUAAAAUUGGACUUUUAUAAGUUAUUGAUAAAUCACUUUGUGAGUGAUAUUUUGUACAAACUUUUGUGUUAUUUUGUAUGCAUUUUCUUGAUAUAAUUUACAAUUGGACACUAGUUUUGUAUUCCAAAAGUAUAACCAUUCAAUUGAGUGAAAGAGUAGGAAAUUAUACAAAUUUAUGAAGAUUUAAGAACUUUACAUAACUUGAUUACUAUUGUGGUACAUUGAUCAUGGUCGUGGUAAUCAGAAUGAUCACAAUAAAGUGAUAAGAGUCCUUCCAAACUGCGUCAAGAUCCAACAAUAGCCAUGGUAAAUUGACCACGAUCAUGGUAAAUCAAGAGGCUCAUAGUCAAUUUAUAAUGGUUCAAGGCUUCAGCGUCACUUCUAACCACGAUUGUAGUGCUCCUUUUCGAGCAAAUAUCUUUAGGAAGCUAUAAAUAGGUUUCUAGACUAUGUAAAAAUCAUUUUUCAAUUAUUUUGAGUUUUAUUCUUAUCUUUUACGAAUUUGAGACAACCUUAAAAGCUUUUAAGAGCCGAAGAACUUAAACAACAUCUCUAGAAUGGAUUAUGAUCAUUGUUCCUACUUACUGGUAUGUUUAUGUUUAUUUUAUCUAGGAUUGCUAGUGUUGUUCCGAUCAUGAGGAGCUAGUCCUCCUAGUUCGAAGAUUAUUAGAUAACUUUUCAUUUGUACCAUUCUCCUCAUUUUUAAUGAAAUUUCUCAUUGAUUUUAUGUUAAUUAAUUCUCUUGUUUUUACUGUUUAUUUGAAACCAAUCAUUUUAAUACUUAAUCAAUUGCAUAAUACUAAUCAUGUAAUUGGUAGAUUUAGGUAGAGAAUGUUUUAUGUCACAUUGCAUGAUCAAACUCUUUGGGUAAUCUCCAAUACAUUAGUUAAUCUUUAAUUAAUCUUUCCUAUAAUGGAUUUUCUUUUGACUUAAAUUGAUAGAACCAAUGAUCAUUGGGAUAUUAAUUUAAGGCAAGAAGCAUCUUCUAACCUUGAUCAUAGACUGUAGUUGAUUUUGUGAAUGAGUAAUUAACUGGAGAAAGCAUUUUAUUACAACUAGGGUUGAAGGAAAAUUAGCACUAGUAAGUCAUAACCCCUAAUCACUCUUAUCAUCAAUGAACCCUUUCUUUAUAUUCGUAUAUUUGUUUACUUAUAAAUCCAAAACCCUAAAAAUAUUUAAAUUAUCUUUUUAAUUAUUUUAACUGUUAAUUUAAUAAACUUGACUAAUUGGGAAUACAACUCGUCAUUUGGGUUUGAUAUCCAUACUUUUGAAACCACUAUUAUGAUUGUGUAAGGUACACUUGAGGUAUAACAAACAUAUUGGACAUACAACAAUGGCAACAUGUAGCAUAUGCAUUUAUGGUUUUGGGAAUAAAAGAAGAAAUCUGAAAUGAAAACACUAUGAGUGUGUUUGGAUGAGGGAUUUUAAAAUUCUGAGGAAUUUUAAAUUCUAAGAAUUUCAAAUACCUCAAUUGAAAUUUUUUUAUUUUCAAAAUUUUGUGUUUGUAUAAAAAAGUUAAAAUUGAGGGUGAAAGAAAAUGAGUCACGAGUUCGAGAAUGCGAUUUCAGACUUUUAGGUGAAAAAGAGGAUGAAGGUUAUAAAAGAAAUACGCGAACUUUUUGAAAAAUUCUAAUGUAAGAAGAGAAUUUCAAUUUAACACUUUUUAGAAGGAAGUUAAAAUUCCACGUUUUUAGUGGUUUAAAAUUAUGUUUUAAAAUUCCAAAAAUUUAAAUUCUUAAAAAAAACAUCCAAACAAUGAAUUUUAUAUAAAAGAAAUUUAAAUUUUCUGAUAAAUUACUUUUCUUAGUUAAAAUUCUAUAUUAAAGAUAUAUAUAUUGAUAGAGAAAACAUGAAAGAAAACUGGAUUCGAGGCCAGCCUCCAGACAAAGCAAGAAAGAAAGCAAACUUAGCUUUUUUCAUAUCAUGUGUGCCUUACAAUUGCUUUAUUUAUACUAAUUCCUUGCUAACAGAAUUUGUCAUUUUGUGUCAAGGAAUAUUUUAGGAAAUCAUUGGCUAACAAUUUAUGAUUAUGCUUGUCUCCCUAAGGCCAACCAGCCAUCAUUUAGCAAUUCUUCAUUCCAGGUCAGCUUCCUUUCUUGCUUUUCCUUCUCAUACGUAGUCUCUGAGGUAAGAGGGCUUUGUGAUGGCCCUCUUUACUUUCUUGCUAUCUGUACCCUUGGUUUCUGUGUUUGUACCUCUGUUUUGUGUUCUCUAUUAACUUCCCCAGCUUUUGUAUCAUUCGUCAGCCCUCGUAAAAUUACCUUGUCCUCAAGGUGAUAAUCCUCAUAUAAUUGAUCCCAAUUCUCCCACGAGAUGUCAUCCAGGGAUAGCCCUUCCCAUUGCACCAACACUUCCCAAGGCCCUUGUUCUAAAGCUCGCCGAUAAUCUAAUAUGGCUAGCUAAGGGAGUAAUGACUGGUUGGUGUUGAACAAAUUGUUUUGGAAAGUGAACUUCCUGAAUAUGUUAUGGGGAGCCUUUGAAUGCUUUCAACCGGGAUCAGUGAAAAAUAGGAUGUAUGCGGACUUCUUUCGGAAAUUUCAAGCGGUAUGCCACGGGUCCUAUGCGUUCAAGAACUUGAAAUGGUCCGUAGAAUCUCUUAGCCAACUUGCCCAUGAUUGCUUGUGGUCCCUUAGCGGAGACUUUUCAGUGGGGCCUUAAUUUAAGCAUAACCCAAUCUCCUGGUUGGUGGAUCACCUCUCUUCAUUUAGCAUCUGCAGUUAUCUUUAUACGGUCUUGUGCUUUGAGAAGCUUCUUGCGAAUGACCUGAAAUGUUUCUUCUCUGUUGGUCAACAUUUCGUCAACUGCAUCCAAAGCGGAAGAACCCGCGAUAUAUUCAAGAAAAUUAAAGGAUUUGCGUCGGAAUGUGAUCUCAUAUAUGGAGUGGUGUCUGUUGCUGCAUUUCAUGAAGUGUUAUGAGACCACUCCACCCAGAGAAGAAACUUGCCCCAUUCCCUUGGCCAACAAUGAACAAAUGUGCGCAGACAUUGCUCUAUGACCCUGUUUAGCACCUUCGUUUGACCAUCACUUUGUGGGUGAUAAGUGGAGCUUAUCCUUAGCUGUGUGCCACUCCGACGAAACAACUCCUGCUAGAAUUUGCUAACGAACAGGGGGUCGCAGUCGGAGACCAGGCUGUGAGGGAGGCUGUGAAUCUUGCCCAUGAUUUCCAAGAACAACAAGGCUACCGCAUGGGCUGUGUGUGUCGCUAAAAGCAUGCCAAGAUGAACGCCUUUUGAAAAUUGAUCAACCACUACCAGUAUUAAUUGUGUUGCUGUGAUAUGGUGGGAGCCCGGUGAUGAAGUCCAGGGAUAAGUCUUCCCAAGGUCGAUGGGGAACUGGCAGAGGGCAUAGUAAUCCUGCUGCUCUAUGUGUCUCGUACUUAGCAUGCUGACAAUCAAUACUUUGCGAGACAAACUUCGUGACAUCUUCUCAAAGUCCUAACCAUUCAAAGUUUUCCGUCAAGCGAGCUAUCAUUUUCGCAAUCCCCAUGUGACCUCCCAUGGGUGUUGUAUGAUACUCCACCAGUAAUGUGGGAAUCAGGGGCAGGUCCUUUGGUAGCCAAAUUCGUCCCUUCUUGUGGAUCAAGUUAUGAACAAAAGUGAAUCUAGAGUGCUUGUUGGGGUCCGUCGUGAUUGCUUGUCAGAGAUGUCAAUACUCAGGAUGAUCCUCCAAUUGGUGGCGCAGUUCUUCAAAGAAAAGAGGGCACAGGACAUAAAGGCUCAUGUAGAAUGAAUUGGAACCAUGCGAGUGCCCUGCCUUCCAUGUAGAACGAAGCUAUGGUAAGUCUUUCAUUCUUUGGUAUGCCAUGGUAUUCAAAGAAUUGGUUGAUUUUGAAAAUCCAACCAAGUUGUUCGGUGCCAUCAAAACGAGGCACAUCUAAUUUCAUUCGGUGAUUGUUUGCAGGUACCGAUGGUGAUGGUGGAGGUGUUGGAGAAGAAGAUGACGAGAGGAUGGGAGGAGUUCAUCAAUUUUCUGAGUGAGUGAGUGCAUGGAUUCGCCGAGGGAUAGUUGAUGAUUGGUGAGUCUGAGUAAAACUUCAUCAAGCAUAUCGAAGGUACCCAUGGUGUGGACCGGAUGGAACGAUAACACCAAAAUUGAUAGAGAAAACUUGAAAGAAAACUAGAUUCGAGGCCAGCAACUCCAGACAAGGCAAGAAAGAAAGGAAACUUAGCUUUUUUUCGUAUCAUGUGUGCCUUACAAUUGCUUUAUUUAUACUAAUUCCUUGCUAACAGAAUUUGUCAUUUUGUGCCAAGGAAAAUUUUAGGAAAUCAUUGACUAACAAUUUAUGGUUACGCUUGUCUCCCUAAGGCCAACCAGCCAUCAUCUACAAAGGCAGACAAUUUUUGACAACUAGAAAACUCAAGAUUCCCUCAAGUUCUUUCUUUUGCGGCCCGUGAAAUGGUGGAUGAGUGGAUUUGAGCCAUCAAAAGGCAAGAUUCAUCAAAUUGAUUUUUUAAGCGAUAUAUAUAUAUAUAUAUAUAAUUUAGAUAUCUUCUCGGUCUUCCUAUAAUGGAAAACAUGAAUAAACUAAUAGGAAAUUGUAAUUCUACCUUAAUUAGUGAUUUUGAAUGAGAUUUGAUUAAGUAGUUAUGUUAAAUAUUUGGAAAACUCUUUUUAUUGUACAUAAUAAUUAUAUUGGGUUCAAAGAGAUUAUUUUUAAUGGAAAAUAUCUUUUCUUUGUUGAAUUAAGGCAUUGUUCUUCACUUCUCCCUUAAAAAAAUUGAAAAAAAGAAGAAGAAAAGUGCAUCCCCUUCAGCGUCCCCUGCCGGAGACAAUCAUAGAAGAAAGUCGAGCCACCUCUCUCUCUCUGGCGGCAAUAUAUAACAAUUAAAAGGAAAAUAUAAGCCAUUAGUAUUAUUCAGUAACAAUAAGAAUCAUUGAACCAGUCAACGCUUACUUUCGAAUAUAAUAUAUAUUGUGUGUAUUGUGUUGCAUAUUUUAUAACACAUCUUCAAUUAUUAACAUAUAAUAUCAUUCCUGUCUAAAGUCUUCUAUAGCACAUGAUGAUUAAAAAAAUGUCCGAGACUCACCCUAUAACAAUACUCAUAAUUUCUGUUGACAUUUCACAUACUCAACUCAUAGAUUCAAGGAGAGGAGAUGUAUGGUGAAAUUGAAAGGUUCAUCAAAGUAUGGAUUUCAGCCAUCUUAGGUUUAUGUUAUUGUUAUUACAUAGCUGCAAGAAUACCGAAGGGCUUCUUGAGACUUCUCUCCCUUCUCCCUAUUCUCUACCUCUUCAUCAUCCUUCCCUUGAACAUCUCUUCACCUAACUUAGUUGGAUACACUUCCUUCUUCCUUGUUCAACUUGGCAUUUUAAAGCUCCUACAUUUUUCCUUCAACAAAGGCCCUCUUGCCCUAUCACCCCCAAACAUUGUCCAUUUCAUAUCCAUAGCUUCCCUCCCCAUCACCCCAAAACAACAUCCACCAACCAAUCAAAAUAACACCACCAACACCCAAAAGCCAAAAUGGCUAUUGCCCUUAAAAUUGCUUAUUUUUGCAAUGAUCGCAUGUGUUUAUGAGUACAAUGAAUACUUCCACCCUCAUUUCAUAUUAGUCCUCUAUUGUCUUCACUUGUACCUUCGCUUAGAGCUUGUUUUUGCUCUUAUUCCAACCCCGGUUCAAACCCUUUUUGGCUUAGAGACAGAACCACACUUCAACGAACCCUACCUUUCAUCCUCACUUCAAGAUUUUUGGGGUCAUAGAUGAAACCUUAUGGUUAGACAUGGCAAGAAAAUCAAUACUAGUGGGUACCCGCCCGAAUCCGUCUUGACUUUGACAGGUAAUACCCGAGUUGACCGGAUAUGGGUUCGGGUUCGGGUUUUCUCCGAUAAUCAAAAGUCGGGUACAGGUACGGGUAUGGGAUUACUAGAUCCGUUCUGACCUUGCCCCGCCACUUAAAAUCUUUAAAUUUUUUGCAUAAUUUAAUCAAAAGGCAUAGAAUUUUUAUUACUAGUUAAUUUUAUUUUUGAAUUUUUACAUAAUUUAAUAUUAUUUUCUUAACGAUUUUUGUAGACACAUGCACUAUGAUAAAUUUAUAGAUAUAUAAGUGGUUAAAAAUAAAUGUUUAACAAUCAAUUUAUUUUUUCUAAAAUCAAAUUUUUAAUAUUUUUUUACAAAAAAAAAUUAUUUUUCUAAUUUGAAUUGGAUAUGGGACGGAGUCGGGGAUACCCGAUACCCGACAAGUACUCGAUGGGUACAGGGAUGGAAUAAUAAACUUUAACCCAUCGGGUAUCGGGUACGGGUAUGAGAAUAUGUUGGGGAGUCAGGAUAAGAGAUUGGGGAGACAAUACCCGUACCCGUUCUGUCUCAUUGCCAUGUCUACUUAUGGUUUCUUGUCUUCUACGCUCUACAGUAUACAACCACGUAAACUGUACAAUUAUGGGUUUAGUGGGUCCCUCGUGUGCCAAUCAGCUGCCAUGUUGGCCACGUUCCUUGUGUCUGGGCUUGUGCAUGAGUUAAUCUAUUAUCAUGUUACACGUGUACCUCCCACGUGGGAAGUUACGUGUUUUUUUGUGCUUCACGGUGUGUGCACGGUGGCGGAGGUGGCUGUUAAGAAGGUGGUUCUCCGUCGUGGAUGGCGGCUGCACCGUGCCGUGUCAGGGCCACUCGUGGUGGCAUUCUUGGCUAUCUCAGCGAAUUGGCUGUUUUUCCCUCAAUUGUUGAGGAAUGAAAUGGAUAGGAAGUCCAGUGAAGAGUAUGUAAUUUUGGUGGAUUUUGUUAAGUCUAGGAUAUACCAUUGAGAAUGUUUCACUCUUGAGAGUAAACAUUAAAGGAUGAGAGAGACUUAUAAUUGUAAUAUUUACCUUCAAGGGUAAAACAUUUUGUUUUUUUUUUUUAAGAAUUAUUUAAUUGUGAAUAAGGCAUAUAUGUUGAAUAUGUUGAAAAAUGAUGAGUGUGACUCAACAGCUAACAUCUGAAAAUGUGCAAGUCUAAAAACAUUAAAGUAUUUUAUGUUUUUAUUGGAUUUACGUGGGUGUAUAAAAAAAUAUAUGGGUGUAUGAGUUUAGGUUUGAAGGCAAAAAGAUCUUUAUUUAAAUAUUUGAAAAAAAAGAAACUUAAUUGCACAUAGUGUUUCAAAUGAAAGAUACACAUACAUGGUUUAAAAAAAAAUACCAUCUCUAUCUUGGAUUAAUGCAUUGUUCUUUCUUUCAAAAUUGGAAAAAAAAAUAGAUAAAGGAAAAGUGUGUCCCCCCUUGCAGCAAUAACAAUUAAUCUAAGGAAAAUAUCAUCCAUUAGGAGAUUUAUAAUUAAAGUGUGUACCCCCUUUAGCAAUAACAACUAGUUAGUAAUAAAUGAUUGAACUACUGUUACAGCUGGCUAAGUUUCCUUCUAGAUUAGUCAAAGGCAAGAUCGAGAGGCACAGAAGCGUGGCAAUUAAUUUGGGUAGCUAUAAUCUGCUGCCUGUAGAACUUCAGAAAUAAAAUUGUCUUAGAAGUGGUAAUUUGUCGUUUGAAGAUUGCUUGGAAUCUGUAAGAUUUAGAACAUGAUCUUGGUUGCAUGCCAGAAUAUUUAAAGGCUUCAGUUAUUCCUUCUUUGAGUGGUUAAACAGCCCAAUGAUGACUAUAAUGUUUUUUUUUUAUUAAAAUGGAUUAAAAGUUAAAAUUAUCAUAAUGGAUUCAUCAAGAAAGUAUUUAUUAAAAUAGAUUAUUUUUGUCAAUAGGAUUAUAGAAAAUGUUACCCUAACUGACACCUUAUGUUUUUUUGUGUAUUUUAUAGCACGAGCCACCAUCCUUGUAUACUCCAUUUUCGCCAAUGCUAAAUUUAUAUAUAAUGAAUAGAUCUUAUGACACAAUUUUACUCAAUUUAAUGAUGAUCAAGCUAAUACAAAAUACUUAUAAAAUUAAACUCUUGCCUUUACAACAAUUUAAAAUAAAUAUAAAUGUAUAAUUAAUUAUGAAAAAAAGAGAUAUGUAAGCUUAGUAACGAAGAAUAAAGUAAUAAGAGUAUGUAUUUGUAUUUCUUUUGAUGAUGAAGAAUAUUUUUUUGAGACAAAAUAAGACGUAUAAAUUUCAAUUUUUUAUAUAUAAUUUUUUGGUUGAGUGUCUUUCAGUAAACGAAAUCAUGUUUUAAGAUUUUAGUGUCAGCCUCAACUUUUUGGCAUCUAGAGUUGAAUAGGAACAUUCUUUAGUUGUUAUCACUUUGUCCUGAUUGUUUUGUGCUAGCAAAAUAAAUUUGAGGAAUUUAUGUCACUUGAAGUAUUUAAGCUUCCGGUAUGCAGGGAUAGAAAGUCUACUAAAAUCCAUCGGCAAGCUCCAGAAUUUGGAGACCUUGGAUAUAAGAGAGACAGGUGUGUCUGAGAUGCCAGAGGAGAUUAGUAAGCUUACUAAGCUACGUCAUCUUCUGAGUGACUAUAUAACUUCAAUUCAAUGGAAGGAUAUUGGAGGCAUGACAUCCCUACAAGAGAUACCUCCAGUGAUUAUAGAUGAUGAUGGAGUGGUCAUUGGAGAGGUUGGAAGGCUAAAGCAGUUAAGGGAACUGACAGUGAGAGAUUUUAAGGGAAAACACAAAGAGACUCUGUGUUCCUUGAUAAAUGAGAUGCCACUCUUGGAGAAACUACUUAUUGACUUGUACAUUAUGUCACCUAUGUCUACACUUAGGAAGCUUGUCCUAUGGGGGACUUUAACAAGGUUGCCAGAUUAUUGGACUUCACAGUUCCCAAAUCUUGUGCAACUGCGUUUGGGUGGCUCCAGGUUGACUAAUGAUGCAUUGAAAUCACUAAAAAAUAUGCCAAGGUUAAUGCACCUCUGUUUCGUUCUCAAUGCUUAUGAAGGUGAAACUUUGCAUUUUCAAUGUGGAGGGUUUCAGAAACUAAAGCAACUGUUCCUCCAAAGUUUGGAUAAGUUGAAGUCCAUCCUUAUCGACAGAGGAGCAUUGUGUUCUGUGGAAGAAAUUGGUUUAGAAUACCUCUCCCAACUCAAAACAGUUCCCUCUGGAAUUCAACACUUGGAGAAACUUAAAGAUCUCUUUAUCAGCAGCAUGUCAACUGAAUUUGAGCAGCGCAUUGCUCCCAAUGGAGGAGAUGUAACAUCUCAUUUUUUCGUAAAUAAAUUUAAAAAGCUUUUUAGUAAAAAAUAAAUAAAUAAAUAAAUAUAGAGUAAAUAAUAGGCUGAGAACCCUAGGUAUAAAUAGCUAUAUUAAGUUAGGUGCCUCCUCUUGGCCUCAUUUUCGUUUUUCCCUUUCUCCUCUUAAAAUCCUUUCUUUUUCCCGCAGCCCACCAAACCUAUCUCAGAAAAAUGACGAUCUCGGACUCAUUAACUGUUGGAUUGUCGUGACAUUUGAGCACCACGUUCGCAAUCCAAUUCCAAGAAUUUCAACCAUUGGGAAUUUCGAUAUCAUGUCUGAGCUAAGAGAAAUACCCCUCACAUUGUAGUCUUUUCUUUUCCCGCAGAAAUCCAGAGCUGUCUCGGUAAAACUACAAUCCCGGUUUCGUUAACCGUUGGAUUCUCGUGAAAGUUUGAUAUGUUGUGCAAAAUUCAAUUGCGCACACUUUCACCGUUGGGAUUUGCGAAAUAAUAUUUGUGUAGGGAGAAAAAGGAAUUACACAAAGAUAGUACAAAUGGAGGUUUCAAUAUCUUCUCAUUCUCUCUAACGUUUGGAAACUCUAUCAGAGCAACCAGAGGAAGAAAUUGAGGAAUCUUAGGAACUUGCUAGAGAUGCCUCUAUCGCUUUCGGAAACACGUGAGUCCGCUUAGAGGUAAAGGAUGAGUUAUUCACAAUUGGGGAUUAGUCAGAACAUGUAUAGAGAUCCCUAGAGUAUCAAUUAGAAUGAGUUUUUGGAUGUUUUCGUCAUUUUUUUUAUUCUAUCCUUAUGGUUAUAAUUGUGAAUUAUAUAUGUUUGACAAACCAAUUUUUGUGAAAUUGAUAUGCUAUUGUGUUGAGCGUGAACCCUAUAAAUCGAGCAUUUUUCUAAUUAACAUGAAUUGAUGAAAUAAAGUAAGGAGAAAUUUAGAGUGAGACAUUGAUUUUGUAUUUUCUCUUUUUCAUGCCUUUUAGGUUUUUUAUAUAUAAUUUAAAAAUUAAUAUCAUAAUUGAAAUUGACCAAAGUAUUCAUAUAAUUAUUUAGAAUUUACGCAUUGAAAGCUUACUUUAAAAUUUGUGAUUCAAUAUGAUGUAUGCUAGUUUAUAUAUAUAGAAGUAGUAAUUUAUAUUAAUAAUUUAUGUAAAUAAUAUUAUAGAGUUGUUAUAGUAUGAUUCCAAAAAAAUUAUUAAGUGUUGGCGUUUGAGAAUAUUAUGGUUAAAUUUGAUGAACAUGUGUAUGUUGUACCUUGUGAAUAUCAUUAGGAAUGUUAUGAGAUGGUUGAUGUGAUGUUAUGAGAUGUUAAAGUGUGGGCAUGAUAUUCGAUUGUGAAUAAGUGGAUGUGUUAAACGUGUUUGAAACAUGAGUGUGAGGUCAUGGUAUUGUAUAAUUCAUGAGCAGUGUCUUCGGAGUGUAGGUCUUGGGGGUCACUGGGUUUGAGUGCUCCUUUAAGCCUAUGCUGAUCCCAUAUGAUUGGAGCAUUCUCGCAAAAUAUUGUGACCCUGACUGGUCUCCUUAUGAUCUUACUUAGUGAGAGUGACGUGACAAACUCAUUGUGUGGUGUGUCUUGUUAUGUACUCCUAAGCGCCCCAGGGUGGUUUUUCACUGACAUGGUACCACAUUGUAUAUAGGAUUAACUCUUAGCAUAACUGUUGCAUACGCUUGCUAAUUGUUUAUUAUGAAAUUGAUGUGUUAUUAUAUCCUGAUUGAAGUGUGGGAUUCUUGUGUAAUGUGAUUGAUGAUUGAAAGUGAAUUUUGAAUGACAAAGUGGUGAAAUUACGUGAGCUAUGUUUAAGCAAGUUGUAUCUCAUUUAUAUAAUAUGUAUAUUUAAUUGUCUUGUUUCUCUAUUAGCUAGGAAUGUGAUAUAACUCACUCCCGGUGUGUUAUUGUGUUUGGAUCCUAUGAUGAUCUUGAACUUGUGUUCGGGGGAGCAGAUGAAUAGGUGGAUGACUAUGAAGAACCACAUGCUAGAGGACACGGGAACACAACGCUCUGAUAGGAUGUGACAUUAGGAUAUAGGUUUUAUAUUAAUAGUAUGAAGCUUAUACGACCUUGUUUGAGUCGAGAUUACUUUAUUAUUUAUUUGGACAAGUUUGAAUAUGAUGUAGAAGAAAAUAAAUGUGAGCUUUUUUCCCCUUUGGAAGACUUUUUUCGAAAAAAAAAUGUUUUAAAAAUACUUUUAAUUAAUAUUUAAAUUUUUAUUCUUUUAUUAGUAUAUAUGUAAUGGGUAGAGGGUGUCACAGGAGAAGACCACUGGAUCAUCCAAGAUGUGCCCCAUGUACGUAUUUGGAGCAGGGAUGCUGAAGAACCUUCGCAUAUAUUCGGCAGAAGUCAUCACUAAGAUGCAUCCAAAUUUGAAAAUAGAAGGUGCAUCUUUUUCACAUCUAUAACUUUGUAGAAUGACAUUCGUGGCCUUUUUCUUUUCUUCAAUAAAAAAUGCAACCAUUAUGUAAUUCCUAAAAUAAUUACUUUUGCCUCAUUUUCUCUUCUAGUAUUUGCUUCAUUUUUCUUUUUCUACAACAUCUCACGUACAAGUUAGGGAUAGAAUUGUCUAACAAGUAUAUGCCUACACCAACCAAAGUUAACGUUUCUUCAUUAUAAGAUUCUCACCAUUAUAAUCCUUUCUAUUAUUGUGCUCAGAAUUGGUAGACGUCGACCUCAACUGGAUUGAGUUUUUUAUUUCCAUGUUGAUAAAUACUUGAACAAUUUCAUUGUAUCAUUUUAAGAAGAAAUUAACUUGGUGUUUUUAUAGGGUCGUAAGCAUAUAUUUUGUGUAAAUAUUAUGGGUUUUUAAAGUACAAUUACGAUUGAAGCUCAAUAAUGUGGAUUUUUUUCAUAAAUUAGAUUGUGUUAAAUGUUCCUUACUUUUAUACUUUGAAGUUUGACCCACUUUGUACAACCAUGAAUUUUAGGAAAACACUUAGGGAAGAUUGUAAGAGGUGUUCCAAUUCGUUCCAAUCUUGUUGUUUUUUGAGUGUUAAUUAUUACACCCAUUUAGCGUUAUUAACACCAGCACAAUACGAAAAAGCUGAAAAUAGUGUUUCUAUAAAGGCAGACAAUUUUUGACAACUGGAAAACUCAGAUUCCCUCAAGUUCUUUCUUUUGCGGCCCAUGAAAUGGUGGAUGAGUGGAUUUGAGGCAUCAAAGUGCAAGAUUCAUCAAAUUAAUUUUUUAAGCUUCCUUCUUCUCUUUCUCUUGUUUAUGUUUUUUCUAAAAUGUGUACUUAAAUUUUUGUUAACUUGAUGUAAUUUGAAUUCUUAUCUAUAAUUCAAGUUCAUUUCUUUUAAAUUGAUUGUUUGUCUUUGUUUUAAUUUAAUGACUUUAUAAAUUGGCAUUUGGUCACUUAUAGUGCAUUGAUCGUAUAUUCCUAUCAACAACUGUGUGAAAUUGAAAUAAGAAUUGAAUUUAAGAUAUAUUGCAACGAGGUUGGAGAUUCUAUAGGAAUAAAUAUCAAUAAUUACAAUAAUUUAGAUAUUCUUGAACCUAAUGAUUGCCCUAAUUGAAAAAUGCUAAAAAUUUAGAAUUUUCAAUUGCCGAAAAGAGUUUUUGAGUUUAACAUAUAUUUGCCUUCAAUUAUAAUAGUAAAUAAUAAAUUUAGUUUCCAAUUAUGCUUCUAGAACUUGAAUUGGAGUACGUGAAAAUUUGGGUUGUACAUGUUAAGCUUGGGAUGAACUUGUAGUGUAACAAGACAUGUUUGAUUUUGGCUUUAGCACUUUAAUCCUCUUACCAUAGUGCUUCAGCAAUUUUGGUACCCAAACUUUUAUGUUCAGGUUUGAUCCCAUAUUUUUUCAAAAACAUUUAAUGGUUCAAUAUAUAUUAUUAAACUCAAUUUAUAUAUCACUUAUCUAGAUUAAGAUAAAUUUUUCAAGGCUUAAUUUUAUCUUUUUGUCUCAUUCAUUAUUUAUUUUAUUCAAUUUUGUCCUCCUAAUAAUAAAAUCUUUAAUUUGAUCGCUUAAUUCCAAAUCGAUUCAAUUUGAUCUCUUCGGUCCAAAUUCACUUAACAUUGUUUAUAAAUAGUGGGAUGAGAUUGAAUCAAAUAAAGGAACAAAUUAAAUUGUUUAUUAAAAUUGAAAAAACAGUGAGAACAAGAAGUUUAUUAAGGGGUCAAAUUGCACCCUUUUGAAAAUUAAAGUGCUAAGUUAAAUUGUUUAUUAAUAGAGGACCAAUGCUAAAUAAAUAAAUAGCAGGACAAAAAAGUAAGGUUUUUUUUACUUUCAAAAAAUUUGAAAAUUUUAUUGAAUUCUAAAAUAUUCAAUUAAUUUGCCUAGUGUUUUUUGUUUAUUCACUCUCCUUUUUUUCCUUUAAUCCUUGAUGUUUGAAAACUUCAAAACUCUUUUUCUUCACAAAUAUAUUUUAACUCUCAUAAAAAAACACAACAAUAUAAGUGCAUAUGAUGUAUGAAAAUUUUGAUGAUGCCAAAAAGGUUAAAGCUAUUCAACAUUGAUUCAAGUUAAGAUAAGAAAUCAAGAGAAACGAUUUACAAUAGACCUUUAUAUGUUAAAAGAAUCUCUUAAAAAGGUUGCAAAUAUUUGGCCUUAAAAGACUUAUUAAGCUUUUAAAUAUCUUAUAAAGUUUCUAAGUAAACAUUUCAUUUUGAAACAUAUGUAUUUCUCCUUGGUAAUCGAUUGCCAGAAGCAAAAAUGGUUUUAACGGCUUUCAGAAAAGUUUGAAUUUGAAAUUUAAAAGUUGCAAUUGAGUACCACUAUUGUAUAAUCGAUUACCAAUAACAAAAAAUUUUGAAAUUCAAACUGAAAAGGCAUAACACCUCAAAAUUAAUUGUAAUCGAUUACCACAUAUUUGUAAUCAAUUACUACCAGUGAGGAAAUUUUGAAAAUAACUCUGAAAAGUUACAACUAUUCACAAGUUUUUGAAAGGUCACAAAAGGCUUAUAAAUAUGUGACUUGUAUUUGAAAUUCUUCAGAGUUUUUCAGAACAUUCAUUGUCCUAUCCUCUCAUAAGAAAACCUUUGAUCAAACACUUGCAAAAUCAUUAAGGAUUCUUAUAAGUUCUUCAAGUUUUAUCAUUCUUCUCUAAAAGAGAGAAAAACAAUCUUCUGUACUUCAAAGCAAUCUAUUGUUAAUGAAGAGGCAAUGGGUCUCUUGAUUUGUAAAGUUUGCUUAACACAAGGGAAGGGUAUCCCUGAGUGGUUCAAAAGUUGUAAAGGGAUUUACAAGUUAGUGGAAAUCUCAAGUGGAUUACUUGAGGACUGAACGUAGGCACAGGGCGUGGCCGAACCAGUAUAAAACUGAAUUUGCAAUUCUCUCUUCCCUAAACUCUUUUACUUUAUUGCAGUUUAAUUUUACUUUGCACAUUUAAAGAAGCAUCAAGUAAAUUGUUCAUUAAUCAAUUGCAUAAUACUAAUCAUUUGCAUGUAAUUAGUAGAUUUAGAUAGAGAAUGUUUUAUGUCAAAUCGCAAGAUCAAACUCUUUGGGUAAUCUCCAAUAGAUUAUUUAAUCUUUAAUUAAUCUUUCCUAUAAUUGAUUUUCUUUUGACUUAAAUUGAAAGAUCCAUGAUCAUUGGGGUAUUGAUUUAGGCAAGAAGCAUCUUCUAACCUUGAUCAUAGACUUUAGUUCAUUUUGUGAAUUAGUAAUUAAUUGGAGAAAGAAUUUUAUUACAAUUAGGAUUGAGGGAAAAUUAAUACUAGUAAGUCAUAACCCCUGAUCGAUCACUCUUAUCAUGACUGAACCUUUUCUUUAUAUUCGUAUAUUUGUUUUUUUAUAAAACAAAAAUCGUAAAAAUAUUUAAACUAUCCUUUUAAUUACUUCAACUGUUAAUUUAAUAAACUUAACUAAUUGGGAAUACAACUCGUAAUUUGGGUUUGAUAUCCAUACUUUCGAAACCACUAUUAUUGCGUAAGGUACACUUAUCCCUAUGCAAGCCUAUCAUAUUUUGCACAUGAGAUAUAACAAACAUAUUGGACAUACAACGGUGGCAACGUGUAGCAUUUGCAUUUCUGGUUUUGGGAAUAAAAGAAGAAUCUGAAAUGAAAAGACUAAGGAGAUUUAUUUACCAGGAAAAAUUAUGGGUAAAGAACAAGAAUGCAAUGGUACAACUAUGAAUUUUCCUAUUAUAUCAGUACACAACAUGAAUGAUCACAAUUGUUGGAGUCCUAUAACUAGUGUUGGAUGAUCACAACAUGAAAAAAAAAAUACAACAAAUUUCUAGGAAUACAAAAAAAGAAAGUGGCAUUUAGGAAUUCCCUUUAAUCCAAGUAUGAUCUGAUGCCAGACAAAUUGUUUUGAUUUUUAUCAUAUGCGCAGUCUUUGCUAUCAAAUUGAUAAUAAUACUAACAACAGUUGAAUUUGUUGAUAUUGCUAUAAAUUUCUAGAAUAUUCUUAAAUAUAGUGUGUAUGAAUAUGGUAGAACAAUCUAGAACUAUAAUGUGUAUGAAUAUGGUAGAACAAUCUAGAACUAUAAGUGUAUGUAUAAGAUAGAAGAAUCUAGAACUAUCAUGAUACUAAUCUAUCAUGAAAACUCUAGAAAGACCUAAAGUAAUGUAGAAACAUUCACCACCAUUGAGAGGUUGGUGACUUGAGCCUAUAAAUAGACAAUUGGUAUGUUGUAAUUGAUCAUCCAAGAAAUGAAUGACAUAACCUUCUUUCUAAAACAAUUCUCUAAAACUAUCAACUAUCAUCUAAUCAACUACCAACAGUGGUAUCAGAGCUACGUUCAGUCAUACAUUGGGUGUAGUUAUAUUACCUACCUACCAUUCCAAAAUCCUUCCAACUACUUCAAAAUUUUCCUUUGUACUAUUAACCCACUCCAAUAAUAUUUUUUCUAAGCUAUGGAUAGCACUACUCAAUUGUCAACUAUUUUUGUCCCUAUCAAAAUUAUGAUUUUUGGCGUGUUAAAUGGAAACAUAUUUUUCAUCUCAAGAUUUAUGGGACAUAGUAGAAGAAGGCUUCACCGUUUCCGUGGAUACUUAAGGUCUUAAUGCAUCUCAAGAAAAAGAGUUGAAGAAAAAUAAACAGAAAAAUUCAAAGGCGUUGUUCGCCUUGCAAUUUUCCCAAGAAUUAUGGGAGCUAAGACUGCCAAAGAAGCGUGGAACACAUUGCAGGAGUAGUUUCAAGGAAGUGUUAAGGUACGUGCCGUUAAACUUCAAUCUCUAAUAAGAGAUUUUGAACUAUUGAAGAUGAAGGAGUUUGAGACAGUUAAAGAUUACUAUUCUAAAGUUAAAGAAAUAGUUAAUCAAAUGAGAGCUUUUGGGGAAGAUAUUUUUGACAAGAAAAUUGUUGAGAAAGUUCUAAUUACUAUGCCCCAAAAGUUUGACCCAAUCGUGACAACGAUUGAGAAAAACAAAGAUCUGUCCACUCUAUCAGAGACAGAAUUUGUGGGCUCUCUUGAAGCAUAUGAGUAAAGACUGUAUAGACAUAAAGAAGAUACACUUGAAAAUGCCUUCCAGUCAAAGUUUAAAUUUUAGCCCCAAAACAAAAAAAAAAAUAGAGGAAAGAAAAAUUAUGGAGAAACUUCCAGAAGAAGAGAAGGUUCUAGGAAUUUCCUUAAGAACAAAACAGAUAAAAAUCCUCCAUGCAAUAUAUGCAAAAGGCAAGGACACGCAGAGAAAAAUUGUUGGUUCCGUAAUAUGCCACAAUGCAACCAUUGCAAGAAGUUCGGGCACGUAGAGAAAAAUUGUCGCAACAAAAAUAGGCAUCAAGCCAAUAUCGCAUAGGAGCAUGAUCAAGAACAAUGUACGUUCUAUGCCACUCAAGACUCAAUAAAAGAAAAGGGAGGAAGCUGGUACUUGGAUAGUGGAUGUAGGAAUCACAUGGCCAAGGAUGAGACUAUUUUCAAAAGCAUUGACGAGUCUGUCAAAGUCAAAGUUCGACUGGAAAAUGGAAGUGUGGUUGAAUCAAAAGGCAAAUGCACUGUCAUGGUGGAGACAGAUAAAGGUACACGACAAGUAAAGAUGAAUAAGAGCAAUAAAAACUUCCCUCUAAAUUUAAAAUAUGCCACAAACAUUGUCAUGAAGGUACAAGUUGAUGAUUCCUGGCUAUGGCAUAAAAGAUUUGGCCACUUCAACACACAUGCCUCGAAGUUGUUACAGGAGAAGAACAUGAUGAGAGAUCUUCCAAGCAUAAAGGAGAACAAUGAAGUGUGUGAAGGAUGUCUCCUUGGUAAGCAACACCAAUUUCCUUUCUCAACAAGUGGAGCAUGGAGAGCGAAAGAUCUAUUGGAGCUGAUACAUACGAACGUCUAUGGACCAAUGAGGGCGCCAUCACAUGAGAACAACAGGUACUUCAUACUCUUCAUUGAUGACUUCUCUAGAAUGACAUGGGUAUAUUUUCUAAAAGAAAAAUCAGAAGUCUUUGGAGUAUUCAAAAAGUUCAAGGCCCUUGCUGAAAAUCAAAGUGGAAAACGGAUAAAAGUACUAAGAAGUGAUUGCGGCAAAGAGUACACCUCUGCCAGUUUGAAAGAUUUUGUGAGGAUGAAGGCAUUGAGCAAAAACUUACAGUCGCAUAUUCUCCUCAACAAAAUAGAGUGUUCGAGAGAAAGAAUCACAUAGUUAUGGAAAUGGCUAGAUCGAUGCUCAAGGAGAAGGGACUACCUAACACAUUCUGGGCUGAAGCAGUCUACACUGCUGUUUACAUACUCAACAGAUGUCCAACUAAGAUUGUAAAAGAUAAGACUCCAAUUGGCGCUUGGAACGGGAAGAAGCCAUCAGCAAAGCACCUAAGGGUCUUUGGAUCUAUAUGCUACAUUCAUAUUCCAAACGUGAAGAGGCACAAGCUUGAAGACAAGACUAUACGAGGUAUCUUCCUUGGGUAUAGCAAUAUCUCUAAGGGCUACCGUGUCUACAACUUGCAAACUAAGAAACUCGUCAUCAGUCGAGAUAUUGAAGUUGAUGAGUAUGCUUCUUGGAAUUGGGAUGAAGAAAAAGUGGAGAAGAACGUUCUUAUACCCGCUCAACUACCUCAUGAAGAAGCUGAGGAAGAAGACCCAGGUGAACCACCUUCACCUCCACCACAACAACAAGAUCAAGAACUAUCAUCACCAGAGUCUACUCCAAGACGAGUAAGAUCUUUGGUGGACAUAUAUCAAAACCUGUAACUUGGCCAUACUUGAACCUGGAAGCUUUGAAGAAGCGUCAAAGCAGGAAGUAUGGGUCAAGGCAAUGGAAGAAGAGAUACAGAUGAUCGAGAAAAACAACACAUGGGAGUUAGUAAAUCGUCCCCAUGGAAAAGAUAUCAUUGGGGUUAAGUGGGUCUAUAAGACAAAGCUCAACCCUGAUGGCACCAUACAGAAACACAAGGCGUGGCUAGUAGCUAAGGGUUACUCACAGCAACCUGGAAUUGACUACAAUGAUACAUUUGCACCAGUAGAUCGUCUUGAUACCAUAAGAGCUCUAAUAGCUCUUGCGUCACAAAAAGGAUGGAGUAUCCAUCAACUAGAUGUCAAAUCCGCCUUCCUUAACGGCGUACUUGAAGAAGAGAUUUAUGUGGAGCAGCCAGAAGGAUUCGUGUCUGAAGGCAAAGAAAGCAAAGUGUUAAGACAAAGAAAAGCACUCUACGAUUUGAAGCAAGCACCUCGAGCAUGGUAUAGUAGAAUCGAUCAGUAUUUCAUGGAUCGAGGAUUCAAGAGGAGCAAGAGUGAGCCUACACUUUACAUCAAGUCUCAAGCUACAUGACCUGACAUAAUGUAUGCUACAAGUCUUCUAUCAAGAUUCAUGCAAAGCCCAAGUUAAAUACACUUUGGAGCCGGAAAAAGAAUUUUGAGUGAUUGGGCAAGUUCGGCAGAUGACAUGAAGAGUACCUUUGGCUAUGCUUUCUCACUAGGAUCGGGAAUGUUCUCUUAGGCAUCGAAGAAGCAAGCUACAGUAGCACAAUCAACAGCAGAAACAGAGUACGUGGUAGCCGCGGAAACAACGAGUCAAGCUAUAUGGCUUUGAGACAUUUGCACCAGUAGCUCGUCUUGAUACCAUAAGAGCUCUAAUAGCUCUUGCGUCACAAAAAGGAUGGAGUAUCCAUCAACUAGAUGUCAAAUCCGCCUUCCUUAACAACGUACUUGAAGAAGAGAUCUAUGUGGAGCAGCCACAAGGAUUCUUAUCUGAAGGCAAAGAAAGCAAAGUGUUAAGACUAAGAAAAGCACUCUACGGUUUGAAGCAAGCACCUCGAGCAUGGUAUAGCAGAAUCGAUCAGUAUUUCAUGGGUCGAGGAUUCAGUACACUCUCUUACUCUCUCUAUAUGUAGAUGAUCUUAUCUGCACGGGGAACAAUACUAAGAUGAUGAUGGAGUUUAAAGAAGACAUGAUGAAGACCUUUGAGAUGACUGACCUUGGUUUGAUGAGUUACUUCCUCGGCAUAGAGGUAAGUCAGAGAAAUAAAGGGAUAUUCAUCUCGCAAAAGAAAUACAUAGAAGGCUUACUUAAGAAAUUCAAGAUGUAUGGUUGCAAACCUGUUGCUACUUCACUCAUAACAAAUGAGAAACUACAGAAGAAUGAUGGAGCACCAGAAGCUGAUGCAUCCAAAUGCCGAAGUCUAAUUGGAAGCCUCCUAUAUUUGACAGCUACACGGCCUAACAUAAUGUAUGCUACAAGUCUUCUAUCAAGAUUCAUGCAAAGCCCAAGUCAAAUACACUUUGGAGCAAGAAAAAGAAUUUUGAGAUAUCUACAAGGAACAAAAGAUUUCGGUAUAUGGUAUACUAUCGAAACCAACUUAGAAUUACUUGGCUACACUGACAGUGAUUGGGCAGGUUCGGCAGAUGACAUGAAGAGUACCUCUGGCUAUGCUUUCUCACUAGGAUCGGGAAUGUUCUCUUGGGCUUCGAAGAAGCAAGCUACAGUAGCACAAUCAACAGCAGAAGCAGAGUACGUGGCAGCCACUGAAGCAACGAGUGAAGCUAUAUGGCUUCGUAGGAUACUUGAAGAUAUGAGAGAAAAACAAGAAGAGCCUACUAAAAUCAAUUGCGACAACAAAUCAACAAUUGCAAUGGCGAAGAAUUCAGUUCAUCACAGCAGAACAAAACACAUAGCAAUCAAGUAUCACUUUAUCAGAGAAGUUGAAGCAACUAAAGAGAUCAAACUUGACUACUGCAGAACAGAAGAUCAAAUUGCAGACAUAUUCACGAAGGCGUUGCCGAGACCAAGAUUUGAAGAAUUACGAGCUAUGCUCGGAGUCACAAAAAUUUGCAUCAAGGAGGAGAGUUGAAAUUGCUACAAAUUUCUAGAAUAUUCUUAAAUAUAAUAUGUAUGAAAAUGGUAGAAUAUCCUAGAACUAUAGUGUGUAUGAAUAUGGUAGAACAAUCUAGAACUAUAAGUGUAUGUAUAAGAUAGAAGAAUCUAGAACUAUCAUGAUACUAAUCUAUCAUGAAAACUCUAGAAAGACCUAAAGUAAUGUAAAAACAUUCACCACCAUUGAGAGGUUGGUGACUUGAGCCUACAAAAAGGCAAUUGGUAUGUUGUAAUUGAUCAUCCAAAAAAUCAAUGACAUAGCCUUCUUUCUAAAACAAUUCUCUAAAACUAUCAACUAUCAACUAUUAUCUAACCAACUAUCAACAGGUUUGAAGAAUUGGCUAAUUUGGUUUCUUUUGCACUUUUCACUAGUGCUAGAGAUCCUUCUACUUUUCAAGAGGUUAUGAACAACCAUGAGAAAGACAAUAUGGUGAAGGAAAUGAAGUCUUUGCAGAAGAAUAAGACAUAGGAGCGAGUUGAGCUUCCUGCAGGCAACAAAACCAUAGGAUAUGCUAAUGGGUGUACAAGAGGAAACCUCUAGUAUCAAAAAAAGAAUGGGAAAAGUUCAAUGCUCGCCUAUUAGCAAAGGGGUAUGCACAAUAGAAGGGGAUUGAUUAUGAUGAGAUUUCCUCCUCAAUCGUAAGACACACUUCUAUUAAGGCAGUGCUAGCCUCGGUAGCCAAUCGUGACAUGCACUUGGAGCAAAUGGAUGUGAAGAUAACCUUUCUUGACAAUGAUGUAGAGCAGCAAAUUUACAUGAAGCAACCCGAGAGGUUUAGUAAAGGUGGAUUGGAUCGGCUGAUUUGUAAGUUGAAGAGGUCUAUGUAUGGAUUGAAGCAAUCUCCAAUGCAAUUGUAUGGAAGAAAUUAGAGAGUCAAUACAUGUCAAAACCCUUAAGGUUUGAGGUUAAGGUGUGGUGUCAAAGACACUUAUGUGGUUGCUCAAGGCUCACUAGUGCAAAUCUCCUUGAUGUUAACCGCCUCGGUUUUCACAAAAAUUGGUAUCAGAGUCAAUGGUUUGAUGUGGUGACCGGGUCAAACGAGUAAAAUGAUGAUGGUUGAACCAUGUACAUAGGGAUCCCUUAUAUUGAAAGUCUUCCUGACAAGUGGGUCCAUGCAUGGAGGCUAGGAAGCAGGUCUUGCAUGUGUUGUGGCAGCACAAGGUACUAGAGCAUGUUGGUGGAAAUGGUUAGGCGAGCUAAAGGUAGUCACGAUUAAGUUCUAAGGGCCAUCAUUGAAUACUUUUAGGUUGACAAUUACUUUCAUUCGAGGAGGAGACUAUGAUGCAAAAGAGACUCACAUUUAAGGAGAAGAUUGUUGGAGUACAAGUGUGAGGAAAAGUAUCACAUUGGAUACAAAUGAAAAGAUUGAAUACCAUAUAAGUGGGGACAAGACCCAUAAAUUUGAACCUUAAGGUUUUGGAUUAAAGUGUGAUGUCAAACUCACUUAUGAGGUUGCUCGAGGCCCAUUGGUUUAAAUAUCCCCGGUGUUUACCCUCUCGAUUUCCCAACUAUAGAUGAACGAAGGCAAAUAUAUAAAUAAAUAAGUUGUAGGACAAAAAAUUAAUUAAGUUUUUUUUUUAAAUUUCUAAUUUUGAAAAUUUUAUUGAAUUUGAAAAUUUUCAAUUGAACUUGCCCAGAUUUUGUUUGUUCACUCUUUUUUUUCCUAUUAAUCCUUGAUGUUUGAGAACUUCACCACUCUUUCUGAUAACAAAAAUAUUUUGACUCGCAUAAUACCACACAACAAUGUUUUCUGAAAUGGGACUGUUAUAAUUUAUAUAUAACAAACAUAUUGGACUAACAUAUGGUGGGUCUGCCACGUCUGAAUCAUAUUGCAUUUAGCAAAAAGUUUUGGCAACAUAUAGUGGCAUUUGCAUUUCUGUUCUGGGAAUAAUAGAAGAGAUCUAAGGAGAUCUAUUUACCAGGAAAAACACCAUAAGGAACAAUAAUGCAAUGGUACAACAAUCAAUUUACCUAUUAUAUCAGUACACAACAUGAAUGAUCACAAUUGUUGCAGUUCUAUGACAAGUGUUGGAUGGAUGAUUACAACAUGGAAAAAAAUACAAUGAAAUUAUGACAACAAGGACUUCCAUAACAACUUCGAGUGUCAUGCAUGGAUCACAAUCCUACACUGUAGAAGAAUUGCUGAAGGAUAUGUUGCACAAGCUAUGCAAAGAAAAAUUGGAGACACCUCUUCAUAAUGAUUCAUUGAUAGAUGAAGUGAGAAACCACUUGCGCCAAAAGAGGUAUGUUGUCCUGUUUCAUGACGUAUGGGAUAAAAAGUUUUUGGAUGGUAUUGAUUUUGCUAUAAUUGAUAAAAAUUCGGACACAGAGGUAUCAAUCACAACUUUGGACACAGAGGUUGCGGAGUUUUGCCAGAUAACAUCCUUCAUUAUGGUGUAUAAGCUAGAACCUUUAAGUGACGAAAAAUCUUUGGAAUCGUUAUGAUGUGGAAAGGCAUUUUUUUCGGGUUUUGGUGGAUGCUGUCCAAAAGAAUAUGAAGACGUAGGUCUUGAAAUGGUUAGAAAGUGUGAACGUUUACCUCUAGCAAUUGUUGCAUUGGUGGUCUUUUAUAUAGCAAAUGUCAAAGUGCACUUGAAUGGACAGGUUUAGUCAAAAUCUAUGUUCGGAGUUGAAGAGGAAUUCUGAGUUAAUUAGUAUUUAAAAAGAAAAAUUGGUUUGAGUUAUGAUGAUUUUCUGUUCAAUCUCAGAAACAUGUUUAUAGUAUUUUAGAAUGUAUCCGGAAGACCAUGAAGUUAAAUCUGGAAGAUUGAUUACGCAGUGGAUAGCUGAAGGGUUUGUCAAACAUGAAAAUGGAAGAACUUUAGAAGAAGUUGCACAACAACAUUUAAUGAAGUUGAUCACUACAAGUUUGGUGCAAGUAUCUUCAUUUACCAUAGAUGACAAAGUUAAAGGAUGUUGUGUUCAUGACUUAAUACAUGAAAUGAUCCUUGGAAAAAUCAAGGAUACAUGGUUUUGUCUGUAUAUUGAUGAGCAUAAUCAAUUGGCGUCAAGUGCGAUCGUUAGACGCUUAACAAUAGGAUCAGAUUCCAAUGAUUUAAUUGAAAAUACUGAAAGAUCACGCAUUCGGUCAGUUCUAAUUUUCACAAAGCAAAAGUUAC
rnacentral:lncRNA from 1 species